AUGAAACGGCCUCAGCUAAGAAUAGUGAAUCUUAUAUCGGGAAGAGAUUCUUAGAAAGUUUGGUUGCAGUUGCAGGGCUUCUAAUUUGGCUUUCAUGAGCUUAACUCAAAUACUACCUAUAUAUUACCAUUUUCAUAUCACGUUGAAAUGUAAACCAUUGAUUAGUUGACACUGUAAAAAAUAUUUACACUCUUGAGUGUACUAAAUCUCUGACAGACUCACAAUAGAUAUUAUUGCAAUACCUUUUGGAGAUUUAUUUUUUGUUUUUAAUACUAACCUAGAGUCUACAGAUCAAAGUUAAUUAAUUGCUGAAAAUUAUGUUCAUUCUCAUUCUUGGCGCUGUUAGUCCAGUGUGAAAACGGACAAAUUCAGUUUCAUGUUAUAUAUGGCUCUGUAUAUGAAAAGGAAAUUAAAGAAAAAUAUGGCUAAUUUCACCCAUUAUAUUUAUUACAAGAAAACCUUUAGAUAAAAAUUAUUUUUUUGUACUUUUAGCUUGGUCGUAAACAUUAACAUUACAUCACGCACAAACAUAAAAGGCAAACCAAAUUAUUUUAUAUCCCUAAAUUUUGAGGAAGGAUGCUAUAAAUAUUAACAAUACAUCUCACACACACAAAGACAACUAAAAUUAUAUCACUAAAUUGAGGUGGGGAUAGUUUUGAAAAAAAAAAUAGUUGGUGUGGUUGUGUAGGUGUGUUUUUAUGUUUUUCAAUUCAGGAUAUUAAAUUUACAAAUAAUUUUAUGUUUUUCAAUUAUAUUUUAACAAUAAUUAAGAAAUAAAUCUAAACCAUUCUACAUUUGUUUAUAGGUACUUGGCAUAUUGGAGAUGCUAUAUGGGAAUCUAAAUUUUGCUUAACACAAAUGUGGUAUAUGCAAGGGAAAAUCAAAUUGAAAAUUUUUUAACCACCACUUCAAAUUUUAAAAGAUUUGUUUCAAAAUAAAGGAUAUGAAGAACAAAUUGUUUUUACAGAACAUUCCCUCCAUGAUGUUUUCCUUUCCGUUAGGUGAAAAAAAUAGACAUUUCCAAAAAUAAUGGAAGUGAACCUUAUGUAAUGCUGUUUAUAUAGAGAAGUCUUUCAAAAUACAAGUUAAAGUACUAUUACUACAGACUAUUUUGUAUCAUAUAUCUCUUAUAUAUUUUGAUAUAAAACAUUUAAUAAUUUUUUUUAUUUCUUAGUAACAUGUACAUGAAAGUCAAACCAAACCGAAUCGAGGAUUUAUGUGGCAUUUAACUUUUAUCACUUUUUGCCCUCAAAGAUUACACUCUAAUCAUGUAUCAACAUUUUGUGGUGUACAAGAAAACUCUUCUAUUUGAGAGCAGACGAUUUUUAUUUGAACCUCUUUUGGUGGUAUAUGCAAGGAAAAAUCAAAUUGAAAAUUUUUUAACCACCACUUCAAAUUUUAAAAGAUUCGUUUCCAAAUAAGGAUAUUUUUAUUUGAACCUCUUCACUGUUUUUCAUCAAUAUUACCAAAAUUUCCUUAAAGUGUUCAAUAUUUCGUAAUCUUCAUAAUUAAUUCAAAAUUCUCAAAAGAUUAGUAUAUGACCUUUUUUCUUGUUUGUACUAGGAGAGGAAUAAAUGAGAAAAAUUCAGAAAUUUGUGGAUUGCAAUUUGCUCAAAUGAUGUGUCUAUUAGUUCUUUGAAAUUUGUAUUGGUCAUAUUUAUUUUUACCUUUUAAUAGAUAUAUUGUGCUGUCAUCCCAAGAGAAGGAUCAAACAUUGAUGAUGCAGAGGUGCUAAGAUAUUGCAAGAAGAAUCUUGCAUCUUUCAAAGUCCCUGAAAAGGUCUUCAUUACUGAUUCUUUGCCCAAGACUGCCACCGGAAAGAUUUUGCGUCGUCUUGUGGCAGAACACAUUGUCUCUCAAAUUUGAGCAACUGAUCAAGUCCUACUUUUGAAGCCUCCAUACCUGGCCAUACAUAGUUGGAGUCCACACACCAUAAAUUUCAACAAUAAUUUGGCAACUUGGCAUUUAAGAGGAGGGUAAUUCUGCAAAUGGUCUUUCAUUCAGGAUACAAUGGAUUGUAGUUUUCAAUGGUUCACGUGAAAUGUUCACAAUGUAAUGUUUUCAAUGUUUUAUAGGUCUUAAAUACCAAUAGCAGACAAGAUCAUGCUUAUGCUUUUUUGCUAUCGUGCUCCUGUUCCUUGCCACUGGUCUUGAUGAAGCCAAGCAUUGCCUCUUUGCCUUUUAAGUUGUACAUAGUUGCAAAACGGGUACAUGUGAAAGAAUAAUGCUUAUUAAAGGUAAGGUUGAUUUUAAAGUGGGCAUGCAAGAAUGCAUUCAUUAUCUCAAGUAAAUAAAAUUCAAGCGAAUAUGUGAUUUGGAUUAGAGAAUAGUAUUAUCCAGUGCACACUAAAUUGGAGAGAUUCCCAACAUGUGGUUUCAAAACUAAAAGAACUUACCAACUAUUUGAAUUUUAAUCUACGUGAUCUAGCUAAUGUUUUCUAUCAGAGAAUUACAACUAGUUGAUCUUAAGUACAAAACUAUACUAAAUAUGCAAAUCUUUACAUCUAAAAACAGAAUUUAAAUAAGGCUCUCAAAUUUGAAGAAAAAAAAGAAGAUAGUGUUAGCCCAUAUUUUUGAUGAGCUAAAAUAUGCUCUAAAUACGCAUUAGAUGUCGUCUUGAAUUUCGAAGCGUAUUAAAGAGCAAGAGUCUGGUCAGAUCCUGUUCGAAUCGAAAAGAAAGAAGAGGUGAUUGAAAGGGAUUCACGGGAUCAAAGAAGUAUUUAUAAAGUAUAAGGCUAAGACAAGAAAGAGGGCUUCGAACCAUUGGGCGAUUCGAACUGGUGUAUGGUCGAGUCGAAGUCGAGGCAGCAAGAGUUCUGGACUUAGCGCAAUUUCUGACAAAACUUCACAAAAUCAGUUCGAUUUCGAGUAAUGUGGAUAACCGUUCUAAGGAGCAGUUAUAUGCAUGCAAGGUAUACGUAGCAGGACACUUGGCAUUAGGAUAGUGUUCGACCGUUAGGGCAGUUUAUUUUCGAAUGUCUAUAUAUAGCAGUUUUUUAGUCAGAUUUCAGGGUCGCAAAUCAUUACUACAAGUCCUUAUAUACUCAAAGUACCCAGCGCAGAGAGAAACGAGUACGCAAGGAAAAUGUAUGAUUGUGAACCAUUUUAAGUUUCUGUAAACUUUACAUUUCGAAUGCAAUGCAAUUUAUGCUUCACUUUAUAAUUUCUGUCUUUUAAAUGGUUCAUUCGAUCGAAUGAAUUCGUUGAGCCUUUAAUUCUGCAAUUUAUCUUUCCCUUGUCAAUUUACUUCCAGCAUUUCGAUUUUUGUCAAACAAUUUUGCUUUCUGCAAAUCUCAAACCAGUGAAUGUUUGUUGCAAUGAUGAACAUUAAAGGCUUUACAUCUAAAGCAAACACACAAUUGGCAUGCUCCUGAGAUUCACUAGUUGAUCUCGCAAGCAAUUAACUUAGACUAGCGGUUGUUUACCAAAUUCCAGUGUAAACAAAUUGGCACGCCCAGUGGGACCGGUCAAUUGUGUGUUUUGGUUUUAAAUUAUUAUUAAAGUUUUGUUUAGUGCAGUUGGUUUAUUGCAUUCUUAAUUGUUUUGAUUUUGUAUGCAUUUAAGAAGUGGGAAAUCUGUUCCACACUUAACAGAAUUCAAAACUCGUACAAGGAUGGCUAGACCACCCCCAAGUAAUCGAAACAAUGACCUUCCAAAUAUGGAGGGACAACCAACGCAGACAUCUGUUAGUAAUGCCAAUAUAAAUUCUGGCAUAGGAGCAAUUCCUGACCAAACUGUUGGCACGAUAAGUUCGACCGCUUCGACGGUUAUGAAUCAGACAGGGGUAACUUCUCCCAUGACCAACAUGACGUUGGCAAGUUCGACCACGUCAGCGUCUGCUUUUGCCCCAUGGAAUAACCCUAGUUUAGGGAAUCCCAGUGGAAGUCCCUUUCGACCGCCUCAAAACCCUCUAUAUGGCAUGCCUACAUCUUUGAUGGCAGGGUUGCAAAACUCUCAACCAAAUAUAGAGAAUCUUAAUAUGUCUUCUCCAUCAGGAUCUGUAGCGGGCAAUCAAGGUAGGGUAAUUCCUCAACAUUUAACCAAUACAUCCGUUUUGUCACUCAGACAACAAAUGGAUGAAAGUAACCAUGAUAUGGUUAACAUGUUAACACAACAAAUAGGAACUGUUAUUAACCCCUUAAUUCAAAAUACAAAUGACAGUUACCAAAUGUUAACAAAUCAAAUAAGUCGAAUUGCUGACUUUUUUGGGGCACCACCUAUACAGCAACCACCAAUUCGACAGAUCCAAAUACAGGCGCCUGUCCAAGAGAUACAGAUGCCUAACAAUCCAGGGAUGCAAAUGGCUCAAGCACCACAACCAUUGGCACGCAUAGAGCCACCAGCCCAACAGGUCGAACCAAACCCUGGUAUAGUAUUGGUAAAUAGGAACCAAAAUGCUGAUGAAGUAAUAGGGAAUAUUCAACAAAACCGUUUCGAUAGGCAGAAUAACCUGGCCCAAAUGGUCGAAACGAUUUUGAUGCAGAAUGGUUUGAACUUAGGCUUACACAGGCCUAAUUUUGUGUCUCCAUUAUCUGAGUAUGUGUUACAGACAGAAUUACCAAGGGGUGUGAAAAUCCCUAAGUUUACUAAGUUUGCAGGAGAGACAAAUGAGUCCACUGUCGAACACAUUGCUAGAUAUUUGGUCGAGGCAGGGGAUUUGGCUAAUAAUGAAAAUUUAAGAAUGAAAUUUUUCCCUAAUUCCUUGACUAAAAAUGCUUUUACAUGGUUUACAACCCUCCCUCCUCAUUCCAUACAUAAUUGGAACCAAUUGGAAAGGAUUUUCCAUGAGCAAUUUUAUAUGGGACAGUCUAAGAUCAGCCUUAAAGAGUUAGCCAGCGUUCGACGCAAGGCACCUGAAUCAAUUGAUGAUUAUUUGAACAGAUUCAGACUCUUAAAGGCAAGGUGUUUCACCCAAGUCCCUGAACAUGAAUUAGUCGAAAUGGCUGCUGGUGGCCUAGACUAUUCGAUUAGAAAGAAAUUAGAUACCCAGUAUUUAAGGGAUAUGGCUCAAUUGGCUGAUAGAGUUCGACAACUCGAACGAUUGAAGGCUGAAAAGGCUAGAAAUUCUAAAUUCCUCAAGAAGGAAAAGGUUGCAUAUGUCGAAACCAAUGACAGUGACCAGGAGUUCGAUAUUAUUUAUGAAGAUAUCGAAGACAAUGAGGUUGAUUUAGCAGAAUUAAAACCUGGACCUCCUUAUGUUUGUAAACUCCUUAGACCUUCCAAUGGAAAAAACCCUGUUGAACCUAAAAAUGAUAAAUUUGUGUCUAAAACUUAUACAUUUGACAUAACUAAAUGUGAUGAAAUAUUUGAUUUAUUAGUCACAGAUGGCCAGAUUGUUGUUCCUAAGGGCUUGAAAGUACCCCCAAUCGAACAACAGAAGAAAAGGGGUUCUUGUAUAUUUCAUAAUUUCCUUGGCCAUAAAACCUCACGUUGUGUUCUUUUCAGGGAUUUGGUUCAAAAGGCUCUCGACGAAGGGAGGCUCAAAUUUGGUGAGAAACCAAAGGUUGUUCAGGCAAAUGCUGAAACAUCCAAAGCUGCUGAAACUCUCUAUGCGGAGCCCCAAGAAAUAAUGAUGGUCGAAACAAUGGAGUUGUCCCAUGUGCAAGUUCAGGACAUAUCUGAAGAGGAUUACAACGAACAAAUGAAGGUUGUGUAUCCUCAGGCUGAGGAGGAGUUAAUUGAUUUCUUGAACAGAUGCAAACUCGAAAACAAGAUUGUAAUGCUCUGCCCUCGCUGCAGUGCAGUAUGUGAUAGGGAGGCUACUGAGGGCCUCAAGAAAUACCAAGUUGUUAACAAGGGGGCAAAGCAGAACCAACGUUUCGAUAAAGGCAAAAGAGUUAUGGUGCAGUCGAAUACUAAUCAGAAGUCUGGUCGAAGGAAUACUUUCGCUCCUCCUGGUUCAGUUCCGGUCGAAAAAUGGAUGCACCAGGGACUCAUAAGGUUCAACAAAGGGAUCAUGGAAGUAGGUGGUUCGAGUGGAACGAAGCAAGUUGGCCCACAAGAGGCUAAUAAGUACUCUUAUAGGAACAAUUACAGAGGAAAGAAUCCUAUGACGAGGACCCAAUGGCGUAGGUUCCAGCGUCAGAAGAAAUUGGCCCAACAGAAUCCGCAAACGGGCCAGUAUAAAGAAGUAUCUAGGAGGCCAGUAAAAGAGAGGCUCCUGCCUCCAGUGGAUGAAGAUAAGAUGGAGGAUGAGGAUCUACUGGAUUCUGAACCAGAUUUUGAUGUCAUCUGUGUGGUAUCUAUCUUGCCAUCGGAAUAUGAUAUCCAAUCUGAAGUUACUGAGGUCGAAAGUGAGUUCGAUCAUUUUGAUAUGGCUGACCCAAAGCCAGUAUGUUACUAUGUUAUGAACAAUGGCUGUGUGGAAGAACAAUUAGCUUAUUUCGAAAAGCCAGAUUUUCAGAUGAAAAGUCAUCUCAAACCUCUUUUCAUCAGGGCAAAAGUUGAGAAUGUUGGAAUCAACAAAGUGCUCAUUGAUGGAGGAGCGGCUGUCAACUUAAUGCCUCGAUCUAUGCUCUACAAGAUCGGGAAACAUGACACUGAUCUAUCUGCUCACAACAUUGUGCUUUCGAAUUAUGAGGGUAAAACUGGCUAUUCUUUGGGAGCCAUUCAAGUAGAUGUUGCUGUAGGCAGUAUAGUUCGACCAACUCUAUUCCUGGUGAUACAGUCCAAGGCUAAUUUUAACUUGCUAUUAGGAAGGGAAUGGAUCCAUGGAGUUGGGGCUGUGCCAUCUACCCUUCACCAGAAACUCAUUAUCUGGAGGGAGGAUGGGAUUGUUGAAAAUAUGGAGGCGGAUCAAAGCUUCUAUAAGUCUGAGGUCGAUAAUGUUACUGCACAAACCUUUGACAAAAAGUUGGCUAACAUAGCACCUUGUGGUGAUAAGGAGGCUAUUGUCGAAUCAAGUGACAAUGUUAUCCACUCUGUCAAACUCCAUCCUACCUAUGGGUUUAUAUGGGAGAGGGAGGAAAUUGAUGCUGUUCCCUCUGAAGAUGGAGUCAUUCCACCAACUGGGUGGAAUAUGUAUGAAGAUUAAUAUGACUGAGGCCACUGCAUUGGCCAGAAUUACGGCUUAUAUGGCCGAAAAUAGACUAAAUACGGCCUUUGAGGCUGAAUCUCAACAAAAUAUGGCAGUUGAAGCCAAGAUCGAAGAUCAUAAAAACAAAGAAACAAAGGAUCGAAGACUGGAUUGCAUUUAUGACGAUGAGCCGCUGGGUUUCGAGAAAAAUCCCGUAAGUGAGGUGCCAAAGAUGCAGGCUCAAGAUCCUUUGGAGGAAAUCGACAUUGGAGAUGGCUUGAUGAAAAGGCCAACAUAUAUCAGUGCCAAUAUCACCUCAAGUCUAAAAGAAAAGUUGGUGCUUCUUCUUAGAGAAUUUAAAGACUGUUUUGCUUGGGAUUACCACGAAAUGCCUGGGUUAAGCAGAGAAAUGGUCGAAAUGAAAUUACCAAUUAAGGAGGGAAAAAGACCAGUAAAACAACUACCAAGAAGAUUCGCACCAGAAAUCAUGUCCAAAAUUAAGGAAGAGAUCGAAAGGCUGCUGAGGUGUAAAUUCAUCAGAUCUGCCAGGUAUGUCGAAUGGCUAGCAAAUAUAGUCCCUGUCAUUAAAAAGAAUGGAACUCUUAGAGUAUGCAUAGAUUUUAGGGAUUUAAAUAAUGCUACACCUAAAGAUGAAUAUGCUAUGCCAGUAGCGGAAAUGUUGGUAGAUUCAGCAGCUGGCUUCGAAUUUUUAAGCAUGUUAGAUGGUUAUUCUGGGUAUAACCAAAUAUUUAUUGCUGAAAGUGAUGUGUCAAAAACAGCAUUUCGAUGUCCUGGUGCUUUAGGCACUUAUGAAUGGGUGGUUAUGCCCUUUGGGUUGAAAAAUGCUGGGGCCACUUAUCAAAGGGCCAUGAAUUCCAUGUUUCAUGAUUUUAUUGACACAUUUAUGCAAGUUUAUAUUGAUGAUAUAAUCAUCAAAUCCUCCUCAGAAGAUAGCCAUUUGGAUUACCUUAGGCAAUCUUUCGAACUAAUGAGGAAACAUGGAUUAAAAAUGAAUCCAUUAAAGUGUGCUUUUUGUGUGCGUGCAGGAGAUUUCCUUGGUUUUGUGGUGCAUAAAAAAGGCAUUGAGAUAAAUCAAAAUAAGACAAAGGCUAUUCUUGAGACGAAGCCUCCUUCGACCAAAAAACAGCUUCAAUCUUUGCUAGGAAAAAUCAACUUCUUGAGGCGAUUCAUUUCGAAUCUAAGUGGCAAAGCUCAAAUUUUUUCGCCAUUACUUCGACUCAAGAAAGAUGAACCAUUCAAAUGGAAUGAAGACCAUCAAAAGGCUUUCGAUGAAAUUAAAGAAUAUCUGAUCAAGCCUCCUGUGUUAAUGCCUCCUAGUCGAAACAAGACUAUGAAGUUGUAUAUUGCUGCGUCUGACAAGACCAUUGGUAGCAUGUUGGCUCAGGAAUAUGAUGAUGGCAUAGAACAUGCAAUUUAUUAUCUUAGUCGUGUACUAAAUGAUGCAGAAACUAGAUAUACUGCCAUAGAAAAACUUUGUCUUUGUUUGUAUUUCUCUUGUGCAAAACUUAAGCAAUAUAUAAAGCCUGUUGAUGUUUAUGUGUAUUCUCAUUAUGAUAUUAUUAAGCACAUGUUGUCAAAACCUAUUCUACACAGUAGAAUUGGAAAAUGGGCUUUAGCAUUAACAGAAUAUUCUUUAACGUACAAGCCUUUGAAAUCUGUUAAGGGUCAAAUUGUGGCAGAUUUUAUUGUAGAUCACUCAGUGGUCGAAAUGCCGCAAGACUAUGUCGAUACAGAGCCUUGGAUUUUGUAUUUCGAUGGUUCGAAACACAAACAUGGAACUGGAAUUGGAAUUUUAAUAAUAUCCCCCAAUAAAGUUCCAACUAAAUUCAAAUUUAAAAUCAAAGGACUUUGUUCUAAUAAUGAGGCUGAGUAUGAGGCUCUAAUUACAUGCCUUGAAAUUUUAAUUAGCCUGGGGGCAAGAAAUGUUAACAUAAGGGGUGAUUCAGAAUUAGUGUUGAGGCAAUUAACACAAGAAUACAAAUGUGUUAAUGAACAUUUAGCAAAAUAUUUUGUUAUAGCAAGUUCUCUUCUGAAUCAUUUCGAUUACAUUAACAUUGAGCAUAUACCUCGACAAGAAAACCAAGAAGCAAAUGAUCUAGCCCAAAUAGCUUCAGGGUACAAAAUGUCGAAGGAAAAGUUAACUCAGUUGAUCGAAAUAAAAGAUAAACUGGUGUUACCAGAGCCAUUAAGCACUAAAUUGCCAAUGCCAAAACUUGUGGGGGCAAGUACACCACAAAAUAAUGAAGAUGAAAGCAUGGAUGAUCUCCAGGGAAAAAUUCAAAUUUUGGCCAUUGACAAUAUGUUAGAUAAUGAUUGGAGAAAGUCCAUGGUUGAAUAUUUGGAAAAUCCAAUAGGUAAUGUGGCUCGAAAGAUCAAAUAUAGGGCUUUAAAUUACGUGAUUAUGGGAAAUGAUUUGUUUAAAAAGACUGCAGAAGGAGUGUUGCUGAAAUGUCUAAGCGAAUCAGAAGCAUACUUGGCAGUUUCCCAUGUUCACAGUGGGGCUUGUGGAUCACAUCAAGCAGGCCACAAAAUGAAAUGGCUUCUAUUUCGACAAGGUUUGUAUUGGCCUUCGAUGUUAAAAGACUGCAUAGAAUUUGCUAAAGGUUGUCAGGAAUGCCAAAAGCAUGCAGGGAUUCAGCAUGUACCUGCUAGUGAGUUACACUCCAUAAUCAAACCUUGGCCUUUCAGAGGAUGGGCUUUGGACCUAAUUGGUGAAAUCAAGCCUGCCUCUUCUAAGAACCAGCGUUAUAUUAUAGUUGGUAUCGAUUACUUUACAAAAUGGAUCGAAGCAGUCCCUUUGCCAAAUGUUGAUCAGGAAGCAGUAAUUAGUUUCAUUCAAAAUUAUAUUAUUUAUAGGUAUGGUAUUCCCGAAACAAUUACCACUGAUCAAGGUUCAGUUUUUACUGGACGAAAAAUGCAAGAAUUUGCCCAAAAAACUAGCUUUCGAUUAUUAACCUCAACACCAUAUUACGCGCAAGCAAAUGGUCAGGUCGAAGCAGCCAAUAAGAUUGUAAUUAACUUGAUUAAAAAACACAUUGCCCAAAAGCCAAGAAAUUGGAAUAAAACGUUAGAUCAAGUUCUAUGGGCAUGUAGAAAUUCUCCUAAGGAAUCAACUAAUACUACCCCAUUUCGACUGACUUAUGGGCAUGAUGCUGUACUUCCGGUCGAAAUACAUUUGCAAUCAGCCAGGGUACAAAAACAAAUGGAUAUUCCAAUCGACCAUUAUUGGAAAAUGAUGUCAGAUGAGUUGAUUGAUUUAGAUGAGGAGAGAUUAAGAGCAUUAGAAGUUUUGACUAAACAAAAAGAAAGAGUUGCUAAAGCUUAUAAUAAGAAAGUAAAGUCAAAAACUUUUAAUAUUGGAGAUUUAGUUUGGAAGGUUAUCCUGCCCAUAGAUAGUAAGGAUCGAGUUUUGGGCAAAUGGUCCCCAAAUUGGGAAGGACCGUUUAAAAUAAUUCAGAUCUAUUCGAAUGGUGCUUAUAAGUUAGAGGAGCUAACCCCUCAGAAACGUACUUUGAGCAUAAAUGGUAAGUAUUUGAAAAAAUAUAAACCAACACUGCUCGAAGUUAAAAUAAGCAUAGAAUAAGAGAAAUACGGAAUCGNNNNNNNNNNNNNNNNNNNNNNNNNNNNNNNNNNNNNNNNNNNNNNNNNNNNNNNNNNNNNNNNNNNNNNNNNNNNNNNNNNNNNNNNNNNNNNNNNNNNNNNNNNNNNNNNNNNNNNNNNNNNNNNNNNNNNNNNNNNNNNNNNNNNNNNNNNNNNNNNNNNNNNNNNNNNNNNNNNNNNNNNNNNNNNNNNNNNNNNNNNNNNNNNNNNNNNNNNAUAAGCAUAGAAUAAGAGAAAUACGGGAAACAUAAAAAUGGCGAUAACAGUAAAUUGCCACGAAAGGGCAUGUGUCAAUAUUACAUCGAAAAGUAGAAUCAAAAUACAAAAUUCGAAAUAAAGAAAUUAUAAAUUCUACUAAUGCAUGACCAAGUCCUCAUAUAGUUUCUUCAAGGUGGCCAUCUCUUUAGUUAAGACCUGGUCAGUACUCUCCAUAACUCUCGCCUCAUCUGCUACAGCUUGAGAUGCGCUAAAGGCCUUCAGGCCUUCCCUCCCUUUUUCAGCAACCAGUUUCUGAAUCGAGUUAGCGGCCUUCUCCUGGAGUUCCUUGCGUUUGGCCUGCUCUGUUACAAUUUUCUGCCUUAGAUCAUCGACCUGAGACAGCAAAUUCGUAAUAGUUGCCUCCCAAGAGGAAAUGUUAUCAUCACAGGCUUUGAUCUCAGAAGAUCCUUCUUUCGCCUCUUUGGUGAGACGUUCGACUUCAUGUUGAGCAGCUCGGGCUUUCUCGAGUAGAAGGAUAUGUGCCUGUUUCUGGGCAUCCAGUCUGGCGUCAUUUUCGCGUUUUUUCUGCACAGUACUUGCAAAUUGAUCGAUAAUGGACUCGAUUUGGAUAACUUUGCCUAGAAUCUCAUCAGAGGUAAGGGGGUUGUGCAAUUUCUUCAAAAAAUUCAGGUGCCCAAAAGCAGCAGAGGGGUUCUCUUCAAUGGAUUUAAGUACGUCUGCCCGUGCGUAUUCCAUUGAUAACUUCAAGAGCAGGCAAUCUUGGCGUACUGAGGAGUUUAUGUCGGCAUCAGAUGAGGACGAAGCACCAGGAAUCUUUUCACUUGAAGUAUUGGCUUGACUUGUGUUCAUCAGGAGUCGAAGGGCUGCAGCAGGGUCUUCGUCUUGCAUUUGAAUGAAUGUAUCUUCUGCGAUCCCUAUGCUAGCGGAAAGCUUAGAUGUCGAAGACGCCGGGUAAAUGUCCGAACCUCCAGCUUCAGCCUCUUGUAUGGCCUCUUCAUCGGAAAAGUUUUCUUCAGAUGAACUUUUCUGACUCGAUCCAUGAGGACUGCUGGAUCCAAUACCUUGACCUUCACCCUGUUCCUCAACAUUCACUGCAUCCGUCUCAGGAGCGGGAGAUGUUCGAGCACAUGAGGGUAUUUCUUCUACAGAAACAUUUUGUUGUACCUGAUUCGAAUUGUCAUGGAAAAGGUUAACAAAUAGUUUCGUAUAAGCUAUGAUUAAAAUCACAUUAAGAAUGAUACCUCGAUGGUAGGUUGUUCUUGUGGUAAGUUCGGUUGCUCGACAGGGUUGCCCAUCUCAGCAAUAGAGGGAGUAGCCUCUGCUUCAGUGCCGUCAACAUCAGUCGAAGGUGGUUGGACGUCAACAGGUUGAUUGUCACCUUGUUCUUUUGAAGACUUGGUCUUUUUCUUUUUCUUCCUGGCUGGCUCGCCACCCUCGACAGUCACAGAAGGUUCGGGCUCGACUUGCUUCACUUUCUUUUUCUUCUUAGGCAUUUGAGCCUGAGAAUUGCCUGUCCCUGUUUGUUCAGCGGACUUGGUCGAAGUCGAAGGUAACUUUCUUUUUCUUAUGAGUGGUCUUUCCUCUUCUUCCUGCAUUACGAGGGUAAAGAAUUGUCAGAAUAUAGACUUGAAAGAGAGUUAUAAUAUUGACAUUAGAAAUAAAACUUGCAUCUUUCUCUUCGUCUAAUUCGACGACCGCAUGCUUCGAGCGUUUUAAGGUCGUGGUAGUCUCAGUGCUAUCAUCUUUCUUUUGACUCUGAAAAAAUAAAGAAAUAUGAGGCAAAGACGUUAAGAGUAAAAGAUAAGUUCAGAAGAGUUACCUUCUCUUCUUGUUUCCUUUCUUGGAUCUUUACCCCAGUGGGUUUCUUGGGUCUCACAUCAGCUCGAGGCGUUUCGGUGCUUUUCUUUGUCAUGAUUGUUUUGCCUAAAAGUAAGAAUAUUAGAAAAGGCAAAAAUACAUAUCAAUUUAGAAAGUCAAAAGUAAUUUAAUACCUCGAGCUUGAAGGUUUGAGCGAAUAUUCUCGACCGUUGGUUGUGUAAAACCACUCUCAAGUCUGGAGAUCAUAAUAGUAGUGUCUCCAAUUGAACGGGUCGAAUAAUAUUUCUCCCACCAGGUAACAAACCCCAUGGUGCAGAAGUGGGAAUGGUUGAACUCAAAAGGAUGCAGGUUAUAGUUUUCAUCAAGAGAAAUCUUCAAAAACUUCUUGAAAGUCUUUUCCGAAAGAUUGGCCCCUCUUAUGACGUCUCGAGGAUCUUCGAACAAGCUUUUAGGGCGGAUUUGCGAGAGGCCAAAUUGUCUUGAAACCAAAUUAGGCUGGUAUCCAACCAGGCCUAAAUAGUUCGAUUGAACACCUGUACGACAAGACAGGAUCUGUGGAUUCAAGUAAAAGGACCAUAUUUCGUUCACUUCUUCUUCAUUGUCCGGAUCGACAGCAGGGAAAUAGUCAGUGAACCAGGCUGGGCCAACCUCUCGACUAAUGAAUGGAGCAUGUUGGGGAAGAAACUUGUCAAAGCUCAGGAAAAUCCUCAUAUACUUUAGGAACAGCUUUUGUGAGCUUUGAUUUAAGGACUUGGGUGUUAGUCGAAGUGCUCUCUGGCCUUCGAUCGAGCGAUUGGCAACUUCUUCAGCAUAAUCUUGUGGGAUUAUUAAUCCCAUUUCUUGUUCGAAAGUGGCAUUAAGCCACAACUGGAGAAGCCACAUAGGCCCAGAUACUAAGAAGGAAGACCCAUCCUUCGAUUUCUUCAGAUCAUCGCAUGCCUCACCAAGCGAUUCGUAUAGCACUGCUAACAAGAGGCGUCCAAAUCCAAAGUUUUGUCCUUCAUGAAUUUGUAAUGCCAUCGGAAUAAAUCUUUUGGCUACUUGCAAGGAUUUCGUGCAAAAAACAUAGUGAGAUAGCCACAGGGUUAGGAAGGCUACGUGCUCUUCAUCAGAAACUUCCUCUUCGACGGGUCCUUUGUGUUCAGCUAUAUAUUUGGAAAAGGUGUUUUCCUUAUAUACUAGCUUGAUAUUGUCACUAGAAUUGGUGGGGUCAUAAGUUUCUCCGCUAGGCCUAAGGCCUGUGAGGGCGGCUACAUCUAAGAGAGUAGGGGUCAUCAUACCACAUUUAAAUUGAAAGGUGUUGGUAGAAGACUCGAAAAAGUGCAUAGCUGCUAUCAACAUUUCUGGUCGAUAUUCAGGACCAGAUCGAGAGAAUUGUAUCAAAUCAAAGAUGCCAUAUGUCUUCCAGAAAUCCUCAUACGCUUGUUCAACUCGAUCAAGCCAAGGUAGGUAAUCCCUAUAGGCUAUUGACGGGGCGGAUCGAAAGAGUUUGUGGGGUUUGCUUAAACAAUUAAAGUUGUAAGGCUCACUAUAAAAAAUCCUAGGUUCGCAAGUUGGGUAGCAGGGAAAUACCUUGUUCAUUGUACUCGAAAGUGAUUCUUGGUCUGGCAGGGGUCCACCGAAAGCGUAAACUGUUCUUUCCACUGCGAAAGGGAUCAUCACCUCCGAUUCCCAGGUUUCUGUGUGUUCGGCAUCACCAUGUGGUUCUGGAACCACCUUUUCUCCGUCAUUCCUGAUUGUGAAAUGGUGCCAUUUCCCAGCAAACGGAACUGCUUGUCCUUGCGACAUUGUAAGAAAUCUGAAAAGGGAUGAUUUUCUCGCGAAGGGUUUGGUAGUUGUUGGAAUCAGUGAGUAAGAGCUUGGGUUCACGAAGAACAGUGGCGAAGUUCGGAAAUGCGGUGAGGUUGAUGAUGAAAGGAAUAACGAGUAUCUGGAAAUAGGAAAGUUUCGCCGGAAAUAAUGGAAGCAAAGAAGAAGAAAAGGUUUUGGAAGCAAAGAAGAAGAAAGGUUUUGGAAGAAGCUGAAGGGGUUUUGUCUGGAGUUCUGGCGCUAUUUAUGGAGUUUCACUUUAAAAAAGGGAAAAAAACAAUAUAAUAAGAAUCAAGGGUCAAAAAUCAAUCACAUCAGAUUUCCCUUUUGACUCCCCAGCGUGACACGUGUCCCACUCUGCCUAGAAAGGUGGAAUUAAUGAUGGGUAGUGGGAAAUCGAGGCGACGGUUACACAGUGAACGUGCGAUCAUGACGCCGUUUCAGGAAGACUGGUAGAAGAAGAGAAAAAAUGUCAACUUCUCAUCUUCCUUCGAUCUCGAAUCGAAGCACACAUUUUUUGGGGGCAAUUUGUUAGCCCAUAUUUUUGAUGAGCUAAAAUAUGCUCUAAAUACGCAUUAGAUGUCGUCUUGAAUUUCGAAGCGUAUUAAAGAGCAAGAGUCUGGUCAGAUCCUGUUCGAAUCGAAAAGAAAGAAGAGGUGAUUGAAAGGGAUUCACGGGAUCAAAGAAGUAUUUAUAAAGUAUAAGGCUAAGACAAGAAAGAGGGCUUCGAACCAUUGGGCGAUUCGAACUGGUGUAUGGUCGAGUCGAAGUCGAGGCAGCAAGAGUUCUGGACUUAGCGCAAUUUCUGACAAAACUUCACAAAAUCAGUUCGAUUUCGAGUAAUGUGGAUAACCGUUCUAAGGAGCAGUUAUAUGCAUGCAAGGUAUACGUAGCAGGACACUUGGCAUUAGGAUAGUGUUCGACCGUUAGGGCAGUUUAUUUUCGAAUGUCUAUAUAUAGCAGUUUUUUAGUCAGAUUUCAGGGUCGCAAAUCAUUACUACAAGUCCUUAUAUACUCAAAGUACCCAGCGCAGAGAGAAACGAGUACGCAAGGAAAAUGUAUGAUUGUGAACCAUUUUAAGUUUCUGUAAACUUUACAUUUCGAAUGCAAUGCAAUUUAUGCUUCACUUUAUAAUUUCUGUCUUUUAAAUGGUUCAUUCGAUCGAAUGAAUUCGUUGAGCCUUUAAUUCUGCAAUUUAUCUUUCCCUUGUCAAUUUACUUCCAGCAUUUCGAUUUUUGUCAAACAAUUUUGCUUUCUGCAAAUCUCAAACCAGUGAAUGUUUGUUGCAAUGAUGAACAUUAAAGGCUUUACAUCUAAAGCAAACACACAAUUGGCAUGCUCCUGAGAUUCACUAGUUGAUCUCGCAAGCAAUUAACUUAGACUAGCGGUUGUUUACCAAAUUCCAGUGUAAACAGAUAGCAAUGACUACAAAUUGAUCAAUCUGCCAAUACAAUGAUAAAACAUCGGUUUAUUCUAAGCAACACUAAAAAGUGAUACUACAUGAGCAAAAAGAUUGAAAUUAUUGACCAUGCAGUAUGAAUGUACAGCAUUAUUUAUUUAAUUUUUCUAAUACAAUUUUAUUUUAUAUUAAUACAAAAACUCUCACAAAACAACUUCUUAACUACUAGUUAAUCACUACUUUUAUACAUAAAAAAACUAGUUAAUUACUACUGCUACAUAGCAGAAAUUCCUUAAUUUCACGUGGUUUGCCUCAGUUGUUUGCCGCAGGUUUCAGUAUAUCCUUAGGAAUCGUCGAUUGUCAAAUCGUUGUUAAAUAACGGCGCUAUAUAUAAUUUUAGUAUUUUGACGUUUUUAAAUGAAUUUCUUAUUUAUGAUUAUAUAUUUACAAUUUUUAAUUUCACUUAAAAAAAGAGUUUUUUUUUCGAUUUAGAGAGAAAAAAAUAGAGUUUUUAGUUAACACACUGUUACUAUAUAGUGCGGAGACAAUUACCCCACAAGCUUUUCAUUAACUUGUCAUAAUAUAAUAUAUGUGAAUACAAACUGUCCCUAUAAUUUAAAAUAAAAUAAAUAAAAAGUCAAUAAAUUUAUAAGUAUUGUCUCCACACAUAUAUAUUAUCCUAUAAUUUACAAUUUUUAUAUUUAUUAUUGAUGAUAUUCUUAAUUAACCAAGUAAAAAUAUUUUUUUUAUAAUUUUUAAGAUAAUUAUUAUAAAAAUUAAUAAAUUUAUUACAAAUAACAUUUUUAUAUGUGUAAGUGCAUGUAUAUUAUUUAUUGAAAUAUUUUAUUUGAAUUUUUCAUUAAAAAUACUAAAUUUAUUAACAUGAUAUGUGCCUCGUUAGAGCAGUGAUUCAAUUUAAUCUGAUAGUGAGAACAGAAUUGACAGCAGAUUCCCUUUACUGUGUGAUGAAAGAGUUGUACGAAAUCUUUAUGACAUCAACCCCCAACAUGAGUGGCCCAGUGGACAAGCCCAUCAAUCUAACAUGUCGGUUGAUAGCACUUGCAUAAACUUUUGUUCCUUGCAUCAUCUCAUGUGUCCCCAUUCUCCAUUCUCUGCUUCCACUAACGAUUAAACCUCAUUGAUUAGGGUUCAAUGAUUUUUCAAUGAAUAAAAUUAAUUUUAAAUUCUUGAUUCUAACAGCUCACGUAUUGUCUGUUGAAUCAAAUGGAUUAAACUCUUGAUAUCAUAAAGAAAAUUAAAAAUUGAUUCUUUGUGUAAAAUAAAGAAAUCUAAUUAAUUAUGCUUGUUAUGUUACUAUAUCAUUUUUCGGGUGUGGAGUAACAUCAAAAUCAAAGUAACAAAGUUACUUGCAUGUUAUUCUAACUGUUAUGAAUCAACCAUCAGACAAAUCAAAUCAUGAGGAGGCAAGCAUUAACAGAAUAGGAGCAGGAUUGCUGAGUUGGCAUUGCGGGAUUGGGCCCUUGGAUGAUCCUGUCGGGAAUAUGCUUUUUCUGUUAGGAUAAUUGUUGCAAUUAUGUUAUUGCUAGCUUUCUCUAGAACCUGCAAAAAAGGAACGAAUAAUUAGUAAAUGAAGCUUAUAAAUUGCCAACCUGUAAUGAAUUUGCAAGCAGAAAUCAAAGUUUCCUUUCCUUAUCUUAUCCCAUUCUUUGGAGGAAUUCUGGGCCCCGAACUCCAGAAACACCAGCACUCAUAACACUAACCAUAAUUCCAGCUAAGUCGAAUAUGGUUUCAUGUUUUGUAAAACAAUUUAGAUCCCCUUUAUCAAAGUGUAUCUGUCUUUUACACAAGUUUUUUCACUUUAUUUUAUUUCCCUCAGAAUCAAUUGUUGUGUUAUUCGUACUAUUAAAUUAGUCCGAUAACUACCAUGUCGAUCAUUAUUAGUUUUAUUUCCACCAUUGUUCGGAGUAAGUAUAUACUAUUACUUUAUGAUUAAACGUGUUAUUUAAAUUGCAAAUAAAAACUCUUUAUAAUGAAGUACAAUUGUUUAUAACUACAACAAUUAUAUUGAGUCAAUUUAACACUCAUCAAAGGCAGAAAAGCUUUACUUUAAGAUUAGACAGAGGCUCAUACCAAUCAUGGCGGUGGUUAUAAUUACACACAUCAGCAACUGUAAAAGAUCUUGCACAGCCACAGAAAAAAAAAUGCUUGAUGCACAUCUGAUAAACUCACUCAAGGUCUAUGUAUUGAUAGUGUAAAAGAGAGACUGAAUAUUAAAUGAUAAAAAUAUAAAAUAAUUGUUUUGUAUUGGCAGAGUACACAUAUAUAUGCCCAAAUGUAGAUUCAAAGUUCAAACAUUUUGGGCCUAGAUCAUCCCUCCUAGUCAUAGCCAUCUGAAUUGGAUCGACCCCACCCCAAGGUUUGUGUUGCAUCACUUGCAUGCAUUCACCCACCACAGUUGUUGUUAUAGUUUUCUCGUGAUUUUUGUAUUGGAAAAUACUAUGGACAAAUAUAAUUGAUACAGUCAUAAUUAAUUAUUGUCAUGUUGCAAUUACAAAGACUCCUCAAAGAAUAUGUUUAGUAAAUCAUGAUCAAGUAGAAAUUGCAAUGGCAAACUGUUUUUUAAAAUCUUAUUAGUCAGUUGUAUAAACCCAAAUUUAGAUAUAUUCAGGUAUGUAAUAUUUUCCAUUUUAGUGCUCUGUUUGGAAAUUUGCGUGUCGAAAUGUUUUUUUUAUACGUACCUACACAACACUCUUUAGCCAAAUACCACUGUUCAUGGAGGAAUCUGUCCUGAAAGGAGUAUAGAACCAGAAACAAUAUGCGUGGUGGUAUCUAUCAUUCUGAAGAAGAGAAAAAGUGGGAUACGUACAAUAAUAGGACUGUGACACUACUAGAAAAAUGUAUGCACCUUUCAUGUCCCUAAAUUUAUGAACAAAAGAUUCAGGUAUCGUUUAUUGAAUUUGUUUUAUAUGGAGUGUAAAGUCAUCAUAUCCAAUACUAAUAAGUGUAUGUUUAUAUAAUUCUUUUUAAAAUAAUUACUCUUCUUUAUUUACAUCUAAUAAAAAUGUUAUCACAUUAAUUUUUAAAUUAAGCUAAAUGAAGCAUGUUUCAUAAGAAAUUAACUUUUACUGUAAUUGUUACAUUUUUUAGUGACAAAGGGAGAUGGGUGAAGACGGUGAAGGAAAAAAAAUGAAGAUAAUGUCUAUGUUGUUCAAAUAACAGUAUUAAUUGUAUUAAAAUAGUUAAUAUUAAAAAAUAAAUUAGUAAAUAUAACAACAAAUUGUUGUGUUGGUGCUAUUUAUUGUGCAUCAAAAUAUAUAAAAAUAAUAAUUAACUUGUAAUUUGUAUAGUUGGUAUGGGUUGUUUUAUCUAUCCUGGAUUUUGUUGUAUCACACAUAUAAUCAUUUAUAUAUAUAUGGGCUACUAUUGUCACUACCAAAAAUCCUAUUGAGACUACCAAAGCAUUUGAAAUUACUUGGUUAUCCUUAGUUCCAUUUCCCCACACCUCCUAUCCUUCCCCUCUUUACGUUCAGCUACUCUCCCUCUUUACAUCCAAAAACAGAAUUUAAAUAAGGCUCUCAAAUUUGCAAAAAAAAAAAAAAAAAAAGAAGAUAGCAAUGACUACAAAUUGAUCAACCUGCCAAUAAUAAAACUUCGGAGUAUUCUAAGCAACACUAAACAGUGAUACUACCUAAGCGAAAAGAUUGAAGUUUGAACCACACAUGAUCAAGGAAAUGAAAAUAGGCAUACCGCCAUGAUCUACAAAUCAGCAAAGGAGCAAUCACUAUCCAGAAUCCCACAAUAAAUCCAAUUGUCAUACUGACAAAAAACCAAUUUACUCCAUGCCCAUCACUUCCUUCAUAACUAUGGGUUUUCCCAUUGGAGCUGCAGUUUAUGGGCAGUGGUGGACCACAUAGAUUGUUGCCGAUGAAGCUGGAGGCAUCAAAGGUUUGCAAUUGAGUUCCUGUUGGAAUAUUUCCCUUCAAAUGAUUGUAAGACAAGUCUAGCAUGCUCAGAAAGCUCAAAUUUGCAAUGCUUGGAGGGAUUUCACCAGAAAGUUGAUUCCUCGAAAAAUCAAUGGACUGUAAUAAUCUCAUAUUACCUAUACCUUGUGGAAUAUGACCAAUCAAUUGGUUGUGGGACAAGUUUAAAAAAUUCAAUCCAUUUAGAUAUGUGAUUUCUCUUGGUAUUUCCCCUAAUAACUUGUUACUUGACAGAUCAAUGCUUGUUACCAAACCCAGAAAGUUUCUGUACUCAUCUCCUCUUCCUUUCAGCCAUAGUAGAGCACUAACUAUACUUUGCAUCGAAGAGUAAGGCCUACUAGAUUGUGCUUGAGAAUAGAUACGAGGAUCUGUACUUUGGUUCAUUAGUGUCAUGGCACUCAAGUUACUGAAACAGCUCCGUAUAUUGCCAGACAGAUUGUUUUGUGCAGGUCUAAAACCUGAAGAUGACUCAUCUGACAUAUUUCACUUGGAAUGUGGCCGCCAAAUCUGUUUGAUCGAAGGCGGAGGAUUUUCACAUUUAAGAGCUUUUCUCCAACCCAUGUUGGAAUAGUUCCUGAAAGAUUAUUUUCCCCAAGGUCCAAGGAUAUCAAUUGGUUAUUCUUCUUCACACUGGUUGGAAAUAUCCCUGAGAGUGUGUUGUUACGAAUUUGUAAAGACUGCAGGUCUGCCAAGGAACCCAUGGAUUGGGGUAAGUUCCCAACAAAAUGGUUGCUUUGUAAAUUUACAUCCACCAGAAGUGUCCAAUUCAUCCAGCAAUCAGGUAUCUCUCCUGACAAAUUAUUUGAUGCAAGAUUCAGAAAUUCUAAUCCCAUUGGCUCGUCCUGAUCGUUACAUAAAAAGUCAUUCAUGGAUUCAGAGAAUGAAUUGCUUGAAAGAUCUAACUGAAACACAUCACUUGAAAGAUAGGGUAAUUUACCACACAAGUGAUUUGAGCUUAGAUCAAUAGUUGGGAUAGAUAUUGGAUUCUUUAAUGUAGUCCCAAUCUCACCAUGGAUAUGAUUACGAGAGAGGUUUAAAUACCAAACCUGAGAAAGUGCUUCCCACAUCUGUGUGGGAAUAGAAUCGAAAAUCCCCGUGUUAGAUAGUCCAACAUAUUCAAGUUGGUUUUGUGACUGAAUCCACAAUGGAAAGCUGGGACCUAACUGCCAUGAUGUCACUUCCAAAUGGGUAAGUUGAAAAUUAGGAAUCCAAUUGGGACCCACUGUUAAAGUGAAAUUGUUUCCUGAUGCAUGAAUCUCCUUCAAGCUUGUAAGAUUUGCAAGAUCAUCUUCCUUGACAACUCCGUGAAAAAGAUUGCCGUCAAUAUGAAGAGAGAACAAUUUAGAGAGUGAUCGAAGACUUUCAAAUGGAUUUCCACUGAAUUUAUUCAUAGAGAGAUCGAGAUAUCUUAAUGAUGAAAGUUUUCCAAAUGAUCUAGGAAGAGCACCACCAAUUGAGUUGUUGAAAAAAUCUAGCCACUCAAUAUUUUUAAAUGCCCCAAUAUGAUCUGUCAGAUUGCCUGAAAGUCGUGAACUCUGAACUGCAAGUCUUGUGAGUCCAUGGGAAAUACAAGGAGCAAGAAUUUCUAAAAGUUCAUUAACCUGUUGGUUGAGUUUGAGAUAUGAUAAAUCUAUCACCCUUAAGUUGCAGAGAUUACCCAAAGAAGUUGGAAUGUUUCCUUCAAGUUGACUAUAUGACAAAUGAAGUUCAACAAGAGAAGUCAAAUUACCCAAAUAAGUUGGAAUGUUUCCUUCAAGUUGAUUACCUGAUAAAUCAAGUUCAACAAGAGAAGUCAAAUUUCCCAAAGAAGUUGGAAUGGUUCCUUCAAGUUGAUUGUUUGAUAAUUGAAGUUUAACAAGAGAAGUCAAAUUUCCCAAAGAAGUUGGAAUGGUUCCUUCAAGUUGAUUAGCUGAUAAAUCAAGUUCAACAAGAGAAGUCAAAUUUCCCAAAGAAGUUGGAAUGGUUCCUUCAAGUUGAUUACGUGAUAAAUCAAGUCCAACAAGAGAAGUCAAAUUUCCCAAAGAAGUUGGAAUGGUUCCUUCAAGUUGAUUAUGUGACAAAUGAAGUUCGACAAGAGAAGUCAAAUUUCCCAGGGCAUCAGAAAUAGUCCCAUGCAAGUUGUUGUAACUUAGGUCCAGAUACUUGAGACGAUGAAGACCGUAUAAGCAAUCAGGUAUAGAAGAUGAGAAUGAAUUUUGAGACAAGUCAAGAUUUUGAAGAAGUGUGAGGUUUCGAAUACCACCAGGAAUCGGACCUUGGAUUUCAUUACCCAAAAAUUGAAGAGAAACAAGUUUCUUCAAUUUGAAUAUCCACUUGGGGACAAAAGAAAUGGCAGGGGAAUAACUAGUAUGGGAAAGAUCGAGAGUUUGCAGAGAUGAGAAGUUGAGCAAGGAUGGUUCAUUGUAGUGAGGGAGUUUGCAUCCUGACAAAUAUAGGUGGGUCAAAGAAGGAAGAGAUUGGAGAGUGUGUAGCCAAUGAAAUGCUUUGGAUAGGUUUGCAUAACUCAAAUCAAGAUAUUCAAGCUUCCACAUACUUGAUACCCAUUCUACAUUUUCAGCUAACAGAUCAUAAUAACUACCUCCGAGGUCAAGAUAGACCAAAUUGGAGAGAUUCCCAAUCUGAGAUGGAAUCUUCCCCAUGAAUGGAGUAUAAGAGAGGUCAAGGUGAGUCAAGGAGGUCAUUGCACAAAGGAAAGAAGGAAUUGCCAUACCUUCAAAAUAAUUGUCGCUCAAGUCAAGAUAUCGAAGCUUAGAGAGAUUCCCAAUCUGAGGAGGAAUCUUCCCCCAGAAUCCAGUAUGAGAGAGGUUGAGGUGAGUCAAGGAAGUCAUUGUCCCAAGGAAAGAAGGAAUUGACAUACCUUCUCCAAGGAAUUCAUUGCCGCUCAAGUCCAAGUAAUUCAAAUGCUUUAAAUCAGCCAAACAAGGACUUAUCUCUCCACCAAAGCUCCAUCUCCUAUAAACUUCCUCAUCGAAGUGAGAGUAGCCAUCAUAGUAAUGAUAGAAAACAGAAUCUGAGGUGUGGAGGUGAAGCUGAAGAACAUGGAAAGUAAGGUUGUGGCAGAGGACUCCAUACCAGUGGCAACAGUUGGUAUUAUUAUGAUUCCAAGACCAAAGCCUAUUUGAAGGAUCAUUCAGAUUAUUCUUAAACUUCAUAAGUGUCUCACGCUCACUUGGGAUGCACACACUCUCUCUGCAUGGUAAGCUGAACAACCAAAGCUGGACAAAGACAAGAAUAUAAAAAAUGGAGGAGGAAUUCAUGAUCACACAAGAAUAUAUAGAAAACAAGUGUAGUUGUUGGUUCUGCAUAUAAAUCAUCAAACUUCUAUUAUUUAUACUGCUGCCCUGCCUGUUUUUUUCUUCACUUUCAUUAUUUUUUUUUACCUUUUUUAUUGUUGUGCCAAAUACUAAAAUAUUCUUCCAUUCUUUUUUUAUGCUGGCCUCUUUAAAUUAUCGAUUUAAUUAUCUAAUUCUCCCGAAUUAAUUCUUAGAAUACGAAUUUUUUUUAUUUACUGUAUCUAUCUCCCUUUUUAAAAUUCCUAUAUACACUAAAUUCAUAAAAAAAUCAAAAUUAAUAACAAAGAAAUAUGAUUUAUUCUUGUACUAAAUACUAACAUAAGAAACAUUCUUUUAGGUACAGUUUUUUUUACAAAAAUAAAUAAGAAUUAUUUUAUUUUAAUUUACUCUAUAAUACUGCUUAAAUGAAAAUUUGGUGUCAUUAAACUUCAAAUUUUAACUAUUAUUUAAUCAAUCCUUCCGUUAAACUUUUGUUGCGUACAAAAGUCCAACAUUUUUUUAAGAAAAAAUCAAGUCUUUUAUUUCAUCAAAUUUAAUAUUAAAUUAUCAAAUUUUCAAUAUUCAAAACUAAAAAUAAUGUAAAAGAAAAUUGUCUUCUAAAUCAUAGCUUACACCAUCAAGUCAAUCUCAAGGUUUUCCAUUUUUUCAUCUUGAACCUUUGGACACUUCACAAAGUCCAGCCAUGAUGUUAAGGUUUGACUUCUUCAACUUGAACCAUAGGUCACUGCACUAAUUACCUUCAUAUCAAGUUCCCUGUCAUUGACAACAAAUGUUGCGAGUUAAGUCAAGCAAGGAAAAAAAAAUAUUAUUGAUGAAUAAAUCAAUUAUAGGAAAAGAGUUUACUUUAAAGACUAUUUUGGUUAAAAAAAUCUAUAAAAAAAAUUAUUUCAUUCCAAGCUAGCUAUUUAAUUUUGAUCAAUUUUUCAAUUCACAAAAUAAUAUUCUUCUUAUAUGUGAAAACCACUAAUUAAUCUUCAUUGUCAUUAAUGAUUGUUGUGUUGUCUAUUUCUAAUUAUUUUUUUAAUCAUAAUAUUAUUUUCUUUUUAUUAAAAAUUAAUUAGUGAGAUACAAAGAAGUUUAACUUGAUCUAUCAUAAUUAUUGAGAUCAUAGUUUUUCCUUUUAUAAGUCUUGGUCCAAAUUUCUCCAUGUAUUGUAGACCAUAUUUAACUUAAAAAGUAAAUUAGAAGAUCUACAAAGAAGUGUGACAUGUUUUUUAAAUUAUAAAAUUAUGGUCCUAGCUAUUUAUUGUUAGACCACAAGUUUUCAUAUAUUAAAGUUUUUGUCUAAAUUUCAUUUAUGGUGAUAGUUUAAGAAUAGUGAUAGAAGACAAAAAUAAAUAUUCAAUUUAUUGAAAUAUCUAACUCAAUUAAUUGAUGAAUACAUCAAUUAUAGGAAAAUGGUGUACUUUAAAGACUAUUUCUAUUAAAAAAUCUAUAAAAAAAUUAUUUCCUUCCAAUCUAAUUAUUUAAUUUUAAUCAAUUUUUCAGUUCACAAAAUAAUAUUCUCUUAUAUAGGAAAAAAAGACUAGAUUUAAUUAUCAUCAAUUGGAAAAGUAAUUGUGUCAUGUAUUUAUAAUUGUAUUCUAACUUGAAUAUUAUUUUAUUUAUCAUAUAAAAAUUAAUUAGUUAUAUAAAAGAAGUAAAAAGAAUAUUAACUUUUUUUCUCAAAAAAAAAAUCAGUAUCAUAUUUUAUAUUUUUUAAAAGUUAUCAACUUAAAUAAGAGGAGAAACAUAAUUUUAAUUUCCAUUUUACUUUUUAAAUAAUUGCAAGUGCCAAAUUUAAGUAAUUAUGAGAAUACUCACGUUCAAUAUAAUAUUCUAAAAAAAAAUCCAUACGAUAACUUAAACAAUCUAUAAAGAAAUAUAAUUUAUUCUUGUGCCAAAUACUAAAACAAGAAACAUUUUUUAUUUUAGUUUACCGUAUAGAAUUGCUUAAAUCAAUGAAAUUUUUAUUUUAAGAAAAUAUUAAUGAUUUUUUUAAAACUUUAAGUAGUUUACAUCAAAGAUAAUUAAAUUUGACUUAAUUAGUCUUCAAAUUUUAACUAUUAUUCAUAUCAAUCCUUUCGUUAAACCUGUACGUGUUAAGUAAACAACAAAAAGUCUUGUCUUAUAAAAUUCAAACAUUCUAUGACAUGUGGUUUGAACCCAUAAUGACAUGUGGUUUGAACCCAUAAUUAAUUUUAAACUAUCAAAUUUUAAUUAUUCAAAAUAAAAGAAAUGAAAACAAAAUUGUCUCAAAUCCAUAUCAAGGUCCCCACUUUUCCAACUUGAACCAUAGACUACUCCAUCAAAUCUAUGUCAAGGUCCUCCAUUUUAAGGUCCCCACUUUUCCAACUUGAACCAUAGACUACUUCAACCUUAGGACACUCCACAAAGUCCACCCAUAUUAAGGUCUCUGCCUUCUUCAACUUCUGCAACGCAUAUAUAGAAAACAACUUAAUUGUAUAAGUGCUUCUUGCUUCUACAUAUAAAUCAUAAAACUUCUAUUAUUUAUACUGCUGCAAGUGUCUUUCUUGACUUUUUUCUUUUUUUUUAUGAUGUUUCCUUUUUUUAAUUAUUGACUUUAUUAUCCAAUUCUCCCGAGUUAAUUCUUAGAAUAGGAAAUAAUUUUGAAUUUACUUUAUCUAUCUCCCUUUUUAAAAUUCCUAUAUACACAAAAUUUUAUAUUGAAUUUAACUAUUAUUUAAUAUAUCCUUUCGUUAAACUUUUGUUAAUUAAACAAUAAAAGUCCAACAUUUUAUUAAAAAAAUUCAAGUCUUCUAUUUCAUGGACUCCAUCAAGUCUUUUAUUAAAAGUCCAACUUUUGUUAAUUCAAGUCUUUUACAAAAUUUUGUUAAUCCAACUUUUGUUAAUUAUUACAAAAUUUGGUAUUGAAUUUAACUAUUAUUUAAUUCAAGCCUUUUAUUAAAAGUUCAACUUUUGUUAAUUUAAAUAUUAUUUUGUUAAUUAAACCAUAGCCGACUCCAUCAAGUCUAUCUCAAGGUCCUGUAUUUUUUCAUCUUGAACCUUUGGACACUCCACAAAGUCCAGCCAUGUUAUGGUCUCUGGCUUCAACUUGAACCAUAGCCUGGGCCACAAACAAUAUAUUAAUGAUAAAUACAUCAAUUAUAGGAAAAGGGUCUAAUUUAAAGACUAUUUCAGUUAAAAAAUCUAUAUAAAAAAAGAUUAUUUCGUUCAUAUCUUGCUAUUUAAUUUUGAUCAAUUUUUUAAUUCACAAAAUAAUAUUCUCUUAUAUAUGAAAAAGCUAGACUAGAUUUAAUCGUCAUUUGGAAUGGUUGUUGUGUGAUCUAUUUCUAAUUGUAUUCAAACAUGAAUAUUAUUUUCUUUAUCAUAUAAAAAUUAAUUGGUGAUAUAAAAAGAAGUGUGAAAAAGAAUAUUAAUUUUUUUCUAAAAAAAAUUAGUAGCAUAUUUUGUAUAUUUUUACACGUCAUCAACUUAAAUAAUAGGAGAAACAUAAUUUUAAUUUCCAUUUUAAUUUUUAAAUAAUUUUAAUUGCCAAAUUUAAGCAAUCAUAAAAUUUCUCAUGUUCAAUAUAAUAUUCUAAAAAUAAAAUAAAAAUAUUCAUAUGAUGACUUAAAUAAUCUACUAAGAAAUAUGAUUUAUUCUUAUGCAGAUCGAAUACUAAAAUAAGAAAAAAAAUAUUUUAGAUCACAAUAUAAAAUUGCUUAAAUCAAUGAAAUUUCAUUUUAAGAAAACAUUAAUCAUUUUUUUAAUACUUUAAAUCAAAGGUAAUUAAAUUUGGUUUAAUUAGUCUUCAAAUUUUAACUAUUAUUUAAAUCAAUCCUUUCGUUACACCUUUGUUAAGUAAAUGAUAGCAUAGCAAGCAUGGAGGUGCAAGCGGUAACACUCUCACAAAGAUAAAGAUCUUUAAGCCAUCAUUUUUUUUUCCUUUUCUUUUCUAUGAACUGUCAUUUCUUAUCUCUACAUGGAAUGUCUAGAAGUUGAAAACUUGAGCUUUCUUUUUUCUUUCUCAUAAUGAACUUUCCACUUCCAAUGAUGGUUGAACAUUCAUAAUUCUUUAUCUAUUUUGUCUAAAAAUUUCCAAUCACUUUUUGUGAGUGGUGUGAAUGUCAUGCAGACAAAUGAUGUCCAAGCUCCACUUUUUCCAUUCAUUGCAAGUUGUAAGCAGAAUGUAGAAUGUACGUAUAAUAAAAUAAUGAGAAUGCCAACUACUAGUACGUAGUACUUAAUUAAAACAAAAGUAUCAAAAUUAGAACGAAAAUAACUUUGAUGCUGUUAAUAUAUGAGUUUAAUUUUGAUACACAGUGUAAAAAUUUAAAUUGUUAAUUAAUUAGAAAUCACCUAAUGAUUUGUAAAACAAUUACUAAAAAAAGUUUCAUUUGAAACUUAGUCUUCCACCCGUCUCAAGCUCUCCACAUGAACACUAAGCUCUAGACAAAAAUAAAUAAAUAACCACGAGAAAUAAUAUAUAACUCUUUAGUGGACAAUUGGUGUUCUUUUGUGCAUUCAGUUGAAGGAAGUUCCCAGAAUGGAAGAAAGCAAGGGACAGAUGAAACGGCCACAGCUAAGAAUAGUGCAUCUUAUAAUGCGUCAUAAAUACAAAACAGAAUUUGAUGCUCAAGUCUGAAGCUCGUCUAGUUCUCUUAACAUUAAGAACAUUUAUUACCAAUGAAAGCAAAACAAACAGACACCCCAUAUGAACAUGUACAUAGUAUGGUAAACCUUUUCACAUUUUUAAUGUCUAGAAUAACACGUUGUAAUGUCUCUCACUCCUAACAGUUAACAUGUAAACUCACAAUUUUCCAAGUAACCUUCUUACCUUCAAAACUAUUAUCACAUAAAUCAGAUCUCUCAAGUGGUCAAGAUAAUGAAAAUAAGCACGCCUCCAAGUUCUGUUGAAGAAAACAACACUGCAAAAACCCCAAAAUCCUGCUGCAAAUCCAACUCCCAUACCCAUAUAAAACUCUGAUGUUCCAAAGAAAUUACCAUCACCGUGUCCAACAGAAGCACUCUCUGUCAACUCUUCCUUGUCUGUGCAAUUUUUUGUUACAGGAGGACCACAAAGCUCAGGAUUUCCAGUGUAGCUAAGUUCUUCAAAGCUCUGAAGUUGGGUACUCGUGGGAAUUCUGCCUGAGAAGUUGUUGUAUGAUAGAUUCAGGACACUGAGGAAGGACAAAUCAGAUAAGCUUUGAGGGAUUUGACCUGAAAUGUUGUUUAGUGAGAGAUCAAGGGAUUCUAAAAAUUUCAUUUUUCCCAUGUCAUUUGGUAUCCCUCCAGACAGAUGAUUUCUAGACAAGUUCAAAAACCGCAAAGCAGAUAGCUUGGAAAUUUCAGAUGGAAUUGCUCCAGACAGCUUAUUACUUGAAAGGUCAAUCAUUCUCACCAAUAUCAGAUUGUCUCUGUACUCUAACUCAUCUCCUUUGGGAACUAAGACAAGAGUUUCCUUGUAGUGGUUAUAACUGAAGUCAGAGCCAUAUGAAUAACUUAAAGGGUUGGCAAAGAAGUCAUCUUCACCAGCCAUUGUCUUCAUGUCAUCCAAACAAUUUGGAAUGGAUCCUGACAGGCUGUUAUUGCCAAGAUCCAGCACUAUAAGGGAAGAAAGUUGACAAAUCUUUUGAGUAAUGCUGCCAUUGAAAUUGUUGGAUCUUAGACGAAGAACCAUUAGAUAUUGCAUUUCCCACAUCCAAUCUGGUAUUACGUCAGAAAGUUGGUUAUUGCCCUUGUCAAUGAAUUUCAUUGUAGAGCAAUUUUGCAGUGUUGAAGGAAUAUAUCCAGAGAAGCGGUUGUCGUCUAACAACAAAGACUCAAGUUGAGAUCGAUACCCCAUGGAGUUUGGAAUAACACCAGACAAAUUGUUACUACCCAAGUUCAAAUGCACCAAUGCUUGCCAAUGCACCCAACAGUGACCAAGAUCACCAUAUAAGACAUUAUUUGAAAAAUCAAGCACACUUAACUUAUUAGUAGCAUUUUCCUUUCCACAUAAAAAGGGAGAAAUUGUUCCGGAAAUUGAGUUAUUGGCAACAUUCAGCACUUCAACAUUUGCAGACACACUUGGCAAUGUACCCUUGAACAAAUUGGAACUCAAAUUUAUGACGCUGGAAUUGACAAAGAUGUUAGAUAGGUCUCCACUUAACAGAUUGUUUGACAGAUCCAGGAAUUCAAUUUGCAAAGUCCAAUUCCAAAACCAACUUGGAACCAAGUCUGCGAUACCUGCCUUAGACAUUGUCAAAACCUUCACAGAACUUUGCCUUUUUAGCCAUUCUGGAAACUUAUGACCUAUUCCAAAGGAGCUCAGUAAAACAUAUUCAAGCUGAAAAGGAGGAACCCAUCCAGAGUUGACACUGAGGAACAAGUUUGUCCAAGACAAACGUAGUUCCUUUAAUUUCAAAAGUUUUACAAAAUUUGACUCUUUUAUAGAUCCUUCUAACAAAUUAGAAGAAAGGUCUAACAUCACUAAAUUUGAGAGAGUUCCAAGAGUUACAGGCAUAUCACCAGUGAAAGAAUUAGUUCCAAGAUUUAAUAUCUGCAGGUUUCAGAGGAACUCAAAACUCUUAGGAAUGGUUCCAUUCAGUCGGUUGUGAGCCAGGUUUAAAGUUCUCAAGGAUGACAAGUUUGCAAAUGGUGAGGGAAUUGGACAAGUAAAGGUAUUAUUACUGAGAUUUAGAACUUCAAGAUGCUUAAGCUGGCCUAAUGAAUCUGGAAGUGGCCCUCUGAGCUGGUUGUUCUGCAGGUCUAGAUUUUUUAUGUUCUGAAGGCUUGAUAUUAUUUGUGGAAUUUCUCCCUGUAAAAGGUUACUGUGUAAAUCAAGUUGGACAAGAGUUGUGCUGAGAUUAAAUAGCCAUGAAGGGAUUUGCUGAUUGAGAUUGUUAAUUGAAAGAUCAAGGACUUGGAGAUGUGUGAAGUUGGUUUUUCCUUUUGGUGGUCCUAAGUUAUCAAUUUGACAGCUCUCCAAGUGUAGUUCUGAAAGAGAUGGAAGUGCACUCAGUACUUGAAGCCAGUACUGUUUAUGAAGGUCUGAACCACUCAAAUCAAGGUACUCUAAGGAAUAUAGCCUUGAUAUCCAAUUAAGGUUAUCUAUCUGAAGAGCAUAAUUGUAUCCAAGAUUAAGGUGCUGCAGGUUUGAGAGGUUUCCUAGUUGAUGAGGGAUUAAUCCCAUGAACCCACUUAAGCUAAGGUCCAAGUAUCUCAGACUCUCCAAUGAGCCUAGGAAGCUUGGUAUUGGAGUAAGAACAAAAUAAUUUGAACUCAAGUCCAAACGAUUCAAAUAUUUUAGUUCAAGCAAAGAAGGACUAAUCUCUCCACUCAACUCCCUAUAUGGAGAGCCCGCAGGUGUGUCAAGAAUGAUUUCCAUGACUUUACCUGUGUUGUUGCAGUGAACCCCUGGCCAUGUACAGCAAUGCGAUUUGUCAGACCACGAUGAAAGCCUGUUUGAAGGGUCUGCUAGUCCAUGCUUGAAGCUGAGGAGUGCAUUCCUUUCCUUCUCACUGCAAGUCAUAUUGAGCCUUGCUGCCUUGCUUGCACUGAAGUGGAGAGUUGUUGCAGUGGACAAUAUCAAGAGAAGAACAUGAGUUGCAAAUAGCACUGCCAUGAAGAAGAAGGAAGACGAAAAAGGUUGAAUCCACAAUUUUCUGGUUCACGGUUGGUAUUUACUACUAACAAUGCCUAUGUAGGAUAUAUACCGUACAAGGGUUAGCAUUUAAAAUUUUAUUCCACUAAUGGUGGUGGUUGCAAAAUGCACACAUAUGUAGAGGUAUAUAUGUCUACAACGAGACAUUUGGGAUUAAAAGUGUCUAACCAUACCACCAUUAUUUUGCACUAGUUUAUUUUAUUUUGAUUUAACUAUCCUUUUAGUCUUUAUAGUUGUGAUAAUUUUUUUUAGUCCCUAUAGUUUAAGACAUUCAUUUUGGUUCUUAUAUUUACAAUUUUUUUUAUCUUUUGGUCCUCGCGGGAAAGAUUCAACUCACAUAUAAACAUGAACAAAAUUAAUAAAAAUAGGGAAGCAAGCUGAGGUACAACUGAAGUGUAAUGGAGGUAUGAGACAAAGCCACUACACAUUCCAUUAUUCUUGAGUCUGCCACCGACCUCUGCAAGCUUUGCAUUUGCCAAUUGCCAUGAUGUAAUCUCCUUCUUGACAGUCUCUCAUCAAGUUGGAGUGGUAUCACAGCAUUGAACUAAGUUGAACGUUCCAAUGGGAUGAUGGUUUUGAUUGCUGCAGAUAAAGUGUGUGAUUGUGAGUUUCUGGUCCCAUGAGUUAAACUAUAAAGACUAAAAAAAAUAUUGUCGUAAUUUUAAGGGCCAAAAGGAUAAUUAAACCUUUUAUUAUUUUUAUUAUUUUUUUUAACAACUGGUUAUAUAUAUGUAGCAGUUUAUUCUAAACAAUGGACUACGUGUGAAAUCUUUGAAUUCUAUGUAAGAAAUGUUAUUUCAAACUUCUCAUCAGUCUUCAUGUCAAUGAUGGCAUGCUCCAUUUGAAUUCUAUGUCUAAUUAAGCUCUCGGUCUUCCGUUUUUGCAACUUUAUUUCGUAGAAAGAAGCCAAAUUUGAAGAUACAACAUUUGAUACUAUAACUGUUUGGUGUUUUGAAAAUCUCACUCACAUAUUUCCAAAUGUUAGAAAAGAAUUUGAUUCAGUGGUGCGACUCUUGAUCGACGCCAUACGUACGCCUACUUUGAUGCUCUUUUUCACACCACUUUUAUCUUAAUGGUAUCUCAAGUUGACAAUCAUAAAUCAAAAUAGCUAACUAUAGUUGAUUAGUAGAGACAAACAGCUCAAAGAUAAAGAUCUUUAAGCCAUCAUUUUUUUUCCUUUUCUUUUCUAUGAACUGUCAUUUGUUAUCUCUACAUGGAAUGUCUAGAAGUUGAAAAUUACUUGAGCUUUCUUUACCUAUACUGCUUUCCAUUUUUGCGAACUGCUUUUCUUUCUCAUAAUGAACUUUCCACUUACAAUGAUGGUUGAACAUUAAUAAUUCUUCAUCUAUUUUGUCUAAAAAUUUCCACUCACUUUUUGUGAGUGGUGUGAAUGUCAUGCAGACAAAUGAUGUCCAAGCUCCACUUUUUCCAUUCAUUGCAAGUUGUAAGCAGAAUGUAGAAUGUACGUAUAAUAAAAUAAUGAGAAUGGCAACUGCUAGUACUACUUAAUUAGAACUAAAGUAUGAAAAUUAAAACGAAAAUAACUUUGAUGCUGUUAAUAUAUGAGUUUAAUUUUGAUAGAUAGUGUAAAAAUUUAAAUUGUUAAUUAAUUAGAAAUCACUAAAUGAUUUGUAAAACAAUUAGUAAAAAAGUUAUAGGAAAUAUAUAUAAUUAAUUAAUUGCAAAUGAAAGUGUAUUUAAAUUAAAUUCUUAACUAACAUAUCCUUAUUGUGAUAUUUUGUAUAUUUUUUAUUUAAUUGAGACAGUGGAAUGAGAUCGCACUAUAAUUUUCAUCACGGGUGUGGUUGUCUAAUAUAAUAGGGAUGGUUGGUGAGGAAUUUUGGAAUGUUAGUUGGUUUUAGACUAUAUAUCCUCUUGUUCAGUUUUCACAUUCUCAUUAGAGUUAAGUUGAUUUUGGGGAAGAACUAAUGUCUUGAAAUUCCCUCUUCACCAGAAGCAGUUUUAUUGUGUCUUUAUCGAAGUCAUCUUCUCCAGAGACUUGCCUUUAACUUUGAAGAUAGGAAAUAGAUCAGUCAAAGACUUCUUACAACUCACAACCUUUGGAAUUUCUCUAUGCCUGGUUAACCCACAAUUUCGGCGCCUGUUGCGGUUAGGAACAUAGGCUAGCAAAAACACUAAUCGUUUCAAGAGAAAUGUUAACACACUUUUCUAAUAUAUUAUUUUUUAUUUUAAAAUUUAUUAAAAUAAAAAAAUUCAGCUGAUCUCAUAUUUUAUUUAGCAAAUUUUUCUCAUAUAUUAAGUCUUAGGUUUUUAAAAUUAUAAAGCUAAAACUAAAAUGUUUUACUAAAUGUAUUUUAAAGUAAAUUUUAUACACAAAAAUAUUUUGAUUUUAUAAAAAUUGUUUGGUCAAGGGAGACAUAUUGAGCCUUCCUAACUAUAAGCUACCCUGAGGGUUUCUAUCUUUUUUUUUUCCCACUUAAUUUUUUACUUUGGCAGCAAGGGUUAAACCUACCACAUCUACAUGACUAUGUCUUACUUUCAAUAAGUUACACCUAAAUAGCUAACAUAUUCCUCUUGCUCACGCACACUAUCUUUCGUAAACUUUUCACGAUCAUCUUUAUAUUAUCAAAUUCAUUUAAUUAAAUAUACAAUUAUCUUAAUAUUAUAAGCAAGUCUCUGUAUAAUCAUGUAGUGUUUCUAAAUUGAAUGAGCCUAAAUCACACACUCCUGAAAAAAGGAUAAAAACAUAUUUAAUUUCAUUUAGUGUUUAAUAGUGUUUUGGUCUUUUUUGUUUUUGUUUUUUUAUAGUUAUUUCUUUUCAAAUUUGAUGACAACAUUGUCAUUGGGUCCUUCUACCCUUCACAUCAGCAAAUUGGACACUAAAGAGACUCGGUCAGAAACAAAUAACUACUAGGGGUACAAUAACAUGAGAGGAUUUAACACUUUUGGAGUAGGAAAAUGUACUUUAAGAAAAGAAAAUUAUAUGUUUAUCCAUGAACACUAAGCUCUAGACAAAAAAAAAAAAAAAACCACGAGAAAUAGUAUAUAACUCUUUAGUGGACAAUUGGUGUUGUACAAAAUUGAAAUGAUCCAGACUAAGUCAACAAACUGGUCUUCUUCAUUGAACUCACAGUGAAACCACAGAAUUUAUUUUCAUCUACCAGUUUCCUUCCCAAUUCCCAUGUUUUCUAAAACAUAACACACUACAGAACCUUCUAAUAAAUUAAAACAAAAAAACCAAUAUUUUACAUGUAGCACCACAACCUAACAAUUUCUACCUACAACUUUUUCUAUAGACUAUAAUAUAAUCUAUCUCCACUCAUUCAUUCAUCAAGAUUGAGAAAUGGAUUCAAAUGCUUGUCUACCACACUUGCUAGUGUUAGCAAUAACAUUGGUAUUGGUUAGUCAUGCAAUGGGAGAUUCAGCUAAAGACAAACAGAAAUGUGCAGAAUCCCUGACAGGUGUUGCAACGUGUCUGCCAUAUUUGGGUGCUGACGCGAAAGCACCCACAGCAGAUUGUUGCAGUUGUCUCACACAAGCCAUGAAGACCAACAAGAAGUGUGUCUGCCUUAUUCUCAAAGACAGGGAUGAUCCUGACCUUGGCUUAAAGAUUAACAUGACAAUUGCUGUUGGUCUCCCUUCUCUUUGCAAAACACCUGAUAAUCUCUCACAGUGUUCUGGUACGUUCAAUUUCUAAUUAAGCCUUCCUUUUUCUUAAAGAACACUACACUACAGUGUUAUGUUUCCAUUUCCUAUGCAAUAAAUGAUCUAUCAGUCUUGUUAGUUGUCAUAUAACAACUAAUGUUUUUACAUUCAGUUGAAGGAAGUUCCUAGAAGGGACAGAUGAAUCUUAUAUCGGGAAGAGAUUGUUAGAAAGUUUGGUUGCAGUUGCAGGGCUUCUAAUUUGGCUUUCAUGAGCUUAACUCAAAUACUACCUAUAUAUUACCAUUUUCAUAUCAUGUUGAAAUGUAAACCAUUGAUUAGUUGAUAGUGUAAAAAAUAUUUACACUCUUGAGUGUACUAAAUCUCUGACAGACUCACAAUAGAUAUUAUUGCAAAACCUUUUGGAGAUUUAUUUUUUGUUUUUAAUACUAACCUAGAGUCUACAGAUCAAAGUUAAUUAAUUGCUGAAAAUUAUGUUCAUUCUCAUUCUUGGCGCUGUUAGUCCAGUGUGAAAACGGACAAAUUCAGUUUCAUGUUAUAUAUGGCUCUGUAUAUAAAAAGGAAAUAAAAAAAAAGUAGAAUUUGAUUAUGGCUAAGAAUGCUUGGGCCAUGAUCAUUCAAAAAUACCCUUAAUUGAUCUUUAGCUCAACAUUUUGUAUAAUACGUUAAUUAAUUUUUUAAAAUUAUGAUUACUAUCAAUUAUAUAAUUCUUAAAACUGUUAAACAAAAGACAUUUUGUUUAUUUGUUGAUAUUUUUAUAAGGUUAAAAUAUAUUUUUAAUCUUAUAAAUAUUAAAAGUUACACCUAUUAUUUGCCCUUUUUAUAGUUAGGGUAAUUUAGAAUAUUACUCCAACAAUUUUGUUGGUUCUCAAGCAUCAUUGGUUAUCUAUGGAUAUCUCAUCAAAGUUCUUGGCCUGGCCGGCUUGGAGAGUCAAGUCUUGUAUGCAGCCACGAGUCANNNNNNNNNNNNNNNNNNNNNNNNNNNNNNNNNNNNNNNNNNNNNNNNNNNNNNNNNNNNNNNNNNNNNNNNNNNNNNNNNNNNNNNNNNNNNNNNNNNNNNNNNNNNNNNNNNNNNNNNNNNNNNNNNNNNNNNNNNNNNNNNNNNNNNNNNNNNNNNNNNNNNNNNNNNNNNNNNNNNNNNNNNNNNNNNNNNNNNNNNNNNNNNNNNNNNNNNNNNNNNNNNNNNNNNNNNNNNNNNNNNNNNNNNNNNNNNNNNNNNNNNNNNNNNNNNNNNNNNNNNNNNNNNNNNNNNNNNNNNNNNNNNNNNNNNNNNNNNNNNNNNNNNNNNNNNNNNNNNNNNNNNNNNNNNNNNNNNNNNNNNNNNNNNNNNNNNNNNNNNNNNNNNNNNNNNNNNNNNNNNNNNNNNNNNNNNNNNNNNNNNNNNNNNNNNNNNNNNNNNNNNNNNNNNNNNNNNNNNNNNNNNNNNNNNNNNNNNNNNNNNNNNNNNNNNNNNNNNNNNNNNNNNNNNNNNNNNNNNNNNNNNNNNNNNNNNNNNNNNNNNNNNNNNNNNNNNNNNNNNNNNNNNNNNNNNNNNNNNNNNNNNNNNNNNNNNNNNNNNNNNNNNNNNNNNNNNNNNNNNNNNNNNNNNNNNNNNNNNNNNNNNNNNNNNNNNNNNNNNNNNNNNNNNNNNNNNNNNNNNNNNNNNNNNNNNNNNNNNNNNNNNNNNNNNNNNNNNNNNNNNNNNNNNNNNNNNNNNNNNNNNNNNNNNNNNNNNNNNNNNNNNNNNNNNNNNNNNNNNNNNNNNNNNNNNNNNNNNNNNNNNNNNNNNNNNNNNNNNNNNNNNNNNNNNNNNNNNNNNNNNNNNNNNNNNNNNNNNNNNNNNNNNNNNNNNNNNNNNNNNNNNNNNNNNNNNNNNNNNNNNNNNNNNNNNNNNNNNNNNNNNNNNNNNNNNNNNNNNNNNNNNNNNNNNNNNNNNNNNNNNNNNNNNNNNNNNNNNNNNNNNNNNNNNNNNNNNNNNNNNNNNNNNNNNNNNNNNNNNNNNNNNNNNNNNNNNNNNNNNNNNNNNNNNNNNNNNNNNNNNNNNNNNNNNNNNNNNNNNNNNNNNNNNNNNNNNNNNNNNNNNNNNNNNNNNNNNNNNNNNNNNNNNNNNNNNNNNNNNNNNNNNNNNNNNNNNNNNNNNNNNNNNNNNNNNNNNNNNNNNNNNNNNNNNNNNNNNNNNNNNNNNNNNNNNNNNNNNNNNNNNNNNNNNNNNNNNNNNNNNNNNNNNNNNNNNNNNNNNNNNNNNNNNNNNNNNNNNNNNNNNNNNNNNNNNNNNNNNNNNNNNNNNNNNNNNNNNNNNNNNNNNNNNNNNNNNNNNNNNNNNNNNNNNNNNNNNNNNNNNNNNNNNNNNNNNNNNNNNNNNNNNNNNNNNNNNNNNNNNNNNNNNNNNNNNNNNNNNNNNNNNNNNNNNNNNNNNNNNNNNNNNNNNNNNNNNNNNNNNNNNNNNNNNNNNNNNNNNNNNNNNNNNNNNNNNNNNNNNNNNNNNNNNNNNNNNNNNNNNNNNNNNNNNNNNNNNNNNNNNNNNNNNNNNNNNNNNNNNNNNNNNNNNNNNNNNNNNNNNNNNNNNNNNNNNNNNNNNNNNNNNNNNNNNNNNNNNNNNNNNNNNNNNNNNNNNNNNNNNNNNNNNNNNNNNNNNNNNNNNNNNNNNNNNNNNNNNNNNNNNNNNNNNNNNNNNNNNNNNNNNNNNNNNNNNNNNNNNNNNNNNNNNNNNNNNNNNNNNNNNNNNNNNNNNNNNNNNNNNNNNNNNNNNNNNNNNNNNNNNNNNNNNNNNNNNNNNNNNNNNNNNNNNNNNNNNNNNNNNNNNNNNNNNNNNNNNNNNNNNNNNNNNNNNNNNNNNNNNNNNNNNNNNNNNNNNNNNNNNNNNNNNNNNNNNNNNNNNNNNNNNNNNNNNNNNNNNNNNNNNNNNNNNNNNNNNNNNNNNNNNNNNNNNNNNNNNNNNNNNNNNNNNNNNNNNNNNNNNNNNNNNNNNNNNNNNNNNNNNNNNNNNNNNNNNNNNNNNNNNNNNNNNNNNNNNNNNNNNNNNNNNNNNNNNNNNNNNNNNNNNNNNNNNNNNNNNNNNNNNNNNNNNNNNNNNNNNNNNNNNNNNNNNNNNNNNNNNNNNNNNNNNNNNNNNNNNNNNNNNNNNNNNNNNNNNNNNNNNNNNNNNNNNNNNNNNNNNNNNNNNNNNNNNNNNNNNNNNNNNNNNNNNNNNNNNNNNNNNNNNNNNNNNNNNNNNNNNNNNNNNNNNNNNNNNNNNNNNNNNNNNNNNNNNNNNNNNNNNNNNNNNNNNNNNNNNNNNNNNNNNNNNNNNNNNNNNNNNNNNNNNNNNGCCGCUCAAGUCCAAGUAAUUCAAAUGCUUUAAAUCAGCCAAACAAGGACUGAUCUCUCCACCAAACUGGGAUUUCUCAUAAGCUUCCUCAUCGAAGUGAUAGAAAGCAGCAGAAAACGUAGUGUUGAGGUGAAGCUGAAGAAGAUGGGAAGUGACGUUGUGGCAGAGGACUCCAUACCAGUGGCAACAGUUGGUAUUAUUAGGAUUCCAAGACCAAAGCCUAUUUGAAGGAUCAUUCAGAUUAUUCUUAAUCUUCAAAAGUGUCUCACGCUCACUUGGGAUGCACACACUCUCUCUGCAUGGUAAGCUCAACAACCAAAGCUGGACAAAGACAAGAAUAUAAAUGGAGGAGGAAUUCAUGAUCAUGCAACGCAAAUAUAGAAAACAAGUGUACUUGUUGCUUCUGCAUAUAAAUCAUCAAACUUCUAUUAUUUAUACUGCUGCCCUGCCUGUUUUUUUCUCCACUUUCAUUAUUUUUUACCUUUUUUAUUAUUGUGCCAAAUACUAAAAUAUUAUUCCAUUCUUUUUUUUACGGUGGCCUCUUUAAAUUAUCGAUUUAAUUAUCCAAUUCUCCCGAAUUAAUUCUUAGAAUACGAUUUUUUUGUAUUUACUGUAUCUAUCUCCCUUUUUAAAAUUCCUAUAUACACUAAAUUCAUGAAAAAUCAAAAUGAAUAAAAAAUUUAAUAUUAAAUUAUCAAAAUUAAUAACAUUUUUUUAAGAAAAAAAUCAAGUCUUUUUAUUUCAUCAAAUUCAAUAUUAAAUUAUCAAAUUUUCAAUAUUCAAACUAAAAAUAAUGUAAAAGAAAAUUGUCUUCUAAAUCAUAGCUUACACCAUCAAGUCAAUCUCAAGGUUUCCAUUUUUUCAUCUUGAACCUUUGGACACUCCACAAAGUCCAGCCAUGAUGUAAGGCGUGACUCUCAACUUGAACCAUAGGUCACUGCAUUACCUUCAUAUCAAUCCCUGUCAUUGACACAAAUGUUGCGAGUUAAGUCAAGCAAGGAAAAAAAAAUAUUAUUGAUGAAUAAAUCAAUUAUAGGAAAAGAGUUUACUUUAAAGACUAUUUUGGUUAAAAAAAUCUAUAAAAAAAAUUAUUUCGAGGCCAAGCUAGCUAUUUAAUUUUGAUCAAUUUUUCAAUUCACAAAAUAAUAUUCUUCUUAUAUGUGAAAAAGACUAAUUAAUCUUCAUUGUCAUUAAUGAUUGUUGUGUUGUUUAUUUCUAAUUGUUUUUUUAAUCAUAAUAUUAUUUUCUUUUUAUUAAAAAUUAAUUAGUGAGAUACAAAGAAGUUUAACUUGAUCUAUCAUAAUUAUUGAGAUCAUAGUUUUUCCUUUUAUAAGUCUUGGUCCAAAUUUCUCUAUGUAUUGUAGAUCAUAUUUAACUUAAAAAGUAAAUUAGAAGAUCUACAAAGAAGUGUGACAUGUUUUUUAAAUUAUAAAAUUAUGGUCCUAGCUAUUUAUUGUUAGACCACAAGUUUUCAUAUAUUAAAGUUUAAGUCUAAAUUUCAUUUAUGGUGAUAGUUUAAGAAUAGUGAUAGAAGAGAAAAAUAAAUAUUCAAUUUAUUGAAAUAUGUAACUCAAUUAAUUGAUGAAUACAUCAAUUAUAGGAAAAGGGUGUACUUUAAAAGACUAUUUCUAUUAAAAAAAUCUAUAAAAAAAUUAUUUCCUUCCAAUCUACUUAUUUAUUUUAAUCCAUUUUUCAGUUCACAAAAUAAUAUUCUCNNNNNNNNNNNNNNNNNNNNNNNNNNNNNNNNNNNNNNNNNNNNNNNNNNNNNNNNNNNNNNNNNNNNNNNNNNNNNNNNNNNNNNNNNNNNNNNNNNNNNNNNNNNNNNNNNNNNNNNNNNNNNNNNNNNNNNNNNNNNNNNNNNNNNNNNNNNNNNNNNNNNNNNNNNNNNNNNNNNNNNNNNNNNNNNNNNNNNNNNNNNNNNNNNNNNNNNNNNNNNNNNNNNNNNNNNNNNNNNNNNNNNNNNNNNNNNNNNNNNNNNNNNNNNNNNNNNNNNNNNNNNNNNNNNNNNNNNNNNNNNNNNNNNNNNNNNNNNNNNNNNNNNNNNNNNNNNNNNNNNNNNNNNNNNNNNNNNNNNNNNNNNNNNNNNNNNNNNNNNNNNNNNNNNNNNNNNNNNNNNNNNNNNNNNNNNNNNNNNNNNNNNNNNNNNNNNNNNNNNNNNNNNNNNNNNNNNNNNNNNNNNNNNNNNNNNNNNNNNNNNNNNNNNNNNNNNNNNNNNNNNNNNNNNNNNNNNNNNNNNNNNNNNNNNNNNNNNNNNNNNNNNNNNNNNNNNNNNNNNNNNNNNNNNNNNNNNNNNNNNNAACAACAAAAAGUCUUGUCUUAUAAAAUUCAAACAUUCUAUUACAUGCGGUUUGAACCCAUAAUUAAUUUUAAACUAUCAAAUUUUAAUUAUUCAAAAUAAAAGAAAUGAAAACAAAAUUGUCUCCUAGAGAAACCGCUGGCCACUCAACAAAUUCAUAUCAAGGUCCCCACUUUUCCAACUUGAACCAUAGACUACUCCAUCAAGUCUAUGUCAAGGUCCUCCAUUUUAAGGUCCCCACUUUUCCAACUUGAACCAUAGACUACUUCAACCUUAGGACACUCCACAAAGUCCACCCUUAUUAAGGUCUCUGACUUCUUCAACUUCUGCAACGCAUAUAUAGAAAACAACUUAAUUGUAUAAGUGCUUCUUGCUUCUGCAUAUAAAUCAUAAAACUUCUAUUAUUUAUACUGCUGCAAGUGUCUUUCUUUUCUUUUUUCUUUUUUUUAUGACGUUUCCUUUUUUUAAUUAUUGACUUUAUUAUCCAAUUCUCCCGAGUUAAUUCUUAGAAUAGGAAAUAAUUUUGAAUUUACUUUAUCUAUCUCCCUUUUAAAAAUUCCUAUAUACACAAAAUUUUAUAUUGAAUUUAACUAUUAUUUAAUCUAUCCUUUCAUUAAAUUUUUGUUAAUUAAACAAUAAAAGUCCAACAUUUUAUUAAAAAAAUUCAAGUCUUCUAUUUCAUGGACUCCAUCAAGUCUUUUAUUAAAAGUCCAACUUUUGUUAAUUCAAGUCUUUUACAAAAUUUUGUUAAUUCAACUUUUGUUAAUUAUUACAAAAUUUGGUAUUGAAUUUAACUAUUACUUAAUUCAAGCCUUUUAUUAAAAGUUCAACUUUUGUUAAUUUAAAUAUUAUUUUGUUAAUUAAACCAUAGCCGAUUCCAUCAAGUCCAUCUCAAGGUCCUGUAUUUUUUCAUCUUGAACAUUUGGACACUCCACAAAGUCCAGCCAUGUUAUGGUCUCUGGCUUCAACUUGAACCAUAGCCCAUAGGGCACAAACAAUAUAUUAAUGAUAAAUACAUCAAAUAUAGGAAAAGGGUCUAAUUUAAAGACUAUUUCAGUUAAAAAAAUCUAUAUGAAAAAAGAUUAUUUCAUUCAUAUCUUGCUAUUUAAUUUUGAUCAAUUUUUUAAUUCACAAAAUAAUAUUCUUAUAUAUGAAAAAAGACUAGAUUUAAUCGUCAUUAAUUGGAAUGGUUGUUGUGUGAUCUAUUUCUAAUUGUAUUCAAACAUGAAUAUUAUUUUUUUAACAUAUAAAAAUUAAUUGGUGAUAUAAAAAGAAGUGUGAAAAAGAAUAUUAAUUUUUUUCUAAAAAAAAUUAGUAGCAUAUUUUGUAUUUUUUUACAUGUCAUCAACUUAAAUAAUAGGAGAAACAUAAUUUUAAUUUCCAUUUUAAUUUUUAAAUAAUUUUAAUUGCCAAAUUUAUGCAAUCAUAAAAUUUCUCAUGUUCAAUAUAAUAUUCUUAAAAAAAAAAUAUUCAUAUGAUAACUUAAAUAAUCUACUAAGAAAUAUGAUUUAUUCUUAUGCAGAUCGAAUACUAAAAUAAGAAAAAAAAUAUAUUUUAGAUCACAAUAUAAAAUUGCUUAAAUCAAUGAAAUUUCAUUUUAAGAAAAUAUUAAUCAUUUUUUUAAUACUUUAAAUCAAAGGUAAUUAAAUUUGGUUUAAUUAGUCUUCAAAUUUUAACUAUUAUUUAAAUCAAUCCUUUCGUUACACCUUUGUUAAGUAAAUGAUAGCUUAGCAAGCAAGCAGGUGCAAGCAGUAACACUCUCACAAAGAUAAAGAUCUUUAAGCCAUAGUUUUUUUUCCCUUUUCUUUUCUAUGAACUGUCAUUUCUUAUCUCUACAUGGAAUGUCUAGAAGUUGAAAACUUGAGCUUUCUUUAACUAUACUGUUUUCCAUUUUUGGCGAACUGCUUUUCUUUCUCAUAAAGAACUUUCCACUUCGAAUGAUGGUUCAACAUUAAUAAUUCUUUAUCUAUUUUGUCUAAAAAUUUCCAAUCACUUUUUGUGAGUGGUGUGAAUGUCAUGCAGACAAAUGAUGUCCAAGCUCCACUUUUUCCAUUCAUUGCAAGUUGUAAGCAGAAUGUAGAAUGUACGUAUAAUAAAAUAAUGAGAAUGCCAACUACUAGUACGUAGUACUUAAUUAAAACAAAAGUAUCAAAAUUAGAACGAAAAUAACUUUGAUGCUGUUAAUACAUGAGUUUAAUUUUGAUACACAGUGUAAAAAUUUAAAUUGUUAAUUAAUUAGAAAUCACCUAAUGAUUUGUAAAACAAUUACUAAAAAAAGUUUCAUUUGAAACUUAGUCUUCCACCCGUCUCAAGCUCUCCACAUGAAAACUAAGCUCUAGACAAAAAUAAAUAAAUAAAUAAAUAACCACGAGAAAUAAUAUAUAACUCUUAAGUGGACAAUUGGUGUUCUUUUGUGCAUUCAGUUGAAGGAAGUUCCCAGAAUGGUAGAAAGCAAGGGACAGAUGAAACGGCCACAGCUAAGAAUAGUGCAUCUUAUAUCGGGAAGAGAUUGUUAGAAAGUUUGGUUGCAGUUGCAGGGCUUCUAAUUCGGCUUUCAUGAGCUUAACUCAAAUAUUACCUAUAUAUAUAUAUAUAUAUUACCAAUUUGGCUUAACUCUAAUUUGGCUUUCACAAAAUAAUAUUCUCUUAUAUAUGAAAAAAAAGACUAAAUUUAAUAGUCAUCAAUUGAAAAGGUUGUUUGUGUCAUCUAUUUCUAAUUGUAUUCAAACCUAAAUAUGAUUUCCUUUAUCAUAUAAAAAUUAAUUAUUGAUAAAAAAAGAAGUGGUGAAAAAGAAUUUAACUUUUUUCUAUAAAAAAUAGUAUCAUAUUUUGUAUUUUUUAUAAGUUAUCAACUUAAAUAAUAGAAGAAACAUAAUUUUUAUUUUCAUUUUACUUUUUAAAUAAUUGUAAGUGCCAAAUUUAAACAAUCAUAAAAAUACUCACGUUCAAUAUAAUAUUCUAAAAAAUAUAUUUAUACGAUAACGUAAAUAAUCUUCUACAAAGAAAUAUAUUUUAUUCUUGUCUCAAAUACUAAAAUAAGAAACAUUUUAUUUUAAUUUACAGUAUAGGAUUUCUUAAAUCAAUGAAAUUUUUAUUUUAAGAAAAUAUUAAUAAUUUUUUUAAAACUUUGAGUAGUUUACAACAAAGGUAAUUAAAUUCGGCUUAAUUAGUCUUAAAAUUUUAACUAUUAUUUAAAUCAAUUAAUCCUUUCGUUAAACCUGUACGUGUUAAGUAAAUAACAAAAUGUCUUGCCUUAUAAAAUUCAAAUAUUCUAUUACUUGCAGUUUGAACCCAUAAUUAAUUUUUAAAUAUCAAUUUUUUAUUAUUCCAAAUAAAAGAAAUGAAAACAAAAUUGUAUAGUCUCCUAGACAAACCACUUCCCACUCCACCAAAUUCAUAUCAAGGACCCCACUUUCCCCACUUAAACCAUAGACUACUCCAUCAAGUCCAAGUCAAUGUCCUUCAUUUUUUCAUCUUGAACCUUAGGACACUCCACAAAGUCCAGCCAACCAUAUUUAGGUCUCUAUCUUCUUCAACAUGAACCAUAGGUCACUACAUUACCUUCAUAUCAAGUUCCUUAUCAUUGACAACAAAUGUUUAGAAUUAAGUAAGCAAGGAAAAAAAUUAUAAAUGAUGAAUACAUCAAUUAUAGGAAAAUGAUCUAAUUUAAAGACUAUUUCAGUUAAAAAAUCUAUAUAAAAAAAGACUCUUUCGUUUCAAUCUAACUAUUUAAUUUUGAUCUAUUUUUUAAUUUACAAAAUAAUAUUCUUCUUAUAUGUGAAAAAAACUAAUUUUCAUUGUCAUUAAUCAAAAAGAUUGUUGUGUCGUCUAUUUCUAAUUGUAUUUUAGCCUGAAUAUUAUAUUCUUUUUCAUUAAAAAUUAAUUAGUAAGAUGCAAAGAAGUGUAAAAUGCUUGUUUAACUUGGUCUACCAUAAUUAUUGAGAUCAUAACUUUUUUCUUUUAUAAGUCUUGGUCCAAAUUUUUCCAUAUAUUGUAGAUCAUAUUUAGCUUAAAAAGUAAAUUAGAGGAUAUGAUAUACCAAGAAGUGUGGCAUGUUUUUUUAAAUUAUUUAUCUAUGGCCUUAGCUAUUUUAUUGUUAGACCACAAGUCUUCAUAUAUUAAAGUCUUUGUCUGAAUUUCAUUUACUUGUGUGGUGAUAUUUUAAGAAUAGUGAUAGAAGAGAAAAAUAAAUAUAUAGUUUAUUGAAAUAUCUAACUUAUGAAGAUUUGCAUUCUUAAUGCAUAAGCUUUUCAGUUUAUAUAUUAUCACUAUUUGGAAAUAUUUGUUGUGUUAAUUGUCUAUUUCUAAUUAAUUUGAAAAUGAAUCUUAAUUUUUUAUCAUAAAAAUUAGUAUCAUAUUUUUUAUUUUCUUUACAAGUUAUCAACUUAAAUACUAAUAGGAGCAACAUAAUUUUAAUUUCCAUUUUACUUUUUAAAUAAUUUUAAAUGCCAAAUUUAAGCAAUCAUAAAAAUACUCACGUUCAAUAUAAUAUUUUAAAAAAAUAAUUCAUGAGAUCACUUAAACAAUCUACAAAGAAAUAUAAUUUAUUCUUGUGCCAAAUAAACAACAAAAAAAGUCUUGCAUUAUUAAAUUCAAGUCUUCUAUUACAUGCAAUUUGAACCUAUAACUAAUUUUAAAUGAUCAAAUUUUUAUUAUUGAAAAUAAAAGAAAAGAAAAAAAAAUUGUCUUCUAGACAAACCACAGACAACUCCACCAAAUCCAUAUCAAGGUCCCCACUUUUUCAACUUGAACCGUAGGCCACUCCAUCAAAUCUAUGCCAAAGUUUCUUAUCAUUGACAACAAAUGUUGAGAGUUAAGUCAAGCAUGAAAAAAAUAGGGUAAAAUAUAUCAUUUCUAUCCCUAUAAAAUUUUAAUGUGCUACUUUUUUUUUUUAUCCUGAGUUAAGUUUGGAUGAUAGAUAAUUAUCAUGUAUUCUUAGAUUUUGGUGUCAUUUUAGGAUAUUUAUGUGAUAUAUGUCUUUUAUGUUUUUUUUAUUGUCAUGAACUAAUCUUCUCUUUUGUUGGAGUUGAAUAUAAUUGGUUCAUUUUUUAUGUAAUGACUAUUUUUUAAUUGAAUAAAGCAUUCUAAUUGUUUCUCUUCUAUGUUUAAUAUGUGUUUUUGGCUUAAUCACCUGUUUGUAUGAUUUUUUUUAUUCAAUUGUAAUUAAAAAAAUUCUUUGACCUACGAAUUGCAAAAAACACCUAAUAAUUUUUAUGUCUAGGAAUAAGAUAAAAAGAAUUGAGCAUCAAUAAACACUUUAUCUUAAUGAAAAUCAUUUAGUUAUGUUAAUUUAAGGGAUUGAUAGUGUAAUCAAGGGAUUUAGGUCUAUUCACUAGGAAUUAAAGUGAAGAUAAUAUGAUGGGUUUAUGAUAAUAUAACCUUUAUUAAAUAUGAAUGUGUAGUUAUUAGGUGAUAGAAACUUCAAUGAAAUUAAACCCCAACAAUUUUUUCAUUGAUUUAACCCCAACAAUUACAUGAGGUGUUUGUUAAAAUUCCCAAACAAUUUUUUUCCUUAAUUUUUUCUUUUAUUUUCUUCUUUAGUUUUCUUAUUUUUAUUUCUUCCUUUAAUUUCUUUAUCGUUAUGCAUAUUGUUAUUUAAAUCAAAUUAGCUAAUGUUAAUUAAUUUCAAAUAUUCAUAGUAUAGAAAUUAUACUUUUUAUUACCCAAUUAUUGCCUAAGUCCUGUUAAUGAGUAUUAUAGAAAAAAUGCAUGAAUAGCAAGAGAAGGAAGAUGUGGAAGGGUUUAGAAACUGCAGAAUCCUAUGCAAGCUCCAACAUUCUACACUAAUUAAAUUCAUUCAGGCAAAUUCUAAGUUACAUGUGUAAAACAAUCUUCUUAAAUCCAAUCAUCGAGUGUGUCAUUUCAGGUAUUUUAAUGCUAAUCAUUGUUAGUGCACAGAUAGUAGAUGACAAUAAUGCGUCAUAAAUACAAAACAGAAUUUGAUGCUCAAGUCUGAAGCUCGUCUAGUUCUCUUAACAUUAAGAACAUUUAUUACCAAUGAAAGCAAAACAAACAGACACCCCAUAUGAACAUGUACAUAGUAUGGUAAACCUUUUCACAUUUUUAAUGUCUAGAAUAACACGUUGUAAUGUCUCUCACUCCUAACAGUUAACAUGUAAACUCACAAUUUCCCAUGUAACCUUCUUACCUUCAAAACUAUUAUCACAUAAAUCAGAUCUCUCAAGUGGUCAAGAUAAUGAAAAUAAGCACGCCUCCAAGUUCUGUUGAAGAAAACAACACUGCAAAAACCCCAAAAUCCUGCUGCAAAUCCAACUCCCAUACCGAUAUAAAACUCUGAUGUUCCAAAGAAAUUACCAUCACCGUGUCCAACAGAAGCACUCUCUGUCAACUCUUCCUUGUCUGUGCAAUUUUUUGUUACAGGAGGACCACAAAGCUCAGGAUUUCCAGUGUAGCUAAGUUCUUCAAAGCUCUGAAGUUGGGUGCUCGUGGGAAUUCUGCCUGAUAAGUUGUUGUAUGAUAGAUUCAGGACACUGAGGAAGGACAAAUCAGAUAAGCUUUGAGGGAUUUGACCUGAAAUGUUGUUUAGUGAGAGAUCAAGGGAUUCUAACAAUUUCAUUUUUCCCAUGUCAUUUGGUAUCCCUCCAGACAGAUGAUUUCUAGACAAGUUCAAAAACCGCAAAGCAGAUAGCUUGGAAAUUUCAGAUGGAAUUGCUCCAGACAGCUUAUUACUUGAAAGAUCAAUCAUUCUCACCAAUAUCAGAUUGUCUCUGUACUCUAACUCAUCUCCUUUGGGAACUAAGACAAGAGUUUCCUUGUAGUGGUUAUAACUGAAGUCAGAGCCAUAUGAAUAACUUAAAGGGUUGGCAAAGAAGUCAUCUUCACCAGCCAUUGUCUUCAUGUCUUUCAAACAAUUUGGAAUGGAUCCUGACAGGCUGUUAUUGCCAAGAUCCAGCACUAUAAGGGAAGAAAGUUGACAAAUCUUUUGAGUAAUGCUGCCAUUGAAAUUGUUGGAUCUUAGACGAAGAACCAUUAGAUAUUGCAUUUCCCACAUCCAAUCUGGUAUUGCGUCAGAAAGUUGGUUAUUGCCCAUGUCAAUGAAUUUCAUUAUAGAGCAAUUUUGCAGUGUUGAAGGAAUAUAUCCAGAGAAGCGGUUGUCGUCUAACAACAAAGACUCAAGUUGAGAUAGAUACCCCAUGGAGUUUGGAAUAACACCAGACAAAUUGUUACUACCCAAGUUCAAAUGCACCAAUGCUUGCCAAUGCACCCAACAGUGACCAAGAUCACCAUAUAAGACAUUAUUUGAAAAAUCAAGCACACUUAACUUAUUAGUGGCAUUUUCCUUUCCACAUAAAAAGGGAGAAAUUGUUCCGGAAAUUGAGUUAUUGGCAACAUUCAGAACUUCAACAUUUGCAGACACACUUGGCAAUGUACCCUUGAACAAAUUAGAACUCAAAUUUAUGACGCUGGAAUUGAGAAAGAUGUUAGAUAGGUCUCCACUUAACAGAUUGUUUGACAGAUCCAGGAAUUCAAUUUGCAAAGUCCAAUUCCAAAACCAACUUGGAACCAAGUCUGCCAUACCUGCCUUAGACAUUGUCAAAACCUUCACAGAACUUUGCCUUUUUAGCCAUUCUGGAAACUUAGGACCUAUUCCAAAGGAGCUCAGUAAAACAUAUUCAAGCUGAAAAGGAGGAACCCAUCCAGAGUUGACACUGAGGAACAAGUUUGUCCAAGACAAACGUAGUUCCUUUAAUUUCAAAAGUUUUACAAAAUUUGACUCUUUUAUAGAUCCUUCUAACAAAUUAGAUGAAAGGUCUAACAUCACUAAAUUUGAGAGAGUUCCAAGAGUUACAGGCAUAUCACCAGUCAAAGAAUUAGUUCCAAGAUUCAAUACCUGCAGGUUUCUGAGGAACUCAAAACUCUUAGGAAUGGUUCCAUUCAGUCGGUUGUGAGCCAGGUUUAAAGUUCUCAAGGAUGACAAGUUUGCAAAUGGUGAGGGACUUGGACAAGUAAAGGUAUUAUUACUGAGAUUUAGAACUUCAAGAUGCUUAAGCUGGCCUAAUGAAUCUGGAAGUGGCCCACUGAGCUGGUUGUUCUGCAGGUCUAGAUUUUUUAUGUUCUGAAGGCUUGAUAUUAUUUGUGGAAUUUGUCUGAUAGAAUAGCAAAUGCAGAGGAAGAAAUGAACGAAGCCACAGAGGACCCGAGCACACAAGCCAACACAGAGGAGUCAAACAUACAAGUAGAUACAGGGGAGCCUAAUUCAAAGGUGCGAAUAGCAAGUAAAUCCAAGAGGAAGGUUGUCAGGCCCGCUUACCUCAAGGAUUUUGUGUAAAAUCCUUCAUCACCGUAUGGGAAUAUAGCUGUUGCUCUUAGUGCUGCCACGUAGGAUGAUCAGAAUAACAAUAAAGGAUAUUGCUGAUAUUCUGUAAAUGCAAAAUGACAAAAUCUGUUAUACAGAAUUCAGUAUAAAUCAUCAUGUAAUCAUAGCACAAUUCAAUGAAUGAAAAGCUAAAUUCCCUUCCUUAUCUUGAUCUCUGGAGGUGCUGGAACCCUCGAAACCAGUCUUCUAGUUCUUCCCCUAUCAUCUUGGUGCUCUCGUUGAUCCCUCCUCCAUGGCUGACUCUCCCCUUACCCUUGAAGAAGCCAUCCGCAAACUCACGACCCAUCAAAUUUCCCUUGCUGAAACCCUUCAGACCAUGGCUCUGAAACUUGACGAGCUUCUCCACCGUCUUCCCCCUGUGCUCCCUGACCCCAUCGCUUCGUCUUCCCCACCCCCUGUUGCUUCUCCUGCCAUCACCCACAAAAUCAAAAUCGAUGUUCCCCGUUUCGAUGGUAAUGACCCCAUGGGUUGGAUCUUUAAGAUCACCCAGUUUUUUUAAUAUCAUCAGACCCCAGAAAAUGAGAGACUUACCGUUGCUUCCUUUUACAUGGAUGGUCGCGCCUUGUCUUGGUUCCAAUGGAUGAACGGUAACCGCCAGUUUACUUCAUGGCAAGGCUUCCUACAGGCGCUUCAAACUCGUUUUGCUCCGUCGCAGUACGAGGAUCCCACGGGGACCCUUUUCAAAUUAACACAGCGAGGCACGGUGGCUGAAUACCUCGCCGCCUUCGAGGAACUUGCAAACCGUACGAUUGGCCUUCCUCCUCCCUUUUUACUUAGCUGCUUUGUUUCGGGACUCACCCCCGAAAUCCGCCGUGAGGUCCAGGCCCACCAGCCUCUUACCCUUGUUCAGGCGGCGGGCCUGGCUCGUCUGCAGGAGGAAAAAAUUAUGGACGCGCGGCCCCAGCAACGCCCCAAACCACCUCCACCUUUUCCCUCUCCCUCCUUAACACAGCCCCUUCCUCUCAGAACCAUUAACCCUAGCCCCACCCCUCUUUUACCUAGCCCUCCCCAUCCCACACCACCCGCCGUCAAGCGUUUGACCCCGGAAGAGAUUGCAACCCGCAGGGAGCGCGGGUUGUGUUUCAAUUGCGAUGAGCGCUACCACAGGGGGCACCGCUGCUCUUCUCGUGUUUUUCUCCUCAUCUCUGAGGAUGAAGACCCUCCACCACUUCAAAUACCUCAGCCCAACCCGCAACCCGAACCCGAAACACCCAUACCCGACCCGAUAGACCCGUACCCGGCCCAAAUCAGCUUUAACUCUUUAGCCGGAAAUGUCGCGCCUGAAACGUUGCGUUUCAUGGGGACCAUCGGAAACCGCCAUGUGGUACUGCUGGUUGACGGCGGCAGUACUCACAAUUUCAUUCAACAUCAACUUGUUUCUCAAUUAAGCUUGAUCCCUCGCACCACCACCCCUUUGCGAGUUAUGGUGGGGAACGGACAACAAUUAGAGUGCACCAGCAUCUGUGAAUCCGUUCCGGUCACCAUUCAAGCCACUGAAUUCAUCGUUGACCUCCAUGUUCUUCCAAUUGCAGGAGCUAAUGUGGUUUUGGGCAUCCAAUGGUUGAAAUCAUUGGGCCCUGUGCUCACGGAUUACAACUCACUGCGCAUGAAAUUUUUCCAUGCAGGCACUUUCGUUGAGCUUCAGGGGGACACAGAGACCACUUUGAACUCCUUAUCAUCCUCCCAGUUCCAUCGUCUUCUUCAGCAUCAACCCGAGAGUUUAUACUUCCACAUUGCUGUCCUCCAUGACGACACUUCUACACUCAAUUCCGAUAUUGACCCCGUCAUUCAGGACCUCAUUAAUCGCUUUCAACCUCUCUUCCAGGUCCCUGAGAAGCUUCCGCCGGCGCGACCCACCGAUCAUCGUAUUCAUCUUAUUCCUAAUGCCACCCCGGUGAAUGUUAGACCAUACCGGUACCCACAUUUUCAAAAGCAGGAGAUUGAAAAUCAGGUUGAACUCAUGCUCCAAAAGGGCUUAAUUCAACCCAGUAAUAGCCCUUUUUCCUCACCGGUUUUACUCGUGAAGAAACAAGAUGGUACAUGGCGUUUCUGUGUGGAUUAUAGGGCCUUAAAUUCUCUCACAGUGAAGGAUCGAUUUCCGCUACCUACUAUUGAUGAGCUCCUGGAUGAGCUCGAGGGUGCCCGCUGCUUUUCUAAAUUGGACCUACUUCAGGGGUACCACCAAAUUAGAAUGCAUUCCGGUGAUAUAUCUAAAAUGGCGUUCAGAACUCAUCAUGGUCAUUAUGAGUUCCGUGUUAUGCCAUUUGGGCUCUGCAAUGCCCCUUCUUCAUUCCAGGCAACCAUGAAUUCCUUAUUCCGGCCGUAUCUUCGUCGAUUCAUUAUAGUUUUCUUCGACGACAUUCUUAUAUAUAGCGCCACUUUUGCAGAGCAUCUCACUCACCUCGAAGUCGCCUUUCAGGUAUUGCUAAGCCAUCAUUUUGUUCUGAAGCUUUCCAAAUGUUCAUUUGCACAGGCCCAGGUCGAGUACUUGGGACACAUGGUGUCCUUCGAAGGAGUUCAACCCGUUCCUUCCAAAAUUUCAGCAAUACAGCAAUGGCCCAUUCCUCAGACGACUCGAGCUGUUCGAAGCUUCUUAGGCCUCGCAGGCUUUUAUAGGCGCUUCAUCAGGGGAUAUGCUUCUCUUGCCGCCCCCUUAGUAGCCCUCACCACUUCAGACAAGCUUCACUGGUCAGCCGAGGUUCAGGCUGCUUUUGAUAAAUUGAAAUGUGCUUUAUCACAGGCCCCUGUUCUUGCAUUGCCGGAUUUUAGCUUACCCUUUCAGGUGGAAACGGACGCUUCCGGGGUUGGAAUGGGGGCAGUGCUUUCCCAACAAGGCCACCCCAUUGCUUUUUAUAGCAAACCAUUCACUGCUAAGCUUCUAAGGGCAUCUACGUAUGUGCGUGAGCUAUUUGCCAUCAAGGCGGCUGUAAAACGAUGGCGGCAAUAUCUCCUUGGGCAUCGUUUUAUCAUUGUCACAGAUCAUAAGAGCCUUAAGGAAUUGCUUACUCAGGCUGUUCAAACCCCGGAACAACAUACUUAUCUAGCUCGAUUAAUGGGGUAUGAUUACCAAAUUGUAUAUCGCUCCGGCAGUCAUAAUCAGGCCGCCGACGCCUUGUCUCGUCUCCCGGAGCAAAGAUCUUCCUUGAUGAUACUCUCCGUGCCCUGUCUCACGUUUAUCUCAGAGCUUCGUCAACAAUUGGAUUCCCUGCCUGAGUAUGUAGCCCAGAGGAACGCGAUUCUGCAACACCCCCUGAGUCAUCCUCAUUUCUCCAUUACCAAUAACUUGAUCCUUCAUAAGAAUCGGAUUUGGGUACCCCGAGGAUUUCCGAUGAUACCUACUUUAAUCACGGAAUAUCACUGCACUCCGACUGGAGGUCAUAUGGGCAUUGCCAAGACUCUUGCUCGUAUCACAGAAAACUUCUAUUGGCAGGGCCUUCGGGAUGACGUAACCCGAUUUGUUUCUCAGUGUCUUCCCUGUCAACAGACAAAGUAUGAAACGAAGAGAAGCGCGGGUUUAUUAUGCCCUUUGCCGGUACCCCACCGUCCUUGGGAAGACCUUUCUCUUGAUUUCAUUGCCGGACUCCCUCCAUACCAUGGCAAUACUGUGAUUUUGGUUGUUGUCGAUCGUUUUUCUAAAGGGCUUCAUUUGGGCAUGCUCCCGACAUCUCAAACAGCUCACGCGGUGGCCACUUUAUUCAUGGAAAUAGUCGGCAAGAUUCAUGGGCUCCCCCGGAGCUUGGUCUCCGACAGGGAUCCCCUAUUUGUCAGCCAAUUCUGGCAGGAGUUAUUCCGGUACAGUGGGACGCAGCUCCGCAUGAGCUCCGCUUAUCAUCCACAGAGUGAUGGUCAAACGGAGGUCAUGAACAGGGUAAUUGAGCAAUAUUUAAGGGCUUUCGUGCACAGCAGACCGAGGACUUGGGGAAAGCUUCUCCUAUGGGUUGAAUGGUGUCACAACACCGCAUGGAAUGCCGCCACCAGUUCGACCCCGUAUGAGAUCACAUUCGGACGAAAACCAUUCAAUUUUCCUGAUUAUCUGAUGGGAACCUCUAAGAUAGUCGCGGUGGAGGACAUGAUUAAGGAGAGGGAAGAAACGUUAUGCAUCAUUAGGAAGAAACUUCUAAAAGCUCAGGGAGCUAUGAAAAAGUCCGCUGACAACAAGCGCCGGGAAGUGGUCUACCAGCAGGGAGAUUGGGUCCUUCUUCGACUCCGGCCACGUCGCCAAGCUUCAGCUAAGGGAGUCUUUGAAACAAAAGGGAAACUAGCAAAGCGUUUCUAUGGGCCCUUCGAGGUUAUUGAAAGGAUUGGGCCUGUGGCCUAUCGUCUGAAAUUGCCGGAAUAAGCUCGUAUUCACCCUGUUUUUCACUGUUCCCUCCUGAAGCCAUUUCACGGCGACCCAACCUCUCCCGGAACCAAUGAGGUCACUAAAUUGCCUAUUCAAUUUUACCAGAAUCAACCCCUCGCAAUUCCGUUAGCCAUUUUGGAUCAUAGAAGGCAUCCUCAGACAGGAGAAUGGGAAGUCCUAGUGCAAUGGGAAGGACUCUCGCCGGACGAGACUUCGUGGGAAGAUUGGAAUUCUUUACAGCAAGAUUAUCACCUUGAGGACAAGGUGACUCUGCAAGGGCCACCGAAUGAUAGAAUAGCAAAUGCAGAGGAAGAAAUGAACGAAGCCACAGAGGACCCGAGCACACAAGCCAACACAGAGGAGUCAAACAUACAAGUAGAUACAGGGGAGCCUAAUUCAAAGGUGCGAAUAGCAAGUAAAUCCAAGAGGAAGGUUGUCAGGCCCGCUUACCUCAAGGAUUUUGUGUAAAAUUCUUCAUCACCGUACGGGAAUAUAGCUGUUGCUCUUAGUGCUGCCACGUAGGAUGAUCAGAAUAACAAUAAAGGAUAUUGCUGAUAUUCUGUAAAUGCAAAAUGACAAAAUCUGUUAUACAGAAUUCAGUAUAAAUCAUCAUGUAAUCAUAGCACAAUUCAAUGAAUGAAAAGCUAAAUUCCCUUCCUUAUCUUGAUUUCUGGAGGUGCUGGAACCCUCAAAAUCAGUCUUCUAGUUCUUCCCCUAUCAUUGUCCCUGUAAAAGGUUACUGUGUAAAUCAAGUUGGACAAGAGUUGUGCUGAGAUUAAAUAGCCAUGAAGGGAUUUGGUGAUUGAGAUUGUUAAUUGAAAGAUCAAGGACUUGGAGAUGUGUGAAGUUGGCUUUUCCUUUUGGUGGUCCUAAGUUAUCAAUUUGACAGCUCUCCAAGUGUAGUUCUGAAAGAGAUGGAAGUGCACUCAGUACUUGAAGCCAGUUACCUUGUUUAUGAAGGUCUGAACCACUCAAAUCAAGGUACUCUAAGGAAGAUAGCCUUGAUAUCCAAUUAAGGUUAUCUAUCUGAAGAGCAUAAUUGUAUCCAAGAUUAAGGUGCUGCAGGUUUGAGAGGUUUCCUAGUUGAUGAGGAAUUAAUCCCAUGAACCCACUUAAGCUAAGGUCCAAGUAUCUCAGACUCUCCAAUGAGCCUAGGAAGCUUGGUAUUGGAGUAAGAACAAAAUAAUUUGAACUCAAGUCCAAACGAUUCAAAUAUUUUAGUUCAAGCAAAGAAGGACUAAUCUCUCCACUCAACUCCCUAUAGGGAGAGCCCGCAGGUGCGUCAAGAUUGAUUUCCAUGACUUUACCUGUGUUGUUGCAGUGAACCCCUGGCCAUGUACAGCAAUCCGAUUUGUCAGACCACGAUGAAAGCCUGUUUGAAGGGUCUGCUAGUCCAUGCUUGAAGCUGAGGAGUGCAUUCCUUUCCUUCUCACUGCAAGUCAUAUUGAGCCUUGCUGCCUUGCUUGCACUGAAGUGGAGAGUUGUUGCAGUGGACAAUAUCAAGAGAAGAACAUGAGUUGCAUAUAGCACUGCCAUGAAGAAGAAGGAAGACGAAAAAGGUUGAAUCCACAAUUUUCUGGUUCACGGUUGGUAUUUACUACUAACAAUGCCUAUAUAGGAUAUAUACCAUAGAAGGGUUUGCAUUUAAAAUUUUAUUCCACUAAUGGUGGUGGUUGCGAAAUGCACACAUAUGUAGAGGUAUAUAUGUCUACAAGGAGACAUUUAGGAUUAAAAGUGUCUAACCACACCACCAUUAUUUUGCUCUAGUUUAUUUUAUUUUGAUUUAAUUACCCUUUUAAUCCUUAUAGUUGUGAUAAUUUUUUUUAGUCCCUAUAAUUUAAGACUUUCAUUUUGGUUCUUAUAUUUACAAUUUUUUUUAUCUUUUGACCCUCGCGGGGAAGAUUCAACUCACACAUAAACAUGAACAAAAUUAAUAAAAAUAGGGAAGCAAGCUCAGGUACAAAUGAAGUGUAAUGGAGGUAUGAGACAAAGCCACUACACAUUCCAUUAUUCUUGAGUCUGCCACCGACCUCUGCAAGCUUAGCAUUUGCCAAUUGCCAUGAUGUAAUCUCCUUCUUGACAGUCUCUCAUCAAGUUGGAGUGGUAUCACAGCAUUGAACUAAGUUGAUCGUUCCAAUGGGAUGAUGGUUUUGAUUGCUGCAGAUAAAGUGUGUCAUUGUGAGUUUCUGGUCGCAUGAGUUAAACUAUAAGAACUAAAAAAAAUAUUGUCGUAACUUUAAGGUCCAAAAGGAUAAUUAAACCUUUUUUUUUUUUUAACAACGGGUUAUAUAUAUGUAGCAGUUUAUUCUAAACAAUGGACUACGUGUGAAAUCUUUGAAUUCUAUGUAAGAAAUGUUAUUUCAAACUUCUCAUCAGUCUUCAUGUCAAUGAUGACAUGCUCCAUUUGAAUUCUAAUUUUUUUGAUGAUAUUGUCGUCUUGUAUGUUUUCUAAUUCUUUUGAUGAGUUAGAAAAUUAAGCACACAAACACAUCAAGAUAAAACGAUUACAUAAACUUUGAAAUUGUUAGUCUUUGUAGAAAUUUUACAUCAAGACAAAUUAAGUUUGCAUUUUCUGUGCUUUAGCAAAAUGACCCAUGAUAUUUAUUGGUCUUAAUUCUAGGUAGACUUUUCUUAGUAUGUUUUCUAAUUCUUUUGAUGGGUUAGAAAAUUAAGCACACAAACACAUCAAGAUAAAACGAUUACAUAAACUUUGAAAUUGUUAGUCUUUGUAGAAAUUUUACAUCAAGACAAAUUAAGUUUACAUUUUGUGUGCUUUAGCAAAAUGACACAUGAUAUUUAUUGGUCUUAAUUCUAGGUAGACUUUUCUUAGUAUGAUAUCAAUCUUAGAAAGUUUUAGAAAUAUUCUAAUGUGCAACUUACGAAUGUUUUGGAAGAGAGGAAAGAAAAUGAAAAAGGGUAAAAAAGAUUUAAAAUUUGAAUUUAAAAAAUUAGAAGAAAAGAAAUUUUAAUUGGCCAAAAGUAACACACAUUUCCAUCACUCUCCUUUUUUAUUUUUCUUCUUUUAUACACCUUACACCUAUUUUAUCUUUGAGGAAGACUAACAAUACUCUUUUCUGUUAUUUAUUAAAAUUUAUAAAAAAUCACAAAUUUUAAUUAAUGUUUUCACAUCAAAAUUAAGAAAUAUAUAUAAUCAUUAAAUAAAAAAUAGAACUCACCAAUUUAAAUUUAUAAUUUUUAGUCAAUAAUAUACAACAUUAAAAAAAAGAUUUUUUUUUCUUUAUAACCAACAAAAGAGUACUAGACAGUGUCACUAACGAUAUUUCUCUUUUAUAUUCCCACCUGCGCAAUCACUUUACCACUGAAACCACAACAACCAUCACGCUGUCCCACAAUUUUCUCUUAUUACAUUGGCUAAGUGCAUUUUUUUUAUUUUUCCUUCAUAUAACCUUUAAUUUGGUUCACAAUUUAAAGAAUAUGUCUUCUAGGCUUGAAGAGAGCAUACUAAAUACUUAGGAAUUUUUGUCAUUUCAUUUGUUCUCUUGAAUUAGAAAAUAUAUUAGGACCUUAUUUUACUUUAGAGCAUGCUAGUAAUUUUAAACAUUAAGAUUUCUCUAAUUUUUCUAAAAUACUUUUUUUAUCAAUUUUUUUAUUUAAAUAUAUUUUUAGGUCCUUUAAAUUUGGAUUAUCUUUGUUUUUUUCCUCCAAAUUUAAUUUUUCAUUGUUUAGUUCCUCAAUUUUGAAAAAUGUUUUCUAAACCCUCUUGACUGAUUUUUGACGAUUUAAAUGCAUAACUUGUGGCAUUUUUUUGUAGGAGGAGGACUAAAAAAAUAUUUUUUAAAAUUAAGGGAAUAAAAAUAAAUUUAAAUUUGGGGAUCAACUACAAAAGUAAUCUAAAUUUGAUGGUCCAAAAGCAUAUUUAAACAAUUAUUUCAAGAGACUAUGAAAUUUGAUUGAAUUAAGACCUAAUCUUUGUAAGUUCUUGAAGUAGCCUAAUAGGUAGAUUCUGAUUAUAAAAUAAGGAUUACUUUGAGGAAUUUAUUAUUAACAUAAAUCUCCUUAUCUUAUUUUCCAUGAUCAAUGUUCUAAUUGUGAGAUUUUGAUUAGGGAUGAUAAAAUAAGUUCAAUCCAUUGGAUUGACCCAUUUAAUAUGCUAAACAAAGCAAUAUAAGUUUAAAUUUCCAACCUAUUGUUAAAAUAGGUUCAACCUAUAUAUUUGGUAGGUAAAGGGGCAGUUAUGUUGGAUCAACGUGUCGGGAAAACUUUCCUUUUUAUUUAUUUUUCUUUUAUUUGUUGUAACUCAUCCAAACUUACUUGUUGAGGAGGAUGGUUGUUUUGUUCUUUUUGGUUUUUCUUCACAUUGUGUGGUUGCUUUGUUUCCUUUCAUUUCUCUUUCAUGAGUUUUAAGAGGGUGAUCUGAAUGGGGGGAAAGAUAGAUUAAGGUGUGAUUUUGAUGUGGAUGUGGGUUGAUUAUUGUGGAAGAAAAAUUAAUGACAGAAAGAGUGAUAAUUUUACAUUGGUUGUUUCAUAAUUGAUGUAGAAAGAUACUUUUUAUGUUGGUUACAAAACAAUUGAUGUAAAAAAGGAAAUACAUUUUACAUAGACAAGAUUUACAUAUUGGUUCUAGAAUUGAUGUAAAAAGCUCAUUUUACCUGAUGCAAAAUAUCUCCCCACCAUUGGUGAAUUUAAAAACAUGUGCAAAGACUUUUUUAUUUCUUGGGGACCGGUGCAAAGACUUGAAAUUGCUAGUCUAUGCAAAACAUUCAUGUGAAGACAAAUUAGUCAUGCAUUUUUUGUACUUUGACAAAAUAACACAUCAUAUUUCUUGGUGGACUUAAAUAUUUUUUUUUUAUAUUUUAGUCCUUGUAAUUUUAAUACUUGGUUUUAGUCCUUACUAUCAACUAUCAACAUUUACGGAUAAUGUUGUUGGUUGUCCAUUGACUCGUCAUGUUACUAAUGAGUUAAUUUGAUAGACUGUCAUAUGUAAAUUUUGUAGUAAUUUGGAUCUUCAAAUUCUCAUGUGUUAAAAAUAAUUGAUAGUGCUAGAUUACUUGAUGAGAAAUUUUAAAAAAAUUACACAUUAUUUAUUGUUAAGAUCUUUGAUAGCAUGAGAAGUCAAUGAAUGGUUAAUGUAACUACAUGUUAUGUAGUCAAUUAAUGUUCUUACUUUGAUAAUAUGGACUGAUUUAUUUUUUUAAUUUUUACUGGGACUAAACAUUAUUGAAAGGCUAAAACAAAAACACUCUAAUAAUUUAUAGGAGCCAAAAUGUUGUUUAAGCCUUGUUUGUUUUAAUUUUACAUAGACUUUUCUCAGCAUCGUGUGCUCGUUAAAGUGACAAACUCAAAUACUUUAAUGUGCAGCUCACGUAGUGUAAUUUCAUGACAUUACAAAAAUUCCCUUGAUAAUCUAAAAAUAAAAUCUGUUAUAUUUUUUAUUUAUUAAAAUUUGUAACAUCAGUUUUUUGUCGAAUUAUCUGAUGAAAUUUUAGUUGUUACAACUUGCUGGUACAAUAUGAAGUAGAGUUUGAUGAACCUGUAGUUAAUAUAUGAGAUAAUUUUAUUACACAAUUAUAUAAUUAUUGAAUUUUUUAUUAUAAAUUGCUUAUCACCUGAGUGUAAUAAAGGAAUUUAAAAUAUAUAAGCCUCGUAUAUGGAGUCUUCGUAUUUUAAUUUUUAAAAUAAAGUUUUUUUUAAGAGAAAACUUCCUUAUUUUGCUGUCUUCGAUAAGUGAACGAGAAUUAACAAGUCAGUCAUUUAGCCAUACUAUGUUUUUCGUCGUCAUAUUUUUUCUUUAUUCUAAAAAUUUACAUUUGAAAAACUUAUUUUGUUUUCUUGUCUUUGAACAAGAAUUAACAACUUAUUCGUAUGGUUGUACUAUCAUCACUGUUCCAGAUUUUUUUAUUUCUUGGGACAAGUGCAAAGACUUAAAAUUGUUAGUCUACACAAAACAUUCAUGUAAACACAAAUUAAUCUUGUAUUUCUUGUACUUGGGCAAAAUAACACAUCAUAUUUUUUGGUGUGCUUAAAUAAUUUGAUUACACAAUUAUAUAAUUAUUGAUUUUUUUAUUAUAAAUUCUAUAUUUUUUCCAUGAAGAAUGGUAAGUUUAAAUUGCUUAUCACCUGAGUGUAAUAAAGGAAUUUAAAAUAUAUAAGCCUCGUAUACGGAGUCUUCGUAUUUUAAUUUUUAAAAUAAAGUUUUUUUUAAGAGAAAAUAUCCUUAUUUUGUUGUCUUCGAUAAGUGAACGAGAAUUAACACAACUCUGUCAUUUAGCCAUACUAUCAGCUAUAUAAAUCCUGCCGCAGGCUCCAUCUUUCAUACUUGACAAUUUAAGAGAAAGUGAUCACAGUAACCGAUCUUUGUUUUACUCUUAGUCAUUUCAUAAUGAGUUGUUAUUCUCUGAAACUAUUUUAUGCACUUUUGCUGCUUUUAUUGCAUGCUGCUGGAUCCAUUCUUGGAUUCAACAGCCUUCCCAAUAGCACAGAAAUUAAGUGCAUUCAGACUGAGAGACAAGCACUCCUCAACUUCACACAUGGCCUCAAAGAUGACUCUGGCAUGCUGUCUACAUGGAGGGACGAUGGCAAUAACAGAGACUGUUGCAAAUGGAAAGGCAUCCAAUGCAACAAUCAAACUGGUCAUGUUGAGAUGCUUCAUCUCCGUGGUCAGGAUACACAAUAUUUGAUAGGUGCAAUCAAUAUCUCUUCAUUGAUUGCCCUUGAAAAUAUUGAACACUUGGAUCUCAGCUAUAAUGAUUUUCAAAGGAGUCAUAUCCCAGAACUCAUGGGCUCGUUCACCAACUUAAGAUAUCUCAAUCUCUCUGCUUCUUCAUUUCGUGGGACUAUUCCUUCUGAUAUUGGAAAGCUUACACAUUUACUGUCUCUUGAUCUAGGUGGCAAUAGCUAUCUCCAUGGACAAAUCCCUUAUCAACUUGGAAACCUUACACAUUUACAAUAUCUUGAUCUAAGUUAUAAUUAUCUGGAUGGGGAACUCCCUUAUCAACUUGGAAAUCUCUCACAGUUGAGGUAUCUUGAUCUUGGUGGAAAUUCAUUCUCGGGAGCAGUCCCUUUCCAAGCUGGGAAUCUUCCUUUGUUGCACACUCUUGGACUUGGUGGCAAUUUUGAUGUGAAAUCUAAGGAUGCAGAGUGGUUGACUAAUCUUUCUUCCUUGACAAAACUUGAGCUAAGUUCACUACACAACCUUUCCUCUUCUCAUCACUGGCUACAAAUGAUCAGCAAGCUUAUUCCAAACUUAAGAGAGUUGAGACUAUUUGAUUGUUCUCUUUCAGAUACAAAUAUUCAAUCUCUGUUUUAUUCACCUUCCAACUUUUCCACUGCUCUUACCAUCCUUGAUCUUUCUUCAAAUAAGCUCACAUCCUCAACAUUUCAACUGUUGUCAAACUUUAGCCUUAAUCUUCAGGAGCUUUAUCUUGGUGAUAAUAACAUUGUUUUGUCAUCUCCUCUCUGCCCAAACUUUCCGGCUCUUGUUAUCCUUGACCUUUCCUAUAAUAAUAUGUCAUCAUCAGUCUUUCAAGGUGGUUUCAACUUCAGCUCAAAACUUCAAAAUCUUGAUUUGCAUAAUUGUAGUCUUACGGAUGAAAGUUUUCUUAUGUCAUCUUCUUUCAUUAUGAGUUCUUCAUCUUCUCUUGUUUCCCUUGAUCUCUCCUCAAAUCUGUUGAAAUCAUCAACUAUAUUUUACUGGCUCUUUAACUCCACCACCAAUCUUCAUAAGCUUUCCCUUUAUCAUAACAUGUUGGAAGGUCCCAUUCCAGAUGGAUUUGGGAAAGUAAUGAACUCUCUUGAAGUUCUUUACCUCUACGGUAACAAACUGCAAGGCGAGAUUCCAUCUUUCUUUGGUAACAUGUGCGCAUUGCGGAGUUUAGACCUCUCAAAUAACAAGUUGAACGGGGAAUUUUCUAGCUUCUUCCGAAAUUCUUCAUGGUGCAACAGAGACAUAUUUAAGGAGUUGGAUUUAUCUUAUAACCGGUUGACUGGCAUGUUACCUAAAAGCAUUGGAUUUCUAUCAGAGUUGGAGUAUCUUAUCUUGGCUGGGAAUUCUUUGGAGGGUGACGUCACUGAAUCCCAUCUUUCUAAUUUUUCCAAAUUAAGAUACUUGUACUUAUCAGAGAGCUCGUUGUCUCUGAAAUUUGUCCCGAGUUGGGUUCCUCCAUUCCAAUUAGAAUCAUUGGGAAUCAGAUCUUGCAAGUUGGGCCCCACUUUUCCUAGUUGACUCAAGACUCAAAGUUCGUUGUAUGAGCUUGAUAUUUCUGUUAACGGGAUUAAUGACUCUGUACCAGGUUUUGGAAUAACUUGCAAAAUAUGGGAUUGUUAAAUAUGUCUUCCAAUUAUCUCAUUGGUGCAAUUCCUAAUAUAUCAUUGAAGCUUCCUAACAGACCGUCUAUACUUCUGAAUUCCAAUCAGUUUGAGGGUAAAAUUCCGUCAUUUUUACUACAAGCUUCCGAGCUGAUGCUCUCUGAAAAUAAUUUUUCAGAUUUGUUUUCAUUCUUAUGUGACCAAAGCACAGCUUCAAAUUUGGGCACUUUAGAUGUGUCACACAAUCAAAUAAAGGGGCAACUGCCAGAUUGUUGGAAAUCAGUAAAGCAAUUACUGUUCCUUGAUUUAAGCAAGCAAUAAAUUGUCAGGGAAGAUUCCUAUGUCCAUGGGCGCCCUUGUUAAUAUGGAAGUCUUGGUUUUACGAAACAAUGGUUUAAUGGGUGAGUUGCCUUCUUCUUUGAAGAAUUGCAGCAGUUUAAUUAUGCUGGACCUGAGUGAAAAUAUGUUGUCGGGUCCAAUACCAUCAUGGAUUGGAGAAAGUAUGCAUCAAUUGAUAAUCUUGAACAUGCGAGGAAAUCACCUCUCCGGAAAUCUACCCAUUCAUCUCUGUUAUUUGAACCGUAUUCAAUUGUUGGAUCUUUCAAGGAAUAAUUUGUCAAGCGGAAUUCCAUCAUGCUUAAAUGUACCCAUUCAUCUCUGUUAAAAUUUUUUACAAAGAAAAAAUAUACAACUAUAUUAAGCAUAAAAACAUUACUAUCUAAUUAAUUUUAUCAUUUAUAUGAAAAUAAAUAUAUAAUUUUUUUAUUCCUAAAUACUAGAAACAUAAACUCUUUCAAAUAUAUUAAUUAGACAUUUAUAGAAGAAACAAAUAGAUGCAUUUUUUAAAAUGAUUUUCCAUAAUUAUAAAUGUACACUUACACAUUACAAAUAUUUUAUUAUUAUCUUUAAUUUCUUUUUAUCUCACUUUUUACCAUCACAUUAUAUUACCUAUUAUACAUACACUUCUCUUUCUUUUUUCUUUUUGUCUCCCUAAGUGUCAACUAAGAAUUAAGAUGACAUGUAUUAUUUUUCAAUAUUUUUUUUCAUAAAUUUUAAGGGGACCGUAAUUCUUUUAACAUGGUAUUUUAAAUACACUUUGUGAAAAACUUGGGGGCCAUGGUCCCUGCAUGUAUACUUCCAUUUUCAAUUUUAUAUGAAAAAAUAUAAUUCUGUUUAUAUCUUGUAAUUAAUCCAGCACAUUAAUUGCUGUAAAAAAAAUGCUGAUUGUUGCAGAUGUGCUGCAGGCUUCUGAUCAGAGAAGAAACCAUUGUUGGCAGCUACAAAUGCGAGAUAAUUUCUUUAAUAUAGGAGUUUACAAUGUUUUGUAUUUAAGUAAUGAACUGCAAAAUCUUGUUUCCAGAAACUUAGUAUGCUAUUGUUGUAUUUAUUGUAUAAUAUAUUUGUAAUGCUGUUUGUUUUUCAUUAUUGUGCUUAGAUCUGUGAUAUCUAAAAUUUCACCACUUCCUAUUCAUCUUCAACAGUGCUUUCUACUAUAUUCUCCUAGUGCAGCUAUACUUAACUGUGAAUCAAAUUUGUGCAUGAGAAGAAGAAUGCAAGAUACCCUAUUUGUUCCUAGUUACUACCAGUGUAUUUGCAUCCUUGUGUUAGACCCCCUCUGUACAUGCACUUUUGCUUUGCCAAAAGUAGCAAGUAGAGCAUUAAAAAUUGCAUCAAGCUAGUGUUAGGUUGCUGGACUUAUCAAAUUUUAUCUAUUUAUCUCAAUUAUCACGAAAAUAGAAAAGAGUAUAUCUGUAAAUGAAAUUCACACAAUGAAUGCUAAUUUGAAAUUCUCUCUCUACCGUUGCACCAAUAUGAGAGUGCCAAUUAGAUCCCAUCAUCUAGUCCUUUGACAGAGUAAGUAUUUCACCAAGACCAAGACUCUAUGUGGGUCCCAACUAAUAGUUAGCUUCCUUUGUCGAUAAAAGUGAAGACGUUUGAACCAAAAGAUUUUUCGGAAAAAUCGAUAUUAAUAAACUCAACUUAUUUUUAAUUAUGCUACUAUUUUUUUAACAUUCAUUUUUAUAAAAUUGAUGUUAAAAUAACAACAUUAAAUGUAUAUUUUCUAGUGUUAUAUAAAGGGUUCGACAAGCUAGAUUGAGAGAAAUUCUGCUACGCUCAUUCUCCUCAUGCUAUUUCAUUGAUCAAGGGUCCUAUCAUCUUGGCUCAUCGAUAUGCUUCUCUCAUUCGAAAUAUUCAGAAUAUGUAAAAAAUUAUUAGAAAUAUUUAUAAAGACAAUAUAAUGAAUUAAUGGUUGUAUGUUAGUCCCUGAUAAAAUUGAGUGGAGCUUGAAGACCAAUAAGUAUAUUACAUGAAAUUAGUUAAAAGAAUCUCUCAAUAAAUAAUAUAGUUGAGAAUUUGAUUUUUAUUUGAGUCUAAUAGUAAUAGAAUACGAAUAUUGUAAAUGUUAUUUUUAUAUAAUAAUGAUAUAUAUAAUAAUAAUUAGACAAAUUAUAGUGUUUAUUAUAUUCAUAGUGAUUGUAUGAGUAUGAAAUAGUGAUAUUUUUGUAUUAUAAUAUAAAGAUUAUGUUUUAAAUAAAUAGCGUAUAAACUAUAAUUUUUUAAAAUUUUUCACAUGUAUUGAAAUAUAUUAGUACUUUAAAAUAAUGAUAAAAAAAGAUGAUAUUGUCGUCUUCUUUGUUUUCUAACUCUUUUAAUGGGUUAGAAAAUUAAACACACAAUCACAUCCAAAUUUAAAAGUAAUACGACUAUAUAGACUUUGAAAUUAUUAGUCUUUGUGGAAAUUUUAUAUCAAGACAAAUUAAUUAAGCUUGCAUUUUCUGCGCUUUAACCAAAUGACUAAUGAUAUUUAUUCAUCUUAGUUCUUAGUAUACUUUUCACAGUAUGAUGUCAAUUCUAGAAAGACUUGGAAAUAUUCUAACGUGCAAGGACUUUUUUAUUUAUUGGGGACCAAAGAUUGUGCAAAAACAUUAGUGUAAAAAUAAAUUAGUAUUGCAUUUCUUGUAUUUUGACAAAAUAACACAUCAUAUUUUUGGUGGGUUUAAAUAAUUGUUUUUUCCCUAUAAAAUUAAGAAUUUCUUUGCACUUUAAUAUAUAAAUAUUUUUUAUAUAUAUUUUAGUGCUUGUAAUUUUAAUAUUUGAAUUUAUUGUUUGCUAUCAACUAUCAAUAGGUUACUGAUUAUGUAAGAGUGAUGUUGGUAGUUCAUUGGCCUGUCGACAAUAUCAAUAGUUUGACAUGCUAUUAUAUGUAAAUUUUUUGGUAAAUUGAAUUAUUACAUUUUCAUAUAUUUAAAAUAAUUGAUGAUGUUAGAUCAACUUAUGAGAAAUUUAAAAAAAAAACAUAAUUUACUAAAAAUAAUUACAUAUUAUUUAUUAUUAAAAUCUUUAUAAGUUAAUUAACGGUUAAUGUAAUUCCAUGUUAUGUCGUCAAUUAAUAUUUUUACUUGACAAUAAAGACUAAAUAUUUUUUUUUUAAAGUUUGACCAGGACUAAAAUAAAAAACUUUGAAAAACUAAAGCAGAAAACACACUAACGAAUAGUAGUCAAAAUAAUGUUUAAGCCUUGUUUGUGUUAAUUUUACGUAGACUUUUUCUAAGCAUGGUGCUGGUUAAAGUGACAAACUCAAAUACCUUUUAUGGGCACCUCACGUGUCAUUUAAUGACAUUACAAAAUUUCCCUUGAUAAUGUAAAAAUAGAAUCAUAUUUAUAUUUUUUAUUUAUUAAAUUUUUAACAUAAUUUUUUUGUCGAAUUAUCUUCAUGAUCAUGUAAUUAAUAUACAAAAUCAUUUUAUUACACAAUUAUAUAAUUAUUGAUUUUUUAUUUUAAAUUCUAAUUUUUUUUCUUGAAGAAUGGUAAGAUUUUGUAAGAGUAAUUUUUUAAGAGCCAUGUCUUAAUUAAAGAAAAAAAAUCAAAUCACAAUAUAAUAAAAUAUUUAUUAGACGUGAUUGAUUAACAUGGCAGUAUCAAAUGAAACAAGAAUGGUUUCCCUCUCAUAUUUUUCUUUUAAAAAAAUUAUAUAUACAGGUUAAUUAAUUUUUUAUAUAAAAUAUAUAGUUAUGAAAUUUAUUAAUUAACAUAAUUUUGUAUGUUUAAGCUUGUUAUUAUUUUACUCCUCCACUACUUAUUUUCUGGAUAUGUUCAUGUUAAUUAAUCCCUAUUAAAUAUCUUAAUCCCCAACAUAUGAACACGGAAGAUUCCAGCCAAAAGAUAUAAUUGAACACAGAGAAUACCACCUUUUUUUUUUUUGGUCUAGAAGAAUACCACCUGUUUAAGAGAACAUGCAUCUACAAGUUAUUGGUGGUUUUUUCUACUUCUUAUGAUAGCAUAGAUGAAUAUUAUUGUGGUUUUUUUUGGUCUAGAAGAAUACCACCUGUUUAAGAGAACAUACAUCUACAAGUUAUUGGUGGUUUUUUUUUUUGUCUUAUCAGAUGAAAGUUUGAGGACACAAUUUCUGCCCAAAACAUAAGCUCCCACUAUCUACUUCAUCAACAGACUACAUAUAUGUGAUAUGAUUCUAAAAAGAAAACAUGUAUAAACAGCCAGUUCAAUUAAAUCCAAGCAAUUGUUUUCCAAGUCUGCCAACCCUUAAAAUAUGGGUUAGAAAAUUAAGCUCGCCAAUCACAUCAAAAAGGAAAAUUAAAACACGUCCACAAAAAUAUUUAAAUCAAAAGAAAAUUAAAGGAAACUCACGCUGAUACAUUAGUUUGUGGAAAAAUUCUGUCUUCACGGUAUUCUUUUUCCAUACUAGGGUCCGUUGGCUGAUACAUCAGCUAAUCGCUAUCAAUGCAAGUUUCAAUAUAUCAACCAAAUAUUGAGAUAAAUGCCACAAAAUCAAAAAUAAAAAAGAACCCCGUGCAUUUACAUUAUCUGAAAUUCUUUGAAUGCUAUCUGGUCCAAGAGAAAAUUCCAAAAGCAAAUUUAUUUUAAAGGAUAUAAAAAUACAAUAAAAAAUAUUUUGGCACUAGGAAAUAUGUAAAAUGAACAAAUAAUGAGAGAAGUAUUUUUCUUUACAAUAUAGCAUGCUAGACAGAAUUAUCAAUUGUUAAUGACAGAGAGCUCUAAACUAAGAAAAAGACUCUCAAGUCAAUUGUCUUUCCUCUCAAUAUUUUAUCCUGAAUAACUAUAUAAGUGAUUUUUACAUCAUAUUUUAACCUAAAAAAUCAUAAGGCUCAUGUUAAUGAUUUUUUCCUCACUUAUUAUAUGAUACUUAACUUUUUCAUUUCUAUCUGAUGUGAGAUUUCUCCUCACAUUUGUACUUUAAUAGUCUUUUUCUCAUUUUGUGUUUUUCCCACAUGUUAGCCUUUCCCUCGAGCGAAAGUCAUUUUCAAUCCAAGAAUACUCAUUGGUGACCCUUAGAGCUUAAUCGUUUUUGCCCCCGGCUUGUUUAGCCAUUGCCACAACAUGUUCUAGUAUCUUGUACUAUUGUAACACCUGCAACUUUGCUACCUGACAUUCAUGCAUGAAUUCACCCGUUAGAAAGAUUUUUGAUGCAAGGAACUCUAUAUCCAUGAAUCCAUCAACGUCAUCUUACUCGUCUAAACUAGUCACUAAGUCAAACCAUUGACUCUGAUAUCAAAUUUUUUGAAAAAUCCAAGAGAGUAAAUACUAGAGAAAUUUUCCACAAUAGGUCACCAAACAAAUUACAUAAGUAAACUUGAUAUCAUAUCUUAGAAUUCUAACACUUAUUUUUGAAUAAAAAACCUGUAGGUGGAUUCUAGAAUAAUUUUAAUAGCAUAAGAGAUAGGCAAAACCAAAACAUAGUUUUAGUUCACAAACUAAACAGGAUCUAGACUUGUAUGUGAGCCCCUUUUUUAUGCUCAUUCAACCCUGCUCUUAGAUAUUAACUUAUUUAUAAGUAAAAAUCAGAAUGCAGGGGAGAGUGAAUAUGAUACGGCUUACCAGUAGGAAGAGAACUUCUAAGAACACCUGAGAAGUGUAAUGUACAACAAGAAUACAGUUUCUUGGGAAUCAAUUUUCAAUUUCCCAUGAAUUUAGAUAGCGAACUAGUAAUUAUUAUAAUUUCGAAAACAAAAUUGGUCAGAAUAUCAACAUGUCCUCACUUAUACAAACUCAAUCGAUGGAACAAAAAAACAAAAUUCCUGAUCAAUUUUCAUUCCAUGUCUGGAGCAAAAGUACUUCCACAACAGCAAUGGGAACAAAAUAGCGUGCAUAAUGCAAAAUGGUAUUAAUGACUGCUAGAAUUUUGUAAUAUGCAGCAUAUAACAAAGGUUUGGAGGAUGCUAUUGCUGUUAUUAUCAAAAUAGCAAUGCCUAGCUAUUGAUUCUCGGGAUUGUAAUUUAUUUUUGCUUAUUUAGUACCUUUUUGUGUUGAGAAUUUCUUCCUCUCAAUAAUAGGGCAAAAGUUUACAUUGUGUUGAGAAUUUCUUCCUCACAAUAAUAACAAGAUUGAUUGUUGACAAUUUGGAAACUCUUAUUUUAAUCUAUGAUAACAUAUUCUGAUCCAUGUGAGUUAAGGGAGAAAAAUUAAUUAAAAUUUAGGUGUGCUCUAUAGUAAUAGGAUUUGGUGCUCUGUUUUAUUCAAAUUCAGCUGAAAAGUUCAUGAUGUGACAUUUUGUUGUUAGGUCCAAUAAAAUAUUGUUCUAGAGGGUUCUAGUAGUUUCGGUGAUGUCUUAUAUGUUUUACAACUUCUGUUUUUAUUUUAUAUUUUCGCUUCUCUGAACUUGUCUUGGUUUUUAACUCAAACGAGAUGACUUCUUUAUAUUUAAAAGAGAAAAAAUUCUUAUCUGCUCAGUUACAGACAUCGGUUAUGAUAUCUACAUGUGAAUAAUAAAUUCAGUUAUCAAGAUGAUUUUGUAUGCUCUUUUUCCAAUCUACUCUGCAUGUCUUAUAAAUAUUCUGCACUUUAAUUGUAUAAUUUUCAUAUCAUGUUUUAGAGCUGACACUUUUUGUUAUAUUUUGUUUCCACAAAAUAAGAACCAUAUAUGACAGAAAGCUUUUUUUUCUUUAUUUGGAGCUAAGGGUAGUAUGACAAAAGUUUCUGUAAAAAUAUGUGUAAAAUUCAUAGGCUCUUUGAUAUUAGACCUUAAAAAUGGUUGGACAAGAAAUAAAAUGAAGUGAAGAUAGCUGGAUGUUAGACCAACUUCAUUUGCACACCUUUGUUGAUAAGAAGUAUAGCUGAAUCAAGGUAGAGCCUUAGAGGACGAGGAGAACCUCAAUAGACAGCUAUGACACCAGCAUGUUGAUGUAAUAAUUGUCUAAUUUGCACUGAACACUUUGAUGAUAAAAACAAAAGCAUUUUUAAUUAUUAAAUUACCAACAAAUCAGUGUAAUUAAAGAGAAAUGCUAAUGUAAUUAUAAUCAUUAUUUUGUAGGUCGUAAAGCUGAGUAUUUAAAUUUUGCAGGCUUAAAUAAGUAGUCGGAACAUACUAGCCUGAUCAACAAACAUAAUUUUGAUAUCUGGCAUUCUUGAAAAGAGAUUAUACAAUAAAAAGACAAUCAAAAUCAAUAGGUUUUUCCAAACACUUAUUUUGCAUUGCAUAGCAAACAUCGAUCAAUACUACAUAGUACAUAUCGUAAACCUUCAGCUAUUCAUGAAGCUUUCACCCCGGAUUGAAAUUUUGAAGCUAAUACGCCAUAAACUGCAAAUUACGUGCUACAUAUCAGAUUACAUAUAUUAAUGGAAAUGGAGAAGAAUUAGAAAACGAUUUUUCGUAGUAGAUUAAAUGAACUGGAAAUCUAGUUAUAUAGCCAUUCAAGUACACAAAUGUGCAUAGCUGUAAGCAUUUUUUCAUGAGGUUUAAACUUCAAACAUUAGACAUAUCAUUUAAAAAAAAAAUCUCUAAACAGAGAACAUGCACCAGCAUCUAAACAAUUUCUUUAACAAGAAAAAUAGUAAUCAUCUUUUUCGAUAAAGUAACUACUAUUAGUGAAGGCACAAAUUAAAGAAACAGAAGGAAAGUAACUAUUAGUAAACACUAUGAAGUUCCAAAGGGUGAAGUUAUUGGAAUUACGUACCUACUAGCCUUUGAACCACAUAUGGCACUUGGCCAUGUUCACUUCCACCAUUAGAAGUAUAUAGUCUGUGAGUCUGAUCAAGAAUCUUUGGUAAGCAAUUCUCCAUGGUUUCCAAAGUAGUAUUGGCCCUAAUAAGCCCCAAAAGCCUGUGAAGAAUCCUAGGCCCAAGCUCAUAUAUAAUGCUCCAUAGAAUAUUGAAUCUUCAUCUUCACCAUCAACUGCUUCUCCUUCAGGCGUCCCUAUUGGCUUAUCUCCAGGACAACUUUUGUUAAGUUGUUGACCACAAAGAUUCGUAUUUCCUUCAAAACUAGAGCCAUCAAAGGUUUGCAACUGUCUUCCCCAAGGGAUUCUUCCAUUGAGAUCGUUGUUUGAUAAGUCUAAGACAGCAAGACGGUCAAUUUUGGAAAGAGUAGAUGGAAUUUUUCCUGAGAUAUGAUUUCUUGAUAAGUCAAGAAAUUCUAACGAAUUUAAAUUCCCAAUCUCAGAAGGAAUUUGUCCAUGUAAGUUGUUUCUUGAUAAAUUCAAAGAUACCAAUCCAAGUAAAUAUCCAAGCUCUUUUGGUACUUCACCUGUUAAAUCAUUACUUGAGAGAUCAAUGCUCUUUAGAAGAUUCUCUGGAUUCCAAUACAUAUGAUCCUGACCUUUCCACAUCAAUAACACAUUAGAGUCAUAAAUGAGAGGGGAGAUUGAUGUAGAUGAUAUUCUUCGCCCCAUUACAAUUUGACUUGUGAUUACUCUGCUUUCCAUCAUCGCAGUAUAGUUCCUUAGACAAGUUGGAAUUCCUUUUGACAAGUUAUUUCUUGAAAGAUCCAAGAUAUGAAUUUGCCUCAAAUAACAGAGAUGAACAGGAACACUUCCAUUAAAGUGGUUUACACUCAAGCUCAAGAUUUGUAAUUGUUGUAAACUUUGUCCAAUCCAUGACGGUAUUGGACCAGACAACAAAUUUUCACUCAAGUCUAGUAUAUCUAAACGAGUGCAGUUCUUCAAGGUGAAUGGUAGGUCUCCAAUAAAAUUGUUGUGUCUUAAGACCAAAGCUUCCAAAUUAACAAGUGUACCCAUGGACUGUGGAAUCUUGCCUGACAAUUUAUUAUUGCUCAGAUCAAGAAAUUCUAAUGUAUUUAGAUGUUCCCAACAGUUGGGCAGUCUAUGUCUAAUUAAGCUCUCGGUCUUCCGUUUUUGCAAUUUUAUUUCGUAGAAAGAAGCCAAAUUUGAAGAUACAACAUUUGAUACUAUAACUGUUUGGUGUUUUGAAAAUCUCACUGACAUAUUUCCAAAUGUUACAAAAGAAUUUGAUUCAGUGGUUUUUACGAAUUCCUUCCUAGCCUUUUUUACCAAGUCAGGGAAUUUGCAUUGUUGUGCAUGAUGGCUGCCACAAGGACCAUUGUACCAACCCAUUAGUGCAAGUGGUUUUUUCUUAUGAGAAUUGAGAAACAAAUUAUAUAUGUGUUUUAUAAAGGGAAUUCUAUUAUUUUUAAUUUUGAACUUGUAAUGUUUUUUGUUUCCCUCACAGAACAAGUGAUGUGACUCUUGAUCGACGCCAUACGUACGCAUAAUUUGAUGCUCUUUUUUCACACCACUUUUAUCUUAAUGGUAUCUCAAGUUGACAGUCAUAAAUUAAAAUAGCUAACUAUAGUUGAUUAGUAGAGACAAACAGCUCAAAGAUAAAGAUCUUUAAGCCAUCAUUUUUUUUUUCCUUUUCUUUUCUAUGAACUGUCAUUUCUUAUCUCUACAUGGAAUGUCUAGAAGUUGAAAAUUACUUGAGCUUUCUUUACCUACUGCUUUCCAUUUUGGCGAACUGCUUUUCUUUCUCAUAAUGAACUUUCCACUUCCAAUGAUGGUUCAACAUUAAUAAUUCUUCAUCUAUUUUGUCUAAAAAUUUCCACUCACUUUUUGUGAGUGGUGUGAAUGUCAUGCCGACAAAUGAUGUCCAAGCUCCACUUUUUCCAUUCAUUGCAAGUUGUAAGCAGAAUGUAGAAUGUACGUAUAAUAAAAUAAUGAGAAUGGCAACUGCUAGUACUACUUAAUUAGAACAAAAGUAUCAAAAUUAAAACGAAAAUAACUUUGAUGCUGUUAAUAUAUGAGUUUAAUUUUGAUAGAUAGUGUAAAAAUUUAAAUUGUUAAUUAAUUAGAAAUCACCAAAUGAUUUGUAAAACAAUUACUAAAAAAGUUAUAGGAAAUAUAUAUAAUUAAUUAAUUGCAAAUGAAAGUGUAUUUAAAUUAAAUUCUUAAUUAACAUAUCCUUAUUGUGAUAUUUUGUAUAUUUUUUAUUUAAUUGAGACAGUGGAAUGAGACCGCACUAUAAUUUUCAUCACGGGUGUGGUUGUCAAAUAUAAUAGGGAUGGUUGGUGAGGAAUUUUGGAAUGUUAGUUGGUUUUAGACUAUAUAUCCUUUUGUUCAGUUUUCACAUUCUCAUUAGAGUUAAGUUGCUUUUGGGGAAGAACCAAUGUCUUGAAAUUCCCUCUUCACCAGAAGCAGUUUUAUUGUGUCUUUAUCGAAGUCAUCUUCUCCAGAGACUUGCCUUUUAACUUUGAAGAUAGGAAAUAGAUCAGUCAAACAUUGUUUCAGUUUAUUUGGAUUUUUUUUUUUUGCUUGGGAAAAUAUGAAAAAUACACUCAGGAUCAGGUCCUGUUCACAAGAAAUGUUUAAGUCUAUCCCACACAUGAAAUGCUUAAUUAUUUAAGCCUAAUAAAUUAAUAAUAUUUUUGUUUCAUAAUAAAUAUUUUUCAUUUAUUAUUAAUACAGACUAAAAUAAAACUCACUAAUUUAUUAGGAAAUAAAUAUGAUUUUUUUAAAUUUAUUAGAAACUAAAAUAAAAUAUCAAGGAUAAAAAAUAAAAAGUGCUAAUUUAUUAGCAACUCAUUAUAAAAUAAAAAUUUAUUAGAAAACAAUUAAAAGAUUAAGUAUUUAUUAGGAAUAAAAACAUAUUUAAUUUGAUUUAGUAUUUAACAUUGUUUUCGUCUAUCUGUAUUAUAAUGUUUUUUAUAGUUGUUUCAUUUCAAAUUUGUGACAACAUUUUCAUUGGGACCCUUCAUCAGCAAAUUGGACACUAAAGAGACUCAUUCAGGAACAAAUAACUACUAGGGGUACAAUAAAAUGAGAGGAUUUAACACUUUUGCAGUAGGAAAAUGUACUUUAACAAAAUAAAAUUAUGUGUUUAUUCUUGAUAUAUAUAUUUAACUCACUAGGGGUACUUUUGUGUUUGAUGUUUGAUAAUAUUUUUCUAUAAAUAAAAUCUUUAAUAUUUAAACAAUAUUAUUUUAAAUCUCUAUAGUUAGUUUAAUAAUAUGAUUUGAUUUGUAGCAAGUGAAAAAUUAGUUUAACAAUAUUAUUUUAAAUCUCUAUUAGUUUAACAAUAUUAUUUUAAAUCUCUAUAUUUAUUUGAAACAUGUCCUCCACCCCGUGUCUAUGCCUGGUUAACCCACAAUUUGAAGGACAUGUGAUUUACAAAGACUUGUUACAACUCACAACCUUUGGAAUUUCUCUAUGCCUGGUUAACCCACACUUUUCUAAAAUAUUAUUUUUUAUAUUAAAAUUUAUUAAAAUAAAAAAAUUAUAUGUUUAUCCAUGAACACUAAGCUCUAGACAAAAAAAAAAAAAAAAAAACCACGAGAAAUAGUAUAUAACUCUUUAGUGGACAAUUGGUGUUGUACAAAAUUGAAAUGAUCCAGACUAAGUCAAGAAACUGGUCUUCUUCAUUGAACUCACAGUGAAACCACAGAAUUUAUUUUCAUCUACUAGUUUCCUUCCCAAUUCCCAUGUUUUCUAAAACAUAACACACUACAGAACCUUCUAAUAAAUUAAAACAAAAAAACCAAUAUUUUACAUGUAGCACCACAACCUAACAAUUUCUACCUACAACUUUUUCUAUAGACUAUAAUAUAAUCUAUCUCCACUCAUUCAUUCAUCAAGAUUGAGAAAUGGAUUCAAAUGCUUGUCUACCACACUUGCUAGUGUUAGCAAUAACAUUGGUAUUGGUUAGUCAUGCAAUGGGAGAUUCAGCUAAAGACAAACAGAGAUGUGCAGAAUCCCUGACAGGUGUUGCAACGUGUCUGCCAUAUUUGGGUGCUGACGCGAAAGCACCCACAGCAGAUUGUUGCAGUGGUCUCACACAAGCUAAAAGUACCAAAAAAUAACUCAAAUACUACCUAUAUAUUACCAUUUUCAUAUCACGUUGAAAUGUAAACCAUUGAUUAGUUGAUAGUGUAAAAAAUAUUUACACUCUUGAGUGUACUAAAUCUCUGACAGACUCACAAUAGAUAUUAUUGCAAAACCUUUCGGAGAUUUAUUUUUUGUUUUUAAUACUAGCCUAGAGUCUACAGAUCAAAGUUAAUUAAUUGCUGAAAAUUAUGUUCAUUCUCAUUCUUGGCGCUGUUAGUCCAGUGUGAAAACGGACAAAUUCAGUUUCAUGUUAUAUAUGGCUCUGUAUAUGAAAAGGAAAUUAAAGAAAAAGUAGAAUUUGAUUAUGGCUAAUUUCACGCAUUAUAUUUAUUACAAGAAAACCUUUAGAUAAAAAUUAUUUUUUGGUACUUUUAGCUUGGUCGUAAACAUUAACAUUACAUCACGCACACAAACAUAAAAGGCAAACCAAAUUAUUUUAUAUCCCUAAAUUUUAUGAGGAAGGAUGCUAUAAAUAUUAACAAUACAUCUCACACACACAAAGACAACUAAAAUUAUAUCACUAAAUUGAGGUGGGGAUAGUUUUGAAAAAAAAAAUAGUUGGUGUGGUUGUGUAGGUGUGUUUUUAUGUUUUUCAAUUCAGGAUAUUAAAUUUACAAAUAAUUUUAUGUUUUUCAAUUAGAUUUUAACAAUAAUUAAGAAAUAAAUCUAAAUCAUUAUACAUUUGUUUAUAGGUACUUGGCAUAUUGGAGAUGUUAUAUGGGAAUCUAAAUUUUGCUUAACACAAAUGUGGUAUAUGCAAGGAAAAAUCAAAUUGAAAAAUUUUUAACCACCACUUCAAAUUUUAAAAGAUUUGUUUCAAAAUAAGGAUAUGAAGAACAAAUUGUUUUUACAGAACAUUCCCUCCAUGAUGUUUUCCUUUCCGUUAGGUGAAAAAAAUAGACAUUUCCAAAAAUAAUGGAAGUGAACCUUAUAUAAUGCUGUUUAUAUAGAGAAGUCUUUCAAAAUACAAGUUAAAGUACUAUUACUACAAACUAUUUUGUAUCAUAUAUCGCUUAUAUAUUUUGAUAUAAAACAUUUAAUAAUUUUUUUUUAUUUCUUAGUAACAUGUACAUGAAAGUCAAUCCAAACCGAAUCGAGGAUUUAUGUGGCAUUUAACUUUUAUCACUUUCUGCCCUCAAAGAUCACACUCUAAUCAUGUACCAACAUUUUGUGGUGUACAAGAAAACUCUUCUAUUUGAGAGCAGACGAUUUUUAUUUGAACCUCUUUUGGCAAAUGGAACUAGCUUUGGAUUACCAUGUGACAAAAAACUACUUUGGAUUACCAUGUGACGAUUUUUAUUUGAGAGCAGACGAUUUUUAUUUGAACCUCUUCACUGUUUUUUAUCAAUAUUACCAAAAUUUCCUUAAAGUGUUCAAUAUUUCGUAAUCUUCAUAAUUAAUUCAAAAUUCUCAAAAGAUUAGUAUAUGACCUUUUUUCUUGUUUGUACUAGGAGAGGAAUAAAUGAAAAAAAUUCAGAAAUUUGUGGAUUGCAAUUUGCUCAAAUGAUGUGUCUAUUAGUUCUUUGAAAUUUGUAUAUAUUGAUCAUAUUUAUUUUUACCUUUUAAUAGAUAUAUUGUGCUGUCAUCCCAAGAGAAGGAUCAAACAUUGAUGAUGCAGAUGUGCUAAGAUAUUGCAAGAAGAAUCUUGCAUCUUUCAAAGUCCCUAAAAAGGUUUUCAUUACUGAUUCUUUGCCCAAGACUGCCACCGGAAAGAUUUUGCGUCGUCUUGUGGCAGAACACAUUGUCUCUCAAAUUUGAGCAACUGAUCAAGUCAUACUUUUGAAGCCUCCAUACCUGGCCAUACAUAGUUGGAGUCCACACACCAUAAAUUUCAACAAUAAUUUGGCAACUUGGCAUUUAAGAGGAGGGUAAUUCUGCAAAUGGUCUUUCAUUCAGGAUACAAUAGAUUGUAGUUUUCAAUGAUUCACGUGAAAUGUUCACAAUGUAAUGUUUUCAAUGUUUUAUAGGUCUUAAAUACCAAUAGCAGACAAGAUCAUGCUUAUGCUUUUUUGCUAUCGUGCUCCUGUUCCUUGCCACUGGUCUUGAUGAAGCCAAGCAUUGUCUCUUUGCCUUUUAAGUUGUACAUAGUUGCAAAACGGGUACAUGUGAAAGAAUAAUGCUUAUUAAAGGUAAGGUUGAUUUUAAAGUGGGCAUGCAAGAAUGCAUUCAUUAUCUCAAGUAAAUAAAUUCAAGCGAAUAUGUGAUUUGGAUUAGAGAAUAGUAUUAUCCAGUGCACACUAAAUUGGAGAGAUUCCCAACAUGUGGUUUCAAAACUAAAAGUACUUACCAACUAUUUGAAUUUUAAUCUAUGUGUUCUAGCUAAUGUUUUCUAUCACAGAAUUACAACUAGUUGAUCUUAAGAACAAAACUAUACUAAAUAUGCAAAUCUUUACAUCUAAAAACAGAAUUUAAAUAAGGCUCUCAAAUUUGAAGAAAAAAAAGAAGAUAGCAAUGACUACAAAUUGAUCAAUCUGCCAAUACAAUGAUAAAACAUUGGUUUAUUCUAAGCAACACUAAAAAGUGAUACUACAUGAGCAAAAAGAUUGAAAUUAUUGACCAUGCAGUAUGAGUGUACAGCAUUAUUUAUUUAAUUUUUCAAAUACAAUUUUAUUUUAUAUUAAUACAAAAACUCUCACAAAACAACUUCUUAACUACUAGUUAAUUACUACUUUUAUGCAUAAAAAAACUAGUUAAUUACUACUGCUACAUAGCAGAAAUUCCUUCAUUCUUCGAGAAUUAUAUUCCUUAGUUUCACGUGGUUUGCCUCAGUUGUUUGCCGCAGGUUUCAGUAUAUCCUUAAUUAGGAAUCGUCGAUUGUCAAAUCGUUGUUAAAUAAAGGCGCUAUAUAUAAUUUUAGUAUUUUGACGUUUUUAAAUGAAUUUCUUAUUUAUGAUUAUAUAUUUACAAUUUUUAAUUUCACUUAAAAAAAUUGAGGUUUUUUUUUAUUUACAGAGAAAAAAAUAGAGUUUUUAGUUAACACACUGUUACUAUAUAGUGCGGAGACAAUUACCCCACAAGCUUUUCAUUAACUUGUCAUAAUAUAAUAUAUGUGAAUACAAACUGUCCCUAUAAUUUAAAAUGAAAUAAAUAAAAAGUCAAUAACUUUAUAAGUAUUGUCUCCACACAUAUAUAUUAUCCUAUAAUUUACAAUUUUUAUAUUUAUUAUUGAUAUUCUUAAUUAACUAAGUAAAAAUAUUUUUUUAUAAUUUUUAAGAUAAUUAUUAUAAAUAUUAAUAAAUUUAUUAUAAAUAACAUUUUUAUAUGUGUAAGUGCAUGUAUAUUAUUUAUUGAAAUAUUUUAUUUUAAUUUUUCAUUAAAAAUACUAAAUUUAUUAACAUGAUACGUGCCUCGUUAGAGCAGUGGUUUAAUUUAAUCUGAUAGUGAGAACUGAAUUGACAGCAAAUUCCCUUUACUGUGUGAUGAAAGAGUUGUACGAAAUCUUUAUGACAUCAGCCCCCAACAUGAGUGGCCCAGUGGACAAGCCCAUCAAUCUAACAUGUCGGUUGAUAGCACUUGCAUAAACUUUUGUUCCUUGCAUCAUCUCAUGUGUCUCCAUUCUCCAUUCUCUGCUUCCACUAACGAUUAAACCUCAUUGAUUAGGGUUCAAUGAUUUUUCAAUGAAUAAAAUUAAUUUUAAAUUCUUGAUUCUAACAGCUCACGUAUAGUCUGUUGAAUCAAAUGGAUUAGACUCUUGAUAUCAUAAAGAAAAUUAAAAUUUGAUUCUUUGUGUAAAAUAAAGAAAUCUAAUUAAUUAUGCUUGUUAUGUUACUAUAUAUAUCAUUUUUCCGGUGUGGAGUAACAUCAAAAUCAAAGUAACAAAGUUACUUGCAUGUUACUCUAACCAUAAUUCCAGCUAAGUCGAAUAUGGUUUCAUGUUUUGUAAAACAAUUUAGAUCCCCUUUAUCAAAUUGUAUAUGUCUUUUACACAAGUUUUUUCACUUUAUUUUAUUACCCCCAAAAUCAAUUGUUGUGUUAUUCAUACUAUUAAAAAGAGAGAUUGAAUAUUAAAUGAUAAAAAUAUAAAAUAAUUGUUUUGUAUUGGCAGAGUACACAUAUAUAUGCCCAAAUGUAGAUUCAAAGUUCAAACAUUUUGGGCCUAGAUCAUCCCUCCUAGUCAUAGCCAUCUGAAUUGGAUCGACCCCACCCCAAGGUUUGUGUUGCAUCACUUGCAUGCAUUCACCCACCACAGUUGUUGUUAUAGUUUUCUCGUGAUUUUUGUAUUGGAAAAUACUAUGGACAAAUAUAAUUGAUACAGUCAUAAUUAAUUAUUGUCAUGUUGCAAUUACAAAGACUCCUCAAAGAAAAUGUUUAGUAAAUCAUGAUCAAGUAGAAAUUGCAAUGGCAAACUGUUUUUUAAAAUCUUAUUAGUCAGUUGUAUAAACCCAAAUUUAGUUAUAUCCAGGUAUGUAAUAUUUGCCAUUUUAGUGCUCUGUUUGGAAAUUUGCGUGUCGAAUUGUUUUUUUUAUACGUACCUACACAACACUCUUUAGCCAAAUACCACUUUUCAUGGAGGAAUCUGUCCUGAAAGGAGUAUAGAACAAGAAACAAUAUGCGUGGUUGUAUCUAUCAUUCUGAAAAAAGAGAAAAAGUGAGAUACGUACAAUAGUAGGACUGUGACACUACUAGAAAAAUGUAUGCACCUUUCAUGUCCCUAAAUUUAUGAACAAAAGAUUCAGGUGUCGUUUAUUGAAUUUGUUUUAUAUGGAGUGUAAAGUCAUAUCCAAUACUAAUAAGUGUAUGUUUAUAUAAUUCUUUCAAAAAUAAUUACUCUUCUUUAUUUACAUCUAAUAAAAAUGUUAUUACAUUAAUUUUUAAAAUAAGCUAAAUGAAGCAUGUUUCAUAAGAAAUUAACUUUUACUGUAAUUGUUACAUUUUUUAGUAACAAAGGGAGAUGGGUGAAGGAAAAAAAAUGAAGAUAAUGUCUAUGUUGUUCAAAUAACAGUAUUAAUUGUAUUAAAAUAGUUAAUAUUAAAAAAUAUAUUAGUAAAUAUAACAUUGUUGUGUUGGUGCUAUUUAUUGUGCAUCAAAAUAUGUAAAAAUAAUAAUUAACUUGUAAUUUGUAUAGUUGGUAUGGGUUGUUUUAUCUAUCCUGGAUUUUGUUGUAUCACACAUAUAAUCAUUUAUAUAUAUAUAUGGGCUACUAUUGUCACUACCAAAAAUGCUAUUGAGACUACCAAAGCAUUUGAAAUUACUUGGUUAUCCUUAGUUCCAUUCCCCCACACCUCCUAUCCUUCCCCUCUUUACGUUCAGCUACUCUCCCUCUUUACAUCCAAAAACAGAAUUUAAAUAAGGCUCUCAAAUUUGAAAAAAAAAAAGAAGAUAGCAAUGACUACAAAUUUAUCAAGCUGCCAAUACAAUGAUAAAACUUCGGAGUAUUCUAAGCAACACUAAACAGUGAUACUACCUGAGCGAAAAGAUUGAAGUUUGAACCACGCAUGAUCAAGGAAAUGAAAAUAGGCAUACCGCCAUGAUCUACAAAUCAGCAAAGGAGCAAUCACUAUCCAGAAUCCCACAAUAAAUCCAAUUGUCAUACUGACAAAAAACCAAUUCACUCCAUGCCCAUCACUUCCUUCAUAACUAUGGGUUUUCCCAUUGGAGCUGCAGUUUAUGGGCAGUGGUGGACCACAUAGAUUGUUGCCGAUGAAGCUGGAGGCAUCAAAGGUUUGCCAUUGAGUUCCUGUUGGAAUAUUUCCCCUUCAAAUGAAUUGUAAGACAAGUCUAGCAUGCUCANNNNNNNNNNNNNNNNNNNNNNNNNNNNNNNNNNNNNNNNNNNNNNNNNNNNNNNNNNNNNNNNNNNNNNNNNNNNNNNNNNNNNNNNNNNNNNNNNNNNNNNNNNNNNNNNNNNNNNNNNNNNNNNNNNNNNNNNNNNNNNNNNNNNNNNNNNNNNNNNNNNNNNNNNNNNNNNNNNNNNNNNNNNNNNNNNNNNNNNNNNNNNNNNNNNNNNNNNNNNNNNNNNNNNNNNNNNNNNNNNNNNNNNNNNNNNNNNNNNNNNNNNNNNNNNNNNNNNNNNNNNNNNNNNNNNNNNNNNNNNNNNNNNNNNNNNNNNNNNNNNNNNNNNNNNNNNNNNNNNNNNNNNNUUCAUUAGUGUCAUGGCACUCAAGUUACUGAAACAGCUGGGUAUAUGCCAGACAGAUGUUUUGUGCAAGGUCUAAAACUGAAGAUGACUCAUCUGACAUAUUUCAUUGGAAUGUGGCCGCCAAAUCUGUUUGAUCGAAGGCGGAGGAUUUUCACAUUUAAGAGGUUUUCUCCAACCCAUGUUGGAAUAGUUCCUGAAAGAUUAUUUUCCCCAAGGUCCAAGGAUAUCAAUUGGUUAUUCUUCUUCAAACUGGUUGGAAAUAUUCCAGAGAGUGUGUUGUUACGAAUUUGUAAAGACUGCAGCUCUGCCAAGGAACCCAUGGAUUGGGGUAAGUUCCCAACAAAAUGGUUGCUUUGUAAAUUUACAUCCACCAGAAGUGUCCAAUUCAUCCAGCAAUCAGGUAUCUCUCCUGACAAAUUAUUUGAUGCAAGAUUCAGAAAUUCUAAUCCCAUUGGCUCGUCCUGAUCGUUACAUAAAAAGUCAUUCAUGGAUUCAGAGAAUGAAUUGCUUGAAAGAUCUAACCAAAACACAUCACUUGAAAGAUAGGGUAAUUUACCACACAAGUGAUUUGAGCUUAGAUCAAUAGUUGGGAUAGAUAUUGGAUUCUUUAAUGUAGUCCCAAUCUCACCAUGGAUAUGAUUACGAGAGAGGUUUAAAUACGAAACCUGAGAAAGUGCUUCCCACAUCUGUGUGGGAAUAGAAUCGAAAAUCCCCGUGUUAGAUAGUCCAACAUAUGGAAGUUGGUUUUGUGACUGAAUCCACAAUGGAAAGCUGGGACCUAACUGCCAUGAUGUCACUUCCAAAUAGGUAAGUUGAAAAUUAGGAAUCCAAUUGGGACCCACUUUUAAAGUUAAAUUGUUCCCCGAUGCGACAAACUCCAUCAAGCUUGUAAGAUUUGCAAGAUCAUCUUCCUUGACAACUCCGUGAAAAAGAUUGCCGUCAAUAUCAAGAGAUAACAAUUUAGAGAGUGAUCGAAGACUUUCAAAUGGAUUUCCACUGAAUUUAUUGAUAGAGAGAUCGAGAUAUCUUAAUGAUGAAAGUUUUCCAAAUGAUCUAGGAAGAGCACCACCAAUUGAGUUGUUGUAAAACCGUAGCUGCUCAAUAUUUUUAAAUGCCCCAAUAUGAUCUGUCAGAUUGCCUGAAAGUCGUGAACUCUGAACUGCAAGUCUUGUGAGUCCAUGGGAAAUACAAGGAGCAAGAAUUUCUAAAAGCUCAUUAACCUGUUGGUUGAGUUUGAGAUAUGAUAAAUCUAUCACCCUUAAGUUGCAGAGAUUACCCAAAGAAGUUGGAAUGUUUCCUUCAAGUUGACUAUAUGACAAAUCAAGUUCAACAAGAGAAGUCAAAUUACCCAAAGAAGUUGGAAUGUUUCCUUCAAGUUGAUUACCUGAUAAAUCAAGUUCAACAAGAGAAGUCAAAUUUCCCAAGGCAUCAGAAAUAGUCCCAUGCAAGUCGCAGGAACUUAGGUCCAAAGACUUGAGACGAUGAAGACCGUAUAAGCAAUCAGGUAUAGAAGUUGAGAAUGAAUUUCCAGACAAGUCAAGAUUUUGAAGAAGUGUGAGGUUUCGAAUACCACCAGGAAUCGGACCAUUGAUUUCAUUAUAUGAUAAUUGAAGAGAAACAAGUUUCUUCAAUUUGAAUAUCCACUUGGGGACAAAAGAAAUGGCAGGGGAAUAACUAGUAUCGGAAAGAUGGAGAGUUUGCAGAGAUGAGAAGUUGAGCAAGGAUGGUUCAUUAUAGUGAGGGAGUGUGCAUCCAUACAAAUAUAGGUGGGUCAAAGAAGGAAGAGAUUGGAGAGUGUGUAGCCAAUGAAAUGCUUUGGAUAGGUUUGCAUAACUCAAAUGAAGAUAUUCAAGCUUCCACAUACUUGAUAGCCAUUCUACAUUUUCAGCAAACAGAGGUUCGACAACAUAAUCACCUCCAAGGCCAAGAUACACCAAAUUGGAGAGAUUCCCAAUCUGAGAUGGAAUUGUUUGAUUGGCGGCAUACGCCAGGUCAAGAUACACCAAAUUGGAGAGAUUCCAAAUCUGAGAUGGAAUCUUCCCCAUGAAUCGAGUAUAAGAGAGGUCGAGGUGAGUCAAGGAAGUCAUUGUCCCGAGGAAAGAAGGAAUUGACAUACCUCCUCCAAGUAAAUAAUUGCCGCUCAAGUCAAGAUAUCGAAGCUUAGAGAGAUUCCCAAUCUGAGGAGGAAUCUUCCCAUUGAAUCCAGUAUGAGAGAGGUUGAGGUGAGUCAAGGAAGUCAUUGUCCCAAGGAAAGAAGGAAUUGACGUACCUUCUCCAAGUAAAUAAUUGCCGCUCAAGUCCAAGUAAUUCAAAUGCUUUAAAUCAGCCAAACAAGGACUUAUCUCUCCACCAAAGCUCCAUCUCCUAUAAGCUUCCUCAUCGAAGAGAUAGUGGUAAUCAUAGUGAUACUCGAAAGCAGAAAACGUAGUGUUGAGGUGAAGCUGAAGAAGAUGGGAAGUGACGUUGUGGCAGAGGACUCCAUACCAGUGGCAACAGUUGGAAUUAUUAUGAUUCCAAGACCAAAGCCUAUUGGAAGGAUCAUUGAGAUUAUUCUUAAACUUGAAAAGUGUCUCACGCUCACUUGGGAUGCACACACUCUCUCUGCAUGGUAAGCUCAACAACCAAAGCUGGACAAAGACAAGAAUAUAAAUGGAGGAGGAAUUCAUGAUCACACAAGAAUAUAUAGAAAACAAGUGUAGUUGUUGGUUCUGCAUAUAAAUCAUCAAACUUCUAUUAUUUAUACUGCUGCCCUGCCCUGUUUUUUUCUUCACUUUCAUUAUUUUUUACCUUUUUUAUUAUUGCGCCAAAUACUAAAUUAUUCUUCCAUUCUUUUUUUACGCUGGCCUCUUUAAAUUAUCAAUUUAAUUAUCCAAUUCUCCCGAAUUAUUCUCCCAAAUUAAUUUUGAUCAAUUUUUCAAUUCACAAAAUAAUAUUCUUCUUAUAUGUGAAAAAGACUAAUUAAUCUUCAUUGUCAUUAAUGAUUGUUGUGUUGUCUAUUUCUAAUUGUUUUUUAAUCAUAAUAUUAUUUUCUUUUUAUUAAAAAUUAAUUAGUGAGAUACAAAGAAGUUUAAUUUGAUCUAUCAUAAUUAUUGAGAUCAUAGUUUCUUCUUUUAUAAGUCUUGGUCCAAAUUUCUCCAUGUAUUGUAGAUCAUAUUUAACUUAAAAAGUAAAUUAGAAGAUCUACAAAGAAGUGUGACAUGUUUUUUAAAUUAUAAAAUUAUGGUCCUAGCUAUUUAUUGUUAGACCACAAGUUUUCAUAUAUUAAAGUUUUUGUCUAAAUUUCAUUUAUGGUGAUAGUUUACGAAUAGGAUAGAAGACAAAAAUAAAUAUUCAAUUUAUUGAAAUAUCUAACUCAAUUAAUUGAUGAAUACAUCAAUUAUAGGAAAAGGGUGUACUUUAAAGACUAUUUCUAUUAAAAAAUAUAUAAUUUUUUUUCCUUCCAAUCUAAUUAUUUAAUUUUAAUCAAUUUUUUAGUUCACAAAAUAAUAUUCUCUUAUAUAGGAAAAAAAGACUAGAUUUAAUUAUCAUCAAUUGGAAAAGUUAUUGUGUCAUCUAUUUAUAGUUGUAUUCUAACUUGAAUAUUAUUUUAUUUAUCAUAUAAAAAUUAAUUAUUUAUAUAAAAGAAGUGAAAAUAAUAUUAACUUUUUUUCUCAAAAAAAAAUCAGUAUCAUAUUUUAUAUUUUUUACAAGUUAUCAACUUAAAUAAGAGGAGAAACAUAAUUUUAAUUUCCAUUUUACUUUUUAAAUAAUUGCAAGUGUCAAAUUUAAAUAAUCAUGAGAAUACUCACGUUCAAUAUAAUAUUCUCAAAAAAAAAAAUCCAUACAAUAACUUAAACAAUCUAUAAAGAAAUAAUUUAUUCUUGUGCCAAAUACUAAAACAAGAAACAUUUUUUAUUUUAGUUUACCGUAUAGAAUUGUUUAAAUCAAUGAAAUUUUUAUUUUAAGAAAAUAUUAAUGAUUUUUACAUCAAAGGUAAUUAAAUUUGGCUUAAUUAAUCUUCAAAUUUUAACUAUUAUUCAAAUCAAUCCUUUCGUUAAACCUGUACAUGUUAAGUAAACAACAAAAAGUCUUGCCUUAUAAAAUUCAAACAUUUUAUUACAUGUGGUUUGAACCCAUAAUUAAUUUUAAACUAUCAAAUUUUAAUUAUUCAAAAUAAAAGAAAUGAAAACAAAAUUGUCUCCUAGACAAACCGCUGACCACCUGAUUGUUGCCAUUUAUUUCUUUUACUCUUUUUUUUUUGGUUCUUUUAUUUUGUCCAACUUUAACUUUAACUUUAAUUAGUGAGGCUCACGCGGAUUUGUGCUUUUUAAACUUUCUUUUCAUUUUACCUUACUUUCUGUGUAACAACCAAGAGGAAACAUUCAACACGCAAAGAUGAAUUCAAAAUUCAACACGGAUUCAAAUUAUUUAAAGACCACUGUGUAGCAGCAAUUGUUUAUGAAGUUUCAAAUUAUUUAAAGACCACUGUGCAAGAAGAAACAUUCAACAGGCAAAGAUGAAUACAAAAUUUCAUUUUUAAAGAUCACUCUGUAAAAGAGACGACGUCUAAGGUGGAUCAUUGUUGGAAACAAAUUUGGCAGCUGUUUUUUUAUUAUCUUGUACAAUCCCCAGCGUUUUCUCUGAAAACUAAACCUUGGCCAAUUCUGAACAAAUGAAUUAUGAUCGGUUUGGUUUUGUAUAUUUUUUUUCAUCUCAAACUAUUUUUUUUUAUGAGAACUAAAUAAGAAUUAAAUAAAUAAUUAAACAAAUUCAAAAUGUCACAUUUUCUAGACUCUUCCCACUACUCAAAUCUCACAUUAAUUAAAUCAUUCAUUUCUAAACUCACUACUAUCCUAAAGUAGUAAAGUCCCUCUCAUCCUUCAUAAUUCCCUUUAAAUCUAUUGAGUAAAGAUAGAGACAGAAUAAAGAAUAAUUCGAAUAAAGACAGUAAUGGCCGAUGGCGUGCCGUUUUGUGCAUUAUAUGAUGUGGUCCACAAUUUGAAACAUAUAUAAAUUAUAUUAUAUAUGUCUAAUUUAUAUUAUGGAAAAUCAUAAUAAAGGUCUAAUUAUAUUAUUGAAAAUACUAUUUUUACAUUUCACAAGAUAAAUGUCUUAUUUAUUAUGUCUAAUAUAAAUUAUACUAGAUAAAUGUCUAAUUUAUAUUAUUGAAGUUCAAUGAAUAAAUAUUUUUGCAUAUAUAAAAUUAUAUCUUGGAUUUUAUAACAAACAAUUUAAAUUGUGAAAAUAAAUUACCCUUCACCAGCAGCAAGGUCGAAGUAGAGAUCAAGAAUGUUGGGGCAGCUUUUGUAGCACUGAGGGAAGCAAAGGUUUUGUGUGAAACCACUUUCCAUAAGAGAAUUGAUGAGAUUCCAAAGGAUUUUCUGUCCAACCAACAAGCCUUGAUGCAUUUCUCACUUUCAGUAUGCCCCUUAAUUUGUUUUUCAGCCGAAGUCCUGCACGUGUAAGCUUCUUCCCCUGUUCUCUUCACAUGCUAAGAACAUAUUUUUAAAGGGAAAUUCUUGUUGUUAAGAAUUUGUACGUGUAUGCAACACUUUUGAACUCCGUCAAAGAUUUUUUUUUUUUAAAUUAACAUUUCCACCAAUAAUAUGCAAACACGUUUGUCUUGGGUUGGCGCAAAAAAUUCUCGUGCUCUAUAGAAAUUUGAAAUAUGGAUCUACGUUUAACUUCCUUGAAUGAAAGAAAUAUGUAAAGGGUACGAUGUAAAAUUUACCCACGGACUUAACUUAAAUGUGGUUGUAAUUAAUUAUUUUUUUAGAGAAAAAUGAUUAUGUAAAAAAAUUUGCACAAUUAUUUAAAUACAAUUUAUUAUAUAUAAUACAUUUUUUAUUAAUUAUUUUAAAAUAAUUCAGAUCAUGAUUUAUGAUUAAAUGAUUAUAUAAAAUUAUUUUAUAUGGUUAGUAUAUUGACAUUAAACUUUUAUUUUUAAAUGAUAAAACUUAAAUAUAAUAUUUAAGAUAUUUUGACAGUGUUCUUUAGUCAAAAUUAGAAUUUAAUCUUGGUAAUCUUUAUAAUAAGUAUUUUCAUUAAAUAUCAAGAUAUUUUAUUGAGGUAUAACUCCAAUCUACUACUGAUGAGAAAACAAAACUAUAUAUAAUUCCAAUCCCAUUUUUAAUCAAUUAGGAGUUACAUCCCUUUAAAAAAUCCAGACUUUUCAAUGACUAACACCCUUUUUCUAUGCAAUAUACAAGGAUCAAGUUUGAAUGUACAAUCUUGGGAUGGAAAUCAAAUUCGUAUUUGGUUGACGAUAUUUAAAAAGUAGUCAUUCUUUUCUUACAGCUUUCUGUCAGAAAAUUGUAAAUUAAAUCAAACAUGGAUAGAAUAUGCUGGAAGCCGUAAAUGAGUAUUUAAUUAAGAAGUUGAUUGGCUUUAAAAACUUACAAGAGUUCCUUAUUAUAUAAAACUUGAAAAAGCAAAACGAAUAAUACUUAAAAAGUUACACCUAUUAUUUGCCCUUUUUAUAGUUAUGGUAAUUUAGAAUAUUACUCCAACAAUUUUGUUGGUUCUCAAGCAUCAUUGGUUAUCUAUGGAUAUCUCAUCAAAGUUCUUGGCCUGGCCGGCUUGGAGAGUCAAGUCUUGUAUGCAGCCACGAGUCACGACUUUAAUUAACACGAAAGAACUAAUUAUUCACUUCAAUGGUUAGUGACUAAAAUUAAAUAUAAGUUUUUUUCCUAUUAAACCACGUUUUCUUGAACCACUAGUCCCCCAUUUUUGGAAACAAGAAUGUGAUACACAGAAUUGAACAACUAGUUGAUCUUAACUACAAAUAUGCUCAAUAUGCAAAUAUGUACAUCCCAAAACAGAAUUUAAAUAAGACUCUCAAAUUUAAAAAAAAAAAAAGAAAGAAAGAAGAUAGCAAUAACUACAAUGCAAAUUGAACAACCUGGCAAUACAAUGAUACAACAUCGGUUGUAAGCAACACUAAACAGUGAUACUAUACGAGGAAAAAGAUUGAAGUUUGAACCACACAUGAUCAAGGAAAUGAAAAUAGGCAUGCCGCCAUGAUCUACAAAUCAGCAAAGGAGCAAUCACUAUCCAAAGUCCCACAACAAAUCCAAUUGUCGCACUAACAAAAAACCAAUUCACUCCAUGCCCAUGACUUCCUUCAUAACUAUGAGUUUUCCCAUUGGAGCUGCAGUUUAUGGGCAGUGGUGGACCACAUAGAUUGUUGCCAAUAAAUCUGGAGGCAUCAAAGGUUUGCAAUUGAGUUCCUGUUGGAAUUUUUCCCUUCAAAUGAUUAUAAGACACGUCUAGCAUGCUCAAAAAGCUCAAAUUAGAAAUGGUUGGAGGGAUUUCACCAGAAAUUUGAUUCCUUGAAAGAUCAAUGGUUUGUAACGAUCCCAUAUUACCAAUACCUUCUGGAAUAGGACCAAUCAAUUGGUUGUGGGACAAGUUCAAAAAGUUCAAUCCAUUUAGAUCUGUGAUUUCUCUAGGAAUAUCUCCUAAUAAUUUGUUACUUGACAGAUCAAUACUUGUUACCAAACCCAGAAUGUUUCGAUACUCAUCUCCUCUUCCUUUUAGCCAUAGUAGCACACUAACUAUACCUGAUACCGAAGAGUAAUAUGUAUCAUUUGGUGCAUGAGAAUAGAUACGGGGAUAUGUACUCCGGUUCACUAGUGUCAUGGCACUCAAGUUACGGAAACAGCUGGGUAUAUUGCCAGAAAAAUUAUUUUUUGCAAGGUCUAAAACCUGAAGAAGACUCAUCUGACAUAUUUCAUUUGGAAUGUGACCGGAAAAACUGUUUGAUCGAAGGCGGAGGAUUUUCAUAUUUGAGAGCUUUUCUCCAACCCAUGUUGGAAUACAUCCUGAAAGAUUAUUUUCUCCAAGAUCCAAGGAUAUCAAUUGGCUAGUCUUCUUCAAACUGGUAGGAAAUAUUCCCGAGAGCAAGUUGUUACGAAUUUCUAAUGACUGCAGCUCAGCCAAGGAACCCAUGGAUGGGGGGAAGUUCCCAACAAAAUGGUUGCUUUGUAAAUUCACUUCCACUAGAAAUGGCCAAUUAAUCCAACAAUCAGGUAUUUCUCCUGACAGAUUAUUGGAUGCAAGAUUGAGAAAUUCUAAUUGCAUUGGCUUGUCCUGAUUGUUACAUAAAAAAUCUUGCAUGGAUUCAGAGAAUGAAUUGGUUGAAAGGUCUAAGUCAUACACAUCAUUUGAAAGAUAGGGUAAUUUACCACAUAAGUGAUUUGUGCUUAGAUCAACAGUUUGGAUAGAUAUUGGAUUUUUUAUUGUAGUCACAAGCUCACCACGGAUAUGAUUAUGAGAGAGGUUUAAAUACAAAACCUGAGAAUGUGCUUCCCAGAACCAAGUGGGAAUAGAAUCGAAAAUCCCCGUGUUAGAUAGUCCAACAUAUUUAAGUUUGUUUUGUGACUGAAUCCACAAUGGAAAGCUGGGACCUAACUGCCAUGAUGUCACUUCCAAAUAGGUAAGUUGAAAAUUAGGAAUCCAAUUGGGACCCACUUUUAAAGUGAAAUUGUUUCCCGAUGCACCAAAAUCCGUCAAGCUUGUAAGAUUUGCAAGAUCAUCUUCCUUGACAACUCCUUGAAAAUUAUUGCCAUCAAUCCAAAGAGAUGACAAUUUAGAGAGUGAUCCAAGACUUUCAAAUGGAUUUCCACUGAAUUUAUUAAUAGAGAGAUCGAGAUAUGUUAAAUCUAUCUCCCUUGAGUUGCGGAGAUUUCCCAAAAAAGUCGGAAUUGUUCCUUCAAGUUGAUUAUAUGACAAAUAAAGUGCAACAAGAGAAGUCAAAUUUCCCAAAGAAGUUGGAAUGGUUCCUUCAAGUUGAUUGUAUGACAAAUCAAGUUCAACAAGAGAAGUCAAAUUUCCCAGGGCAUCAGAAAUAGUCCCAUGCAAGUUGCUGGAUCUUAGGUCCAAAGACUUGAGACGAUGAAGACCGUAUAAGCAAUCAGGUAUAGAAGAUGAGAAUGAAUUUCCAGACAAGUCAAGAUUUUGAAGAAGUGUGAGGUUUCGGAUACCACAAGGAAUCGGACCUUGGAAUUUAUUACCCCGUAAUUGAAGAGAAACAAGUUUCUUCAAUUUGAAUAUCCACUUGGGGACAAAAGAAAUGGCAGGGGAAUAACUAGUAUUGUAAAGAAUGAGAGUUUGCAGAGAUGAGAAGUUGAGCAAGGAUGGUUCAUUAUAGUGAGGGAGUGUGCAGUGUGACAAAUAUAGGUGGGUCAAAGAAGGAAGAGAUUGGAGAGUGUGUAGCCAAUGAAAUGCUUUGGAUAGGUUUGCAUUACUCAAAUCAAGAUAUUCAAGCUUCCACAUACUUGAUAGCCAUUCUACAUUUUCAGCAAACAGAGGAGGUUCGAAAUCAGAAUAACCUCCAAGGCCAAGAUACACCAAAUUGGAGAGAUUCCCAAUCUGAGAUGGAAUCUUCCCAUGGAAUAGAGUAUAAGAGAGGUCGAGGUGAGUCAAGGAGGUCAUUGCACAAAGGAAAGAAGGAAUUGCCAUACCUUCAAAAUAAUUGGCGCUCAAGUCAAGAUAUCGAAGCUUAGAGAGAUUCCCGAUCUGAGAGGGUACUGUUCCGUUGGCAACAUCUGAACUCAGGUCAAGAUACACCAAAUUUGAGAGAUUCCCAAUCUGAGGAGGAAUCUUCCCACGGAAUCCAGUAAGAGAGAGGUUGAGGUGAGUCAAGGAAGUCAUUGUCCCAAGGAAAGAAGGAAUUGACAUACCUUCUCCAAGGAAUACAUUGGCGCUCAAGUCCAAGUAAUUCAAAUGCUUUAAAUCAGCCAAACAAGGACUUAUCUCUCCACCAAAGCUCCAUCUCCUAUAAGCUUCCCAAUCAUCAUUGAAAAGAGAAUCUGAAGAGUUGAGGUGAAGCUGAAGAAGAUGGGAAGUGACGUUGUGGCAGAGGACUCCAUACCAGUGGCAACAGUUGGUAUGAUUAUGAUUCCAAGACCAAAGCCUAUUUGAAGGAUCAUUCAGAUUAUUCUUAAACUUCAAAAGUGUCUCACGCUCACUUGGGAUGCACACACUCUCUCUGCAUGGUAAGCUGAACAACCAAAGCUGGACAAAGACAAGAAUAUAAAUAAUGGACGAGGAAUUCAUGAUCACAAAACGCAAAUAUAGAAAACGAGUGUAGUUGUUGGUUCUGCAUAUAAAUCAUCAAACUUCUAUUAUUUAUACUGCUGCCCUGCCUGUUUUUUUCUUCACUUUCAUUAUUUUUUACCUUUUCUAUUAUUGUGCCAAAUACUAAAAUAUUUUUUUAAUAUUUUGAUUCACUUCUUAGAACGGUUUCCUUUUAUACUGAUGCAAGUGUCUUUCUUUUCUUUUUCUUUUUUUGACGUUUCCUUUUUUAAUCUGAUUUAUUAUCCAAUUCUCCCGACUUAAUUCUUAGAAUAGGAAAUACUUAUUUUAUUAAAAUCAAUCAAUUUUAUUGUAUUUCUUGAUUUCUUCAAAAUAACUUUUAAAGGACAAAAUAUUGUAAUUAAAAAACAAGAAUUUGAUCAAAUGGACUAAAAUGACAUAUUUUUUAAAAAUAUCUCAAUUAAAAAAUAAAAAGACUAAAAUUACAAGAUUUUUUAAAAAUAAAAGAUAAAAUAUUUAAAUUAAAAAAUAAAAAACUAAAAUAACAUAUUAAAAAAAAGACGACAAUUAUAUUUUAAGCCUGUUUUUUUCUUCACUUUCAUUAUUUUUUUACCUCUUUUUUUUAUUAUUGUGCCAAAUACUAAAAUAUUUUUUUAACAUUUUAAUUCACUUCUUCUUUUAAGCUGGCUUUUUAAAUUUAUCGACUUAAUUAUCCAAUUCUCCCGAAUUAAUUCUUAGAAUACAAAAAAUUAUGCAUUUAUCGUAUCUAUCUCCUUUUUUAAAAUUCCUAUGUACACUAAAUUCAUAAAAAAAAAAAUCAAAAUUAAUAGCAAAGAAAUAUGAUUUAUUCUUGUGCUGAAUACUAAAAUAAGAAACAUUCCUUUUGGUACAGUUUUUCUUACAAAAAAAUAAAUAAGAAUCAUUUUAUUUUAAUUUACCCUAUAGAACUUAAAUGAAAAUUUGGUGUCAUUAAACUGAAAAUUUUAACUAUUAUUUAAUCAAUCUUUUCGUUAAACUUUUGUUACAUAAACAAUAAAAGUCCAAAUUUUUUUAAAAAACAAAAAAUCAAGUCUUCUAUUUCAUGAUAUGCCAAGCCAUAGUUAAUAUGAAAUUAUUAAAUUUUCAAUAUUCAAACUAAAAAUAAUGUAAAAGAAAAUUGUCUUCUAAAUUAACCAUAUAUAGCCCACACCAUCAAGUCCAUCUCGAGAUUUUUCAUUUGUUCAUCUUGAACCCUUUGGACACUCCACAAAGUCCAUCCAUGUUAUGGUUUGACUUCUUCAACUUUAACCGUAGGUCACUGCAUUACCUUCCUAUCAAGUUCCCUGUCAUUCACAACAAAUGUUGCAAGUUAUGUCAAGCAAGAAAAAAUAUAUAUAAUUGAUGAAUAAAUCAAUUAUAGGAAAAUGGUGUCCUUUAAAGACUAUUUCAGUUAAAAAAUCUAUAAAAAAAAAAGAAGAUUCUCUUGUUCCAAUCUAGCUAUUUAAUUUUGAUCAAUUUUUUCACUUCACAAAAUAAUAUUCUCUUAUAUAUGAAAAAAGAUUAAAUUUAAUUGUCAUCAAUUGGAAAGGUUGUUGUGUCAUGUAUUUCUAAUUGUAUUCAAACCUGAAUAUUAUUUUCUUUAUCAUAGAAAAAUUAAUUAGUUUUAUAAAAAGAAUAUUAACUUUUUUUUUCUCAAAAAAAUCAGUAUCGUAUUUUGUAUUUUUUACAAGAUAUCAACAUAAAUAAGAGGAGAAACAUAAUUUUAAUUUCCAUUUUACUUUUUAAAUAAUUGCAAGUGCCAAAUUUAAACAAUCAUAAAAAUACUCAAGUUCAAUUUAAUAUUCUAAAAAAAACAAAUUCAUACAAUAACUUAAACAAUCUACAAAGAAAUAUAAUUUAUUCCUAUGCCAAAUACUAAAAUAAGAAACAUUUUUUUAUUUUAGUUUACCGUAUAUAAUUUCUUAAAUCAAUGAAAAAUUUAUCUUACGAAAAUAUUAAUAAUUCUUUUAAUCUUUGAGUAGUUUACAUCAAAUCCUUUUGUUACACCUGUGUUAAGUAAAUAAGAAAAAGUCUUGCAUUAUAAAAUUCAAAUAUUCUAUUACUUGCAAUUUGAACCCAUAAUUAAUUUUAAACCAUCAAUUUUGUAUUAUUCAAAAUAAAAGAAAUGAAAAACAAAAUUUUCUCCUAGACAAACCGCUGGCCACUCCACCAAAUUCAUAUCAAGGUCCCCACUUUUCCAACUUGAACCAUAGACUACUCCAUGAAGUCCAUGUCAAGGUCCUCCAUUUUUUCAUCUUGAACCUUACGACACUCCACAUAGUCCAGCCAUAUUAAGGUCCCUGACUUCUUCAACUUGAUACAUAUCCCAUAGGUCACUCCACCAAUUUCAUGUGAAUGUCCCCCCACUUGUUCUUCAACUUGAACCAUAGGGCACUAUAUUACCUUCAUAUCAAGUUCCUUAUAAUUGACAACAAAUGUUUAGAAUUAAGUAAGCAAGGAAAAAAAUUAUAAAUGAUGAAUACAUCAAUUAUAGGAAAGGAUCUAAUUUAAAGACUAUUUCGAUUAAAAAAUCUAUAUAAAAAAAGACUAUUUCGUUUCAAUCUAGCUAUUAAUUUUGAUUCAUUUUUUAAUUUACAAGAUAAUAUUCUUCUUAUACGUGAAAAAAGACUAAUUUUCAUUGUCAUCAAUUGAAAAGAUUGUUGUGUCAUCUAUUUCUAAUUGUAUUUUAACCUGAAUAUUAUUAUUUUUAUAUUAAAAAUUAAUUAGUGAGAUACAAAGAAGUCUAAAAUGCUUGUUUAACUUGGUCUAUCGUAAUUAUUGAGAUCAUAGUUUUUCCUUUUAUAAGUCUUGGUCCAAAUUUCUCCAUGUAGAUCAUAUUUAACUUAAAAUGUAAAUUAGAGGAUAUGAUCUACUAAGAAGUGUGGCAUGUUUUAUAAAUUAUUUUUCUAUGGUCCUAGCUAUUCUAUUGUUAGACCACAGGUCUUCAUAUAUUAAAGUCGUUGCCUGAAUUUCUUUUACUUGUGUGGUGAUAUUUAAAGAAUAGUGAUAGAAGAGAAAAAUAAAUUUACAAUUUAUUGAAAUAUCCAACUUAUGAAGAUUUGCAUUCUUCAUGCAUACGUAUUUCAGUUUUCAUUAUCAUUAUUUGGAAAGGUUGUUUGUGUUAAUUGUCUAUUUCUAAUUAAUUUGAAAAUGAAUAUUAAUUUUUUUUAUCAUAAAAAUUAGUAUCAUAUUUUUUNNNNNNNNNNNNNNNNNNNNNNNNNNNNNNNNNNNNNNNNNNNNNNNNNNNNNNNNNNNNNNNNNNNNNNNNNNNNNNNNNNNNNNNNNNNNNNNNNNNNNNNNNNNUCACCUUCGAUCAAUAUAAUAUUCUAAAAAAAUAAUUCAUACAAUAACUUAAAUAAUCUACAAAGAAAUAUAAUUUGUUCUUGUGCCAAAUACUAAAAAAAACAUUUUAUUUUCUUAGUUUAACGUGUAGAAUUGCUUAAAUUAAUGAAAAUUUUAUUUUAAGUAAAUAUUUUUAUAAAAAAAACAUUAAUAGUUUACAAUAAAGGUAAUAAAAUUUGGUUUAAUAAUGAGUUUUCAAAUUUUAACAAUUAUUUAAAUCAAUCCUUUCUUACACCUGUGUUAAGGAAACAACAAAAAGUCUUACAUUAUUAAAUUCAAGUCUUCUAUUGCAUGCAAUUUGAAACUACAAUUAAUUUUAAAUUAUCAAAUUUUUAUUAUUAAAAAUAAAAGAAAAAAAAUUGUCUUCUAGACAAACCGUAGACAACUCCACCAAAUCCAUAUCAAGGCCCCCACUUUUUCAACUUGAACCAUAGGCCACUCCAUCAAAUCCACGUCAAAGUUUUUUAUGACCGAUAACAAAUGUUGGGAGUUAUGUCAAACAUAAAAAAAUAGACUAAAAUAUAUCAUUUUCAUUCCUAUAAAAUUUUAAUAUGUUAUUUUGUAUCGUAAGUUAAGUUUGGAUACUGAUAAUUAUCAUGUAUUCUUAAAUGUUGGUGUUAUUUUAAGACAUUUAUGUGAUGUGUAUCUCUUAUAUUUUUUUAUUGCCAUGAACUAAUCUUCUCUUAGAGUUUAAUAUAUUUGGUUCUUCUUUCAUGUAAUGACUACUUUUUUAUUCAAUAAAAUAUUGCAAUUGUUUCUCUUUUAUGCCUAACAUGUGUUUUUGACUUGAUCACCUGUUUGCAUAAUUUUUUUAUUCAAUUAUAAUAGAAAAAUUCCUUUGAGCUGCGAAUUGGAGUGUCUAAGGAUAGUUGAGCAUCAAUAAAUACUUUAUCUUAAUGCAAAACUUUUGGUUAUGCUAAUCCAAGGGAUAGAUAGUUUAAUGGAUUUAGUGUUCUUCACUUAAGGAUAAUAUAACAUCUAUUAAAUAUAAUUGUGUAGUGAUUACUUGAUAGGAACUCCAAUAAAAUUAAACCUGGACAAUUUUUUGAUUGAUUUAAUCUCAAUUUACUUUGCAUACACGAGUGUUUGUUAAAAUUCCCUAACAAAAGUUUCUCCUUAAUUUUUUCUUUUAUUUCCUUUCUUAAUUUUCUUAUUUUUAUUUCUUUCCUUAAUUCAUUUAGCUUUAUGCAUAUUGUUAUUUAUAUUGAAUUAGCUAAUCUUAAUUAAUUCCAAAUAUUCAGUGUAGAAAUUUCUUUAUCUUUAUUCAUAGGGUAGAAAUAUUGGUAGUAGAACCCAACUGUGAUUUCAACCGCAACCUCGUCAUAAAAUCCAACAAAUGUGAUCUCCUCUGCCACCGUCGUGGCAAAAUCCAAUGAGCCCCAACUCCUGGCAAACCUCAUCAUGAAAUCCCACAUCAAAUCCAACUGCGAAUCCAGUCGUGUGAAACCUACUGAAGUCCACCAAACAGUUUUUCUUUUCUCCAUGUUGUGGUUUGAUGUUUUGUUAUUAAGAUUUUGAUGGUUCAUAUCUAUUCUUUUAUCCAGCUUGUUUUCAUUUAGUCCACCCACCAGGGGAAAAAAUGAGUGGUGAGAUAUAAUGAAGAUGAAGAGUGAUGGAACAGAUAGGAGAAAGAAGAAAGAGGCAAUACGACAUCAUUUUUAUUUUUUUUAAAAACUUUUUUUCAUGUAUAAUUUCCAAUCAGACAAAGAGUACACUUAAUAUCACACGUGGCAUGUAUCAUGACCAAUUAACGAUCAUGUAGGUAGAUAAUAAUUUUGGACUAACAGAAAAUAUCCGAGAAAAAAAAUUUACGACUUCAAAGUUGUAAGGUAUUUUUAUUACGAUUUCAAAGUCAUUUGUUUUUAUUUUCUAUUUUUCUUUUUACGAUUUUGUAGUCAUUUUGGUUUUCUUUUUACUUUUAAAUUUUUUAUUUUCUUGUAUUAUAUUUUUUAUUUUUAUUUUUUUAAUAAUUUUAUUUAUUUAAUUAUUAAAUAAAUAUUUUAUUUAUUCACUUUAAAAAAUUAAAAUUCAAUAAAAUUAUUAAAAUAUUAUCUAAAUUUUAAAUAUACAAAAUAUAUUAAAUAAAAAAUAUUCAAAUGGAAAACUUUGAUAGUAUUAGUUUUAUUUAAUUUAUUGUAUAUUUUUUAUGGGUUUAUUUAAUAUGUUAUAUAUUUUUUAAUGUUUUUUUAUUUAAAAUAUAUUAUGUUUUCUAAUAUUGUUUUAUUUAAUUAUUUCUUAUAUUUAAAAUUGAUAUAAUUUUUAAAUAAUGAUAUAGAAUUUUAUUUUUUAAAUGAAUAAAUAAAUAUUUAUUUAAUAAUUAAAUAAAUAAAAUUAUUUAUAAUUUUUGGAAAAAUUAAAAACAAAAAAAAUGAAAAUACAAAUAAAUAAAUAAAAAUCUAAAAUUAAAAACUUUAAAGGUAAAAAGAAAACAAACACAACUUCGAAGUCAUUCGUAAGUUUACUGUUUAAAUACAUGUAAAUACAUGUAAAAUGAAAUGUUAAAUAUAUUUAAAUAUUAAAUAUUUUAUUUUAAGUUAUAAAUUUUUAUAAUUAAAAAAAAUUAAUAAAUUUUGACUAAUAAUACUUAUAAAAUAGUAUUUAUAAAAUCAAUUAAAUAAAAUAAAUGUCUUAGUGGUCAAAGAUCAAUGAUGGAAAGACAAAGAUUAUUUAUUAAAAAAAACAAAAAAAACUUAAUGCUUUGAUUUAAAAAUAGGCGGAAAAAAAUCAGAAAGUUAAAAUUAUAAGAAAACAAAAAUGAUAAUUUAAGCUUAUUACUACUAAUUAAUUAACGAUGCACUAAGACCAAGCUCCAACAUCCGAAUGCAUGUAUGAAUCUAAGAAUCAGUAUACGAAAGCCAGGACUACAAAUUGUUAAAAAAAGAGAGAGAGAGAGAGAGGCUAAAGAUCUGCCUCUUGUCUUCCAUAAUAAAAAAGAAAAUGUAGCAGAAGGUAACGACUGUUCCUCAUGUCAUUUGUGUUUUUUCAAAUACAAAAAAAGAAGAUACCCUGAGAAAACUUGAUCCUUCUCAGUCACCUUUUUUCUACAACAUUAAUCAAUUGGAGCAACAAGCUGAUUUCUUCUCCACACUACAGACCCACUCACCUCAGGGAUUAGGUUUAGCCGCGACAGCAUUAGUGCACUGCAGUUAGUUAGGGGACAGAGAUAGUGCUUUUCCCAAAUUCUGUUAUCCUCAAAUUCUGUUAUUAUCUGCUAGAAAACAAUAAGCAGUGUAAGCCUAUAAAUAUCAAGAGAAAAGGAAUGAAAAAGCACAGAACAGAAUUUGAAUGUACUUUUAAGUUGUGUAUUAAUAAAAGAUUAAAAGUUAAAAAAGUGUAUAAUGUUAUAUACAAUAUUGCUACUGGCCAUUGUGUUGCUUGAAUUUGCCUGUUAUUUCUAGUUUCUGCACACCAUGUGCUUAAGCCAAUUUUAUAUAAUGAAACUUUUGCUUAUAAGAAAUAUUACAUACAAAAUUAAUUUUUUCAUAUCCAAAUAAUAAAACUACUUUCAAUAAGUGUAAUCAAACAAAGCUAAUAAGAAGUGUGAUACCUGGGCAAAUAAACGAGCAUUCCAAUCUUGAUUUUCAUAAACAUUGCAUUUCAUGAGAUCUUGUCUGGUUUCAGCAACAGCUGGAUUACCUUUCCAGUAAGCAUAAGGCUCUCUGUUCAGCCAUGGUAUCCUCGUAGUGUCUUCUUUCAACCCUCCCAACAAAAUAUGCCAUGGCUUUAUAUUAAUCUCUGCCCUGUGCACCACACAUACAAUACUUUUCAACAACAACAACCACCCAAUUAUGAAGCAAGUGUAGAGUCUAAAUCCAUGGGCAUUAUAAGAAUGAUUAGGGACUUGUGUUAACUACCCCAAUUAGGACAAUAUUCUAACUAUGGUGGUUGUGAAUAUUUUUUAUAGGACAAAGAAAUUAAUGGUGCUGAUGGCGUCAACAAAUUCCAAUCAGGGGAAGAAGAGGAAGAUAAGGAACAGUGCAGUCCAGUAUCUGUUUUAGACCCACCCUUCGAUGACGAUGAUGAUGGGCAUGAUGAUGACCAUGAAGGGGAUGGUUUUGAUUUGGACUAUAGCUAUGCCAAUGUACAAAGUAUGUCAUUGUUUAAAAAUAUUUUAUUUUAUUUUGUAGCAUUUUAUGUUGUGUGGUCGUCUUCCAUCAACAUGCCAUCGUACACGCUUCUUCAAAGUUGAUUGUCUGUUACAAAAUACCAUAAGCUGAGAUGUUUUGUGCUAAUGCCACCUAUCUUUGGUGGGUUCCAUUGGAAGAUUGCAAUAGCUCAUCAUCCAACAUGCAUUUCGCAUUCAAUGUGAAAUUGGACUACUCUUUGUUCAGAGCUAUAAAUUUCAACAUGACCCACAAAUUAUGUUCAUUCUCAUUCUUGGCGCUGUUAGUCUAGUGUGAAAACCGACAAAUUCAGUUUCCUGUUAUAUAUGGCACUGUAUAUAAAAAGGAAACAAAAAAAAGUAGAAUUUGAUUAUGGCUAAUUUCACCCAUUAUAUUUAUUACAAGAAAACCUUUAGAUUCAAAUUAUUUUUUUUGUACUUUUAGCUUGGUCGUAAACAUUAACGUUACAUCACGCACACACACAUAAAAGGCAAAUCUAAUUGGAGAGAUUCCCAAUCUGAGGAGGAAUCUUCCCACUGAAUCCAGUGUAAGAGAGGUCGAGAUGAGUCAAGGAGGAGGUCAUUGCACAAAGGAAAGAAGGAAUUGACAUACCUUCUCCAACUAAAUAAUUGAAGCUCAAGUCAAGAUAUCGAAGCUUAGAGAGAUUGCCAAUCUGAGAUGGAAUCUUCCCAUGGAAUCCAGUAUAAGAGAGGUUGAGGUGAGUCAAGGAAGUCAUUGUCCCAAGGAAAGAAGGAAUUGACGUACCUUCUCCAAGUAAAUAAUUGCCGCUCAAGUCCAAGUAAUUCAAAUGCUUUAAAUCAGCCAAACAAGGACUUAUCUCUCCACCAAAGCUCCAUCUCCGAUAAGCUUCAAAUGCUUCCCAAUCAUCGAAAGCAGGAGGUGAAGUGUUGAGGUGAAGCUGAAGAAGAUGGGAAGUGACGUUGUGGCAGAGGACUCCAUACCAGUGGCAACAGUUGGUAUGAUUAUGAUUCCAAGACCAAAGCCUAUUUGAAGGAUCAUUCAGAUUAUUCUUAAACUUCAAAAGUGUCUCACGCUCACUUGGGAUGCACACACUCUCUCUGCAUGGGAAGCUGAACAACCAAAGCUGGACAAAGACAAGAAUAUAAAUGGAGGAGGAAUUCAUGAUCAUGCAACGCAAAUAUAGAAAAAAGGUGUUUUUUUUUUAGAGCUGAUCGACACAAGUGUAGUUGUUGGUUCUGCAUAUAAAUCAUCAAACUUCUAUUAUUUAUACUGCUGCCCUGCCUGUUUUUUUCUUCACUUUCAUUACUUUUUACCUUUUUUAUUAUUGUGCCAAAUACUAAAAUAUUCUUCCAUUCUUUUUUUACGCUGGCCUCUUUAAAUUAUGGAUUUAAUUAUCCAAUUCUCCCGAAUUAAUUCUUAGAAUACGAAAAAAAAAUCAGUAUCAUAUUUUAUAUUUUUUACAAGUUAUCAACUUAAAUAAGAGGAGAAACAUAUUUUAUAUUUUUUACAAGUUAUCAACUUAAAUGUUUCUUGUGCCAAAUACUAAAACAAGAAACAUUUUUUUAUUUUAGUUUACCUUAUAGAAUUGCUUAAAUCAAUUAAAUUUUUAUUUUAAGAAAAUAUUAAUGAUUUUUUAAAAAAACUUUAAGUAGUUUACAUCAAAGGUAAUUAAAUUUGGCUUAAUUAGUCUUCAAAUUUUAACUAUUAUUCAAAUCAAUCCUUUUGUUAAACCUGUACGUGUUAAGUAAACAACUAAAAGUCUUGCCUUAUAAAAUUCAAACAUUCUAUUACAUGCGGUUUAAACCCAUAAUUAAUUUUAAACUAUCAAAUUUUAAUUAUUCAAAAUAAAAGAAAUGAAAACAAAAUUGUCUCCUAGAGAAACCGCUGGCCACUCCACCAAAUCCAUUUCAAGGUCCCCACUUUUCCAACUUGAACCAUAGACUACUCCAUCAAGUCCAUGUGAAGGUCCUCCAUUUUUUCAUUUGGAACCUUAGGACACUCCACAAAGUCCACCCAUAUUAAGGUCUCUACCUUCUUCAACUUCUGCAACGCAUAUAUAGAAAACAACUUAAUUGUAUAAGUGCUUCUUGCUUCUGCAUAUAAAUCAUAAAACUUCUAUUAUUUAUACUGCUGCAAGUGUCUUUCUUUUCUUUUUUCUUUUUUUUAUGAUGUUUCCUUUUUUUAAUUAUUGACUUUAUUAUCCAAUUCUCCGGAGUUAAUUCUUAGAAUAGGAAAUAAUUUUGAAUUUACUUUAUCUAUCUCCCUUUUUAAAAUUCCUAUAUACACAAUUUUGUAUUGAAAUUAACUAUUAUUUAAUCAAUCCUUUCGUUAUACUUUUGUUAAUUAAACAAUAAAAGUCCAACAUUUUAUUAAAAAAAUUCAAGUCUUCUAUUUCAUGGACUCUAUCAAGUCUUUUAUUAAAAGUCCAACUUUUGUUAAUUCAAGUCUUUUACAAAAUUUUGUUAAUUCAACUCUUGUUAAUUAUUACAAAAUUUGGUAUUGAAUUUAACUAUUACUUAAUUCAAGUCUUUUAUUAAAAGUCCAACUUUUGUUAAUUUAACUAUUAUUUUGUUAAUUAAACCAUAGCCGAUUCCAUCAAGUCCAUGUCAAGGUCCUCUAUUUUUUCAUCUUGAACCUUUGGACACUGCACAAAAUCCAGCCAUGUUAUGAUCUCUGGCUUCAACUUGAACCAUAGCCUGGGCCACAAACAAUAUAUUAAUGAUAAAUACAUCAAUUAUAGAAAAAUGGUCUAAUUUAAAGACUAUUUCAGUUAAAAAAAUUUAUAUAAAAAGAGAUUAUUUCGUUCAUAUCUUGCUAUUUAAUUUUGAUCAAUUUUUUAAUUCACAAAAUAAUAUUUUCUUUAUAUAUGAAAAAAAACUAGAUUUAAUCGUCAUUAAUUGGAAUGGUUGUUGUGUGAUCUAUUUCUAAUUGUAUUCGAACAUGAAUAUUAUUUUCUUUAUCAUAUAAAAAUUAAUUAGUGAUAUAAAAAGAAGUGUGAAAAAGAAUAUUAACUUUUUUUUCUAAAAAAAAUUAGUAGCAUAUUUUGUAUUUUUUUACAUGUCAUCAACUUAAAUAAUAGGAGAAACAUAAUUUUAAUUGCCAAAUUUAAGCAAUCAUAAAAUUACUCAUGUUCAAUAUAAUAAUCUAAAAAAAAUAUAUACAUACGAUAACUUAAAUAAUCUACUAAGAAAUAUGAUUUAUUCUUGUGCAGAUCGAAUACUAAAAUAAGAAAAAAAAUAUUUUAGAUCACAAUAUAGAAUUGCUUAAAUCAAUGAAAUUUUAUUUUAAGAAAAUAUUAAUCAUUUUUUUAAUACUUUAAAUCAAAGGUAAUUAAAUUUAGUUUAAUUAAUCUUCAAAUUUUAACUAUUAUUUAAAUCAAUCCUUUCGUUACACCUUUGUUUUGUUAAGUAAAUGAUAGCAUAGCAAGCAAGGAGGUGCAAGCAGUAACACUCACACAAAUAAAGAUCUUUAAGCCAUCAUUUUUUUUUCCUUUUCUUUUCUAUGAACUGUCAUUUCUUAUCUCUACAUGGAAUGCCUAGAAGUUGAAAACUGGAGCUUUCUUUAACUAUACUGCUUUCCAUUUUGGCGAACUGCUUUUCUUUCUCAUAAUGAACUUUCCACUUCCAAUGAUGGUUCAACAUUAAUCAUUCUUUAUCUAUUUUGUCUAAAAAUUUCCACUCACUUUUUGUGAGUGGUGUGAAUGUCAUGCAGACAAAUGAUGUCCAAGCUCCACUUUUUCCAUUCAUUGCAAGUUGUAAGCAGAAUGUAGAAUGUACAUAUAAUAAAAUAAUGAGAAUGGCAACUACUAGUACGUAGUACUUAAUUAGAACAAAAGUAUCAAAAUUAAAACGAAAAUAACUUUGAUGCUGUUAAUACAUGAGUUUAAUUUUGAUACACAGUGUAAAAAUUUAAAUUGUUAAUUAAUUAGAAAUCACCUAAUGAUUUGUAAAACAAUUACUAAAAAAAGUUAUAGGAGAAUAUAUAUAAUUAAUUGCAAUUCUAAGUGUAUUUAAAUUAAAUUCUUAAUUAGCAUAUCCUCAUUGUGAUAUUUUGUAUAUUUUUUAUUUAUUGAGACAGUGGAAUGAGACCGCACUAUAAUUUUCAUCACGGGUGUGGUUGUCAAAUAUAAUAGGGAUGGUUGGGAUGAUGUUGCAGGUGCCGGUUUGUUGUUGAGGCCUUGAGGGAAAAUGCAUUUUUUGAAGAAAAUAAAAUUAUAAAAAAUUGUUUUAAAUUAACAUUAGCUAAAUAAUGACGUACCCGUAAAAUAUUUAAUAACACAAAAUUGAUUUAUAGUAAGUCAAAAACCGUCAAUAUUCAUUUGAAACUUAGUCUUCCACCGUCUCAAGCUCUUCACAUGAACACUAAGCUCUAGAUAAAAAUAAAUAAAUAACCACGAGAAAUAAUAUAUAACUCUUUAGUGGACAAUUGGUGUUCUUUUGUGCAUUCAGUUGAAAGAAGUUCCCAGAAUGGUAGAAAGCAAGGGACAGAUGAAACGGCCACAGCUAAGAAUAGUGCAUCUUAUAUCGGGAAGAGAUUGUUAGAAAGUUUGGUUGCAGUUGCAGGGCUUCUAAUUUGGCUUUCAUGAGCUUAACUCAAAUACUACCUAUAUAUUACCAUUUUCAUAUCACGUUGAAAUGUAAACCAUUGAUUAGUUGAUAGUGUAAAAAAUAUUUACACUCUUGAGUGUACUAAAUCUCUGACAUACUGACAAUUAUGUUCAUUCUCAUUGGAGAAUUGUUUUGUUUUUAAUACUAACCUAGAGUCUACAGAUCAAAGUUGGUGAAAAUUAUGUUCAUUCUCAUUCUUGGCGCUGUUAGUCUAGUGUGAAAACGGACAAAUUCAGUUUCCUGUUAUAUAUGGCACUGUAUAUAAAAAGGAAAUAAAAAAAAGUAGAAUUUGAUUAUGGCUAAUUUCACCCAUUAUAUUUAUUACAAGAAAACCUUUAGAUACAAAUUAUUUUUUUGUACUUUUAGCUCGGUCGUAAACAUUAACAUUACAUCACGCACACACACAUAAAAGGCAAACCAAAUUAUUUUAUAUCCCUAAAUUUUAUGAGGAAGGAUGCUAUAAAUAUUAACAAUACAUCUCUCACACACCAAGACAACUAAAAUUAUAUCACUUAAUUGAGGUGGGGAUAGUUUUGAAAAAUAAAAAUAAAAAUAGUAGGUGUGGUUGUGUAGGUGUGUUUUUUUGUUGAGAAAAUCUUUAUAUAAUUAUGAGCUAUGAUAAAAUCAAAAAUCCAUGAUGAGUUCCGUAUUUAAAAAUCGUUGUAGAAUUAUAGGGUUGAUUAAAAUGAAACGUACAUUACAAUAAAUAAAACAUUUAAACUUUCAUUUUAAUAUAGAAUUUUUCUAAAUUGUUAUGGUGCAUGAUUAAACUUUAAUCAUGGAGUACACGUUUUUGCCUUAUAUAAGUAACAUGGUUUAACGUGAUUUGUUUAUUAUUUAUCUUUUCCUCUGGUUGUGUUCAUUGUUGUUUGAAAAUUUUCUUUAAUAUUUUGUUGUUUGGACAAUCACUUACUUACACCUUAUGAAAUUCACGAAUUGGUUUGGAGGCCUGACUAUCAAAUUUCAUCUCGCAUCAGAUUAAACAUCGCGUUACUAUACCAUAUAGUUAUAUGUGAUUUUUUUCCCAUGCAAUGUUAUAUUAUGUGAUUUUUUUCCCAUUCAAUGUUAUAUUUAGCUACACAUUAAAAUUAAUUUUAUACAAAAAAAUUUGCAUAUAGGUUGUUUUUAGUGAAUCAAAUUCUUUUUUAACGAACAUCCAAUANNNNNNNNNNNNNNNNNNNNNNNNNNNNNNNNNNNNNNNNNNNNNNNNNNNNNNNNNNNNNNNNNNNNNNNNNNNNNNNNNNNNNNNNNNNNNNNNNNNNCAUGAAUGGUGAAGAUGUAAAAAGCAAGGAGCUGAGAAUUUGUGAUAUUCUGUAAACCUGUAACCAAAACAAGGGACUAAAGAAUAAAGGUAAAAAAAAUAAUGUAUAUUCCAUUUAACCAAAGAUUGAAACACAUGAAUGAAUGAAGAUUUUCUGUCAGAUUUUGUCUUAAAAUCAAUGAGCCAAUUUGUUAAGAAACUCUGGUGACAUUUCCAGGAGAGAAGAGCCAACAGAUAUGAAGAACAAAUUAUUGAUUUUAGAGAACAUUUCCUCCAUGAUGUUUUCCUUUCCUUUAGGUGAAAAACAAAUAGAGAUUUCCAAAAAUAAUGAAAAUGCAUCUUAUAUAAUGUUGUUUAUAUAUAGAGAAGUCUUUGAAAAUAUAAGUCAAGUACUAUUACUACAAACUAUUCUGUAUCAUAUAUCUCUUAUAUAUUUUGAUAUAAAACAUUUAUUAAUUUUUUAUUUAUUUCUUAGUAACAUGUACAUGAAAGUCAAACCAAACCGAAUCGAGGAUUUAUGUGGCAUUUAACUUUUAUCACUUUUUGCCCUAAAAUAUCACACUUUAAUCAUGUACCAAAAUUUUGUGUCGUACAAGAAAACUCUUCUAUUUGGGAACAGUCGAUCUUUAAUUGAACCUCUUUUGGCAAAUGGAACUAGCUUUGGAUUACCAUGUGACAAAAAAUUACUUUGCUAACCAUUAUUUUAUUUUAAUUUACCCUAUAGAAUUGAUUAAAUGAAAAUUUGGUGUCAUUAAACUUCAAAUUUUAACCAUUAUUUAAUCAAUCCUUUCGUUAAACUUUUGUUACGUACAAAAGUCUAACAUUUAAAAAAAAAUCAAGUCUUCUAUUUCAUCAUAUCCCAACCCAUAAUUAAUAUUAAAUUAUCAAUUUUUCAAUAUUCCAACUAAAAAUAAUGCAAAAGAAAAUUGUCUUCUAAACCAUAGCUCACACCAUCAAGUCCAUCUCAAGGUUUUCCAUUUUUUCAUCUUGAACCUUUGGACACUCCACAAAGUCCAGCCAUGUCAUGGUCUGACUUCUUCAACUUGAACCAUAGGUACCAUAGGUCACUGCAUUACCUUCAUAUCAAGUUCCCUGUCAUUGACAACAAAUGUUGCGAGUUAAGUCAAGCAAGGAAAAAAAAUAUAAUUGAUGAAUACAUCAAUAAUUAUAGGAAAAGGGUGUACUUUAAAGACUAUUUCGGUUAAAAAAUCAAUAUAAAAAAAGAGUAUUUAGUUCCAAUCCAACAAUUUAAUUUUGAUCAAUUUUUCAAUUCACAAAAUAAUAUUAUCUUAUAUAUGAAAAAAAAGACUAAAUUUAAUUGUCAUCAAUUGAAAAGGUUGUCUGUGUCAUCUAUUUCUAAUUGUAUUCAAACCUAAAUAUGAUUUUCUUUAUCAUAUAAAAAUUAAUUAUUGAUAUAAAAAGAAGUGGUGAAAAAGAAUUUAACUUUUUUCUAUAAAAAAAAUAGUAUCAUAUUUUGUAUUUUUUUUUAUAAGUUGUCAACUUAAAUAAUAGGAGAAGCAUAAUUUUUAUUUUCAUUUUACUUUUAAAAUAAUUGUAAGUGCCAAAUUUGAACAAUGAUAAAAAUAAUCACGUUCAAUAUAAUAUUCUAAAAAAAAUAUUUAUACGAUAACUUAAACAAUCUUCUACAAAGAAGUAUAUUUUAUUCUUGUCCCAAAUACUAAAAUAAGAAACAUUUUAUUUUAAUUUACAGUAUAGGAUUUCUUAAAUCAAUGAAAUUUUUAUUUUAAGAAAAUAUUAAUAAUUUUUUUAAAACUUUGAGUAGUUUACAGCAAAGGUAAUUAAAUUCGGCUUAAUUAGUCUUAAAAUUUUAAUUAUUAUUUAAAUCAAUUAUUCCUUUCGUUAAACCUGUGCGUGUUAAGUAAAUAACAAAAUGUCUUGCCUUAUAAAAUUCAAAUAUUCUAUUACUUGCAGUUUGAACCUAUAAUUAAUUUUAAAAUAUCAAAUUUUUAUUAUUCCAAAUAAAAGAAAUGAAAAUAAAAUUGUCUAGUCUCCUAGACAAACCACUUCCCACUCCACCAAAUUCAUAUCAAGGACCCCACUUUUCCCACUUGAACCAUAGACUACUCCAUCAAGUCCAAGUCAAUGUCGUUCAUUUUUUCAUCUUGAACCUUAGGACACUCCACAAAGUCCAGCCAACCAUAUUUAGGUCUCUAUCUUCUUCAACAUGAACCAUAGGUCACUACAUUACCUUCAUAUCAAGUUCCUUAUCAUUGACAACAAAUGUUUAGAAUUAAGUAAGCAAGGAAAAAAAUUAUAAAUGAUGAAUACAUCAAUUAUAGGAAAAUGAUCUAAUUUAAAGACUAUUUCGGUUAAAAAAUCUAUAUAAAAAAGACUCUUUCGUUUUAAUCUAGCUAUUUAAUUUUGAUCUAUUUUUUAAUUUACAAAAUAAUAUUCUUCUUAUAUGUGAAAAAAGACUAAUUUUCAUUGUCAUUAAUCGGAAAGAUUGUUGUGUCGUCUAUUUCUAAUUGUAUUUUAGCCUAAAUAUUAUUUUCUUUUUCAUAAAAAAUUAAUUAGUAAGAUACAAAGAAGUGUAAAAUGCUUGUUUAAAUUGGUCUAUCAUAAUUAUUGAGAUCAUAACUUUUCCUUUUAUAAGUCUUGGUCCAAAUUUCUCCAUAUAUUGUAGAUCAUAUUUAGCAUAAAAAGUAAAUUAGAGGAUAUGAUAUACCAAGAAGUGUGGCAUGUUUUUAAAAUUAUUUAUCUAUGGUCUUAGCUAUUUUGUUGUUAGACCACAAGUCUUCAUAUAUUAAAGUCUUUGUCUGAAUUUCAUUUACUUGUGUGGUGAUAUUUUAAGAAUAGUGAUAGAAGAGAAAAAUAAAUAUAUAAUUUAUUGAAAUAUCUAACUUAUGAAGAUUUGCAUUCUUAAUGCAUAAGCUUUUCAGUUUAUAUAUUAUCAUUAUUUGGAAAUAUUUUUUGUGUUAAUUGUCUAUUUCUAAUUAAUUUGAAAAUGAAUCUUAAUUUUUUAUCAUAAAAAUUAGUAUCAUAUUUUUUUUUUAUUUUCUUUACAAGUUAUCAACUUAAAUACUAAUAGGAGCAACAUAAUUUUAAUUUCCAUUUUACUUUUUAAAUAAUUUUAAGUGCCAAAUUUAAGCAAUCAUAAAAAUACUCACGUUCAAUAUAAUAUUUUUAAAAAAUAAUUCAGGAGAUAACUUAAAUAAUCUAUAAAGAAAUAUAAUUUAUUCUUGUGCCAAAUAUUAAAAUAAGAAACAUUUUAUUUUUUUAUUUUAACGUAUAGAAUUGCUUAAAUUAAUGCAAAUUUUAUUAUAAAUAAAUAUUAAUAUUUUAAAAAAAUUAUUAGUUUACAAUAAAGGUAAUUAAAUUUGGCUUAAUAAUUAGUCUUCAAAUUUUAACCAUUUAAAUCAAUUCUUUGGUUACACCUGUGUUAAAUAAACAACAAAAAAAGUCUUGCAUUAUUAAAUUCAAGUAUUCUAUUACAUGCAAUUUGAACCUAUAACUAAUUUUAAAUGAUCAAAUUUUUAUUAUUCAAAAUAAAAGAAAAGAAAAAAAAAUUGUCUUCUAGACAAACCGCAGACAACUCCACCAAAUCCAUAUCAAGGUUCCCACUUUUUCAACUUGAACCAUAGGCCACUCCAUCAAAUCUAUGCCAAAGAUUCUUAUCAUUGACAACAAAUGUUGAGAGUUAAGUCAAGCAUGAAAAAAAUAGGGUAAAAUAUAUCAUUUCUAUCCCUAUAAAAUUUUAAUGUGCUACUUUUUUUUUAUCCUGAGUUAAGUUUGGAUGAUAGAUAAUUAUCAUGUAUUCUUAGAUUUUGGUGUCAUUUUAGGAUAUUUAUGUGAUAUAUGGCUUUUAUGCUUUUUUAUUGUCAUGAACUAAUCUUCUCUUUUGUUGGAGUUGAAUAUAAUUGGUUCAUCUUUCAUGUAAUGACUAUUUUUUAUUUAUUGAAUAAAGCAUUCUAAUUGUUUCUCUUCUAUGUUUAAUAUGUAUUUUUGGUUUAAUCUAUGAUUUUUUUAUUCAAUUGUAAUUAAAAAAUUUCUUUGAACUACGAAUUGCAAAAAACACCUAAAUUUUUUUAUGUCUAGGAAUAAGAUAAAAAGAAUUGAGCAUCAAUAAACACUUUAUCAUAAUGAAAAUCAUUUAGUUAUAUUAAUUUAAGGGAUUGAUAGUGUAAUCAAGGGAUUUAGGUCUCUUCACUAGGAAUUAAAGUGAAAAUAAUAUGAUGGGUUUAUGAUAAUAUAACCUUUAUUAAAUAUGAAUGUGUAGUUAUUAGGUGAUAGAAACUUCAAUGAAACUAAACCCCAACAAUUUUUUCAUUGAUUUAACCCCAACAAUUACAUGGGGUGUUUGUUAAGUCAUUGUUAGUGCACAGUUAGUAGAAGACAAUAAUGCGUCAUAAAUACAAAACAGAAUUUGAUGCUCAAGUCUGAAGCUCGUCUAGUUCUCUUAACAUUAAGAACAUUUAUUACCAAUGAAAGCAAAACAAACAGACUCCCCAUAUGAACAUGUACAUAGUAUGGUAAACCUUUUCACAUUUUUAAUGUCUAGAAUAACACGUUGUAAUGUCUCUCACUCCUAACAGUUAACAUGUAAACUCACAAUUUCCCAAGUAACCUUCUUACCUUCAAAGCUAUUAUCACAUAAAUCAGAUCUCUCAAGUGGUCAAGAUAAUGAAAAUAAGCACGCCUCCAAGUUCUGUUGAAGAAAACAACACUGCAAAAACCCCAAAAUCCUGCUGCAAAUCCAACUCCCAUACCGAUAUAAAACUCUGAUGUUCCAAAGAAAUUACCAUCACCGUGUCCAACAGAAGCACUCUCUGUCAACUCUUCCUUGUCUGUGCAAUUUUUUGUUACAGGAGGACCACAAAGCUCAGGAUUUCCAGUGUAGCUAAGUUCUUCAAAGCUCUGAAGUUGGGUGCUCGUGGGAAUUCUGCCUGAUAAGUUGUUGUAUGAUAGAUUCAGGACACUGAGGAAGGACAAAUCAGAUAAGCUUUGAGGGAUUUGACCUGAAAUGUUAUUUAGUGAGAGAUCAAGGGAUUCUAACAAUUUCAUUUUUCCCAUGUCAUUUGGUAUCCCUCCAGACAGAUGAUUUCUAGACAAGUCCAAAAACCGCAAAGCAGAUAGCUUGGAAAUUUCAGAUGGAAUUGCUCCAGACAGCUUAUUACUUGAAAGAUCAACCAUUCUCACCAAUAUCAGAUUGUCUCUGUACUCUAACUCAUCUCCUUUGGGAACUAAGACAAGAGUUUCCUUGUAGUGGUUAUAACUGAAGUCAGAGCCAUAUGAAUAACUUAAAGGGUUGGCAAAGAAGUCAUCUUCACCAGCCAUUGUCUUCAUGUCAUUCAAACAAUUUGGAAUGGAUCCUGACAGGCUGUUAUUGCCAAGAUCCAGCACUAUAAGGGAAGUUGACAAAUCUUUUCAGUAAUGCUGCCAUUGAAAUUGUUGGAUCUUAGACGAAGAACCAUUAGAUAUUGCAUUUCCCACAUCCAAUCUGGUAUUGCGUCAGAAAGUUGGUUAUUGCCCAUGUCAAUGAAUUUCAUUGUAGAGCAAUUUUGCAGUGUUGAAGGAAUAUAUCCAGAGAAGCGGUUGUCGUCUAACAACAAAGACUCAAGUUGAGACAGAUACCCCAUGGAGUUUGGAAUAACACCAGACAAAUUGUUACUACCCAAGUUCAAAUGCACCAAUGCUUGCCAAUGCACCCAACAGUGACCAAGAUCACCAUAUAAGACAUUAUUUGAAAAAUCAAGCACACUUAACUUAUUAGUAGCAUUUUCCUUUCCACAUAAAAAGGGAGAAAUUGUUCCGGAAAUUGAGUUAUUGGCAACAUUCAGCACUUCAACAUUUGCAGACACACUUGGCAAUGUACCCUUGAACAAAUUAGAACUCAAAUUUAUGACGCUGGAAUUGAGAAAGAUGUUAGAUAGGUCUCCACUUAACAGAUUGUUUGACAGAUCCAGGAAUUCAAUUUGCGAAGUCCAAUUCCAAAACCAACUUGGAACCAAGUCUGCGAUACCUGCCUUAGACAUUGUCAAAACCUUCACAGAACUUUGCCUUUUUAGCCAUUCUGGAAACUUAGGACCUAUUCCAAAGGAGCUCAGUAAAACAUAUUCAAGCUGAAAAGGAGGAACCCAUCCUGAGUUGACACUGAGGAACAAGUUUGUCCAAGACAAACGUAGUUCCUUUAAUUUCAAAAGUUUUACAAAAUUUGACUCUUUUAUAGAUCCUUCUAACAAAUUAGAUGAAAGGUCUAACAUCACUAAAUUUGAGAGAGUUCCAAGAGUUACAGGCAUAUCACCAGUCAAAGAAUUAGUUCCAAGAUUUAAUACCUGCAGGUUUCUGAGGAACUCAAAACUCUUAGGAAUGGUUCCAUUCAGUCGGUUGUGAGCCAGGUUUAAAGUUCUCAAGGAUGACAAGUUUGCAAAUGGUGAGGGAAUUGGACAAGUAAAGGUAUUAUUACUGAGAUUUAGAACUUCAAGAUGCUUAAGCUGGCCAAAUGAAUCUGGAAGUGGCCCACUGAGCUGGUUGUUCUGCAGGUCUAUAUUUUUUAUGUUCUGAAGGCUUGAUAUUAUUUGUGGAAUUUGUCCCUGUAAAAGGUUACUGUGUAAAUCAAGUUGGACAAGAGUUGUGCUGAGAUUAAAUAGCCAUGAAGGGAUUUGCUGAUUGAGAUUGUUAAUUGAAAGAUCAAGGACUUGGAGAUGUGUGAAGUUGGUUUUUCCUUUUGGUGGUCCUAAGUUAUCAAUUUGACAGCUCUCCAAGUGUAGUUCUGAAAGAGAUGGAAGUGCACUCAGUACUUGAAGCCAGUUACCUUGUUUAUGAAGGUCUGAACCACUCAAAUCAAGGUACUCCAAGGAAGAUAGCCUUGAUAUCCAAUUAAGGUUAUCUAUCUGAAGAGCAUAAUUGUAUCCAAGAUUAAGGUGCUGCAGGUUUGAGAGGUUUCCUAGUUGAUGAGGGAUUAAUCCCAUGAACCCACUUAAGCUAAGGUCCAAGUAUCUCAGACUCUCCAAUGAGCCUAGGAAGCUUGGUAUUGGUGUAAGAACAAAAUAAUUUGAACUCAAGUCCAAACGAUUCAAAUAUUUUAGUUCAAGCAAAGAAGGACUAAUCUCUCCACUCAACCCCCUAUAGGGAGAGCCCGCAGGUGUGUCAAGAUUGAUUUCCAUGACUUUACCUGUGUUGUUGCAGUGAACCCCUGGCCAUGUACAGCAAUCCGAUUUGUCAGACCACGAUGAAAGCCUGUUUGAAGGGUCUGCUAGUCCAUGCUUGAAGCUGAGGAGUGCAUUCCUUUCCUUCUCGCUGCAAGUCAUAUUGAGCCUUGCUGCCUUGCUUGCACUGAAGUGGAGAGUUGUUGCAGUGGACAAUAUCAAGAGAAGAACAUGAGUUGCAUAUAGCACUGCCAUGAAGAAGAAGGAAAACGAAAAAGGUUGAAUCCACACCACCAUUAUUUUGCUCUAGUUUAUUUUAUUUUGAUUUAAUUACACUUUUAGUCCUUAUAGUUGUGAUAAUUUUUUUUAGUCCCUAUAGUUUAAGACAUUCAUUUUGGUUCUUAUAUUUACAAUUUUUUUUUAUCUUUUGGUCCUCGCGGGGAAGAUUCAACUCACACAUAAACAUGAACAAAAUUAAUAAAAAUAGGAAAGCAAGCUCAGGUACAAAUGAAGUGUAGUGGAGGUAUGAGACAAAGCCACUACACAUUCCAUUAUUCUUGAGUCUGCCACCGACCUCUGCAAGCUUAGCAUUUGCCAAUUGCCAUGAUGUAAUCUCCUUCUUGACAGUCUCUCAUCAAGUUGGAGUGGUAUCACAGCAUUGAACUAAGUUGAUCGUUCCAAUGGGAUGAUGGUUUUGAUUGCUGCAGAUAAAGUGUGUGAUUGUGAGUUUCUGGUCCCAUGAGUUAAACUAUAAGGACUAAAAAAAAUAUUGUCGUGACUUUAAGGGUCAAAAGGAUAAUUAAAUCUUUUAUUUUUUUUAUUAUUCUUUUUAACAACGGGUUAUAUAUAUGUAGCAGUUUAUUCUAAACAAUGGACUACGUGUGAAAUCUUUGAAUUCUAUGUAAGAAAUGUUAUUUCAAUCUUCUCAUCAGUCUUCAUGUCAAUGAUGACAUGCUCCAUUUGAAUUCUAUGUCUAAUUAAGCUCUCGGUCUUCCGUUUUUGAAACUUUAUUUCGUAGAAAGAAGCCAAAUUUGAAGAUACAACAUUUGAUACUAUAACUGUUUGGUGUUUUGAAAAUCUCACUCACAUAGUUCCAAAUGUUACAAAAGAAUUUGAUUCAGUGGUUUUUACGAAUUCCUUCCUAGCCUUUUUUACCAAGUCAGGGAAUUUGCAUUGUUGUGCACGAUGGCUGCCACAAGGACCCUUGUACCAACCCAUUAGUGCAAGUGGUUUUUUCGUAUGAGAAUUGAGAAACAAAUUAUAUAUGUGUUUUAUAAAGGGAAUUCUAUUAUUUUUAAUUUUGAACUUGUAAUGUUUUUUGUUUCCCUCACAGAACAAGUGAUGUGACUCUUGAUCGACGCCAUACGUACGCCUACUUUGAUGCUCUUUUUUCACACCACUUUUAUCUUAAUGGUAUCUCAAGUUGACAAUCAUAAAUUAAAAUAGCUAACUAUAGUUGAUUAGUAGAGACAAACAGCUCAAAGAUAAAGAUCUUUAAGCCAUCAUUUUUUUUUCCUUUUCUUUUCUAUGAACUGUCAUUUCUUAUCUCUACAUGGAAUGUCUAGAAGUUGAAAAUUACUUGAGCUUUCUUUACCUAUACUGCUUUCCAUUUUGGCGAACUGCUUUUCUUUCUCAUAACGAACUUUCCACUUCCAAUGAUGGUUGAACAUUAAUAAUUAUUCAUCUAUUUUGUCUAAAAAUUUCCACUCACUUUUUGUUAGUGGGUUAAUGUCAUGCAGACAAAUGAUGUCCAAGCUCCACUUUUUCCAUUCAUUGCAAGUUGUAAGCAGAAUGUAGAAUGUACGUAUAAUAAAAUAAUGAGAAUGGCAACUGCUAGUACUACUUAAUUAGAACAAAAGUAUCAAAAUUAAAACGAAAAUAACUUUGAUGCUGUUAAUAUAUGAGUUUAAUUUUGAUAGAGUGUAAAAAUUUAAAUUGUUAAUUAAUUAGAAAUCACCAAAUGAUUUGUAAAACAAUUAGUAAAAAAGUUAUAGGAAAUAUAUAUAACUAAUUAAUUGCAAAUGAAAGUGUAUUUAAAUUAAAUUCUUAAUUAACAUAUCCUUAUUGUGAUAUUUUGUAUAUUUUUUAUUUAAUUGAGACAGUGGAAUGAGACCGCACUAUAAUUUUCAUCACGGGUGUGAAUGUUAGUUUUCACAUUCUCAUUAGAGUUAAGUUGCUUUUGGGGAAAAACCAAUGUCUUGAAAUUCCCUCUUCACCAGAAGCAGUUUAACUUUGAAGAUAGGAAAUAGAUCAGUCAAACAUUGUUUCAGUUUAUUUGGAUUUUUUUUGAAGGACAUGUGAUUUUCAAAGACUUGUUACAACUCACAACCUUUGGAAUUUCUCUAUGCCUGGUUAACCCACAAUUUCUGGCGCCUGUUGCGGUUAGGAACAUAGGCUAGCAAAAACACUAAUCAUUUCAAGAGAAAUGUUAACACACUUUUCUAAUAUAUUAUUUUUUAUUUUAAAAUUUAUUAAAAUAAAAAAUUCAGCUGAUCUCAUAUUUUAUUUAGCAAAUUUUUCUCAUAUAUUAAGUCUUAGGUUUUUGAAAUUAUAAAGCUAAAACUAAAAUGUUUGACUAAAUGUAUUUUAAAGUAAAUUUUAUACACAAAAAUAUUAUGAUUUUAUAAAAAUUGUUUGGUCAAGGGAGACAUAUUGAGCCCUCCUAACUAUAAGCUACCCUGAGGGUUUCUAUCUUUUUUUUUCCCACUUAAUUUUUUACUUUGGCAGCAAGGGUUAAACCUACCACAUCUAUAUGACUAUGUCUUACUUUCCAAUAAGUUACACCUAAAUAGCUAACAUAUUCCUCUUGCUCACGCACACUAUCUUUCGUAAACUUUUCACGAUCAUCUUUAUAUUAUCAAAUUCAUUUAAUUAAUAUACAAUUAUCUUAAUAUUAUAAGCUAUAAUCAUGUAGUGUUUCUAAAUUGAAUGAGCCUAAAUCACACACUCCUGAAAAAAGAGUCAUAUUGUCAAAAUAGCCGUAAAAAGAUAGAAAUACUAAGUUAUGGGCAAGAUUUUGAUAUACUAUAACCUUAAUUUUUACAAUAAACCUAAAUGUCUAAAUAUCAUAACUCAACCAUGCGACGAAAUGACAAUGUGUUAAUUUUGUGGUGUCCUCAACCAUGCGUAUGCCUCAGGCCGAGGGAAUUCUCACACACCACUCCUAACAAUUUCUAAGGAAUUCCACAACGUGUCUAUGCUUCAGACAACAAUAACGUACGAAAUAAACAAGUAGCAUCUAAUAAUGUUAAAAUAAUGUCUAGGCUUGAAGACUAACAUGACAAUUGCUGUUGGUCUCCCUUCUCUUUGCAAAACACCUGAUAAUCUCUCACAGUGUUCUGGUACGUUCAAUUUCUAAUUAAGCCUUCCUUUUUCUUAAAGAACACUACACUACAGUGUUAUGUUUCCAUUUUCUAUGCAAUGAAUGAUCUAUCAGUCUUGUUAGUUGUCAUAUAACAACUUAUGUUUUUACAUUCAGUUGAAGGAAGUUCCCAGAAGGAACAGAUGAAACGGCCUCAGCUAAGAAUAGUGAAUCUUAUAUCGGGAAGAGAUUGUUAGAAAGUUUGGUUGCAGUUGCAGGGCUUCUAAUUUGGCUUUCAUGAGCUUAACUCAAAUACUACCUAUAUAUUACCAUUUUCAUAUCAUGUUGAAAUGUAAACCAUUGAUUAGUUGAUAGUGUAAAAAAUAUUUACACUCUUGAGUGUACUAAAUCUCUGACAGACUCAUUCUCAUUCUUGGCGCUGUUAGUCCAGUGUGAAAACGGACAAAUUCAGUUUCAUGUUAUAUAUGGCUCUGUAUAUGAAAAGGAAAUUAAAGAAAAAGUAGAAUUUGAUUAUGGCUAAUUUCACCCAUUAUAUUUAUUACAAGAAAACCUUUAGAUAAAAAUUAUUUUUUGGUACUUUUAGCUUGGUCGUAAACAUUAACAUUACAUCACGCACACAAACAUAAAAGGCAAACCAAAUUAUUUUACAUCCCUAAAUUUUAUGAGGAAGGAUGCUAGAAAUAUUAACAAUACAUCUCACACACACAAAGACAACUAAAAUUAUAUCACUAAAUUGAGGUGGGGAUAGUUUUGAAAAAAAAAAUAGUAGGUGUGGUUGUGUAGGUGUGUUUUUAUGUUUUUCAAUUCAGGAUAUUAAAUUGACAAAUAAUUUUAUGUUUUUCAAUUAGAUUUUAACAAUAAUUAAGAAAUAAAUCUAAAUCAUUCUACAUUUGUUUAUAGGUACUUGGCAUAUUGGAGAUGCUAUAUGGGAAUCUAAAUUUUGCUUAACACAAAUGUGGUAUAUGCAAGGAAAAAUCAAAUUGAAAAUUUUUUAACCACCACUUCAAAUUUUAAAAGAUUUGUUUCAAAAUAAGGAUAUGAAGAACAAAUUGUUUUUACAGAACAUUCCCUCCAUGAUGUUUUCCUUUCCGUUAGGUGAAAAAAAUAGACAUUUCCAAAAAUAAUGGAAGUGAACCUUAUAUAAUGCUGUUUAUAUAGAGAAGUCUUUCAAAAUACAAGUUAAAGUACUAUUACUACAAACUAUUUUGUAUCAUCACUACUACAAAAGCAGCUUACUACGUCAGCAAUUCAACGACGGUUUCAAAGAAACGUCGUAGAAGCUCAACCGGUGGCAUAUCCGUAAUUAAGGGCUUCAGAACGACGACGUUUGCCGCUACCCGUCGUAGACAUCCAGCUGUUGUGGCGAUUCGUAUUUAGCUGGGUAAGUUACAAAGAUGGUUUUUUGGAAAGAACCGUCUUUGUAUCGUAAAUGGUAGCACGUGGCAAGCAUUUGAGUGGGCCGACGAGUAUACAAAGACGGUUCACUGGCGAGACCGUCGUUGUUUUUAAAGUACUUUCACGUGGCAGCCACGUGAUUUGAGGAUUUAAAAUCCAAAGACGGUUUUAUCCAAAUACCCGUCUUUGGAUUGUUGGUAGUUUCACGUGUAGGCCACGUGAUUGGAGGCGUUAAAAUACAAAGACGGUUUUUGGCUAACACCCGUCUUUGUAUGGUUACAGUAUAAACACGUUAUCAAAGACGGUCCUACCGCAACACCCGUCUUCGUAUUGUUUGUGGUACACGUGGAUUGCACGUGAUUUAAUGCGUUAACAUACAAAGACGGGUUUACCCGAAGAGCCGUCGUUGUAUGUUUAGUAUAGACACGUGGCGGCCCCCUGGUGGUUGUUGUUGUUGUCAUUCAAAGACGGUCUUUGGUAGGACCCGUCGUUGUAUCCUAAAUUGUAUCACGUUUACGACACGUGCUUCUUACUAUCUCAUACGUUGGCGCGCCGUAUCACUUCUUUUCUCCAUUUUUUUGACUACUCAUUAUUGCUUUGGCGCUCUAGCUACACAGAGCAUCUUCUCCGACAAAGACCAUCGUCUCCGACAACCACCAUCUCGUGUCCGUUGCGUCUCGUUCCGUUUGAAGCCGUCGCCGACAAAGGUAUGGGUGCAUUUAGCUCUUCUUUGUGUAUCCCUUCAUUUGCAUGUGUUAUAUUCCUUCAUUCAUGUUAUGAUUCUGCUUCAUUGUCGUCUCAGGCUCUUGGUUGUAGUUGGUUGUCUUCAUCGUGGUCUACAUUGUACUGUUUAAGGAAGAUAAGCUGGUUCCAUAAGGUAAGAUACAUUGUGUGUUUUGUGAGAGAAAGUACAAUUUUUGUCUACCUUCUUAUGUAAUCUGCAGCUAUGGGUUGUAAAUUUUUAUUUUUUUUUGCGUUUCAGUGGGGUUUAUGUGGGGCUCGUUGAUGAAGCUGACUUGCGGGCAGUGAGUGAAUGACUUUCGGGAACAGCCUGCUACCAUCCUUCAUCAGUGGUGUGUCAUCCUGUGCCACAUUAUCAGUUUCGUUGAGCGUUUGGUCUAAGUUAGUACACUGAACUUGAUGAAACCCAUGAUGUUUAAUUUGAGCUUCAGAUUUACUGUCUUCAUGUUUAGUUGUGUCUGUAAUUGAAUAAACUGGAGAAUAAAUUAUAUAUAAGUAUGUUGUUUGUAAAAGUUUUAUUUGAUGAAUUACAUAAGUAAAUUGAUUUACUUUAUAAUUGCCGUUAAGAUGAAACAUUUUGGUAGUUGCAGUAGCUUGUAUGAAAUGUUAUGAGUACUGAUGGAAAGAGUUGAAUCUCCCUCUGAACCCCUUUUCAACUCAUCCCCUAACUAACUCUCUAAUUAUUCAACUAACUAUGGGGGUUACAUAUUAAUACUGGUGAUUUUUGAUUCUGAUCCUGGAAAGGUACUUGAGCCACUUCUAGAAGUCCUAGAAUUAAAACUGAACAUCUUAACUUCAUCAAAAGAAGGGUAACCACUGUAUGGUAAAGCACAUUCAGCUCUAGACCACGUAGUAGCUGAUCUUAUUUUUCCAAGCAAACUCAUUUCCAUGUUAUCUUCAUCAGACUCAAUGCUGUCAAUUUCCACCUCCAAAAUUUUCACAACCUGCCUCAUUGUUGGUCUAAUACUAGGGUCUGUAUGUGAACACAACAAACCCAAAUGAAGCAAUCUCUCACCUUCCUCUAUGGUGUAUCCCCCUUUAGCCUUCAACCUUUCAUCAACUGCACUGUGCAAUUGGCCUUGCACCAUUAAGGACAUCAGCCAUUCAAUUAGCCCCGGCUUAUGUUCUUCAAUAGGUCUUUGUCCGCAAAUUACUUCCAACACCAAUAUUCCAAAACCAAACACAUAAGACAAAGUUCACGCUGUUCCUCUUUGAAUCACUUCAGGAGCAAUGUAUCCUAGUGUCCCUAUUACUCUUGUUGUGCUGACCACUUGUCCCUGAUGAUCAUGCAUACGAGCCAAUCCGAAAUCUCCCAGCCUUGCAUUCAUGUCCUUAUGAAGAAGGACAUUGUUUGCUUGAAUGUCCCUAUGCAAGACCUUAACUUCCCAACCCUGAUGCAGGUAUAGAAUCCCUGUGGCUACAUUUUUCAAAACUUGAAUCCUCUCUUCCCAUGUUAGCAUCAUUCCCUCUUCACACUCAAAUAUCCAUUUGUCUAAACUUCCAUUGCUCAUGAAGUCAUAAACUAGAAUCAAAUUUCCCUUUUCUUUUUUGCACCAGCCUCUUAAUCCUACUAAAUUUCUGUGCUUCAUUCUGCCAAGGCUUGAAACCUCGGCCAAAAACUCUCUCAUCCCUUCUUCCCUUUCUUGAGGAAUUCUCUUGAUUGCAACUUCUACCCCAUGCAAAACCCCUUUAUAUACCUUCCUGGUCCCUCCUACAGCAACCACAUUCUCUUCAAAAAACACCGUUGUUGCUGCAUCGAUCUCAUGGAAACCUAUCCUGUGAGGCCAAUACUCCAGUUCCCAAUCUUCAACUUCUUCUUGUGUCUUUCUUCUACGGAGAACGAAAAAUGCGACAUAACCAAAACCAAUGAUUAACACAAACACAAUACUGGUGACACCUAUCGCGAAAGCUUGUGCUCCAGGAAACCACUUUUUAUGAUGAACAAAUGAAGGCAAAUUUUCUGUCACUAAUGCAUCACCAAUUGAAAAAUUUGAAUCACUAAAACUCCAAACAAGAAUCUUAGCACUGUCUAUUAUCCUCCCUGUUGAAUAAUUAUUUGAUAUCAGUAGUGAUGUUUUUGUUCUUCAACUGGGUGUUGACAUCAGCCACAAACAGUUGACCUUUCUUUUGAGUAUUAUUUCCUUCUGCACCCCUGUGUUUGUGAGUUCACCCUCUGUCAUUGCUGUUAUGUCUCUGCUGCCCUCCAUUGAAGCUUCUCUGUUCAUAACAAGGAGGUACCCCCACCUCCUUUGUUUAAACCUGCAGGUGACCUGAAAUUACCAUCAGGGUGGUGGUCACUUUGUUGUUCCUCUAAAUUACCAUAUUUAAGUCUAUGAUCUAUUGGGUUUGUUUGUUCUUGUUGUUGCUACAGGGGGACACAUCAACCAAGCUGUGACCUUCAACAGAUCUUAUUACAAGGUAAUCACUUCAAUGAACAAAUGGUUGAGUCACUAGGGAUCCUUAAUUAAGCUCUGUGUCUUAAUUUAAUGACUUUAAAAUCAGCAGACAUUAUAUAUCAUGCAUGUAUCCUUCUAAGAAGCAUUUUUCAUUUGCUUUUAGGAUUUUCAAAGUGCUUAUAUCAUCUUUUUAUUCCUUAAUUAUGUGCUCUUAUGAUUAAAUUUGACUAAUUAAAUGUAUAUUUCUCCCGAUUAUUAUGAUCAGGUUCAAAUUAUAGGACAAUUGUGCACGUACUAUAACCUGAACAGCCAUCCACAAGGCUUAGGUUAAAAAUAAAACCGUGGAACCAUCACAUUAUUACUGCACAAUUUGCUGUUAAAAAAAAAAACAUUCCACGACGGUUCUAAGGAAACGACCGUCGUAGAAACGUGAUGUUUCUAAGACGGACCUACAGGAAACGACCGUCGUAGAAACGUGAUGUUUCUAAGACGGACCUACAAAGCAAACCGUAGUAGUAUUAAUACAAGUCUACGACGGUCCAUGCCAUACAACCGUCGUAGAACACGUUUAUCUCAACGACGGUGUUGUUACGUGACCGUAGUAGUAUUAACACUGUCUCUUACGACGAUCGUCCGCAACAAAACACCGUUGUAGUGAUAUGACCCUUAUCCCCAUGCCCGUCGUAGUCUGUUGUUACUUCUACGACGGGGCUGUUGACAGCCGUGUUUGAAUUGUGGACCUUACUACGACGGUCCUUUGGAAACAACCGUCGUAGAACAAGAUUAUGUCUACGACGGUGCUGUCCUUAUGGUCGUCGUAGUCUCUAGUAAGUUCUAAAGACAGGGUUGACCGACAGCCCGUCUUAGAAAUCUGUAAUAUCUACGACGGUUUUCUAUAACCGUCUUUGAAAGUCAUCGAAUUUAUUACGUCGUCGCAGACAACGACGGUCUUCAACCGACGUAGUAUACCCAUUUAAAUCGACGUUGAAUUCUGCUUUUGUAGUAGUGCAUAUAUCUCUUAUAUAUUUUGAUAUAAAACAUUUAAUAAUUUUUUUUAUUUCUUAGUAUCAUGUACAUGAAAGUCAAUCCAAACCGAAUCGAGGAUUUAUGUGGCAUUUAACUUUUAUCACUUUCUGCCCUCAAAGAUCACACUCUAAUCAUGUACCAACAUUUUGUGGUGUACAAGAAAACUCUUCUAUUUGAGAGCAGACGAUUUUUAUUUGAACCUCUUUUGGCAAAUGGAACUAGCUUUGGAUUACCAUGUGACAAAAAACUACUUCGGAUUACCAUGUGACGAUUUUUAUUUGAGAGCAGGCGAUUUUUAUUUGAACCUCUUCACUGUUUUUCAUCAAUAUUACCAAAAUUUCCUUAAAGUGUUCAAUAUUUCGUAAUCUUCAUAAUUAAUUCAAAAUUCUCAAAAGAUUAGUAUAUGACCUUUUUUCUUGUUUGUACUAGGAGAGGAAUAAAUGAAAAAAAUUCAGAAAUUUGUGGAUUGCAAUUUGCUCAAAUGAUGUGUCUAUUAGUUCUUUGAAAUUUGUAUAUAUUGAUCAUAUUUAUUUUUACCUUUUAAUAGAUAUAUUGUGCUGUCAUCCCAAGAGAAGGAUCAAACAUUGAUGAUGCAGAGGUGCUAAGAUAUUGCAAGAAGAAUCUUGCAUCUUUCAAAGUCCCUGAAAAGGUCUUCAUUACUGAUUCUUUGCCCAAGACUGCCACCGGAAAGAUUUUGCGUCGUCUUGUGGCAGAACACAUUUCUCAAAUUUGAGCAACUGAUCAAGUCCUACUUUUGAAGCCUCCAUACCUGGCCAUACAUAGUUGGAGUCCACACACCAUAAAUUUCAACAAUAAUUUGGCAACUUGGCAUUUAAGAGGAGGGUAAUUCUGCAAAUGGUCUUUCAUUCAGGAUACAAUAGAUUGUAGUUUUCAAUGAUUCACGUGAAAUGUUCACAAUGCAAUGUUUUCAAUGUUUUAUAGGUCUUAAAUACCAAUAGCAGACAAGAUCAUGCUUAUGCUUUUUUGCUAUCGUGCUCCUGUUCCUUGCCACUGGUCUUGAUGAAGCCAAGCAUUGUCUCUUUGCCUUUUAAGUUGUACAUAGUUGCAAAACGGGUACAUGUGAAAGAAUAAUGCUUAUUAAUGGCAAGGUUGAUUUUAAAGUGGGCAUGCAAGAAUGCAUUCAUUAUCUCAAGUAAAUAAAUUCAAGCGAAUAUGUGAUUUGGAUUAGAGAAUAGUAUUAUCCAGUGCACACUAAAUUGGAGAGAUUCCCAACAUGUGGUUUCAAAACUAAAAGUACUUACCAACUAUUUGAAUUUUAAUCUACGUGAUCUAGCUAAUGUUUUCUAUCAGAGAAUUACAACUAGUUGAUCUUAAGUACAAAACUAUACUAAAUAUGCAAAUCUUUACAUCUAAAAACAGAAUUUAAAUAAGGCUCUCAAAUUUGAAGAAAAAAACGAAGAUAGCAAUGACUACAAAUUGAUCAAUCUGCCAAUACAAUGAUAAAACAUCGGUUUAUUCUAAGCAACACUAAAAAGUGAUACUACAUGAGCAAAAAGAUUGAAAUUAUUGACCAUGCAGUAUGAAUGUACAGCAUUAUUUAUUUAAUUUUUCUACUACAAUUUUAUUUUAUAUUAAUACACUAUAUCAUUAUGACAUCAACCCCCAGCAUGAGUGGCCCAGUGGACAAGCCCAUCAAUCUAACAUGUCGGUUGAUAGCACUUGCAUAAACUUUUGUUCCUUGCAUCAUCCCAUGUGUCUCCAUUCUCCAUUCUCUGCUUCCACUAACGAUUAAACCUUAUUGAUUAGGGUUCAAUGAUUUUUCAAUGAAUAAAAUUAAUUUUUAAUUCUUGAUUCUAACAGCUCACGUAUAGUCUGUUGAAUCAAAUGGAUUAGAAUCUUGAUAUCAUAAAGAAAAUUAAAAUUUGAUUCUUUGUGUAAAAUAAAGAAAUCUAAUUAAUUAUGCUUGUUAUGUUACUAUAUAUAUCAUUUUUCCGGUGUGGAGUAAUAUCAAAAUCAAAGUAACAAAGUUACUUGCAUGUUACUCUAACCAUAAUUCUAGCUAAGUCGAAUAUGAUUUGAUGUUUUGUAAAACAAUUUAGAUCCCCUUUAUCAAAGUGUAUCUGUCUUUUACACAAGUUUUUUCACUUUAUUUUAUUUCCCCCAGAAUCAAAUGUUGUGUUAUUCAUACUAUUAAAUUAGUCUGAUAACUACCAUGUCGAUCAUUGUUAGUUUUGUUUCCACCAUUGUUCGGAGUACGUAUAUACUAUUACUUUAUGAUUAAACGUGUUACUUAAAUUGCAGAUAAAAACUCUUUAUAAUGAAGUACAAUUGUUUAUAACUACAACAAUUAUAUCGAGUCAAUUUAACACUCAUCAAAGGCAGAAAAGCUUUACUUUAAGAUUAGACAGAGGCUCAUACCAAUCAUGGCGGUGGUUAUAAUUACACACAUCAGCAACUGUAAAAGAUCUUGCACAGCCACAGAAAAAAAAAUGCUUGAUGCACAUCUGAUAAACUCACUCAAGGUCUAUGUAUUAAUUGUGUAAAAGAGAGACUGAAUAUUAAAUGAUAAAAAUAUAAAAUAAUUGUUUUGUAUUGGCAGAGUACACAUAUAUAUGCCCAAAUGUAGAUUCAAAGUUCAAACAUUUUGGGCCUAUAGCUAGACCAUCCCUCCUAGUCAUAGCCAUCUGAAUUGGAUCGACCCCACCCCAAGGUUUGUGUUGCAUCACUUGCAUGCAUUCACCCACCACAGUUGUUGUUAUAGUUUUCUCGUGAAUUUUGUAUUGGAAAAUACUAUGGACAAAUAUAAUUGAUACAGUCAUAAUUAAUUAUUGUCAUGUUGCAAUUACAAAGACUCCUCAAAGAAAAUGUUUAGUAAAUCAUGAUCAAGUAGAAAUUGCAAUGGCAAACUGUUUUUUAAAAUCUUAUUAGUCAGUUGUAUAAACCCAAAUUUAGUUAUAUCCAGGUAUGUAAUAUUUGCCAUUUUAGUGCUCUGUUUGGAAAUUUGCAUGUCGAAUUGUUUUUUUUUAUACGUACCUACACAACACUCUUUAGCCAAAUACCACUGUUCAUGGAGGAAUCUGUCCUGAAAGGAGUAUAGAACCAGAAACAAUAUGCGUGGUGGUAUCUAUCAUUCUGAAAAAGAGAAAAAGCGGGAUACGUACAAUAGGAGGACUGUGAUACUAGGGGUGGAAAUGAGCUGAGCAGCUUGUUGAGGGCCUUUGGCUCGGCUUAUGUGAGGCUCGGCUCGGCUCGGCUUUAUUACUAUAAAGGUCAAGCUCAAGCUUUUAAAAAAACCUUUUUAGAUUAAAAGGCCAAGUCCAAACUAUAAAAAAGUUUGACAAGCCGGCUUGUUUAACUAAUAAUAAUAAUAAUAAUAAUAAUAAUAAUAACUUUAUUUUAUCAAAUCUUAUCUUAUCCAGAUUUUAUUCCAUCUAGAUUUUAUUUUCUCCAGAUUUUAUUUCAUCCAAUCUUAUCUUAACUUGUCCUGAUUUUAUUUUAUUUCGUUUAUGGGCUUGGACUUAAAAUAGAUUUGUGAGCAUUGGGGCUGAGGACCUAUAUAACAGCACCAAGGUUUUAGUUUAGGGAGUUUUUUUCGGAUAGGAGAAUAAUUCUAGGAUUUUAGAAUUCCAGUUUUUAUUACUGUUCAUGCACACUGUUCACGUAGAAUAAAAUUCGUUUUCUGCAAUUUCGUUUCGACUUCAAUCUACAGUUUCAUUUCUACUGAUUAAUGGAAGGCCUAGUCUCUAGCAUUGUUUUCUCUUGAGGAUCAAGCAAAACUCUCUUUGAGGUUUUGUUAUUACUAUUGAAUACUAAUCAGUUUUUCCUCUUCACCCAUUACUUUGUAUUUGUUGCUAUUAAUUCAUGCAUGCUUAGUGCUUGAUUAAUUGUCUCUGCGCUUAAUUUACGUUCAUGCUUAAUGAUCAGUUUCGUUCAUGAUUAAUUGGUGUAUGUGUUGUUUAAUCACAUAAUGACAGCCUUAUGUUAAUUUUCGCUUAGUAAUUUAAUUUAGGGUUGAAUUAAGUGGUUGAACUGAUUAAAGAUAAAUUCUCGUAACCUAGGAUAAAAGACUUGUUUGUGAAUCAAGGGGAAACAUGUUUUAAUUAUGUUAUUUUCUAAUUAAAAUUUGUUUGUUGUUUAAUUUACAAAAACAAACAACCCCUCAAUUCAUUAUUGUUUUAUUAUUAUCUGUUAUGAACGAUUGGUUAACCAUUGCUCGUUGGGAGACGACCUAGGAUCACUUCCUAGAUAUUACAUUUUUAAUGUUUAUUUAAUUCGGGUACGGCCUCGAUCAAUAGUGUAUAAGAUAUGACUUGAGUAGACUAAGAUGAAAUUAUUGUAGAUAUAUUUUUUUAAAAAAAUAUUUAAUAUAAUUAUAUGUUCAAAAAUUGGAUUAAAAAUUGUUAAUUUAACUAAUAAUAAUUUUUGUUUGACUAUAUUAGUGUAAAUCAUCUCUAAUCCAUACAUUUUUUUAAUAUUAUGCUCUUUUUAUUAUCUUUUUAUAUACUUGGUGCUUUAACGACUUGAAUUCAAUAUGAUUUUGUUUAUCAAUUAUUUUUGGAUUUGUACAUUACUUAUACGAAAUUUUAUAAGUUUUUUUUAGUUAGUAUUUCACUAGGUUUUAAAAUAAUUAAUUAAUCAAAGACGUCUUUAAGCAAACUUUUAAAUAGGCUCGUGGGCCAAGUCAGACUUUUAUGUAAGCCGAAUCGAGCCUAAAAAAAAGUCUAUGACAAGUAAUGAGCCGAGUUCAAGCCUUACGUAUUCAAUUCAAGCCGAACUCAAGCCUAAUAAAACUUGGCUUGGCUUGGCUCAUUUCCACCCCUAUGUGACACUACUAGAAAAAUCUAUGCACCUUUCAUGUCCCUAAAUUUAUGAACAAAAGAUUCAGGUGUCGUUUAUUGAAUUUGUUUUAUAUGGAGUGUAAAGUCAUAUCCAAUACUAAUAAGUGUAUAUUUAUAUAAUUCUUUUUUAAAAUAAUUACUCUUCUUUAUUUACAUCUAAUAAAAAUGUUAAUAUUAUAGGCAUACAUCUAAUAAGUGUAUGUUGUUCAAAUAACAGUAUUAAUUAUAUUAAAAUAGUUAAUAUUAAAAAAUAUAUUAAAUAUAACAUUGUUGUGUUGGUGCUAUUUAUUGUGCAUCAAAAUAUGUAAAAAUAAUAAUUAACUUGUAAUUUGUAUAGUUGGUAUGGGUUGUUUUAUCUAUCCUGGAUUUUGUUGUAUCAAACAUAUAAUCAUUUAUAUAUAUAUAUGGGCUACUAUUGUCACUACCAAAAAUGCUAUUGAGACUACCAAAGCUUUUGAAAUUACUUGGUUAUCCUUAGUUCCAUUUCCCCACACCUCCUAUCCUUCCCCUCUUUACGUUCAGCUACUCUCCCUCUUUACAUCCAAAAACAGAAUUUAAAUAAGGCUCUCAAAUUUGAAAAAAAAGAAGAAGAUAGCAAUGACUACAAAUUGAUCAAGCUGCCAAUACAAUGAUAAAACUUCGGAGUAUUCUAAGCAACACUAGACAGUGAUACUACCUAAGCGAAAAGAUUGAAGUUUGAACCACACAUGAUCAAGGAAAUGAAAAUAGGCAUACCGCCAUGAUCUACAAAUCAGCAAAGGAGCAAUCACUAUCCAGAAUCCCACAAUAAAUCCAAUUGUCAUACUGACAAAAAACCAAUUCACUCCAUGCCCAUCACUUCCUUCAUAACUAUGGGUUUUCCCAUUGGAGCUGCAGUUUAUGGGCAGUGGUGGACCACAUAGAUUGUUGCCGAUGAAGCUGGAGGCAUCAAAGGUUUCCAAUUGAGUUCCUGUUGGAAUAUUUCCCUUCAAAUGAUUGUAAGACAAGUCUAGCAUGCUCAGAAAGCUCAAAUUUGCAAUGCUUGGAGGGAUUUCACCAGAAAGUUGAUUCCUCGAAAAAUCAAUGGACUGUAAUGAUCUCAUAUUACCUAUACCUCGUGGAAUAUGACCAAUCAAUUGGUUGUGGGACAAGUUUAAAAAAUUCAAUCCAUUUAGAUAUGUGAUUUCUCUUGGUAUCUCCCCUAAUAACUUGUUACUUGACAGAUCAAUGCUUGUUACCAAACCCAGAAUGUUUCUGUACUCAUCUCCUCUUCCUUUUAGCCAUAGUAGCACACUAACUAUACUAACUCUGGAAGAGUAAUAUGGGCUCAAAAGAGCUACAGAAGAGAUACGAGGAUCUGUACUUUGGUUCAUUAGUGUCAUGGAACUCAAGUUACUGAAACAGCUCGGUAUAUUGCCAGAUAGAUUGUUUUGUGCAAGGUCUAAAACCUGAAGAAGACUCAUCUGACAUAUUUCCUUUGGAAUGUGGCCGGCAAAACUGUUUGAUCGAAGGCGGAGGAUUUUCACAUUUAAGAGGUUUUCUCCAACCCAUGUUGGAAUAGUUCCUGAAAGAUUAUUUUCCCCAAGGUCCAAGGAUAUCAAUUGGUUAUUCUUCUUCAAACUGGUUGGAAAUAUUCCUGAGAGUGUGUUGUUACUAAUUUGUAAAGACUGCAGGUCUGCCAAGGAACCCAUGGAUUGGGGUAAGUUCCCAACAAAAUGGUUGCUUUGUAAAUUUACAUCCCCAAGAGAUGUCCAAUUCAUCCAGCAAUCAGGUAUCUCUCCUGACAAAUUAUUUGAUGCAAGAUUCAGAAGUUCUAAUUGCAUUGGCUCAUCCUGAUCGUUACAUAAAAAGUCAUUCAUGGAUUCAGAGAAUGAAUUGCUCGAAAGAUCUAACCAAAUCACAUCUCUUGAAAGAUAGGGUAAUUUACCACACAAGUGAUUUGAGCUUAGAUCAAUAACGUGGAUAGAUAUUGGAUUCUUUAAUGUAGUCCCAAUCUCACCAUGGAUAUGAUUACGAGAGAGGUUUAAAUACGAAACCUGAGAAAGUGCUUCCCACAUCUGUGUGGGAAUAGAACCGAAAAUCCCCGUGUUAGAUAGUCCAACAUAUUGAAGUUGGUUUUGUGACUGAAUCCACAAUGGAAAGCUGGGACCUAACUGCCAUGAUGUCACUUCCAAAUAGGUAAGUUGAAAAUUAGGAAUCCAAUUGGGACCCACUUUUAAAGUGAAAUUGUUCCCCGAUGCGACAAACUCCGUCAAGCUUGUAAGAUUUGCAAGAUCAUCUUCCUUGACAACUCCGUGAAAAAGAUUGCCGUCAAUAUGAAGAGAUAACAAUUUAGAGAGUGAUCGAAGACUUUCAAAUGGAUUUCCACUGAAUUUAUUCAUAGAGAGAUCGAGAUAUCUUAAUGAUGAAAGUUUUCCAAAUGAUCUAGGAAGAGCACCACCAAUUGAGUUGUUGGAAAAAUCUAGCAGAUCAAUAUUUUUAAAUGCUCCAAUAUGAUCUGUCAGAUUGCCUGAAAGUCGUGAACUCUGAACUACAAGUGUUGUGAGUCCAUGGGAAAUACAAGGAGCAAGAAUUUCUAAAAGUUCAUUAACCUGUUGGUUGAGUUUGAGAUAUGAUAAAUCUAUCACCCUUAAGUUGCAGAGAUUACCCAAAGAAGUUGGAAUGUUUCCUUCAAGUUGAUUACGUGAUAAAUGAAGUUCAACAAGAGAAGUCAAAUUACCCAAACAAGUUGGAAUGUUUCCUUCAAGUUGAUUAAUUGAUAAAUCAAGUUCAACAAGAGAAGUCAAAUUUCCCAAGGCAUCAGAAAUAGUCCCAUGCAAGUUGCUGGAACUUAGGUCCAAAGACUUGAGACGAUGAAGACCGUAUAAGCAAUCAGGUAUAGAAGAUGAGAAUGAAUUGAAAGACAAGUCAAGAAUUAGAAGAAGUGAGAGGUUUCGAAUACCACCAGGAAUCGGACCUUGAAUUUCAUUUCCCUGUAAUUGAAGAGAAACAAGUUUCUUCAAUUUGAAUAUCCACUUGGGGACAAAAGAAAUGGCAGUAUCGGAAAGAUCGAGAGUUUGCAGAGAUGAGAAGUUGAGCAAGGAUGGUUCAUUAUAGUGAGGGAGUGUGCAUCCUGACAAAGAUAGGUGGGUCAAAGAAGGAAGAGAUUGGAGAGUGUGUAGCCAAUGAAAUGCUUUGGAUAGGUUUGCAUUACUCAAAUAAAGAUAUUCAAGCUUCCACAUACUUGAUACCCAUCCUACAUUUUCAGCUAACAGAUCAUAACUACCUCCAAGGCCAAGAUAGACCAAAUUGGAGAGAUUCCCAAUCUGAGAUGGAAUCUUCCCCAUGAAUGGAGUAUAAGAGAGGUCGAGGUGAGUCAAGGAGGUCAUUGCACAAAGGAAAGAAGGAAUUGCCAUACCUUCAAAAUCAUUGUAGCUCAAGUCAAGAUAUCGAAGCUUAGAGAGAUUCCCGAUCUGAGGAGGAAUCUUCCCACUGAAUGCAGUCUGAGAGAGGUUGAGGUGAGUCAAGGAAGUCAUUGUCCCAAGGAAAGAAGGAAUUGACAUACCUUCUCCAAGGAAAUAAUUGCCGCUCAAGUCCAAGUAAUUCAAAUGCUUUAAAUCAGCCAAACAAGGACUUAUCUCUCCACCAAAGCUCCAUCUCCGAUAAGCUUCCUCAUCGAAUCUAUGGUAGAAUCCAUUAUAGUAGUCAUACUUGAAAGCAUAAUAUGAAGUGUUGAGGUGAAGCUGAAGAACAUGGGAAGUAAGGUUGUGGCAGAGGACUCCAUACCAGUGGCAACAGUUGGUAUGAUUAUGAUUCCAAGACCAAAGCCUAUUUGAAGGAUCUAUGAGAUUAUUCUUAAUCUUCAUAAGUGUCUCACGCUCACUUGGGAUGCACACACUCUCUCUGCAAUCACCAUAAGGUAAACUAAACAACCAAAGGUGGACAAAGACAAGAAUAUAAAUAAUGGAGGAGGAAUUCAUGAUCAUGCAACGCAAAUAUAGAAAACGAGUGUUUUUUUUUAGAGCUGAAACAAGUGUAGUUGUUGGUUCUGCAUAUAAAUCAUCAAACUUCUAUUAUUUAUACUGCUGCCCUGCCUGUUUUUCUCUUUCACUUUUCAUUAUUUUUUACCUUUUUUAUUAUUGUGCCAAAUACUAAAUUAUCGACUUAAUUAUCCAAUUCUCCCGAAUUAAUUCUUAGAAUACGAAAAUUUUUGUAUUUACUGUAUCAAUCUCCCUUUUUAAAAUUCCUAUAUACACUAAAUUCAUAAAAAAAUCAAAAUUAAUAACAAAGAAAUAUGAUUUAUUCUUGUGCUGAAUACUAACAUAAGAAACAUUCUUUUUGGUACAGUUUUUUUUUUUUCAAAAAUAAGUAAGAAUCAUUUUAUUUUAAUUUAUCCUAUAAUACCGCUUAAAUGAAAAUUUGGUGUCACUAAAAUUCAAAUUUUAACUUUUAUUUAAUCAAUCCUUUCGUUAAACUUUUGUUACGUACAAAAGUCCAAUAUUUUUUUAAGAAAAAAAUCAAGUCUUCUAUUUCAUCAAAUCCCAACCCAUGAUUAAUAUUAAAUUAUCAAAUUUUCAAUAUUCAAACUAAAAAUAAUGUAAAAGAAAAUUGUCUUCUAAAUCAUAGCUCACACAAUCAAGUCAAUCUCAAGGUUUUUCAUUUUUUCAUCUUGAACCUUUGGACACCCCACAAAGUCUAGCCAUGAUGUUAAGGUCUGACUUCUUCAACUUGAACCAUAGGUCACUGCAUUACCUUCAUAUCAAACAAUUGUUGCGAGUUAAGUCAAGCAAGGAAAAAAAAUAUAAUUGAUGAAUAAAUCAAUUAUAGGAAAAGAGUUUACAUUAAAGACAAUUUUGGUUAAAAAAAUCUAUAAAAAAAAUUAUUUCGUUCCAAGCUAGCUAUUUAAUUUUGAUCAAUUUUUCAAUUCACAAAAUAAUAUUCUUCUUAUAUGUGAAAAAGACUAAUUAAUCUUCAUUGUCAUUAAUGAUUGUUGUGUUGUCUAUUUCUAAUUUUUUUUAAUCAUAAUAUUAUUUUCUUUUUUAUUAAAAAUUAAUUAGUGAAUUAGUGAGAUACAAAGAAGUUUAAAUUGCUUGUUUAACUUGGUCUAUCAUAAUUAUUGAGAUCAUAGUUUUUAGUCUUGUUCCAAAUUUCUCCAUGUAUUGUAGAUCAUAUUUAACUUAAAAAGUAAAUUAGAAGAUCUACAAAGAAGUGUGGCAUGUUUUUUAAAUUAUAAAAUUAUGGUCCUAGCUAUUUAUUGUUAGACCACAAGUCUUCAUAUAUUAAAGUUUUUGUCUAAAUUUCAUUUAUGGUGAUAGUUUACGAAUAGUGAUAGAAGAGAUAAAUAAAUAUACAAUUUAUUAAAAUAUCUAACUCAAUUAAUUGAUGAAUACAUCAAUUAUAGGGAAAGGGUGUACUCUAAAGACUAUUUCUAUUAAAACAUCUAUAAAAAAAUUAUUUUGUUCCAAUCUAAUUAUUUAAUUUUAAUCAAUUUUUCAGUUCACAAAAUAAUAUUCUCUUAUAUAGGAAAAAAAGACUAGAUUUAAUUAUCAUCAAUUGGAAAAGUUAUUGUGUCAUGUAUUUCUAAUUGUAUUCGAACUUGAAUAUUAUUUUAUUUAUCAUAUAAAAAUUAAUUAGUUAUAUAAAAAGAAGUAACAUGAAUAUUAAUUUUUUUUUCAAAAAAAAAAUCAGUAUCAUAUUUUAUAUUUUUUACAAGUUAUCAACUUAAAUAAGAGGAGAAACAUAAUUUUAAUUUCCAUUUUACUUUUUAAAUAAUUGCAACUGCCAAAUUUAAAUAAUCAUGAGAAUACUCAAGUUCAAUAUAAUAUUCUAAAACAAAAAAUCCAUACGAUAACUUAAACAAUCUACAAAGAAAUAUAAUUUAUUCUUGUGCCAAAUACUAAAACAAGAAACAUUUUUUAUUUUAGUUUACCGUAUAGAAAUGCUUAAAUCAAUGAAAUUUUUAUUUUAAGAAAAUAUUAAUGAUUUUUUUAAAACUUUAAGUAGUUUACAUCAAAGGUAAUUAAAUUUGGCUUAAUUAGUCUUCAAAUUUUAACUAUUAUUCAAAUGAAUCCUUUCAUUAAAUCUGUACCUGAUAAGUAAACAACAAAAAGUCUUGCCUUAUAAACCGCUGGCCACUCCACCAAAUUCAUAUCAAGGUCCCCACUUUUCCAACUUGAACCAUAGACUACUCCAUCAAGUCCAUGUGAAGGUCCUCCAUUUUUUCAUCUUGAACCUUAGGACACUCCACAAAGUCCACCCAUAUUAAGGUCUCUGACUUCUUCAACUUCUGCAACGCAUAUAUGGAAAACAACUUAAUUGUAUAAGUGCUUCUUGCUUCUGCAUAUAAAUCAUAAAACUUCUAUUAUUUAUACUGUUGCAAGUGUCUUUCUUUAUCUAUCUCCCUUUAGAAUUUACUUUAUCUAUCUCCCUUUUUAAAAUUCUUAUAUACACAAAAUUUUGUAUUGAAUUUAACUAUUAUUUAAUUUUGAUUAAUCAAUCCUUUCGUUAAAAUUUUGUUAAUUAAACAAUAAAAGUCCAACAUUUUAUUAAAAAAAUUCAAGUCUUCUAUUUCUAAUUGUAUUUGAACUUGAAUAUUAUUUUUUUCAUAUAAAAAUUAAUUAGUUAUGUAAAAAGAAGUGUGAAAAAGACUAUUAACUUUUUUUCUCAAAAAAAUCAGUAUCAUAUUUUGUAUUUUUUUACAAGUUAUCAACUUAAAUAAGAGGAGAAACAUUAUUUUAAUUUCCAUUUUAAUUUUUAAAUAAUUUGAAAAUGCCAAAUUUAAACAAUCAUAAAAAUACUCACGUUCAAUAUAAUAUUUUCAAAAAGAAAAAUAUUGAUACGAUAAGUUAAAAAAUCAACAAAGAAAUAUAAUUUAUUCUUGUGCCAAAUACUAAAAUAGGAAACUUUUUUAUUUUAGUUUACGGUAUAGAAUUGCUUAAAUCAAUGAAAGUUUUAUUUUAAGAAAAUAUUAACAAUUUUUUAAAACUUUGAGUAGUUUACAUCUAAGGUAAUUAAAUUUAGCUUAAUUAGUCUUCAAAUUUUAACUAUUAUUUAAAUCAAUCCUCUAAGUAUAUAACAAAAAGUCUUGCAUUAUAAAUUUCAAAUAUUCUAUUACUUGGAAUUUGAACCCAUAAUUAAUUUUAAACUAUCAAAAUUUUAUUAUUCAAAAUUAAAAAAAAUGAAAAACAAAAUUUUCUCCUAGACAAAUCGCUGGCUACUCCACCAAAUCCAUAUCAAGGUCCCCACUUUUUCAACUUGAACCAUAGGCUACUCCAUCAAGUCCAAGUCAAGCUCCUCCAUUUUUUCAUCUUGAACCUUAGGACACUCUACAAAGACCACCCAUAUUAAGGUCUCUGACUUCUUCAACUUGAUCCAUAUCCCAUAGGCCACUCCACCAAUUUCAUGACAAUGUCCCCCCACUCCUUCAACUUGAACCAUAGGUCACUACAUUACCUUCAUAUCAAGUUCUUUAUCAUUGACAACAAAUGUUUAGAAUUAAGUAAGGAAGGAAAAAAUUAUAAAUGAUGAAUACAUCAAUUAUAGGAAAAGAAUCUAAUUUAGACACUAUUUAGAUUAAAAAAUCUAUAUAAAAAAAGAUUAUUUUGUUCCAAUUUAGUUAUUUAAUUUUGAUUUAUUUUUUAAUUCACAAAAUAAUAUUCUUCUUAUAUGUAAAAAAAGACUAAUUUUCAUUGUUAUUAAUUGGAAAGAUUGUUGGGUCAUUUAUUUCUAAUCCUAUUUUAACCUGAAUAUUAUUUUCUUUUCCAUUAAAAGUUAAUUAGUGAGAUAUAAAGAAGUGUAAAUUGCUUGUUUAACUUGGUCUAUCAUAAUUAUUGAGAUCAUAAUUUUUUCUUUAAUAAGUCUUCGUCCAAAUUUCUUCAUGUAUUAAAAAGUAAAUUAGAAGAUCUACAAAUUAAGAAGUGUGGCAUGUUUUUUAAAUUAUAAAAUUAUGGUCCUAGCUAUUUAUUGUUAGACCACAAGUCUUCAUAUAUUAAAGCUUUUGUCUAAAUUUCAUUUACUUAUGUGGUGAUAGUUUAAGAAUAGUGAUAGAAGAGAAAAAUAAAUAUACAAUUUAUUGAAAUAUUUAACUCCCUUGUGCGAAUUAGUCAAACUCCCUUGUCACUAGGUCCAUCUAGUGAUUAAAAACAUAACCAAACAAUUCAAUAAAACACAAGUGUAAUUGUCACUAUUGUAAUUCAAUAAUUGUAUUAUAUUUUUUAUGUUAAUAAAUUUUUUAAAAAAGAUUGGUGUUUUUAGUAGAAUGAAAGCAAUUAAUACAUUGAUUCCAAUGCAUUAAUUGAAUUCUGAUUUGACUUUUAAUUAAAAAACUGCAUAUAAAUGUUUUUAAAACUAUUGUGUGGUUUCCCUGAAAAAAAAAAACUAUUGUAUGGUUCUAUUAUAAUUGACUGAAUUUGAGUUUGAAAAGAUUUUUUUUAUGAAAUUAAAAUUAAAGAUAAAAAAUAUAAAAUUUUAAUUGCAUUCUUUAUUCUUCAGGUACAGUAAUUGUGCGAUUUUGGUCUAUUGUAAGUUCCAAUUGGGAGAAUUGGAUUGGAUCCACUAGGCAUUGCAAUUUCAAUCCCUCCUUCCAUCUUACUUUGAAUAUUUAACAGAUAUUUACUGGCAUGACACUAGAUGAAAAGUAGAUAAUAUGACAACUACCAUGUUGCCUAACACAUACUGAACUAAACUUUUGAUCCCUUAGAAUAUUGCAGUUAUAAGGAAGCAGAAGUGAAUAAGCCACAUCUAAGGGACCAAAUUAAACUUACAAAAUUAUAAUACCUAAUUUACGUAAUGCAUGGAGAUCAAAAGUGAAAUUAAACUAAAUAUAAAUUAUGAGAGCAUUCUAAAUCUGUCUUCAUUGUCUGAGGAGCAAAAGGACUUGACAAGUGUUUUGUAUUUUUUUUUUUGUACAUGCAUAUAUAGUGUAUAUGCUAUUCUUUUUUUCUAUUUUUUUUCCCUACAUUUAUGAUCUCGGAACUGAAACAGUGAGAGAAACCGAUGUGAAAAUAGAUAGGGUGGAUGAAGAACUAGACAUCGGCCAGUGGAAGAAAAUGAACAGAUGGAAAACCCUAUAGGUGAUACAGGUGUGAUGGAAACCCUAUAUCUGAUAGCUUGAAACUUUAUUUUGUAUGAGGGAAUUCAAUACAACUAGUGACCCUUGUAUAAAACGAUAGGAACUUUUAUGAAUAAAAAAGUAAUAUUUCAUGAUUUUUAAAAUUUAAUCAAUCAUGAUUUGUCAAAUGAACUUGUUAAUGAGUAUUAUAGAAUAAAUGCAUCAAUACUCAGGAAAUGGGAAUGUGGAAUGUAUCAGAAUAAGGAAAAGCGAGAGAAGGAAGAUGUGGAAGAGCUUAGAAACUGCAAAAUCCUAUGCAAGCUCCAACUUUCUACACUAAUUAAAUUCAUUCAGGCAAAUUCUUAGUUACAUGUUAUGUAAAACAAUCUUCUUAAAUCCAAUCACCGAGUGUGUCAUUUCAGGUAUUUUAAUGCUAAUCAUUGUUAGUGCACAGAUAGUAGAAGACAAUAAUGCGUCAUAAAUACAAAACAGAAUUUGAUACUAAGUCUCAAGCUCGUCUACUUCUCUUAACAUUAAGAACAUUUAAUACCAAUGAAAGCAAAACAGACAGAACACCACAGAUGAACAGAUACAUAGUAUGGUAAACCUUUUCUCAUUUUUAAUGGCUAGACUAACACGUUGUAAUGUCUCUCACUCCUAACAGUUAACAUGUAAACUCAUAAUUUCCCAAGUAACCUUCUUACCUUCAAAACUAUCAUCACAUAAAUCAGAUAUCUCAAGUGGUCAAGAUAAUGAAAAUAAGCACGCCUCCAAGUUCUGUUGAAGAAAACAACACUGCAAAAACCCCAAAAUCCUGCUGCAAAUCCAACUCCCAUACCAAUAUAAAACUCUGAUGUUCCAAAGAAAUUACCAUCACCUUGUCCAACAGAAGCACUCUCCCUCAACCAUUCCUUGUUUGUGCAAUUUUUUGUUACAGGGGGACCACAAAGCUCAGGAUUUCCAGUGUAGCUAAGUUCUUCAAAGCUUUGAAGUUGGGUGCUCGUGGGAAUUCUGCCUGAUAAGUUGUGGCAUGAUAGAUUCAGGAAACUGAGGAAGGACAAAUCAGAUAAGCUUUGAGGGAUUUGACCUGAAAUGUUGUUUAGUUAGAGAUCAAGGGAUUCUAACAAUUUCAUUUUUCCCAUGUCAUUUGGUAUCCCUCCAGACAGAUGAUUUCUAGACAAGUUCAAAAACCGCAAAGCAGAUAGCUUGGAAAUUUCAGAUGGAAUUGCUCCAGACAGCUUAUUACUUGAAAGAUCAAUCAUUCUCACCAAUAUCAGAUUGUCUCUGUACUCUAACUCUUCUCCUUUGGGAACUAAGACAAGAGUUUCCUUGUAGUGGUUAUAACUGAAGUCAGAGCCAUAUGAAUAACUUAAAGGGUUGGCAAAGAAGUCAUCUUCACCAGCCAUUGUCUUCAUGUCAUCCAAACUAUUUGGAAUGGAUCCUGACAGGCUGUUAUUGCCAAGAUCCAGCACUAUAAGGGAAGAAAGUUGACAAAUCUCUUGAGUAAUGCUGCCAUUGAAAUUGUUGGAUCUUAGACGAAGAACCAUUAGAUAUUGCAUUUCCCACAUCCAAUCUGGUAUUGCGUCAGAAAGUUGGUUAUUGCCCAUGUCAAUGAAUUUCAUUGUAGAGCAAUUUUGCAGUGUUGAGAUAGAUACCCCAUGGAGUUUGGAAUAACACCAGACAAAUUAUUACUACCCAAGUUCAAAUGCACCAAUGCUUGCCAAUGCACCCAACAGUGACCAAGAUCACCAUAUAAGACAUUAUUUGAAAAAUCAAGCACACUUAACUUAUUAGUAGCAUUUUCCUUUCCACAUAAAAAGGGAGAAAUUGUUCCGGAAAUUGAGUUAUUGGCAACAUUCAGCACUUCAACAUUUGCAGACACACUUGGCAAUGUACCCUUGAACAAAUUAGAACUCAAAUUUAUGACGCUGGAAUUGAGAAAGAUGUUAGAUAGGUCUCCACUUAACAGAUUGUUUGACAGAUCCAGGAAUUCAAUUUGCAAAGUCCAAUUCCAAAACCAACUUGGAACCAAGUCUGCGAUACCUGCCUUCGACAUUGUCAAAACCUUCACAGAACUUUGCCUUUUUAGCCAUUCUGGAAACUUAGGACCUAUUCCAAAGGAGCUCAGUAAAACAUAUUCAAGCUGAAAAGGAGGAACCCAUCCAGAGUUGACACUGAGGAACAAGUUUGUCCAAGACAAACGUAGUUCCUUUAGUUUCAAAAGUUUUACAAAAUUUGACUCUUUUAUAGAUCCUUCUAACAAAUUAGAUGAAAGGUCUAACAUCACUAAAUUUGAGAGAGUUCCAAGAGUUACAGGCAUAUCACCAGUCAAAGAAUUAGUUCCAAGAUUUAAUACCUGCAGGUUUCUGAGGAACUCAAAACUCUUAGGAAUGGUUCCAUUCAGUCGGUUGUGAGCCAGGUUUAAAGUUCUCAAGGAUGACAAGUUUGCAAAUGGUGAGGGAAUUGGACAAGUAAAGGUAUUAUUACUGAGAUUUAGAACUUCAAGAUGCUUAAGCUGGCCUAAUGAAUCUGGAAGUGGCCCACUGAGCUGGUUGUUCUGCAGGUCUAGAUUUUUCAUGUUCUGAAGGCUAGAUAUUAUUUGUGGAAUUUCUCCCUGUAAAAGGUUACUGUGUAAAUCAAGUUGGACAAGAGUUGUGCUGAGAUUAAAUAGCCAUGAAGGGAUUUGCUGAUUGAGAUUGUUAAUUGAAAGAUCAAGGACUUGGAGAUGUGUGAAGUUGGUUUUUCCUUUUGGUGGUCCUACGUUAUCAAUUUGACAGCUCUCCAAGUGUAGUUCUGAAAGAGAUGGAAGUGCACUCAGUACUUGAAGCCAGUUACCUUGUUUAUGAAGGUCUGAACCACUCAAAUCAAGGUACUCGAAGGAAGAUAGCCUUGAUAUCCAAUUAAGGUUAUCUAUCUGAAGAGCAUAAUUGUAUCCAAGAUUAAGGUGCUGCAGGUUUUAGAGGUUUCCUAGUUGAUGAGGGAUUAAUCCCAUGAACCCACUUAAGCUAAGGUCCAAGUAUCUCAGACUCUCCAAUGAGCCUAGGAAGCUUGGUAUUGGAGUAAGAACAAAAUAAUUUGAACUCAAGUCCAAACGAUUCAAAUAUUUUAGUUCAAGCAAAGAAGGACUAAUCUCUCCGCUCAACUCCCUAUAGGGAGAGCCCGCAGGUGUGUCAAGAUUGAUUUCCAUGACUUUACCUGUGUUGUUGCAGUGAACCCCUGGCCAUGUACAGCAAUCCGAUUUGUCAGACCAUGAUGAAAGCCUGUUUGAAGGGUCUGCUAGUCCAUGCUUGAAGCUGAGGAGUGCAUUCCUUUCCUUCUCGCUGCAAGUCAUAUUGAGCCUUGCUGCCUUGCUUGCACUGAAGUGGAGAGUUGUUGAAGUGGACAAUAUCAAGAGAAGAACAUGAGUUGCAAAUAGCACUGCCAUGAAGAAGAAGGAAGACGAAAGUUGAAUCCACAAUUUUCUGGUUCACGGUUGGUAUUUACUACUAACAAUGCCUAUGUAGGAUAUAUACCGUAGAAGGGUUAGCAUUUAAAAUUUUACUCCACUAAUGGUGGUGGUUGCAAAAUGCACACAUAUGUAGAGGUAUAUAUGUCAACAACGAGACAUUUAGGAUUAAAAGUGUCUAACCACACCACCAUUAUUUUGCACUAGUUUAUUUUAUUUUGAUUUAAUUACUCUUUUAGUCCUUAUAGUUGUGAUAAUUUUUUUUAGUCCCUAUAAUUUAAGACAUUCAUUUUGGUUCCUAUAUUUACAUUUUUUUUACCUUUUUGUCCUCGCGGGGAAGAUUCAAGUCACACAUAAACAUGAACAAAAUUAAUAAAAAUAGGGAAGCACGCUCAGGUACAACUGAAGUGUAAUGGAGGUAUGAGACAAAGGCACUACACAUUCCAUUAUUCUUGUGUCUGCCACCGACCUCUGAAAGCUUAGCAUUUGCCAAUUGCCAUGAUGUAAUCUCCUUCUUUACUGUGUCUCAUCAAGUUGGAGUGGUAUCACAGCAUUGAACUAAGUUGAUCGUUCCAAUGGGAUGAUGGUUUUGAUUGCUGCAGAUAAAGUGUGUGAUUGUGAGUUUCUGGUUCCAUGAGUAACAGAUGUGUGGUAGUUUGUGCCUUCAUGGUUGGGAUGAUGUUGCAGGUGCCGGUUUGUUGUUGAGAGAAAAGAUGAUCAGCCAUGUCUCGUGUGUGCAUAGGAGAGUGUCUUUGCCCUCUCCAUAACAUUAGUUUCAACAAUUGACUUUAGUCGAAACUUGAUGGUGAGAAUCAAAGAGUCAAAAAAAAAAUUCAACCGGGACUAAAAUAGAAUAAUUUAAACUAUAAGAAUUAAAAAGAAAUAUUGUCGUAACUUUAAGGGUCAAAAGGAUAAUUAAACCUUUUAUUUUUUUUGUAAAAACAGGUUUGGAAUUUACAACUUUGAAUUCUAUCUAAUUAAGCUCUUAGUCUUCCGUUUUUGCAACUCUAUUUGGGUAGAAAGAGAAGAAAUCUGGGUCUAACUCAACCCUAAAAGCUAGCUCAUAGGAUUAGGGUUGCCCUCACCUUAUAAACUCUAUCUUGAGACUAUCUCUAACUAAUGUGAGACUUAGAUUUUUUUUUUUUUAAUUCACCCCUCACGUCUAGCACUCUUUGGACAUGGUGCGUAAUAUGGGCCUAACGGAAAGAAACCAAAUUUGAUACUAUAACUGUUUGGUGUUUUGAAAAUUUCACUCACAUAUUUCCAAAUGUUACAGAAGACUUUGAUUCAGUGGUUAUUACGAAUUCCUUCCUAGCCUUUUUUACCAAGUCAGGGAAUUUGCAUUGUUGUGCAUGAUGGCUGCCACAAGGACCCUUGUACCAACCCAUUAGUGCAAGUGGUUUUUUUCUUAGGAGAAUUGAGAAACAAAUGAUGUGUUUUAUAAAAGGAAUUCUUUUGCUUUGAAUUUUGAACUUAUAAUGUUUUUUGUUUCCCUCACAGAACAAGUGAUGAAACUCUUGACGCCAUACGUACGCCUACUUUGAUGCUCUUUUUUUCACACCACUUUUAUCUUAAUGGUAUCUCAAGUUAAUUAGAAUGUACGUAUAAUAAAAUAAUGAGAAUGGCAACUACUAGUAGUACUUAAUUAGAAAAAAAACUAUCAAAACUAAAACGAAAAUAACUUUGAUGAUGUUAAUACAUGAGUUUAAUUUAGAUAGACAGUGUAAAAAUUUAAAUUGUUAAUUAAUUAGAUAUCACCUAAUGAUUUGUAAAACAAUUACUAAAAAAAAGUUAUAGGAGAAUAUAUAUAGUUAAUUGCAAUUCUAAGUGUAUUUAAAUUAAAUUCUUAAUUAACAUAUCCUUAUUGUGAUUUUUUGUAUAUUUUUUAUUUAUUGAGACAGUGGAAUGAGACCGCACUAUAAUUUUCAUCACGGGUGUGGUUGUCAAAUAUAAUAGGGAUGGUUAGUGAGGAAUUUUGGAAUGUUAGUUGGUUUUCGACUAUAGCCUCUUGUUCAGUGUUAACAUUUUCAUUAGAGUUAAGUUGCUUUUAGGGAAGAACAAAUGCCUUGAAAUUCCCUCUUCUCCAGAAGCAGUUUUAUUGUGUCUUUAUCGAAGCCAUCUUCUCCAGAGACUUAACUUUUAACUUUGAAGAUAGGAAGUCAAACAUUGUUUCACUUUAUUUGGUUUUUUUGCUUGGACAAAUAUGAAAAAUACACUCAGGAUCAGGUCCUGUUCACAAGAAGGAAGUCUACUAUCCCACACAUGUACUGCUUAAUUAUUUAAGGGGCUUAAAUAUAUUUUUUAUUUUUAAUAAAUAUCUGAUUAUAUAUAUAUAUAUAUAUAUAUAUAUAUAUAUAUAUAUAUAUAUAUAUAUAUAUAUAUAUAUAUUUGAUAAAUUUUUAAUAAAAUGAUAAUUUUAUUUUUUAUAUUAAACACUUAUUUUUAGUCCUUAAUAAAUUAUUUUUUUUUGCUUCAUUAUAAAUAUUUUUCAUUUAUUAUUAAUACAUAUUAAAAUAAAAUUUACUAGAAAGUAAACAAUUUUUUUUAAUUUAUCAUAGACUAAAAUAAAAAAUCAAAGAUAAAAAAUAAAAAUAUUAAUUUAUUAGAAAUUCAAUAUAAAAAAAAUUAUUUAAAAAAAUUAACUAUUUAUUAAGGAUAAAAACAUAUUUAAUUUCAUUUAGUGUUUGAUAGUGUUUUGGUCUAUUAGUGUUAUGUUUUUUUUAUAUAUUUUGUAUAGUUAUUUCUUUUCAAAUUUGAUGACAACAUUGUCAUUGGGUCUUUCUACCCUUCACAUCAGCAAAUUGGACACUAAAGAGACUCGGUCAGAAACAAAUAACUACUAGGGGUAUAAUAACAUGAGAGAAUUUAACACUUUUGGAAUAGGAAAAUGUACUUUUUUUUAAGAAAAUAAAAUUAUGUUUUUAAUCCAUGAUUUAUAUUCGACUUUUUAUUUGAUCUUUUGACAAUUUUUUUCUUCAACGAAAAUCUCUAAUAUUUGAAAUCUUUUGCUUUAAAUCUCUAUCAUUAGUUAAAUAAUAAUGUAUCGGUUAAAUAUUCGGUAACAUUUGGUUUCUAAUAAGUCAAAAACCGUCAAUAUUUAUUUGAAACUUGUCUUCCAGUCUCCGUCAGGGAUGAUCCUGACCUUGGCUUAAAGAUUAACAUGACAAUUGCUGUUGGUCUCCCUUCUCUUUGCAAAACAAACUGGUCUUCUUCAGUGAGUUCACAAUGAAACCACAGAAUUUGUUUUCAUCCACUAGUUUCCUUCCCAAUUCCCAUGUUUUCUAAAACAUAACACACUACAAAACCUUCUAAUAAUUUUUUUUUAAAAAAAAACCAACAUUUUACAUGUAGCACCACAACUUAACAAUUUCUAGCUACAACCCUGCUCUGUAUACUCAUUCUAAACUUGUUCCAUAGACUAUAAUAUAAUCUAUCUCCACUCAUUCAUUCAUCAAGAUUGAAAAAUGGAUUCAAAUGCUUGUCUACCACACUUGCUAGUGUUAGCAAUAACAUUGGUAUUGGUUAGUCAUGCAAUGGAAGAUUCAGCUCAAGACAAACAGAGAUGUGCUGAAUCCCUGACAGGUGUUGCAACGUGUCUGCCAUAUUUGGGUGCUGACGCGAAAGCACCCACAGCAGAUUGUUGCGGUGGUCUCACACAAGCCAUGAAGACCAACAAGAAGUGUGUCUGCCUUAUUCUCAAAGACAGGGAUGUUCCUGACCUUGGCUUAAAGAUUAACAUGACAAUUGCUGUUGGUCUCCCUUCUCUUUGCAAAACACCUGAUAAUCUCUCACAGUGCUCUGGUAUGUUCAAUUUCAAAUUAAGUCUUCCUUUUUUCUUGAAGAACACUACACUACAGUGUUAUGUUUCCAUUUCCUAUGCAAUGAGUCUUGUUAGUGGCCAUAUAACAACUAAUGUUUUUAUCUUUCAUUGUCUGAUGAUAACAUGUUUUUAAUAGGAAAAAAAAGAGUCUUUAUUUCUAUUUUCAAAACUAUUUUUAGUUUUCAAGAUACAACUAAACAAGGUUCUUGAUAGCAACAACAACAUUACGGAAGAACCAGAGGUAGCAGCUAAUAGCAGACCAGCAAGGAACCACAACAGACCCACUCACCUCAGAGAUUACGUUUAGCCGCGACAGCAUUAGUGCACUGCAGUUAGUUAGGGGACAGAGAUAGUGCUUUUCCCAAAUUCUGUUAUCCUCAAAUUCUGUUAUAACAGAGUUUGUUAUUAUCUGCUAGAAAACAAUAAGCAGUGUAAGCCUGUAAAUAUCAAGAGAAAAGGAAUGAAAAAGCACAGAACAGAAUUUGAAUUUGCUUAUCUUCUCUUUAUUUCCUUCGUUUUGCUCUUAGCAGAUAGCCUCUGCUAUCAGUUCUUCAGACUGUUUGGCGGAGAAUGAUGUGAGACACAGAAUGUGAAAUUGAGAGGGAACUUGAAUAAGAUUAAAACAGAAGAAGCUGAGAAAACAAUUUCCCGUUGUUUUUGUUUUUUUGGGAUUUUAGAACACUUAUUUUUGGAUAGGAUUCUCCAAACUUAUAUAUUUUGGAUAAGAAAUUGAUNNNNNNNNNNNNNNNNNNNNNNNNNNNNNNNNNNNNNNNNNNNNNNNNNNNNNNNNNNNNNNNNNNNNNNNNNNNNNNNNNNNNNNNNNNNNNNNNNNNNCCAUUGUCCGGAGGCUCUUGGAUAAGAAAUUGAUUACUAAGUAGUCUAAAAUUAUUUUAUAAAACAGUUUCUUAACUGAGAAUACUCAGGCCCUAAAUCUUCCAAUUUUAGUAUAUUUCUAAAAAAAUCAGAAUAUUUGUGGUCUAAGUUUUAUCAUUAUCAAGCCUUUCAUUUUCCUUAAAGAACAAAAGAGUGUUACAUUCCAUUUACUAUGUAAUGAAUGGUCAACAAGUCAUGUACUUCAAACUUUUCUACUUUUCUCAUUCAUAACUAGACAAUAACACAUUUUAAAGGGGAAAAAAAGGGCAUCUAAAUUUGCCAAUUUUACUUUGUUUGUGUAUCUGUUAUCUCUGAGUUUUCAACUGCGAAAGUUAAAAAUAUUUGAGGUUUGAUUUUUUCUCAAGAAAUUCUUGUUUGAAACGAUUUGAACAGCACUUCUUCACUUGGAUCCUAAAUCACCUGAAGCUCAAGCUUUUAAUCAAAUUGGUCAGAAAUCCAAUGGUGGUUCUAUCAGUCCUUCGCCCACUACUUCUGGUAGUGAUCCUUUCAACAAAAUAUUUCAUUUUUAGAAUUUAUUUUUGACAUUGACAUUUGAGUUUCAAUGGUGUAGUACUAAAUUUUGCAUUUAUUUUUAAUGUGUUCUUUUGUGCAUUCAGCUGAAGGAAGUUCCCAGAAUGGUAGAAACCAAGGGAUAGAUGAAACGGCCACAGCUAAGAAUAGUGCGUCUUAUAUCGGGAAGAGAUUGUUAGAAAGUUUGGUUGCAGUUGCAGGGCUUCUAAUUUGGCUUUCAUGAGCUUAACUCAAAUACUACCUAUAUAUUACUAUUCUCAUAUCACAUUGAAACGUAAACCAUUGAUUAGUUGAUAGUGUAAAAAUAUUUACACUCGAGUGUAUUAAAUCUCUGACAGACUCACAAUAGAUAUUAUUGCAAAACCUUAUUGGAGAUUUAUUUUUGUGAGCAUUUUGCCUUUAAUCUCAUACAACUAAAUGCUUGUUACACAAAUCUUAUUGUUCAGUCCUAAAAUUCUUUUAUCUCUAAUAAGAAAUAACGACUUGUUGCAAUAGAAAUUAAAAUCUUAUUAUUUUUUUUAAGUACACUUGAGGAUGAUUUUGGUAUCCCACUUUUCAAUUGCUCGGUUCGUUUCCAUAUUUUCAAAUUUUACAAAUUUGAUUCAUUAGUUAACUUAAUUGAUAUCAAAUUUUACAUUUUGGUAUCCAUAUUUACAAAAUUAACAAACUAAUUUUUUUUUCCUCGUAAAGUCUAAAACUGAUAAUUCGUCAAGCAUGAUAUGGUUUCUUUAGCCAAGUACAAGAUAAUCUAGAUUCUACUUGUAUCCUCCCAAGAUAGUCUAAGAAUGAAUGAGUUAAGUUGAAUAUGGAAAAACAAAUAUUCAUUAAGAUGUUAUGGUUUGAUUAUCCCAACAACUUUUCUCAAAUGAUUCAACUUGUUGAAUUGAGCUUUCCUUUCUCUGUAAUGUUGCAUACAAAGUUGGAGGAUCAAAAGGGGCAGGCAUGGUGCAAGGGUCGGUAUUUGCAGGAACCUUGACCAAUGAUUCCAUCAUAAAUUUCUUUACUGAUCCUUCUGCUCCACAAACCAUUGACUCCACACAUAGUUCUGUAGCAUUAGCACUUAUGGAGGGUUUGUAUCUGAAGAGUUUAGCAUAUGAAUUCAGGAGAUGAAACAUGUAGCCGUACACGUAGAGUGGUAGAGUCACAUGACAGAAUGUAUUUUUGACUGACUGACCAAGCAGAACCUUCAAUGUACACCUUAUAUCUGCACGAUCAUGAUUGAAUUGAAACAUUUAUUUAUUGAUAAACUGAACUUAUAUAUCCAAUAACAAAAAUAUAUUAUUACAUAUAAUUAUAACUGAAGCAUGAAUGGACAGUUUUAAUGUUAUACCUAUAAGUGCAUUGACUUGGCAAGUCUGAUUUGUUGAACCCCUCUUGUGAUUCUCGAAACCAAUCCUGAAACAAAAUUUUCAUUUUUCAAGAAGGAAGCUAUAUAUGUGGCUUUAUUGUGAGUCAAUUAACAGACAAAAUAUAUUGUUUAGAAGGAAAAAAUCAGUAAUGUUCAAUAACAGGUUAUUUCCUUUGAUUUUGAAUGUACUUUUCAGUUGUGUAUUAAUAAAAGAUUAAAAGUUAAAAAGGUGUAUAAUGUUAUAUACAAUAUUGGUACUGGCCAUUGUGUUGCUUGAAUUUGCCUGUUAUUUCUAGUUGCUGCACACCAUGUGCUUAAGCCAAUUUUAUAUAAUGAAACUUUUGCUUAUAAGAAAUAUUACGUACAAAAUUAAUUUUUUCAUAUCCAAAGAAUAAAACUACUUUCAGUAAGUGUAAUCAAACAAAGCUAAUAAGAAGUGUGAUACCUGGGCAAAUAAACGAGCAUUCCAAUCUUGAUUUUCAGAAACAUUGCAUUUAAUGAGGUCUUGUCUGGUUUCAGCAACAGCUGGAUUACCUUUCCAGUAAGCAUAAGGCUCUCUGUUCAGCCAUGGUAUCCUCGUAGUGCCUUCUUUCAACCCUCCCAACAAAAUAUGCCAUGGCUUUAUAUUAAUCUCUGCCCUGUGCACCACACAUACAAUACUUUUUACUUAUUUAAAAAUUAAGGUCGCCUUAGGGGUGAUUGUCAAUUUUCAAUUUUCCAUUUUAAAAUAUAAUUUCGAAAUACAAACAUGUUCAACAAAAAUUGCACUAAGUUGAUUUUUUACAUCUUUCUGAAAUGGUUUUUAUCACAUACAACAAACAAUAAAAUUUUGUUUAAUUUAUUGAUUAUUGUUUAUGUUUUAACCUUUACUGUUAUUUUUUAUAAUAUUUUUUAAUUAUUUUUAUUAUGUUUAAUUCUUUUUUAUUUAUUUUUGUGUCAAUAUUUUUUUAAUAUUACAUGAUUUUAUAUUGGAGUGUGAUAAGAUUAAAUAUUUAAAUUAUUUUAUCUAUUAAAUAAUUUUUUAAAAUCUAAAAAUUAAAAUAAACUGAAACUAAAAACUCCAAACAUAAACUGAGUUUAAUUUUUAAUGAUUUUGAAACCGAACACAAAGAACUACUUCUAGAAUUGUGUCCCAAACAAUGUAAUAAAAAUAUAAUUCUAUUGUAUAUUUGUAUAACAAAAUCAUAUUUAUGUAAAAAGAAUACUUCUAGAAUUUUCUAAUUUUCUACCCACAUGGGUAAUGUGAAUAGCAAUAUAAAAUCCAAUAUACUUAGCCUGCUACGAUACGAUAAACAAAUUUUGAAAAUUUUCACUCAUAAAUGGACUCCUUUAGAAGUCCACACAUAGGUCCUUCUAGACUUGAAUGACAAAUUGAAAAGGUACCAAAAAAUAAAGAUUUUGAUAUAAUAAUCACAUGCUAAAAGGUUAAUUUGUGUAUUGUGAAUUAUUGAUUUUGUUUAUUAUAUAUUCUUUUUCUUUUUUUUUCAAAAUUUUAAUUUUUGACAGUUUUACACUGAUGACAAAAUAUUUGUAAUACCUUAACAACGUUUUAUCACAUGAUUUUUACGUCAUAACCCAAGUGAGAAAUCAUAUGAUUAUCACAUCAUCAUUAUUUAACAGUGAUUUUUUAUUUAUGAAAGUGACUGAGCAAUGACAAACAGAGUUAUAGAUUAAGACCGCCCAAAAGAUAAUUGAGAGACUAAUAAUCACUUUCGUAGAAGGAUGAAGAACUAAAAGUUGAUAAAAUUCAAAUUCUUAAUCAUUCAUUUAAAAAGUUAGAAUCUAUCACACUAUUCAGACCAAUCAGUACUAAAGAACAAUUUAUAAAUAUUAACCAAAAAUAAUGAAAGCUGGCUACACUGGUUUUCAAUGGGAAGAGUCUGAGAAACUACUUAGUAUUGAGGGAAUGGAGCAAUGGCAGAUUCAUCUGAGAGCUCUACAUCAUCAAAAGGUUGUGGAGCAAUGCCACCAUACCUGAGCUUUUGAUCUCACCCAUUUGUCGACGAGCAUUUGCACCUUCUGCUACUGCACACAAUUUGGGAAGAAACACACCUGUGCAUACAUGAAAGACAAAACUUAUAAUUUAUUAGACAAUUUAUAAUCGUAUAUCAUUUUGUGUGUUCAGUUCUGAAAAUGUUUUUUAGAUGCGUAUUCAUAAAAGAUAAAAAUAAAUAGAAAACAAAAGUAACUACAUACAAUAUUAGAUCAAUUUGUUUUUGUUACAAUAUUAGAUCAAUUUAAUUAAGAUAGAACCGUAUGUCAAAUAUAUAAUUCAUGCAUUCAAUGAUAAAAAUUAGAAUUAUUUUUAGUUAAUUAGCAAUGUAAAAAUUGAUGCUGUGUUAUAGUUUUUUAUUUCUAAAUCACAAGGUAUUUUUUUAUUAAAGAUAAUCUACUUGUUCAAUAGAAAUAGAAUUAUUAUAGAUGAUACGUUUUUAUAUAUAAAUAUUUAAUGUAAUUAUAUAUUUAAGAUUAAAAUUUAAAACUUCCAAUUAAACUAAAAUAAGAUUACAUUAAUUGAUCAAUACACUUAGUGUUUUAUGGUGUGAUAGUUAGACAAGAUCAUAUCGAUGCAAGUGAACAGUGUGAGCUAGGUUUGUAUGAUGGCUAUGAUAAUGAGGAAUUAAGUUUGGUCACUAUAGCUACUACUACUAGUCAAUGGAGAACCUGUUGCUCCAAACUACCUGCGAUACUUUAUGUUUGAAAGAAAACAAAAAGAUUGCUCCUAUACUGGGUCCUCAUACAGAAACUAUCUCCAGAGAAUUAGGGAGAAUAAAGGAAGAACAAGGUAAGAAAAGGGCAAUUUUUAUUCAUGUCAUAGCUUGUUAUUUACAUAGAUAUAUAUAACAAUCUUCCUAACAGAAUUGUAUCAAUUUGCUCAAGGAAUAUUACACGUAUCAAAGUUUGUUAUGCUUGUCGGAGAGGAUAAGACAAACAUGACCCAAGCUAGACCUCUACUGCUAAAUUGCCCACUGCUGCUAUAUUGUCCAAUUUGCCCCUUUUUGCUUCAUACGUAAUCACGAAGGUAAGAUGGCUUUGUGACCUUUCUCUUAGUCUUUUCUUCUUUUUGCACCUCUGGUUUGUUAAUUACUGCUACUCCCUUCAAUGUUUCUGUCUUUCUGAUGCUUGCUUCUGGUUCCUUAUCCCUGUUAUCUGCUGCUGAUAUCCUAUCACUAUCUCAUGCUGAAAAUUACGUAUGAUGUUUUUAUAUCAUAACACAGCAUUAUUUUUCUUAUAAGAAUACGAAUCUUACUAACAACUACUCUUAUAGCAUUAAUUAAGAAAUUCAAAUGAAAAAUAUAGUGAACAAUAAAAUUUUUAAAAAAAUCAUAAAUAACAUAAUUUUAUACACUUCAAUGAAAAUUAUUUUCUUUUUACUUUUUUAAUCAAUGUCCUCACCAGUUAACAUUUGGCUAAUAAUAAUGGACAGUGAAGCUACGUUUCUUAUACUCGACAAAAUUUAAUUAUUUCUACUGAUCCUUUUGGUCAAGCUACUAUUGUAUAAUAUAAAUAUAAAUAUAUAUAUAUAUAUAUAUAUAUAUUAAUUUUUCCUUUUGGAAAAAAUUAACAAAUAUCUUUUACAUUAUGCUGGAUAUUUUUAAUUUAAUUAAAAAUUUAAAAUACAACAUAAAUGUUAUUUACAACAAAAGGAAAGAUAAAUUUAAAGUAUAAUAAAUGAUAUGAUGGUUAGAAAUAGAUAAAUAAAUUGAAGUUGUCUGAAUUAUAUGAAUUGUUGUAUGAGUAGUGUCAUAUUUCUAUCAUAUAUAAUUUUAUCAACUUACAUUCUAAAAAAAAAUUAUUUACUAUGCUCUAAAAUUAAGUUGGAAAAAAAAAAUCUAAUCAGUUGGUACUUUAUUCAUUUUUCAUGAUCAAGUGAAAAAAAAUUAAUAAUAUUGGAUGCCCCCAUAGUCUCCACCAUUGAGCUACAGGGGCAAGGACAUUUUGAAUCAAAAUUGAUUUUUCUAUUGGUUCUUCCUUUCCUCCCUUAUACUCUCCCCUUUUCAUAAAAAAGGUUAGACUCAAUAAUUUUCAUCUUUAUGUUUACAAUAAUAUUUUGUUUUAUGUUUUUAAUACUAACCUAGAGUCUACAUAUCAAAGUUGCUGAAAAUUAUGUUCAUUCUCAUUCUUGGCGCUGUUAGUCUAGUGUGAAAACGGACAAAUUCAGUUUCCUGUUAUAUAUGGCACUGUUUAUAAAAAGGAAAUAAAAAAAAGUAGAAUUUGAUUAUGGCUAAUUUCACCCAUUAUAUUUAUUACAAGAAAACCUUUAGAUAAAAAUUAUUUUUUUGUACUUUUAGCUUGGUCGUAAACAUUAACAUUACAUCACGCUAAAUUUUAUGAGGAAGGAUGCUAUAAAUAUUAACAAUACAUCUCACACACACAAAGACAUCUAAAAUUAUAUCACUAUGUUUUAUGAUGUGUUAUGAUUUGCUUUAAAAUAUGGUACAAGGUUUAUCAGAGACCGGCUUAUAAGUAAAAAUUAAAUUUGUCAUAAAGGGAGUAAAAUGGAAAAUAAUUAAUUUCUAAAUUAGAAUUAAAUUAGAAUAAGCUGUGCAGAUCUUAUAAUUUUUGUUCACUAAUUCGCCCACCACAUAAUGUUUUAAUUUUUCCAACUUUGUAUAAUCUAAAAAGUAUAAAAAUGAAGAUUACGACUUUCAGCCUCCAGUUCCUUUUAAUGGAAGAAGUGAGUAAAUGUUGAUGCGAUAUCGGUAGCCCCCAUAGGGUAAUUUAGAAUAUUACUCCAACAAUUUUGUUGGUUCUCAAGCAUCAUUGGUUAUCUAUGGAUAUCUCAUCAAAGUUCUUGGCCUGGCCGGCUUGGAGAGUCAAGUCUUGUAUGCAGCCACGAGUCACGACUUUAAUUAACACGAAAGAACUAAUUAUUCACUUCAAUGGUUAGUGACUAAAAUUAAAUAUAAGUUUUUUUCCUAUUCAACCACGUUUUCUUGAAACACUAGUCCCCCAUUUUUGGAAACAAGAAUAUGAUACACAGAAUUGAACAACUAGUUGAUCUUAACUACAAAUAUGCUCAAUAUGCAAAUAUGUACAUCCCAAAACAGAAUUUAAAUAAGACUCUCAAAUUUAAAAAAAAAAAAAAAAAAAGAAAGAAGAUAGCAAUAACUACAAUGCAAAUUGAACAACCUGGCAAUACAAUGAUACAACAUUGGUUGUAAGCAACACUAAACAGUGAUACUAUACGAGUAAAAAGAUUGAAGUUUGAACCACACAUGAUCAAGGAAAUGAAAAUAGGCAUGCCGCCAUGAUCUACAAAUCAGCAAAGGAGCAAUCACUAUCCAAAGUCCCACAACAAAUCCAAUUGUCGCACUAACAAAAAACCAAUUCACUCCAUGCCCAUGACUUCCUUCAUAACUAUGAGUUUUCCCAUUGGAGCUGCAGUUUAUGGGCAGUGGUGGACCACAUAGAUUGUUGCCAAUAAAUCUGGAGGCAUCAAAGGUUUGCAAUUGAGUUCCUGUUGGAAUUUUUCCCUUCAAAUGAUUAUAAGACACGUCUAGCAAGCUCAAAAAGCUCAAAUUAGAAAUGGUUGGAGGGAUUUCACCAGAAAUUUGAUUCCUUGAAAGAUCAAUGGUUUGUAACGAUCCCAUAUUACCAAUACCUUCUGGAAUAGGACCAAUCAAUUGGUUGUGGGACAAGUUCAAAAAGUUCAAUCCAUUUAGAUCUGUGAUUUCUCUAGGAAUAUCUCCUAAUAAUUUGUUACUUGACAGAUCAAUACUUGUUACCAAACCCAGAAUGUUUCGAUACUCAUCUCCUCUUACUUUUAGCCAUAGUAGCACACUAACUAUACCUGAUACCGAAGAGUAAUAUGUAUCAUUUGGUGCAUGAGAAUAGAUACGGGGAUAUGUACUCCGGUUCACUAGUGUCAUGGCACUCAAGUUACGGAAACAGCUGGGUAUAUUGCCAGAAAAAUUAUUUUUUGCAAGGUCUAAAACCUGAAGAAGACUCAUCUGACAUAUUUCAUUUGGAAUGUGACCGGAAAAACUGUUUGAUCGAAGGCGGAGGAUUUUCAUAUUUGAGAGCUUUUCUCCAACCCAUGUUGGAAUACAUCCUGAAAGAUUAUUUUCUCCAAGAUCCAAGGAUAUCAAUUGGCUAGUCUUCUUCAAACUGGUAGGAAAUAUUCCCGAGAGCAAGUUGUUACGAAUUUCUAAUGACUGCAGCUCAGCCAAGGAACCCAUGGAUGGGGGGAAGUUCCCAACAAAAUGGUUGCUUUGUAAAUUCACUUCCACUAGAAAUGGCCAAUUAAUCCAACAAUCAGGUAUUUCUCCUGACAGAUUAUUGGAUGCAAGAUUGAGAAAUUCUAAUUGCAUUGGCUUGUCCUGAUUGUUACAUAAAAAAUCUUGCAUGGAUUCAGAGAAUGAAUUGGUUGAAAGGUCUAAGUCAUACACAUCAUUUGAAAGAUAGGGUAAUUUACCACAUAAGUGAUUUGUGCUUAGAUCAACAGUUUGGAUAGAUAUUGGAUUUUUUAUUGUAGUCACAAGCUCACCACGGAUAUGAUUAUGAGAGAGGUUUAAAUACAAAACCUGAGAAUGUGCUUCCCAGAACCAAGUGGGAAUAGAAUCGAAAAUCCCCGUGUUAGAUAGUCCAACAUAUUUAAGUUUGUUUUGUGACUGAAUCCACAAUGGAAAGCUGGGACCUAACUGCCAUGAUGUCACUUCCAAAUAGGUAAGUUGAAAAUUAGGAAUCCAAUUGGGACCCACUUUUAAAGUGAAAUUGUUUCCCGAUGCACCAAAAUCCGUCAAGCUUGUAAGAUUUGCAAGAUCAUCUUCCUUGACAACUCCUUGAAAAUUAUUGCCAUCAAUCCAAAGAGAUGACAAUUUAGAGAGUGAUCCAAGACUUUCAAAUGGAUUUCCACUGAAUUUAUUAAUAGAGAGAUCGAGAAAUGUUAAAUCUAUCUCCCUUGAGUUGCGGAGAUUUCCCAAAAAAGUCGGAAUUGUUCCUUCAAGUUGAUUAUAUGACAAAUAAAGUGCAACAAGAGAAGUCAAAUUUCCCAAAGAAGUUGGAAUGGUUCCUUCAAGUUGAUUAGCUGAUAAAUCAAGUUCAACAAGAGAAGUCAAAUUUCCCAGGGCAUCAGAAAUAGUCCCAUGCAAGUUGCUGGAUCUUAGGUCCAAAGACUUGAGACGAUGAAGACCGUAUAAGCAAUCAGGUAUAGAAGAUGAGAAUGAAUUUCCAGACAAGUCAAGAUUUUGAAUAAGUGUGAGGUUUCGAAUACCACAAGGAAUCGGACCUUGGAUUUCAUUACCAUGUAAUUGAAGAGAAACAAGUUUCUUCAAUUUGAAUAUCCACUUGGGGACAAAAGAGAUGGCAGGGGAAUAACUAGUAUUGUAAAGAAUGAGAGUUUGCAGAGAUGAGAAGUUGAGCAAGGAUGGUUCAUUAUAGUGAGGGAGUGUGCAUCGAAACAAAUAUAGGUGGGUCAAAGAAGGAAGAGAUUGGAGAGUGUGUAGCCAAUGAAAUGCUUUGGAUAGGUUUGCAUUACUCAAAUAAAGAUAUUCAAGCUUCCACAUACUUGAUACCCAUUCUACAUUUUCAGCUAACAGAGGUUCGACAACAGAAUGACCUCCAAGGCCAAGAUACACCAAAUUGGAGAGAUUCCCAAUCUGAGAUGGAAUUGUUUCAUUGGCGGCAUACGCCAGGUCAAGAUACACCAAAUUUGAGAGAUUCCAAAUCUGAGAUGGAAUCUACCCAUAGAAUCCAGUAUCAGAGAGGUCGAGGUGAGUCAAGGAAGUCAUUGUCCCAAGGAAAGAAGGAAUUGACAUACCUGCUCCAAGUAAAUAAUUGCCGCUCAAGUCCAAGUAAUUCAAAUGCUUUAAAUCAGCCAAACAAGGACUUAUCUCUCCACCAAAGCUCCAUCUCCAAUAAGCUUCCUCAUCGGAUGCAAUGUAGCCAUCAUCGAAAGCAGAAGGUGAACUGUGGAGGUGAAGCUGAAGAAGAUGGGAAGUAAGGUUGUGGCAGAGGACUCCAUACCAGUGGCAACAGUUGGUAUGAUUAUGAUUCCAAGACCAAAGCCUAUUUGAAGGAUCUAUGAGAUUAUUCUUAAACUUCAAAAGUGUCUCACGCUCACUUGGGAUGCACACACUCUCUCUGCAUGGUAAGCUCAACAACCAAAGCUGGACAAAGACAAGAAUAUAAAUGGAGGAAUUCAUGAUCACGCAAGAAUAUAUAGAAAACAAGUCUACUUCUUGCUUCUGCAUAUAAAUCCUAAAACUUCUAUUAUUUAUACUGCUGCCCUGCCUGUUUUUUUCUUCACUUUCAUUGUUUUUUUUACCUUUUUUUAUUAUUGUGCCUAAUACUAAAUUAUCGACUUAAUUAUCCAAUUCUCCCGAAUUAAUUCUUAGAAUACGAAAAAUUAUGCAUUUACUGUAAUUAUCUCCUUUUUUAAAAUUCCAAUGUACACUAAAUUCAUAAAAAAAAUCAAAAUUAAUAACAAAAAAAUAUGAUUUAUUCUUGUGGUCAAUACUAAAAUAAGAAACAUUCUUUUUUGGAACAGUUUUUUUAACAAUUGGAAAAGUUAUUGUGUCAUGUAUUUUUAAUUGUAUUCGAACUUGAAUAUUAUUUUAUUUAUCAUAUAAAAAUUAAUUAGUUAUAUAAAAAGAAGGAAAAAGAAUAUUAACUUUUUUUCUAAAAAAAAAAAAUCAGUAACAUAUUUUAUAUUUUUUACAAGUUAUCAACUUAAAUAAGAGGAGAAACAUAAUUUUAAUUUCCAUUUAACUUUUUAAAUAACUGCAAGUGUCAAAUUUAAACAAUCAUGAGAAUACUCGCGUUCAAUAUAAUAUUCUCAAAAAAAAAUAAAAAUUCACACAAUAACUUAAACAAUCUACAAAGAAAUAUAAUUUAUUCUUGUGCCAAAUACUAAAACAAGAAACAUUUUUUAUUUUGGUUUACCAUAUAGAAUUGCUUAAAUCAAUGAAAUUUUUAUUUUAAGAAAAUAUUAAUGAUUUUUUUAAAACUUUAAAUAAUUUACAUCAAAGGUAAUUAAAUUUGGCUUAAUUAGUCUUCAAAUUUUAACUAUUAUUCAAAUCAACCCUUUCAUUAAACCUGAUAAGUAAACAACAAAAAGUCUUGCCUUAUAAAAUUCAAAUAUUCUAUUACAUGCGGUUUGAAUCCUUAAUUAAUUUUAAACUAUCAAAUUUUAAUUAUUCGAAAUAAAAGAAAUGAAAACAAAAUUGUCUCCUAGACAAACCACCGGCCACUCCACCAAAUCCAUAUCAAGGUCCCCACUUUUCCAACUUGAACCAUAGACUACUCCAUCAAGUCCAUGUCAAGGUCCUCCAUUUUUUCAUCUUGAACCUUAGGACACUCCCCAAAGUCCAGCCAUAUUAAGGUCUCUGACUUCUUCAAUUUCUACAACACAUAUAUGGAAAACAACUUAAUUGUAUAAGUGCUUCUUGUUUUUGCAUAUAAAUCAUAAAACUUCUAUUAUUUAUGCUGCUGCAAGUGUCUUUCUUUUCUUUUUUCUUUUUUUUUUAUGACGUUUCCUUUUUUUAAUUAUUGACUUUAUUAUCCAAUUCCCCCGAGUUAAUUCUUAGAAUAGGAAAUAAUUUUGAAUUUACUUUAUCUAUCUCCCUUUUUUUAUUAUUGUGCCAAAUACUAAAUUAUUCUUCCAUUCUUUUUUUACGCUGGCCUCUUUAAAUUAUCAAUUUAAUUAUCCAAUUCUCCCGAAUUAAUUUUGAUCAAUUUUUCAAUUCACAAAAUAAUAUUCUUCUUAUAUGUGAAAAAGACUAAUUAAUCUUCAUUGUCAUUAAUGAUUGUUGUGUUGUCUAUUUCUAAUUGUUUUUUAAUCAUAAUAUUAUUUUCUUUUUAUUAAAAAUUAAUUAGUGAGAUACAAAGAAGUUUAACGUGAUCUAUCAUAAUUAUUGAGAUCAUAGUUUUUCCUUUUAUAAGUCUUGGUCCAAAUUUCUCCAUGUAUUGUAGAUCAUAUUUAACUUAAAAAGUAAAUUAGAAGAUCUACAAAGAAGUGUGACAUGUUUUUUAAAUUAUAAAGCAAAUUUCUCCAUGUUUUUUAAAGAAGAGUUAGCUAUUUAUUGUUAGACCACAAGUUUUCAUAUAUUAAAGUUUUUGUCUAAAUUUCAUUUAUGGUGAUAGUUUAAGAAUAGUGAUAGAAGACAAAAAUAAAUAUUCAAUUUAUUGAAAUAUCUAACUCAAUUAAUUGAUGAAUACAUCAAUUAUAGGAAAAGGGUGUACUUUAAAGACUAUUUCUAUUAAAAAAUCUAUAAAAAAAUUAUUUCCUUCCAAUCUAAUUAUUUAAUUUUAAUCAAUUUUUCAGUUCACAAAAUAAUAUUCUCUUAUAUAGGAAAAAAAGACUAGAUUUAAUUAUCAUCAAUUGGAAAAGUUAUUGUGUCAUGUAUUUAUAGUUGUAUUCUAACUUGAAUAUUAUUUUAUUUAUCAUAUAAAAAUUAAUUAGUUAUAUAAAAGAAGUAAAAAGAAUAUUAACUUUUUUUCUCAAAAAAAAAAUCAGUAUCAUAUUUUAUAUUUUUUACAAGUUAUCAACUUAAAUAAGAGGAGAAACAAAAUUUUAAUUUCCAUUUUACUUUUUAAAUAAUUGCAAGUGACAAAUUUAAAUAAUCAUGAGAAUACUCACGUUCAAUAUAAUAUUUUCAAAAAAAAAAAAAUCCAUACGAUAACUUAAACAAUCUAUAAAGAAAUAUAAUUUAUUCUUGUGCCAAAUACUAAAACAAGAAACAUUUUUUAUUUUAGUUUACCGUAUAGAAUUGCUUAAAUGAAUGAAAUUUUUAUUUUAAAAAAAUAUUAAUGAUUUUUUUAAAACUUUAAAUAGUUUACAUCAAAGAUAAUUAAAUUUGGCUUAAUUAGUCUUCAAAUUUUAACUAUUAUUCAAAUCAAUCCUUUCGUUAAACCUGUACGUGUUAAGUAAACAACAAAAAAUCUUGUCUUAUAAAAUUCAAACAUUUUAUUACAUGCGGUUUGAACCCAUAAUUAAUUUUAAACUAUCAAAUUUUAAUUAUUCAAAAUAAAAGAAAUGAAAACAAAAUUGUCUCCUAGAGAAACCGCUGGCCACUCCACCAAAUUCAUAUCAAGGUCCCCACUUUUCCAACUUGAACCAUAGACUACUCCAUCAAGUCUAUGUCAAGGUCCUCCAUUUUAAGGUCACCACUUUUCCAACUUGAACCAUAAACUACUUCAACCUUAGGACACUCCACAAAGUCCACCCAUAUUAAGGUCUCUGACUUCUUCAACUUCUGCAACGCAUAUAUAGAAAACAACUUAAUUGUAUAAGUGCUUCUUGCUUCUGCAUAUAAAUCAUAAAACUUCUAUUAUUUAUACUGCUGCAAGUGUCUUUCUUUUCUUUUUUCUUUUUUUAUGACGUUUCCUUUCUUUAAUUAUUGACUUUAUUAUCCAAUUCUCCCGAGUUAAUUCUUAGAAUAGGAAAUAAUUUUGAAUUUACUUUAUCUAUCUCCCUUUUAAAAAUUCCUAUAUACACAAAAUUUUAUAUUGAAUUUAACUAUUAUUUAAUCUAUCCUUUCGUUAAACUUUUGUUAAUUAAACAAUAAAAGUCCAACAUUUUAUUAAAAAAAUUCAAGUCUUCUAUUUCAUGGACUCCAUCAAGUCUUUUAUUAAAAGUCCAACUUUUGUUAAUUCAAGUCUUUUACAGAAUUUUGUUAAUUCAACUUUUGUUAAUUAUUACAAAAUUUGGUAUUGACUUUAACUAUUAUUUAAUUCAAGCCUUUUAUUAAAAGUUCAAUUUUUGUUAAUUUAAAUAUUAUUUUGUUAAUUAAACCAUAGCCGACUCCAUCAUGUCUAUCUCAAGGUCCUGUAUUUUUUCAUCUUAAACCUUUGGACACUCCACAAAGUCCAGCCAUGUUAUGGUCUCUGGCUUCAACUUGAACCAUAGCCCAUAGGGCACAAACAAUAUAUUAAUGAUAAAUACAUCAAUUAUAGGAAAAGAGUCUAAUUUAAAGACUAUUUCAGUUAAAAAAUCUAUAUAAAAAAAGAUUAUUUCAUUCAUAUCUUGCUAUUUAAUUUUGAUCAAUUUUUUAAUUCACAAAAUAAUAUUCUCUUAUAUAUGAAAAAAAGACUAGAUUUAAUCGUCAUUUGGAAUGGUUGUUGUGUGAUCUAUUUCUAAUUGUAUUCAAACAUGAAUAUUAUUUUCUUUAUCAUAUAAAAAUUAAUUGGUGAUAUAAAAAGAAGUGUGAAAAAGAAUAUUAAUUUUUUUCUAAAAAAAAUUAGUAGCAUAUUUUGUAUUUUUUUACACGUCAUCAACUUAAAUAAUAGGAGAAACAUAAUUUUAAUUUCCAUUUUAAUUUUUAAAUAAUUUUAAUUGCCAAAUUUAAGCAAUCAUAAAAUUUCUCAUGUUCAAUAUAAUAUUCUCAAAAAAAAAUAUUCAUAUGAUAACUUAAAUAAUAUACUAAGAAAUAUGAUUUAUUCUUAUGCAGAUCGAAUACUAAAAUAAGAAAAGAAAAUAUUUUUGAUCACAAUAUAAAAUUGCUUAAAUCAAUGAAAUUUCAUUUUAAGAAAAUAUUAAUAAUUUUUUUAAUACUUUAAAUCAAAGGUAAUUAAAUUUGGUUUAAUUAAUCUUCAAAUUUUAACUAUUAUUUAAAUCAAUCCUUUCAUUACACCUUUGUUAAGUAAAUGAUAGCAUAGCAAGCAAGGAGGUGCAAGCAGUAACACUCUCACAAAGAUAAAGAUCUUUAAGCCAUCAUUUUUUUUUCCUUUUCUUUUCUAUGAACUGUCAUUUCUUAUCUCUACAUGGAAUGUCUAGAAGUUGAAAACUUGAGCUUUCUUUAACUAUACUGCUUUCCAUUUUGGCGAACUGCUUUUCUUUCUCAUAAUGAACUUUCCACUAUUCCAAUGAUGGUUCAACAUUAAUAAUUCUUUAUCUAUUUUGUCUAAAAAUUUCCAAUCACUUUUUGUGAGUGGUGUGAAUGUCAUGCAGACAACUGAUGUUCAAGCUCCACUUUUUCCAUUCAUUGCAAGUUGUAAGCAGAAUGUAGAAUGUACGUAUAAUAAAAUAAUGAGAAUGCCAACUACUAGUACGUAGUACUUAAUUAAAACAAAAGUAUCAAAAUUAGAACGAAAAUAAAUUUGAUGCUGUUAAUACAUGAGUUUAAUUUUGAUACACAGUGUAAAAAUUUAAAUUGUUAAUUAAUUAGAAAUCACCUAAUGAUUUGUAAAACAAUUACUAAAAAAAGUUUCAUUUGAAACUUAGUCUUCCACCCGUCUCAAGCUCUCCACAUGAACACUAAGCUCUUGACAAAAAUAAAUAAAUAAAUAAAUAACCACGAGAAAUAAUAUAUAACUCUUUAGUGGACAAUUGGUGUUCUUUUGUGCAUUCAGUUGAAGGAAGUUCCCAGAAUGGUAGAAAGCAAGGGACAGAUGAAACGGCCACAGCUAAGAAUAGUGCAUCUUAUAUCGGGAAGAGAUUGUUAGAAAGUUUGGUUGCAGUUGCAGGGCUUCUAAUUUGGCUUUCAUGAGCAUUACUCAAAUACUACCUAUAUAUUACCACUUUCAUAUCACAAAAUGUGUUGCCUUAUAAAAUUCAAAUAUUCUAUUAUUACUUGCAGUUUGAACCCAUAAUUAAUUUUAAAAUAUCAAUUUUUUAUUAUUCCAAAUAAAAGAAAUGAAAACAAAAUUGUCUAGUCUCCUAGACAAACCACUUCCCACUCCACCAAAUUCAUAUCAAGGACUACACUUUUCCCACUUGAACCAUAGACUACUCCAUCAAGUCCAAGUCAAUGUCCUUCAUUUUUUCAUCUUGAACCUUAGGACACUCCACAGCCAACCAUAUUUAGGUCUCUAUCUUCUUCAACAUGAACCAUAGGUCACUACAUUAACUUCAUAUCAAGUUCCUUAUCAUUGACAACAAAUGUUUAGAAUUAAGUAAGCAAGGAAAAAAAAUGGAGGAUCUAUGAGAUUAUUCUUAAACUUCAAAAGUGUCUCACGCUCACUUGGGAUGCACACACUCUCUCUGCAUGGUAAGCUGAACAACCAAAGCUGGACAAAGACAAGAAUAUAAAUGGAGGAAUUCAUGAUCACGCAAGAAUAUAUAGAAAACAAGUCUACUUCUUGCUUCUGCAUAUUAAUCAUCAAACUUCUAUUAUUUAUACUGCUGCCCUGCCUGUUUUUUUCUUCACUUUCAUUGUUUUUUUUACCUUUUUUUAUUAUUGUGCCUAAUACUAAAUUAUCGACUUAAUUAUCCAAUUCUCCCGAUCUUAGAAUACGAAAAAUUAUGCAUUUACUGUAAUUAUCUCCUUUUUUAAAAUUCCAAUGUACACUAAAUUCAUAAAAAAAAUCAAAAUUAAUAACAAAAAAAUAUGAUUUAUUCUUGUGGUCAAUACUAAAAUAAGAAACAUUCUUUUUUGGAACAGUUUUUUUAACAAUUGGAAAAGUUAUUGUGUCAUGUAUUUUUAAUUGUAUUCGAACUUGAAUAUUAUUUUAUUUAUCAUAUAAAAAUUAAUUAGUUAUAUAAAAAGAAGGAAAAAGAAUAUUAACUUUUUUUCUAAAAAAAAAAAUCACUAACAUAUUUUAUAUUUUUUACAAGUUAUCAACUUAAAUAAGAGGAGAAACAUAAUUUUAAUUUCCAUUUAACUUUUUAAAUAAUUGCAAGUGUCAAAUUUAAACAAUCAUGAGAAUACUCGCGUUCAAUAUAAUAUUCUCAAAAAAAAUAAAAAUUCACACAAUAACUUAAACAAUCUACAAAGAAAUAUAAUUUAUUCUUGUGCCAAAUACUAAAACAAGAAACAUUUUUUAUUUUGGUUUACCAUAUAGAAUUGCUUAAAUCAAUGAAAUUUUUAUUUUAAGAAAAUAUUAAUGAUUUGUUUAAAACUUUAAAUAAUUUACAUCAAAGGUAAUUAAAUUUGGCUUAAUUAGUCUUCAAAUUUUAACUAUUAUUCAAAUCAACCCUUUCAUUAAACCUGAUAAGUAAACAACAAAAAGUCUUGCCUUAUAAAAUUCAAAUAUUCUAUUACAUGCGGUUUGAAUCCUUAAUUAAUUUUAAACUAUCAAAUUUUAAUUAUUCGAAAUAAAAGAAAUGAAAACAAAAUUGUCUCCUAGACAAACCACUGGCCACUCCACCAAAUCCAUAUCAAGGUCCCCACUUUUCCAACUUGAACCAUAGACUACUCCAUCAAGUCCAUGUCAAGGUCCUCCAUUUUUUCAUCUUGAACCUUAGGACACUCCCCAAAGUCCAGCCAUAUUAAGGUCUCUGACUUCUUCAACUUCUACAACACAUAUAUGGAAAACAACUUAAUUGUAUAAGUGCUUCUUGUUUUUGCAUAUAAAUCAUAAAACUUCUAUUAUUUAUGCUGCUGCAAGUGUCUUUCUUUUCUUUUUUCUUUUUUUUUUAUGACGUUUCCUUUUUUUAAUUAUUGACUUUAUUAUCCAAUUCCCCCGAGUUAAUUCUUAGAAUAGGAAAUAAUUUUGAAUUUACUUUAUCUAUCUCCCUUUUUAAAAUUCCUAUAUACACAAAAUUUUGUAUUGAAUUUAACUCAAUGAAAUUUUAGAUCACAGUAUAGAAUUGUUUAAAUCAAUGAAAUUUUAUUUUAAGAAAAUAUUAAUCAUUUUUUAAGACUUUAAAUCAAAGGUAAUUAAAUUUGGUUUAAUUAAUUUUCAAAAUUUAACUAUUAUUUAAAUCAAUCCUUUCGUUACACCUUUGUUAAGUAAAUGAUAGCAUAGCAAGCAAGGAGGUGCUAGCAGUAACACUCUCACAAAGAUAAAGAUCUUUAAGCCAUCAUUUUUUUUCCUUUUCUUUUCUAUGAACUGUCAUUUCUUAUCUCUACAUGGAAUGUCUAGAAGUUGAAAACUUGAGCUUUCUUUAACUAUACUGCUUUCCAUUUUGGCGAACUGCUUUUCUUUCUCAUAAUGAACUUUCCACUUCCAAUGAUGUUUCAACAUUAAUAAUUCUUUAUCUAUUUUUUCUAAAAAUUUCCACUCACUUUUUGUGAGUGGUGUGAAUGUCAUGCAGACAAAUGAUGUCCAAGCUUCACUUUUUCCAUUCAUUGCAAGUUGUAAGCAGAAUGUAGAUUGUACGUAUAAUAAAAUAAUGAGAAUGGCAACUACUAGUACGUAUCAAAAUUAGAACAAAAGUAUCAAAAUUAAAACGAAAAUAACUUUGAUGCUGUUAAUACAUGAGUUUAAUUUUGAUACACAGUGUAAAAAUUUAAAUUGUUAAUUAAUUAGAAAUCACCUAAUGAUUUGUAAAACAAUUACUAAAAAAAGUUAUAGGAGAAUAUAUAUAAUUAAUUGCAAUUCUAAGUGUAUUUAAAUUAAAUUCUUAAUUAACAUAUCCUUAUUGUGAUUUUUUGUAUAUUUUUUAUUUAUUGAGACAGUGGAAUGAGACCGCACUAUAAUUUUCAUCACGGGUGCCGGUUUGUUGUUGAGGCCUCGAGGGAAAAUGUAUUUUUUGAAGAAAAUAAAAUUAUGUAUUUAAAUUCAUGAUAUAUAUUUGACUUUGUAUUUGAACUUUGAGAAUUUUUUUUUUCAAAGAAAAUUUCUAAUAUUUAAAAAAUUGUUUUAAAUUAACAUUAGUUAAAUAAUGACGUACCCGUAAAAUAUUUAAUAACACAAAAUUGAUUUAUAGUAAGUCAAAAAGCGUCAAUAUUCAUUUGAAACUUAGUCUUCCACCCGUCUCAAGCUCUUCACAUGAACACUAAGCUCUAGAUAAAAAUAAAUAAAUAACACUAAGCAAGGGACAGAUGAAACGGCCACAGCUAAGAAUCUUAUAUAGGGAAGAGAUUGUCUGAAAGUUUGGUUGCAGUUGCAGGGCUUCUAAUUUGGCUUUCAUGAGCUUAACUCAAAUAUUGCCUAUAUAUAUAUAUAUAUAUAUAUAUAUAUAUAUAUAUAUAUAUAUAUAUAUAUAUAUAUAUAUAUAUAUAUAUCACNNNNNNNNNNNNNNNNNNNNNNNNNNNNNNNNNNNNNNNNNNNNNNNNNNNNNNNNNNNNNNNNNNNNNNNNNNNNNNNNNNNNNNNNNNNNNNNNNNNNNNNNNNNNNNNNNNNNNNNNNNNNNNNNNNNNNNNNNNNNNNNNNNNNNNNNNNNNNNNNNNNNNNNNNNNNNNNNNNNNNNNNNNNNNNNNNNNNNNNNNNNNNNNNNNNNNNNNNNNNNNNNNNNNNNNNNNNNNNNNNNNNNNNNNNNNNNNNNNNNNNNNNNNNNNNNNNNNNNNNNNNNNNNNNNNNNNNNNNNNNNNNNNNNNNNNNNNNNNNNNNNNNNNNNNNNNNNNNNNNNNNNNNNNNNNNNNNNNNNNNNNNNNNNNNNNNNNNNNNNNNNNNNNNNNNNNNNNNNNNNNNNNNNNNNNNNNNNNNNNNNNNNNNNNNNNNNNNNNNNNNNNNNNNNNNNNNNNNNNNNNNNNNNNNNNNNNNNNNNNNNNNNNNNNNNNNNNNNNNNNNNNNNNNNNNNNNNNNNNNNNNNNNNNNNNNNNNNNNNNNNNNNNNNNNNNNNNNNNNNNNNNNNNNNNNNNNNNNNNNNNNNNNNNNNNNNNNNNNNNNNNNNNNNNNNNNNNNNNNNNNNNNNNNNNNNNNNNNNNNNNNNNNNNNNNNNNNNNNNNNNNNNNNNNNNNNNNNNNNNNNNNNNNNNNNNNNNNNNNNNNNNNNNNNNNNNNNNNNNNNNNNNNNNNNNNNNNNNNNNNNNNNNNNNNNNNNNNNNNNNNNNNNNNNNNNNNNNNNNNNNNNNNNNNNNNNNNNNNNNNNNNNNNNNNNNNNNNNNNNNNNNNNNNNNNNNNNNNNNNNNNNNNNNNNNNNNNNNNNNNNNNNNNNNNNNNNNNNNNNNNNNNNNNNNNNNNNNNNNNNNNNNNNNNNNNNNNNNNNNNNNNNNNNNNNNNNNNNNNNNNNNNNNNNNNNNNNNNNNNNNNNNNNNNNNNNNNNNNNNNNNNNNNNNNNNNNNNNNNNNNNNNNNNNNNNNNNNNNNNNNNNNNNNNNNNNNNNNNNNNNNNNNNNNNNNNNNNNNNNNNNNNNNNNNNNNNNNNNNNNNNNNNNNNNNNNNNNNNNNNNNNNNNNNNNNNNNNNNNNNNNNNNNNNNNNNNNNNNNNNNNNNNNNNNNNNNNNNNNNNNNNNNNNNNNNNNNNNNNNNNNNNNNNNNNNNNNNNNNNNNNNNNNNNNNNNNNNNNNNNNNNNNNNNNNNNNNNNNNNNNNNNNNNNNNNNNNNNNNNNNNNNNNNNNNNNNNNNNNNNNNNNNNNNNNNNNNNNNNNNNNNNNNNNNNNNNNNNNNNNNNNNNNNNNNNNNNNNNNNNNNNNNNNNNNNNNNNNNNNNNNNNNNNNNNNNNNNNNNNNNNNNNNNNNNNNNNNNNNNNNNNNNNNNNNNNNNNNNNNNNNNNNNNNNNNNNNNNNNNNNNNNNNNNNNNNNNNNNNNNNNNNNNNNNNNNNNNNNNNNNNNNNNNNNNNNNNNNNNNNNNNNNNNNNNNNNNNNNNNNNNNNNNNNNNNNNNNNNNNNNNNNNNNNNNNNNNNNNNNNNNNNNNNNNNNNNNNNNNNNNNNNNNNNNNNNNNNNNNNNNNNNNNNNNNNNNNNNNNNNNNNNNNNNNNNNNNNNNNNNNNNNNNNNNNNNNNNNNNNNNNNNNNNNNNNNNNNNNNNNNNNNNNNNNNNNNNNNNNNNNNNNNNNNNNNNNNNNNNNNNNNNNNNNNNNNNNNNNNNNNNNNNNNNNNNNNNNNNNNNNNNNNNNNNNNNNNNNNNNNNNNNNNNNNNNNNNNNNNNNNNNNNNNNNNNNNNNNNNNNNNNNNNNNNNNNNNNNNNNNNNNNNNNNNNNNNNNNNNNNNNNNNNNNNNNNNNNNNNNNNNNNNNNNNNNNNNNNNNNNNNNNNNNNNNNNNNNNNNNNNNNNNNNNNNNNNNNNNNNNNNNNNNNNNNNNNNNNNNNNNNNNNNNNNNNNNNNNNNNNNNNNNNNNNNNNNNNNNNNNNNNNNNNNNNNNNNNNNNNNNNNNNNNNNNNNNNNNNNNNNNNNNNNNNNNNNNNNNNNNNNNNNNNNNNNNNNNNNNNNNNNNNNNNNNNNNNNNNNNNNNNNNNNNNNNNNNNNNNNNNNNNNNNNNNNNNNNNNNNNNNNNNNNNNNNNNNNNNNNNNNNNNNNNNNNNNNNNNNNNNNNNNNNNNNNNNNNNNNNNNNNNNNNNNNNNNNNNNNNNNNNNNNNNNNNNNNNNNNNNNNNNNNNNNNNNNNNNNNNNNNNNNNNNNNNNNNNNNNNNNNNNNNNNNNNNNNNNNNNNNNNNNNNNNNNNNNNNNNNNNNNNNNNNNNNNNNNNNNNNNNNNNNNNNNNNNNNNNNNNNNNNNNNNNNNNNNNNNNNNNNNNNNNNNNNNNNNNNNNNNNNNNNNNNNNNNNNNNNNNNNNNNNNNNNNNNNNNNNNNNNNNNNNNNNNNNNNNNNNNNNNNNNNNNNNNNNNNNNNNNNNNNNNNNNNNNNNNNNNNNNNNNNNNNNNNNNNNNNNNNNNNNNNNNNNNNNNNNNNNNNNNNNNNNNNNNNNNNNNNNNNNNNNNNNNNNNNNNNNNNNNNNNNNNNNNNNNNNNNNNNNNNNNNNNNNNNNNNNNNNNNNNNNNNNNNNNNNNNNNNNNNNNNNNNNNNNNNNNNNNNNNNNNNNNNNNNNNNNNNNNNNNNNNNNNNNNNNNNNNNNNNNNNNNNNNNNNNNNNNNNNNNNNNNNNNNNNNNNNNNNNNNNNNNNNNNNNNNNNNNNNNNNNNNNNNNNNNNNNNNNNNNNNNNNNNNNNNNNNNNNNNNNNNNNNNNNNNNNNNNNNNNNNNNNNNNNNNNNNNNNNNNNNNNNNNNNNNNNNNNNNNNNNNNNNNNNNNNNNNNNNNNNNNNNNNNNNNNNNNNNNNNNNNNNNNNNNNNNNNNNNNNNNNNNNNNNNNNNNNNNNNNNNNNNNNNNNNNNNNNNNNNNNNNNNNNNNNNNNNNNNNNNNNNNNNNNNNNNNNNNNNNNNNNNNNNNNNNNNNNNNNNNNNNNNNNNNNNNNNNNNNNNNNNNNNNNNNNNNNNNNNNNNNNNNNNNNNNNNNNNNNNNNNNNNNNNNNNNNNNNNNNNNNNNNNNNNNNNNNNNNNNNNNNNNNNNNNNNNNNNNNNNNNNNNNNNNNNNNNNNNNNNNNNNNNNNNNNNNNNNNNNNNNNNNNNNNNNNNNNNNNNNNNNNNNNNNNNNNNNNNNNNNNNNNNNNNNNNNNNNNNNNNNNNNNNNNNNNNNNNNNNNNNNNNNNNNNNNNNNNNNNNNNNNNNNNNNNNNNNNNNNNNNNNNNNNNNNNNNNNNNNNNNNNNNNNNNNNNNNNNNNNNNNNNNNNNNNNNNNNNNNNNNNNNNNNNNNNNNNNNNNNNNNNNNNNNNNNNNNNNNNNNNNNNNNNNNNNNNNNNNNNNNNNNNNNNNNNNNNNNNNNNNNNNNNNNNNNNNNNNNNNNNNNNNNNNNNNNNNNNNNNNNNNNNNNNNNNNNNNNNNNNNNNNNNNNNNNNNNNNNNNNNNNNNNNNNNNNNNNNNNNNNNNNNNNNNNNNNNNNNNNNNNNNNNNNNNNNNNNNNNNNNNNNNNNNNNNNNNNNNNNNNNNNNNNNNNNNNNNNNNNNNNNNNNNNNNNNNNNNNNNNNNNNNNNNNNNNNNNNNNNNNNNNNNNNNNNNNNNNNNNNNNNNNNNNNNNNNNNNNNNNNNNNNNNNNNNNNNNNNNNNNNNNNNNNNNNNNNNNNNNNNNNNNNNNNNNNNNNNNNNNNNNNNNNNNNNNNNNNNNNNNNNNNNNNNNNNNNNNNNNNNNNNNNNNNNNNNNNNNNNNNNNNNNNNNNNNNNNNNNNNNNNNNNNNNNNNNNNNNNNNNNNNNNNNNNNNNNNNNNNNNNNNNNNNNNNNNNNNNNNNNNNNNNNNNNNNNNNNNNNNNNNNNNNNNNNNNNNNNNNNNNNNNNNNNNNNNNNNNNNNNNNNNNNNNNNNNNNNNNNNNNNNNNNNNNNNNNNNNNNNNNNNNNNNNNNNNNNNNNNNNNNNNNNNNNNNNNNNNNNNNNNNNNNNNNNNNNNNNNNNNNNNNNNNNNNNNNNNNNNNNNNNNNNNNNNNNNNNNNNNNNNNNNNNNNNNNNNNNNNNNNNNNNNNNNNNNNNNNNNNNNNNNNNNNNNNNNNNNNNNNNNNNNNNNNNNNNNNNNNNNNNNNNNNNNNNNNNNNNNNNNNNNNNNNNNNNNNNNNNNNNNNNNNNNNNNNNNNNNNNNNNNNNNNNNNNNNNNNNNNNNNNNNNNNNNNNNNNNNNNNNNNNNNNNNNNNNNNNNNNNNNNNNNNNNNNNNNNNNNNNNNNNNNNNNNNNNNNNNNNNNNNNNNNNNNNNNNNNNNNNNNNNNNNNNNNNNNNNNNNNNNNNNNNNNNNNNNNNNNNNNNNNNNNNNNNNNNNNNNNNNNNNNNNNNNNNNNNNNNNNNNNNNNNNNNNNNNNNNNNNNNNNNNNNNNNNNNNNNNNNNNNNNNNNNNNNNNNNNNNNNNNNNNNNNNNNNNNNNNNNNNNNNNNNNNNNNNNNNNNNNNNNNNNNNNNNNNNNNNNNNNNNNNNNNNNNNNNNNNNNNNNNNNNNNNNNNNNNNNNNNNNNNNNNNNNNNNNNNNNNNNNNNNNNNNNNNNNNNNNNNNNNNNNNNNNNNNNNNNNNNNNNNNNNNNNNNNNNNNNNNNNNNNNNNNNNNNNNNNNNNNNNNNNNNNNNNNNNNNNNNNNNNNNNNNNNNNNNNNNNNNNNNNNNNNNNNNNNNNNNNNNNNNNNNNNNNNNNNNNNNNNNNNNNNNNNNNNNNNNNNNNNNNNNNNNNNNNNNNNNNNNNNNNNNNNNNNNNNNNNNNNNNNNNNNNNNNNNNNNNNNNNNNNNNNNNNNNNNNNNNNNNNNNNNNNNNNNNNNNNNNNNNNNNNNNNNNNNNNNNNNNNNNNNNNNNNNNNNNNNNNNNNNNNNNNNNNNNNNNNNNNNNNNNNNNNNNNNNNNNNNNNNNNNNNNNNNNNNNNNNNNNNNNNNNNNNNNNNNNNNNNNNNNNNNNNNNNNNNNNNNNNNNNNNNNNNNNNNNNNNNNNNNNNNNNNNNNNNNNNNNNNNNNNNNNNNNNNNNNNNNNNNNNNNNNNNNNNNNNNNNNNNNNNNNNNNNNNNNNNNNNNNNNNNNNNNNNNNNNNNNNNNNNNNNNNNNNNNNNNNNNNNNNNNNNNNNNNNNNNNNNNNNNNNNNNNNNNNNNNNNNNNNNNNNNNNNNNNNNNNNNNNNNNNNNNNNNNNNNNNNNNNNNNNNNNNNNNNNNNNNNNNNNNNNNNNNNNNNNNNNNNNNNNNNNNNNNNNNNNNNNNNNNNNNNNNNNNNNNNNNNNNNNNNNNNNNNNNNNNNNNNNNNNNNNNNNNNNNNNNNNNNNNNNNNNNNNNNNNNNNNNNNNNNNNNNNNNNNNNNNNNNNNNNNNNNNNNNNNNNNNNNNNNNNNNNNNNNNNNNNNNNNNNNNNNNNNNNNNNNNNNNNNNNNNNNNNNNNNNNNNNNNNNNNNNNNNNNNNNNNNNNNNNNNNNNNNNNNNNNNNNNNNNNNNNNNNNNNNNNNNNNNNNNNNNNNNNNNNNNNNNNNNNNNNNNNNNNNNNNNNNNNNNNNNNNNNNNNNNNNNNNNNNNNNNNNNNNNNNNNNNNNNNNNNNNNNNNNNNNNNNNNNNNNNNNNNNNNNNNNNNNNNNNNNNNNNNNNNNNNNNNNNNNNNNNNNNNNNNNNNNNNNNNNNNNNNNNNNNNNNNNNNNNNNNNNNNNNNNNNNNNNNNNNNNNNNNNNNNNNNNNNNNNNNNNNNNNNNNNNNNNNNNNNNNNNNNNNNNNNNNNNNNNNNNNNNNNNNNNNNNNNNNNNNNNNNNNNNNNNNNNNNNNNNNNNNNNNNNNNNNNNNNNNNNNNNNNNNNNNNNNNNNNNNNNNNNNNNNNNNNNNNNNNNNNNNNNNNNNNNNNNNNNNNNNNNNNNNNNNNNNNNNNNNNNNNNNNNNNNNNNNNNNNNNNNNNNNNNNNNNNNNNNNNNNNNNNNNNNNNNNNNNNNNNNNNNNNNNNNNNNNNNNNNNNNNNNNNNNNNNNNNNNNNNNNNNNNNNNNNNNNNNNNNNNNNNNNNNNNNNNNNNNNNNNNNNNNNNNNNNNNNNNNNNNNNNNNNNNNNNNNNNNNNNNNNNNNNNNNNNNNNNNNNNNNNNNNNNNNNNNNNNNNNNNNNNNNNNNNNNNNNNNNNNNNNNNNNNNNNNNNNNNNNNNNNNNNNNNNNNNNNNNNNNNNNNNNNNNNNNNNNNNNNNNNNNNNNNNNNNNNNNNNNNNNNNNNNNNNNNNNNNNNNNNNNNNNNNNNNNNNNNNNNNNNNNNNNNNNNNNNNNNNNNNNNNNNNNNNNNNNNNNNNNNNNNNNNNNNNNNNNNNNNNNNNNNNNNNNNNNNNNNNNNNNNNNNNNNNNNNNNNNNNNNNNNNNNNNNNNNNNNNNNNNNNNNNNNNNNNNNNNNNNNNNNNNNNNNNNNNNNNNNNNNNNNNNNNNNNNNNNNNNNNNNNNNNNNNNNNNNNNNNNNNNNNNNNNNNNNNNNNNNNNNNNNNNNNNNNNNNNNNNNNNNNNNNNNNNNNNNNNNNNNNNNNNNNNNNNNNNNNNNNNNNNNNNNNNNNNNNNNNNNNNNNNNNNNNNNNNNNNNNNNNNNNNNNNNNNNNNNNNNNNNNNNNNNNNNNNNNNNNNNNNNNNNNNNNNNNNNNNNNNNNNNNNNNNNNNNNNNNNNNNNNNNNNNNNNNNNNNNNNNNNNNNNNNNNNNNNNNNNNNNNNNNNNNNNNNNNNNNNNNNNNNNNNNNNNNNNNNNNNNNNNNNNNNNNNNNNNNNNNNNNNNNNNNNNNNNNNNNNNNNNNNNNNNNNNNNNNNNNNNNNNNNNNNNNNNNNNNNNNNNNNNNNNNNNNNNNNNNNNNNNNNNNNNNNNNNNNNNNNNNNNNNNNNNNNNNNNNNNNNNNNNNNNNNNNNNNNNNNNNNNNNNNNNNNNNNNNNNNNNNNNNNNNNNNNNNNNNNNNNNNNNNNNNNNNNNNNNNNNNNNNNNNNNNNNNNNNNNNNNNNNNNNNNNNNNNNNNNNNNNNNNNNNNNNNNNNNNNNNNNNNNNNNNNNNNNNNNNNNNNNNNNNNNNNNNNNNNNNNNNNNNNNNNNNNNNNNNNNNNNNNNNNNNNNNNNNNNNNNNNNNNNNNNNNNNNNNNNNNNNNNNNNNNNNNNNNNNNNNNNNNNNNNNNNNNNNNNNNNNNNNNNNNNNNNNNNNNNNNNNNNNNNNNNNNNNNNNNNNNNNNNNNNNNNNNNNNNNNNNNNNNNNNNNNNNNNNNNNNNNNNNNNNNNNNNNNNNNNNNNNNNNNNNNNNNNNACAGAGAGAGAUAGAUAUAUAUAUAUAGAUAGAUAUAAAGAUAUAGAGCCCGCCCCCCCCCCCCACUCUCUCAUUUAUAUUUAUAUAUUCUUUUUUAUAUAUAUGUGUGUGUAUGUGAGUAUGUGAAUAUAUAUAUAUAUAUAUAUAUAUAUAUAUAUAUAUAUAUAUAUAUAUAUAUAUAUAUAUAUAUAUAUAUAUAUAUAUAUUACCAAUUUGGCUUAACUCUAAUUUGGCUUUCACAAAAUAAUAUUCUCUUAUAUAUGAAAAAAAAAGACUAAAUUUAAUUGUCAUCAAUUGAAAAGGUUGUUUGUGUAAUCUAUUUUUAAUUGUAUUUAAACCUAAAUAUGAUUUUCUUUAUCAUAUAAAAAUUAAUUAUUGAUAUAAAAAGAAGUGGUGAAAAAGAAUUUAACUUUUUUCUAUAAAAAAUAGUAUCAUAUUUUGUUUUUUUUUUAUAAGUUAUCAACUUAAAUAAUAGGAGAAACAUAAUUUUUAUUUUCAUUUUACUUUUUAAAUAGGAGAAACAUAAUUUUUAUUUUCAUUUUACUUUUUAAAUAAUUAUAAGUGCCAAAUUUAAACAAUCAUAAAAAUACUCACGUUCAAUAUAAUAUUCUAAAAAAUAUAUUUAUACGAUAACGUAAAUAAUCUUCUACAAAGAAAUAUAUUUUAUAUGAUAACGUAAAUAAUCUGCUAUUUAUUGUGCAUCAAAAUAUGUAAAAAUAAUAAUUAACUUGUAAUUUGUAUGGUUGGUAUGGGUUGUUUCAUCUAUCCUGUAUUUUGUUGUAUCACACAUAUAAUCAUUUAUAUAUAUGGGCUACUAUUGUCAUUACCAAAAAUGCUAUUGAGACUACCAAAGCAUUUGAAAUUACUUGGUUAUCCUUAGUUCCAUUUCCCCACACCUCCUAUCCUUCCCCUCUUUACGUUCAGCUACUCUCCCUCUUUACAUCCAAAAACAGAAUUUAAAUAAGGCUCUCAAAUUUGAAAAAAAAAAAAAAAAGAAGAUAGCAAUGACUACAAAUUGAUCAACAUGCCAAUACAAUGAUAAAACUUCGGAGUAUUCUAAGCAACACUAAACAGUGAUACUACCUAAGCGAAAAGAUUGAAGUUUGAACCACACAUGAUCAAGGAAAUGAAAAUAGGCAUACCGCCAUGAUCUACAAAUCAGCAAAGGAGCAAUCACUAUCCAGAAUCCCACAAUAAAUCCAAUUGUCAUACUGACAAAAAACCAAUUCACUCCAUGCCCAUCACUUCCUUCAUAACUAUGGGUUUUCCCAUUGGAGCUGCAGUUUAUGGGCAGUGGUGGACCACAUAGAUUGUUGCCGAUGAAGCUGGAGGCAUCAAAGGUUUGCAAUUGAGUUCCUGUUGGAAUUUUUCCCUUCAAAUGAUUGUAAGACAAGUCUAGCAUGCUCAGAAAGCUCAAAUUUGCAAUGCUUGGAGGGAUUUCACGAGAAAGUUGAUUCCUGGAAAAAUCAAUGGACUGUAAUGAUCUCAUAUUACCUAUACCUUGUGGAAUAUGACCAAUCAAUUGGUUGUGGGACAUGUUUAAAAAAUUCAAUCCAUUUAGAUAUGUGAUUUCUCUUGGUAUUUCCCCUAAUAACUUGUUACUUGACAGAUCAAUGCUUGUUACCAAACCCAGAAUGUUUCUGUACUCAUCUCCUCUUCCUUUCAGCCAUAGUAGCACACUAACUAUACUUCGCAUGGAAGAGUAAUACCUACCAUAUUGUUGUGCUUGAGAAUAGAUACGAGGAUCUGUACUUUGGUUCUUUAGUGUCAUGGCACUCAAGUUACUGAAACAGCUCGGUAUAUUGCCAGACAGAUUGUUUUGUGCAAGGUCUAAAACCUGAAGAUCACUCAUCUGACAUAUUUCAUUUGGAAUGUGGCCGGCAAAACUGUUUGAUCGAAGGCGGAGGAUUUUCACAUUUAAGAGGUUUUCUCCAACCCAUGUUGGAAUAGUUCCUGAAAGAUUAUUUUCCCCAAGGUCCAAGGAUAUCAAUUGGUUAUUCUUCUUCAAACUGGUUGGAAAUAUUCCAGAGAGUGUGUUGUUACGAAUUUGUAAAGACUGCAGCUCUGCCAAGGAACCCAUGGAUUGCGGUAAGUUCCCAACAAAAUGGUUGCUUUGUAAAUUUACAUCCACCAGAAGUGUCCAAUUCAUCCAGCAAUCAGGUAUCUCUCCUGACAAACUAUUUGAUGCAAGAUUCAGAAAUUGUAAUUGCAUUGGCUUGUCCUGAUUGUUACAUAAAAAAUCUUGCAUGGAUUCAGAGAAUGAAUUGCUUGAAAGAUCUAACUGAAACACAUCACUUGAAAGAUAGGGUAAUUUACCACACAAGUGAUUUGAGCUUAGAUCAAUAGUUGGGAUAGAUAUUGGAUUCUUUAAUGUAGUCCCAAUCUCACCAUGGAUAUGAUUACGUGAGAGGUUUAAAUACGAAACCUGAGAAAGUGCUUCCCACAUCUGUGUGGGAAUAGAACCGAAAAUCCCCGUGUUAGAUAGUCCAACAUAUUCAAGUUGGUUUUGUGACUGAAUCCACAAUGGAAAGCUGGGACCUAACUGCCAUGAUGUCACUUCCAAAUAGGUAAGUUGAAAAUUAGGAAUCCAAUUGGGACCCACUUUUAAAGUGAAAUUGUUCCCCGAUGCACCAAACUCCGUCAAGCUUGUAAGAUUUGCAAGAUCAUCUUCCUUGACAACUCCGUGAAAAAGAUUGCCGUCAAUAUCAAGAGAUAACAAUUUAGAGAGUGAUCCAAGACUUUCAAAUGGAUUUCCACUGAUUUUAUUCAUAGAGAGAUCGAGAUAUCUUAAUGAUGAAAGUUUUCCAAAUGAUCUAGGAAGAGCACCACCAAUUGAGUUGUAGGAAAAAUCUAGCAGCUCAAUAUUUUUAAAUGCCCCAAUAUGAUCUGUCAGAUUGCCUGAAAGUCGUGAACUCUGAACUGCAAGUCUUGUGAGUCCAUGGGAAAUACAAGGAGCAAGAAUUUCUAAAAGUUCAUUAACCUGUUGGUUGAGUUUGAGAUAUGAUAAAUCUAUCACCCUUAAGUUGCAGAGAUUACCCAAAGAAGUUGGAAUGUUUCCUUCAAGUUGACUAUAUGACAAAUCAAGUUCAACAAGAGAAGUCAAAUCACCCAAAGAAGUUGGAAUGUUUCCUUCAAGUUGAGUACCUGAUAAAUCAAGUUCAACAAGAGAAGUCAAAUUUCCCAAGGCAUCAGAAAUAGUCCCAUGCAAGUUGCUGGAUCUUAGGUCCAAAGACUUGAGACGAUGAAGACCGUAUAAGCAAUCAGGUAUAGAAGAUGAGAAUGAAUUGAAAGACAAGUCAAGAUUUUGAAGAAGUGUGAGGUUUCGAAUACCACAAGGAAUCGGACCUUGGAUUUCAUUACCAUGUAAUUGAAGAGAAACAAGUUUCUUCAAUUUGAAUAUCCACUUGGGGACAAAAGAGAUGGCAGGGGAAUAACUAGUGUAGGAAAGAUGGAGAGUUUGCAGAGAUGAGAAGUUGAGCAAGGAUGGUUCAUUAUAGUGAGGGAGUGUGCAGUCUAACAAAUAUAGGUGGGUCAAAGAAGGAAGAGAUUGGAGAGUGUGUAGCCAAUGAAAUGCUUUGGAUAGGUUUGCAUUAGUCAAAUAAAGAUAUUCAAGCUUCCACAUACUUGAUAGCCAUUCUACAUUUUCGACAACAGAAUGACCUCCAAGGCCAAGAUACACCAAAUUGGAGAGAUUCCCAAUCUGAGAUGGAAUUGUUCCAUUGGCGGCAUACGUCAGGUCAAGAUACACCAAAUUGGAGAGAUUCCAAAUCUGAGAUGGAAUCUUCCCCAUGAAUCCAGUACCAGAAAGGUCGAGGUGAGUCAAGGAAGUGAUUGUCCAGAGGAAAGAAGGAAUUGCCAUACCUUCAAAAUCAUUGCCGCUCAAGUCAAGAUAUCGAAGCUUAGAGAGAUUCCCGAUCUGAGAGGGUACUGUUCCGUUGGCAACAUCUGAACUCAGGUCAAGAUACACCAAAUUUGAGAGAUUCCCAAUCUGAGGAGGAAUCUUCCCAUAGAAUCCAGUAGCAGAGAGGUUAAGGUGAGUCAAGGAAGUCAUUGUCCCAAGGAAAGAAGGAAUUGACAUACCUUCUCCAAGGAAUACAUUGCCGCUCAAGUCCAAGUAAUUCAAAUGCUUUAAAUCAGCCAAACAAGGACUUAUCUCUCCACCAAAGCUCCAUCUCCUAUAAGCUUCCCAAUCAUCAUUGAAAAGAGAAUCUGAAGAGUUGAGGUGAAGCUGAAGAAGAUGGGAAGUGACGUUGUGGCAGAGGACUCCAUACCAGUGGCAACAGUUGGUAUUAUUAUGAUUCCAAGACCAAAGCCUAUUCGAAGGAUCAUUCAGAUUAUUCUUAAACUUCAAAAGUGUCUCACGCUCACUUGGGAUGCACCACCCCUCUCUCUGCAUGGGAAGGGAUGCACACACUCUCUCUGCAUGGUAAGCUCAACAACCAAAGCUGGACAAAGACAAGAAUAUAAAUGGAGGAGGAAUUCAUGAUCAUGCAACGCAAAUAUAGAAAACGAGUGUUUUUUUUUUAGAGCUGAUCGAAAAAAGUGUUUUUUUUUUAGAGCUGAUCAAAUUUUAACUUUUAUUUAAUCAAUCCUUUCGUUAAACUUUUGUUGCGUACAAAAGUCCAAUAUUUUUUUAAGAAAAAAAUCAAGUCUUCUANNNNNNNNNNNNNNNNNNNNNNNNNNNNNNNNNNNNNNNNNNNNNNNNNNNNNNNNNNNNNNNNNNNNNNNNNNNNNNNNNNNNNNNNNNNNNNNNNNNNNNNNNNNNNNNNNNNNNNNNNNNNNNNNNNNNNNNNNNNNNNNNNNNNNNNNNNNNNNNNNNNNNNNNNNNNNNNNNNNNNNNNNNNNNNNNNNNNNNNNNNNNNNNNNNNNNNNNNNNNNNNNNNNNNNNNNNNNNNNNNNNNNNNNNNNNNNNNNNNCGAGUUAAGUCAAGCAAGGAAAAAAAAUAUAAUUGAUGAAUAAAUCAAUUAUAGGAAAAGAGUUUACUUUAAAGACUAUUUUGGUUAAAAAAAUUAUUUCGUUCCAAGCUAGCUAUUUAAUUUUGAUCAAUUUUUCAAUUCACAAAAUAAUAUUCUUCUUAUAUGUGAAAAAGACUAAUUAAUCUUUAUUGUCAUUAAUGAUUGUUGUGUUGUCUAUUUCUAAUUUUUUUUAAUCAUAAUAUUAUUUUAUUUUUUAUUAAAAACUAAUUAAUGAGAUACAAAGAAGUUUAAAUUGCUUGUUUAACUUGGUCAAUCAUAAUUAUUGAGAUUAUAAUUUUUCCUUUUAUAAGUUUUGGUCCAAAUUUUUCCAUGAUCAUAUUUAACUUAAAAAGUAAAUUAGAAGAUCUAGAAAGAAGUGUGGCAUGUUUUUUAAAUUAUAAAAUUAUGGUCCUAGCUAUUUAUUGUUAGACCACAAGUCUUCAUAUAUUAAAGUUUUUGUCUAAAUUUCAUUUAUGGUGAUAGUUUAAGAAUAGUGAUAGAAGAGAAAAAUAAAUAUACAAUUUAUUGAAAUAUCUAACUCAAUUAAUUGAGGAAUACAUCAAUUAUAGGAAAAGGGUGUGCUUUAAAGACUAUUUCUAUUAAAAAAUCUAUAAAAAAAUUAUUUCGUUCCAAUCUAAUUAUUUAAUUUUAAUCAAUUUUUCAGUUCACAAAAUAAUAUUCUCUUAUAUAGGAAAAAAAGACUAGAUUUAAUUAUCAUCAAUUGGAAAAGUUAUUGUGUCAUGUAUUUCUAAUUGUAUUCGAACUUGAAUAUUAUUUUAUUUAUCAUAUAAAAAUUAAUUAUUUAUAUAAAAGACAUAAAAAGAAUAUUAACUUUUUUUCUCAAAAAAAAAUCAGUAUCAUAUUUUAUGUUUUUUACAAGUUAUCAACUUAAAUAAGAGGAGAAACAUAAUUUUAAUUUCCAUUUUACUUUUUAAAUAAUUGCAAGUGUCAAAUUUAAAUAAUCAUGAGAAUACUCAUGUUUAAUAUAAUAUUCUAAAAAAAAUCCAUACGAUAACCUAAACAAUCUAUAAAGAAAUAUAAUUUAUUCUUGUGCCAAAUACUAAAACUAUAAACAUUUUUUAUUUUAGUUUACCGUAUAAAAUUGCUUAAAUCAAUGAAAUUUUUAUUUUAAGAAAAUAUUAAUGAUUUUUUUUAAAACUUUAAGUAGUUUACAUCAAAGGUAAUUAAAUUUGGCUUAAUUAGUCUUCAAAUUUUAACUAUUAUUCAAAUCAAUCCUUUUGUUAAACCUUUACGUGUUAAGUAAACAACAAAAAGUCUUGCCUUAUAAAAUUCAAACAUUCUAUUACAUACGGUUUGAACCCAUAAUUAAUUUUAAACGAUCAAAUUUUAAUUAUUCAAAAUAAAAGAAAUGAAAACAAACUUGUCUCCUGGACAAACCGCUGGCCACUCCACCAAAUCCAUAUCAAGGUCCCCACUUUUCCAACUUGAACCAUAGACUACUCCAUCAAGUCUAUGUCAAGGUCCUCCAUUUUUUCAUCUUGAACCUUAGGACACUCCACAAAGUCCACCCAUAGUAAGGUCUGUGACUUCUUCAACUUCUGCAACGCAUAUAUGGAAAAUAACUUAAUUGUAUAAGUGCUUCUUGCUUCUGCAUAUAAAUCAUAAAACUUCUAUUAUUUAUACUGCUGCAAGUGUCUUUCUUUUCUUUUUUCUUUUUUUUAUGAUGUUUCCUUUUUUUAAUUAUUGACUUUAUUAUCCAAUUCUCCCGAGUUAAUUCUUAGAAUAGGAAAUAAUUUUGAAUUUACUUUAUCUAUCUCCCUUUUUAAAAUUCCUAUAUACACAAAAUUUUGUAUUGAAUUUAACUAUUAUUUAAUCAAUCCUUUCGUUAAACUUUUGUUAAUUAAACAAUAAAAGUCCAACAUUUUAUUAAAAAAAAUUCAAGUCUUCUAUUUCAUGGACUCCAUCAAGUCUUUUAUUAAAAGUCCAACUUUUGUUAAUUCAAGUCUUUUACAAAAUUUUGUUAAUUCAACUUUUGUUAAUUAUUACAAAAUUUGGUAUUGAAUUUAACUAUUACUUAAUUCAAGCCUUUUAUUAAAAGUUCAACUUUUGUUAAUUUAAAUAUUAUUUUGUUAAUUAAACCAUAGCCGACUCCAUCAAGUCCAUCUCAAGGUCCUGUAUUUUUUCAUCUUGAAUUUUUGGACACUCCACAAAGUCCAGCCAUGUUAUGGUCUCUGGCUUCAACUUGAACCAUAGCCCAUAGGGCACAAACAAUAUAUUAAUGAUAAAUACAUCAAUUAUAGGAAAAGGGUCUAAUUUAAAGACUAUUUCAGUUAAAAACUCUAUAUAAAAAAAGAUUAUUUCAUUCAUAUCUUGCUAUUUAAUUUUGAUCAAUUUUUUAAUUCAAAAAAUAAUAUUCUCUUAUAUAUGAAAAAAGACUAGAUUUAAUCGUCAUUAAUUGGAAUGGUUGUUGUGUGAUCUAUUUCUAAUUGUAUUCAAACAUGAAUAUUAUUUUCUUUAACAUAUAAAAAUUAAUUGAUGAUAUAAAAAGAAGUGUGAAAAAGAAUAUUAAUUUUUUUCUAAAAAAAAUUAGUAGUAUAUUUUGUAUUUUUUUACACGUCAUCAACUUAAAUAAUAGGAGAAACAUAAUUUUAAUUUCCAUUUUAAUUUUUAAAUAAUUUUAAUUGCCAGAUUUAAGCAAUCAUAAAAUUUCUCAUGUUCAAUAUAAUAUUCUCAAAAAAAAAUAUUCAUAUGAUAAAUUAAAUAAUCUACUAAGAAAUAUGAUUUAUUCUUAUGUAGAUCGAAUACUAAAAUAAGAAAAAAAAAUAUUUUAGAUCACAAUAUAAAAUUGCUUAAAUCAAUGAAAUUUCAUUUUAAGAAAAUAUUAAUAAUUUUUAUAAUACUUUAAAUCAAAGGUAAUUAAAUUUGGUUUAAUUAGUCUUCAAAUUUUAACUAUUAUUUAAAUCAAUCCUUUCAUUACACAAAGUACAUGAUAGCUUAACAAGCAAGGAGGUGCAAGCAGUAACACUCUCACAAAGAUAAAGAUCUUUAAGCCAUAUUUUUUUUCCUUUUCUUUUCUAUGAACUGUCAUUUCUUAUCUCUACAUGGAAUGUCUAGAAGUUGAAAACUUGAGCUUUCUUUAACUAUACUGCUUUCCAUUUUGGCGAACUGCUUUUCUUUCUCAUAAUGAACUUUCCACUUCCAAUGAUGGUUCAACAUUAAUAAUUCUUUAUCUAUUUUGUCUAAAAAUUUUCAAUCACUUUUUGUGAGUGGUGUGAAUGUCAUGCAGACAAAUGAUGUCCAAGCUCCACUUUUUCCAUUCAUUGAAAGUUGUAAGCAGAAUGUAGAAUGUACGUAUAAUAAAAUAAUGAGAAUGCCAACUACUAGUACGUAGUACUUAAUUAAAACAAAAGUAUCAAAAUUAGAACCAAAAUAACUUUGAUGCUGUUAAUACAUGAGUUUAAUUUUGAUACACAGUGUAAAAAUUUAAAUUGUUAAUUAAUUAGAAAUCACCUAAUGAUUUGUAAAACAAUUACUAAAAAAAGUUUCAUUUGAAACUUAGUCUUCCACCCGUCUCAAGCUCUCCACAUGAACACUAAGCUCUAGACAAAAAUAAAUAAAUAAAUAAAUAACCACGAGAAAUAAUAUAUAACUCUUUAGUGGACAAUUGGUGUUCUUUUGUGCAUUCAGUUGAAGGAAGUUCCCAGAAUUGUAGAAAGCAAGGGACAGAUGAAACGGCCACAGCUAAGAAUAGUGCAUCUUAUAUCGGGAAGAGAUUGUUAGAAAGUUUGGUUGCAGUUGCAGGGCUUCUAAUUUGGCUUUCAUGAGCUUAACUCAAAUAUUGCCUAUAUAUAUAUAUUACCAAUUUGGCUUAACUCUAAUUUGGCUUUCACAAAAUAAUAUUCUCUUAUAUAUGAAAACAAAGACUAAAUUUAAUUGUCAUCAAUUGAAAAGGUUGUUUGUGUCAUCUAUUUCUAAUUGUAUUCAAACCUAAAUAUGAUUUUCUUUAUUAUAUAAAAAUUAAUUAUUGAUAUAAAAAGAAGUGGUGAAAAAGAAUUUAACUUUUUUCUAUAAAAAAUAGUAUCAUAUUUUGUAUUUUUUAUAAGUUAUCAACUUAAAUAAUAGGAGAAACCUAAUUUUUAUUUUCAUUUUACUUUUUAAAUAAUUGUAAAUGUCAAAUUUAAAAAAUCAUAAAAAUACUCACGUUCAAUAUAAUAUUCUAAAAAAUAUAUUUAUUCGUAAAUAAUCUUCUACAAAGAAAUAUAUUUUAUUCUUGUCUCAAAUACUAAAAUAAGAAACAUUUUAUUUUAAUUUACAGUAUAGGAUUUCUUAAAUCAAUGAAAUUUUUAUUUUAAGAAAAUAUUAAUAAUUUUUUUAAAACUUUGAGUAGUUUACAGCAAAGGUAAUUAAAUUCGACUUAAUUAGUCUUAAAAUUUUAACUAUUAUUUAAAUCAAUUAAUCCUUUCGUUAAACCUGUACGUGUUAAGUAAAUAACAAAAUGUCUUGUCUUAUAAAAUUCAAAUAUUCUAUUACUUGCAGUUUGAACCCAUAAUUAAUUUUAAAAUAUCUAUUUUUUAUUAUUCCAAAUAAAAGAAAUGAAAACAAAAUUGUUUAGUCUCCUAGACAAACCACUUCCCACUCCACCAAAUUCAUAUCAAGGACCCCACUUUUUCCACUUGAACCAUAGACUACUCCAUCAAGUCCAAGUCAAUGUCCUUCAUUUUUUCAUCUUGAACCUUAGGACACUCCACAAAGUCCAGCCAACCAUAUUUAGGUCUCUAUCUUCUUCAACAUGAACCAUAGGUCACACAUUACCUUCAUAUCAAGUUCCUUAUCAUUGACAACAAAUGUUUAGAAUUAAGUAAGCAAGGAAAAAAAUUAUAAAUGAUGAAUACAUCAAUUAUAGGAAAAUGAUCUAAUUUAAAGACUAUUUCGGUUAAAAAAUCUAUAUAAAAAAAGACUCUUUCGUUUCAAUCUAACUAUUUAAUUUUGAUCUAUUUUUUAAUUUACAAAAUAAUAUUCUUCUUAUAUGUGAAAAAAAAACUAAUUUUCAUUGUCAUUAAUCGGAAAGAUGGUUGUGUCGUCUAUUUCUAAUUGUAUUUUAGCCUGAAUAUUAUAUUCUUUUUCAUUAAUAAUUAAUUAGUAAGAUACAAAGAAGUGUAAAAUGCUUGUUUAACUUGGUCUACCAUAAUUAUUGAGAUCAUAACUUUUUUCUUUUAUAAGUCUUGGUCCAAAUUUCUCCAUAUAUUGUAGAUCAUAUUUAGCUUAAAAAGUAAAUUAGAGGAUAUGAUAUACCAAGAAGUGUGGCAUGUUUUUUUAAAUUAUUUAUCUAUGGCCUUAGCUAUUUUAUUGUUAGACCACAAGUCUUCAUAUAUUAAAGUCUUUGUCUGAAUUUCAUUUACUUGUGUGGUGAUAUUUUAAGAAUAGUGAUAGAAGAGAAAAAUAAAUAUAUAAUUUAUUGAAAUAUCUAACUUAUGAAGAUUUGCAUUCUUAAUGCAUAAGCUUUUCAGUUUAUAUAUUAUCAUUAUUUGGAAAUAUUUGUUGUGUUAAUUGUCUAUUUCUAAUUAAUUUGAAAAUGAAUCUUAAUUUUUUAUCAUAAAAAUUAGUAUCAUAUUUUUUAUUUUCUUUACAAGUUAUCAACUUAAAUACUAAUAGGAGCAACAUAAUUUUAAUUUCCAUUUUACUUUUUAAAUAAUUUUAAGUGCCAAAUUUAAGCAAUCAUAAAAAUACUCACGUUCAAUAAAAUAUUUUUAAAAAAUAAUUCAUGAGAUCACUUAAAUAAUCUACAAAGAAAUAUAAUUUAUUCUUGUGCCAAAUAAACAACAAAAAAAGUCUUGCAUUAUUAAAUUCAAGUCUUCUAUUACAUGCAAUUUGAACCUAUAACUAAUUUUAAAUGAUCAAAUUUUUAUUAUUCAAAAUAAAAGAAAAGAAAAAAAAUUGUCUUCUAGACAAACCACAGACAACUCCACCAAAUCCAUAUCAAGGUCCCCACUUUUUCAACUUGAACCAUAGGCCACUCCAUCAAAUCUAUGCCAAAGUUUCUUAUCAUUGACAACAAAUGUUGAGAGUUAAGUCAAGCAUGAAAAAAAAUAGGGUAAAAUAUAUAAUUUCUAUCCGUAUAAAAUUUUAAUGUGCUACUUUUUUUUUUUAUCCUGAGUUAAGUUUGGAUGAUAGAUAAUUAUCAUGUAUUCUUAGAUUUUGGUGUCAUUUUAGGAUAUUUAUGUGAUAUAUGUCUUUUAUGCUUUUUUAUUGUCAUGAACUAAUCUUCUCUUUUGUUGGAGUUGAAUAUAAUUGGUUCAUUUUUCAUGUAAUGACUAUUUUUUUUUAUUGAAUAAAGCAUUCUAAUUGUUUCUCUUCUAUGUUUAAUAUGUGUUUUUGGCUUAAUCACCUGUUUGUAUGAUUUUUUUUAUUCAAUUGUAAUUAAAAAAAUUCUUUGAACUACGAAUUGCAAAAAACACCUAAUAAUUUUUAUGUCUAGGAAUAAGAUAAAAAGAAUUGAGCAUCAAUAAACACUUUAUCUUAAUGAAAAUCAUUUAGUUAUAUUAUUUUAAGAGAUUGAUAGUGUUAUCAAGGGAUUUUGGUCUCUUCACUAGGAAUUAAAGUGAAGAUAAUAUGAUGGGUUUAUGAUAAUAUAACCUUUAUUAAAUAUGAAUGUGUAGUUAUUNNNNNNNNNNNNNNNNNNNNNNNNNNNNNNNNNNNNNNNNNNNNNNNNNNNNNNNNNNNNNNNNNNNNNNNNNNNNNNNNNNNNNNNNNNNNNNNNNNNNUAGUGCACAGUUAGUAGAAGACAAUAGUGCGUCAUAAAUACAAAACAGAAUUUGAUACUAAGUCUGAAGCUCGUCUAGUUCUCUUAACAUUAAGAACAUUUAUUACCAAUGAAAGCAAAACAAACAGACACCCCAUAUGAACAUGUACAUAGUAUGGUAAACCUUUUCACAUUUUUAAUGGCUAGACUAACACGUUGUAAUGUCUCUCACUCCUAACAGUUAACAUGUAAACUCACAAUUUCCCAAGUAACCUUCUUACCUUCAAAACUAUUAUCACAUAAAUCAGAUCUCUCAAGUGGUCAAGAUAAUGAAAAUAAGCACGCCUCCAAGUUCUGUUGAAGAAAACAACACUGCAAAACCCCCAAAAUCCUGCUGCAAAUCCAACUCCCAUACCCAUAUAAAACUCUGAUGUUCCAAAGAAAUUACCAUCACCGUGUCAAACAGAAGCAGUCUCUGUCAACUCUUCCUUGUCUGUGCAAUUUUUUGUUACAGGAGGACCACAAAGCUCAGGAUUUCCAGUGUAGCUAAGUUCUUCAAAGCUCUGAAGUUGGGUGCUCGUGGGAAUUCUGCCUGAUAAGUUGUUGUAUGAUAGAUUCAGGACACUGAGGAAGGACAAAUCAGAUAAACUUUGAGGGAUUUGACCUGAAAUGUUGUUUAGUGAGAGAUCAAGGGAUUCUAACAAUUUCAUUUUUCCCAUGUCAUUUGGUAUCCCUCCAGACAGAUGAUUUCUAGACAAGUUCAAAAACCGCAAAGCAGAUAGCUUGGAAAUUUCAGAUGGAAUUGCUCCAGACAGCUUAUUACUUGAAAGAUCAAUCAUUCUCACCAAUAUCAAAUUGUCUCUGUACUCUAACUCAUCUCCUUUGGGAACUAAGACAAGAGUUUCCUUGUAGUGGUUAUAACUGAAGUCAGAGCCAUAUGAAUAACUUGAAGGGUUUGCAAAGAAGUCAUCUUCACCAGCCAUUGUUUUCAUGUCAUCCAAACAAUUUGGAAUGGAUCCUGACAGGCUGUUAUUGCCAAGAUCCAGCACUAUAAGGGAAGAAAGUUGACAAAUCUUUUCAGUAAUGCUGCCAUUGAAAUUGUUGGAUCUUAGACGAAGAACCAUUAGAUAUUGCAUUUCCCACAUCCAAUCUGGUAUUGCGUCAGAAAGUUGGUUAUUGCCCAUGUCAAUGAAUUUCAUUGUAGAGCAAUUUUGCAGUGUUGAAGGAAUAUAUCCAGAGAAGCGGUUGUCGUCUAACAACAAAGACUCAAGUUGAGAUAGAUACCCCAUGGAGUUUGGAAUAACACCAGACAAAUUGUUACUACCCAAGUUCAAAUGCACCAAUGCUUGCCAAUGCACCCAACAGUGACCAAGAUCACCAUAUAAUACAUUAUUUGAAAAAUCAAGCACACUUAACUUAUUAGUAGCAUUUUCCUUUCCACAUAAAAAGGGAGAAAUUGUUCCGGAAAUUGAGUUAUUGGCAACAUUCAGCACUUCAACAUUUGCAGACACACUUGGCAAUGUACCCUUGAACAAAUUAGAACUCAAAUUUAUGACGCUGCAAUUGAGAAAGAUGUUAGAUAGGUCUCCACUUAACAGAUUGUUUGACAGAUCCAGGAAUUCAAUUUGCGAAGUCCAAUUCCAAAACCAACUUGGAACCAAGUCUGCGAUACCUGCCUUAGACAUUGUCAAAACCUUCACAGAACUUUGCCUUUUUAGCCAUUCUGGAAACUUAGGACCUAUUCCAAAGGAGCUCAGUAAAACAUAUUCAAGCUGAAAAGGAGGAACCCAUCCUGAGUUGACACUGAGGAACAAGUUUGUCCAAGACAAACGUAGUUCCUUUAAUUUCAAAAGUUUUACAAAAUUUGACUCUUUUAUAGAUCCUUCUAACAAAUUAGAUGAAAGGUCUAACAUUACUAAAUUUGAGAGAGUUCCAAGAGUUACAGGCAUAUCACCAGUCAAAGAAUUAGUUCCAAGAUUUAAUACCUGCAGGUUUCUGAGGAACUCAAAACUCUUAGGAAUGGUUCCAUUCAGUCGGUUGUGAGCCAGGUUUAAAGUUCUCAAGGAUGACAAGUUUGCAAAUGGUGAGGGAAUUGGACAAGUAAAGGUAUUAUUACUGAGAUUUAGAACUUCAAGAUGCUUAAGCUGGCCUAAUGAAUCUGGAAGUGGCCCACUGAGCUGGUUGUUCUGCAGGUCUAGAUUUUUUAUGUUCUGAAGGCUUGAUAUUAUUUGUGGAAUUUGUCCCUGUAAAAGGUUACUGUGUAAAUCAAGUUGGACAAGAGUUGUGCUGAGAUUAAAUAGCCAUGAAGGGAUUUGCUGAUUGAGAUUGUUAAUUGAAAGAUCAAGGACUUGGAGAUGUGUGAAGUUGGCUUUUCGUUUUGGUGGUCCUAAGUUAUCAAUUUGACAGCUCUCCAAGUGUAGUUCUGAAAGAGAUGGAAGUGCACUCAGUACUUGAAGCCAGUUACCUUUUUUAUGAAGGUCUGAACCACUCAAAUCAAGGUACUCGAAGGAAGAUAGCCUUGAUAUCCAAUUAAGGUUAUCUAUCUGAAGAGCAUAAUUGUAUCCAAGAUUAAGGUGCUGCAGGUUUGAGAGGUUUCCUAGUUGAUGAGGGAUUAAUCCCAUGAACCCACUUAAGCUAAGGUCCAAGUAUCUCAGACUCUCCAAUGAGCCUAGGAAGCUUGGUAUUGGAGUAAGAACAAAAUAAUUUGAACUCAAGUCCAAACGAUUCAAAUAUUUUAGUUCAAGCAAAGAAGGACUAAUCUCUCCACUCAACUCCCUAUAGGGAGAGCCCGCAGGUGUGUCAAGAUUGAUUUCCAUGACUUUACCUGUGUUGUUGCAGUGAACCCCUGGCCAUGUACAGCAAUCCGAUUUGUCAGACCACGAUGAAAGCCUGUUUGAAGGUUCUGCUAGUCCAUGCUUGAAGCUGAGGAGUGCAUUCCUUUCCUUCUCGCUGCAAGUCAUAUUGAGCCUUGCUGCCUUGCUUGCACUGAAGUGGAGAGUUGUAGCAGUGGACAAUAUCAAGAGAAGAACAUGAGUUGCAAAUAGCACUGCCAUGAAGAAGAAGGAAGACGAAAAAGGUUGAAUCCACAAUUUGAUGUUCACGGUUGGUAUUUACUACUAACAAUGCCUAUAUAGGAUAUAUACCAUAGAAGGGUUUGCAUUUAAAAUUUUAUUCCACUAAUGGUGGUGGUUGCAAAAUGCACACAUAUGUAGAGGUAUAUAUGUCUACAAGGAGACAUUCAGGAUUAAAAGUGUCUAACCACAUGUUAGGAACCAAGCUUGAGAACGUGAACCACCUAGUUUCGAGGGCUAGGAACCUCCAUAGAAGAAGAGGAAGAGAGAGACUAAGGGAGAACUUGCUGUUAUAUUUUCUGAUAUCAAAAGCGCUUAAUUCAUCUACAUAUAUAGCUGUUAUGCAGGGAACAAGGCCCCACAAGCAAAACAGAAAAGAUAAAAUGGAAUAUCCUAACAACCAUAUUCCCUUAUUCCACUACCUACAUAUCUUCUAGAAAGCACGAUGAUAUCUUCCUUCACGAUUAUACCAGCUGCAUGGGUCUCAUGCUUUUUGCUUCCUGCAACCCCUUUACUCCCUGCAGUCCCGUAUUACUAUCCCUAUCACCACACCACCAUUAUUUUGCUCUAGUUUAUUUUAUUUUGAUUUAAUUACCCUUUUAGUUCUUAUAAUUGUGAUAAUUUUUUUUAGUCUCUAUAGUUUAAGACAUUCAUUUUGAUUCUUAUAUUUACAAUUUUUUUUAUCUUUUGGUCCUCGCGGUGAAGAUUCAACUCACACAUAAACAUGAACAAAAUUAAUAAAAAUAGGGAAGCAAGCUCAGGUACAAAUGAAGUGUAAUGGAGGUAUGAGACAAAGCCACUACACAUUCCAUUAUUCUUGAGUUUGCCAAUUGCCAUGAUGUAAUCUCCAUCUUGACAGUCUCUCAUCAAGUUGGAGUGGUAUCACAGCAUUGAACUAAGUUGAUCGUUCCAAUGGGAUGAUGGUUUUGAUUGCUGCAGAUAAAGUGUGUGAUUGUGAGUUUCUGGUCCCAUGAGUUAAACUAUAAGGAUUAAAAAAAAUAUUGUCAUAACUUUAAGGGCCAAAAGGAUAAUUAAACCUUUUAUUUUUUUUAACAACGGGUUAUAUAUAUGUAGCAGUUUAUUCUAAACAAUGGAAUACGUGUGAAAUCUUUGAAUUCUAUGUAAGAAAUGUUAUUUCAAACUUCUCAUCAGUCUUCAUGCCAAUGAUGACAUGCUCCAUUUGAAUUCUAUGUCUAAUUAAGCUCUCGGUCUUCCGUUUUUGCAACUUUAUUUCGUAGAAAGCAGCCAAAUUUGAAGAUACAACAUUUGAUACUAUAACUGUUUGGUGUUUUGAAAAUCUCACUCACAUAUUUCCAAAUGUUACAAAAGAAUUUGAUUAAGUGGUUUUUACGAAUUCCUUCCUAGCCUUUUUUACCAAGUCAGGGAAUUUGCAUUGUUGUGCAUGAUGGCUGCCACAAGGACCAUUGUACCAACCCAUUAGUGCAAGUGGUUUUUUCUUAUGAGAAUUGAGAAACAAAUUAUAUAUGUGUUUUAUAAAGGGAAUUCUAUUAUUUUUAAUUUUGAACUUGUAAUGUUUUUGGUUUCCCUCACAGAACAAGUGAUGUGAUUCUUGAUCGACGCCAUACGUACGCCUACUUUGAUGCUCUUUUUUCACACCACUUUUAUCUUAAUGGUAUCUCAAGUUGACAAUCAUAAAUUAAAAUAGCUAACUAUAGUUGAUUAGUAGAGACAAACAGCUCAAAGAUAAAGAUCUUUAAGCCAUCAUUUUUUUUUCCUUUUUCUUUUCUUAUCUCUACAUGGAAUGUCUAGAAGUUGAAAAUUACUUGAGCUUUCUUUACCUAUACUGCUUUCCAUUUUGGCGAACUGCUUUUCUUUCUCAUAAUGAACUUUCCACUUCCAAUGAUGGUUGAACAUUAAUAAUUCUUCAUCUAUUUUGUCUAAAAAUUUCCACUCACUUUUUGUGAGUGGUGUGAAUGUCAUGCAGACAAAUGAUGUCCAAGCUCCACUUUUUCCAUUCAUUGCAAGUUGUAAGCAGAAUGUAGAAUGUACGUAUAAUAAAAUAAUGAGAAUGGCAACUGCUAGUACUACUUAAUUAGAACCAAAGUAUCAAAAUUAAAACGAAAAUAACUUUGAUGCUGUUAAUAUAUGAGUUUAAUUUUGAUAGAUAGUGUAAAAAUUUAAAUUGUUAAUUAAUUAGAAUCACCAAAUGAUUUAUAAACAUUAGUAAAAAGUUAUAGGAAAUAUAUGUCAUUAGAGUUAAAUUGCUUUUGGGGAAGAACCUAUCUCUUGAAUUCCCUCUUCACCAGAAGCAGUUUUAUUGUGUCUUUAUCGAAGUCAUCUUCUCCAGAGACUUGCCUUAAACUUUGAAGAUAGGAAUUCAUCACGGGUGUGAAUGUUAGUUUUCACAUUCUCAUUAGAGUUAAGUUGCUUUUGGGGAAAAACCAAUGUCUUGAAAUUCCCUCUUCACCAGAAGCAGUUUAACUUUGAAGAUAGGAAAUAGAUCAGUCAAACAUUGUUUCAGUUUAUUUGGAUUUUUUUUGAAGGACAUGUGAUUUACAAAGACUUCUUACAACUCACAACCUUUGGAAUUUCUCUAUGCCUGGUUAACCCACAAUUUCGGCGCCUGUUGCGGUUAGGAACAUAGGCUAGCAAAAACACUAAUCAUUUCAAGAGAAAUGUUAACACACUUUUCUAAUAUAUUAUUUUUUUAUUUUAAAAUUUAUUAAAAUAAAAAAAUUAUAUGUUUAUCCAUGAACACUAAGCUCUAGACAAAAAAAAAAAAAAAACCACGAGAAAUAGUAUAUAACUCUUUAGUGGACAAUUGGUGUUGUACAAAAUUGAAAUGAUCCAGACUAAGUCAAGAAACUGGUCUUCUUCAUUGAACUCACAGUGAAACCACAGAAUUUAUUUUCAUCUACUAGUUUCCUUCCCAAUUCCGAUGUUUUCUAAAACAUAACACACUACAGAACCUUCUAAUAAAUUAAAACAAAAAAACCAAUAUUUUACAUGUAGCACCACAACCUAACAAUUUCUACCUACAACUUUUUCUAUAGACUAUAAUAUAAUCUAUCUCCACUCAUUCAUUCAUCAAGAUUGAGAAAUGGAUUCAAAUGCUUGUCUACCACACUUGCUAGUGUUAGCAAUAACAUUGGUAUUGGUUAGUCAUGCAAUGGGAGAUUCAGCUCAAGACAAACAGAGAUGUGCAGAAUCCCUGACAGGUGUUGCAACGUGUCUGCCAUAUUUGGGUGCUGACACGAAAGCACCCACAGCAGAUUGUUGCAGUCGUCUCACACAAGCCAUGAAGACCAACAAGAAGUGUGUCUGCCUUAUUCUCAAAGACAGGGAUGAUCCUGACCUUGGCUUAAAGAUUAACAUGACAAUUUCUGUUGGUCUCCCUUCUCUUUGCAAAACACCUGAUAAUCUCUCACAGUGUUCUGGUACGUUCAAUUUCUAAUUAAGCCUUCCUUUUUCUUAAAGAACACUACACUACAGUGUUAUGUUUCCAUUUCCUAUGCAAUAAAUGAUCUAUCAGUCUUGUUAGUUGUCAUAUAACAACUAAUGUUUUUACAUUCAGUUGAAGGAAGUUCCUAGAAGGGACAGAUGAAUCUUAUAUCGGGAAGAGAUUGUUAGAAAGUUUGGUUGCAGUUGCAGGGCUUCUAAUUUGGCUUUCAUGAGCUUAACUCAAAUACUACCUAUAUAUUACCAUUUUCAUAUCAUGUUGAAAUGUAAACCAUUGAUUAGUUGAUAGUGUAAAAAAUAUUUACACUCUUGAGUGUACUAAAUCUCUGACAGACUCACAAUAGAUAUUAUUGCAAAACCUUUUGGAGAUUUAUUUUUUGUUUUUAAUACUAACCUAGAGUCUACAGAUCAAAGUUAAUUAAUUGCUGAAAAUUAUGUUCAUUCUCAUUCUUGGCGCUGUUAGUCCAGUGUGAAAACGGACAAAUUCAGUUUCAUGUUAUAUAUGGCUCUGUAUAUGAAAAGGAAAUUAAAGAAAAAGUAGAAUUUGAUUAUGGCUAAUUUCACCCAUUAUAUUUAUUACAAGAAAACCUUUAGAUAAAAAUUAUUUUUUGGUACUUUUAGCUUGGUCGUAAACAUUAACAUUACAUCACGCACACAAACAUAAAAGGCAAACCAAAUUAUUUUACAUCCCUAAAUUUUAUGAGGAAGGAUGCUAUAAAUAUUAACAAUACAUCUCACACACACAAAGACAACUAAAAUUAUAUCACUAAAUUGAGGUGGGGAUAGUUUUGAAAAAAAAAAUAGUAGGUGUGGUUGUGUAGGUGUGUUUUUAUGUUUUUCAAUUCAGGAUAUUAAAUUUACAAAUAAUUUUAUGCUUUUCAAUUAUAUUUUAACAAUAAUUAAGAAAUAAAUCUAAAUCAUUCUACAUUUGUUUAUAGGUACUUGGCAUAUUGGAGAUGCUAUAUGGGAAUCUAAAUUUUGCUUAACACAAAUGUGGUAUAUGCAAGGAAAAAUCAAAUUGAAAAUUUUUUAACCACCACUUCAAAUUUUAAAAGAUUCGUUUCAAUAUAAGGAUAUGAAGACAAAAUUGUUUUUACAGAACAUUCCCUCCAUGAUGUUUUCCUUUCCUUUAGGUGAAAAAAAUAGACAUUUCCAAAAAUAAUGGAAGUGAACCUUAUAUAAUGCUGUUUAUAUAGAGAAGUCUUUCAAAAUACAAUUUAAAGUACUAUUACUGCAAACUAAUCAAGUCUCUCAAAUUUUGCGUCGUCUUGUGGCAGAACACAUUGUCUCUCAAAUUUGAGCAACUGAUCAAGUCCUACUUUUGAAGCCUCCAUACCUGGCCAUACAUAGUUGGAGUCCCCACACCAUAAAUUUCAACAAUAAUUUGGCAACUUGGCAUUUAAGAGGAGGGUAAUUCUGCAAAUGGUCUUUCAUAUUCAGGAUACAAUAGAUUGUAGUUUUCAAUGAUUCACGUGAAAUGUUCACAAUGUAAUGUUUUCAAUGUUUUAUAGGUCUUAAAUACCAAUAGCAGACAAGAUCAUGCUUAUGCUUUUUUGCUAUCGUGCUCCUGUUCCUUGCCACUGGUCUUGAUGAAGCCAAGCAUUGUCUCUUUGCCUUUUAAGUUGUACAUAGUUGCAAAACAGGUACAUGUGAAAGAAUAAUGCUUAUUAAAGGUAAGGUUGAUUUUAAAGUGGGCAUGCAAGAAUGCAUUCAUUAUCUCAAGUAAAUAAAUUCAAGCGAAUAUGUGAUUUGGAUUAGAGAAUAGUAUUAUCCAGUGCACACUAAAUUGGAGAGAUUCCCAACAUGUGGUUUCAAAACUAAAAGAACUUACCAACUAUUUGAAUUUUAAUCUACGUGAUCUAGCUAAUGUUUUCUAUCAGAGAAUUACAACUAGUUGAUCUUAAGUACAAAACUAUACUAAAUAUGCAAAUCUUUACAUCUAAAAACAGAAUUUAAAUAAGGCUCUCAAAUUUGAAGAAAAAAAAGAAGAUAGCAAUGACUACAAAUUGAUCAACCUGCCAAUACAAUGAUAAAACAUCGGUGUAUUCUAAGCAACACUAAACAGUGAUACUACCUGAGCGAAAAGAUUGAAGUUUGAACCACACAUUAUCAAGGAAAUGAAAAUAGGCAUACCGCCAUGAUCUACAAAUCAGCAAAGGAGCAAUCACUAUCCAGAAUCCCACAAUAAAUCCAAUUGUCAUACUGACAAAAAACCAAUUCACUCCAUGCCCAUCACUUCCUUCAUAACUAUGGGUGUUCCCAUUGGAGCUGCAGUUUAUGGGCAGUGGUGGACCACAUAGAUUGUUGCCGAUGAAGCUGGAGGCAUCAAAGGUUUGCAAUUGAGUUCCUGUUGGAAUAUUUCCCUUCAAAUGAUUGUAAGACAAGUCUAGCAUGCUCAAAAAGCUCAAAUUUGCAAUGCUUGGAGGGAUUUCACCAAAAAGUUGAUUCCUCGAAAAAUCAAUGGACUGUAAUGAUCUCAUAUUACCUAUACCUUGUGGAAUAUGACCAAUCAAUUGGUUGUGGGACAUGUUUAAAAAAUUCAAUCCAUUUAGAUAUGUGAUUUCUCUUGGUAUUUCCCCUAAUAACUUGUUACUUGACAGAUCAAUGCUUGUUACCAAACCCAGAAAGUUUCUGUACUCAUCUCCUCUUCCUUUCAGCCAUAGUAGCACACUAACUAUACCUGAUACCGAAGAGAAUUGUUUAUUAUCUGGUGCCGUAGAAUAGAUACGGGGAUCUGUACUCCGGUUCACUAGUGUCAUGGCACUCAAGUUACGGAAACAGCUGGGUAUAUUGCCAGACAAAUUAUUUUUUGCAAGGUCUAAAACCUGAAGAAGAAUCAUCUGACAUAUUUCAUUUGGAAUGUGACCGGAAAAACUGUUUGAUCGAAGGCGGAGGAUUUUCAUAUUUGAGAGCUUUUCUCCAACCCACGGUGGAAUAGUUCCUGAAAGAUUAUUUUCUCCAAGAUCCAAGGAUCAAUUGGCUAGUCUUCUUCAAACUGGUAGGAAAUAUUCCUGAGAGUGUGUUGUUACGAAUUUGUAAAGACUGCAAGUCUGCCAAGGAACCCAUGGAUUGGGGUAAGUUCCCAACAAAAUGGUUGCUUUGUAAUUUCACAUCCACAAGAAAUGUCCAAUUCAUCCAGCAAUCAGGUAUUUCUCCUGACAAAUUAUUUGAUGCAAGAUUCAUAAAUUCUAAUUUCAUUGGCUUGUCCUGAUCGUUACAUAAAAAAUCAUUCAUGGAUUCAGAGAAUGAAUUGCUUGAAAGAUCUAACCGAAGCAUAUAACUUGAAAGAUAGGGUAAUUUACCACAUAAGUGAUUUGUGCUUAGAUCAACAGUUUGCAUAGAUAUUGGAUUUUUUAAUGUAGUCACAAGCUCACCAUGGAUAUGAUUAUGAGAGAGGUUUAAAUACAUAACCUGAGAAAGUGCUUCCCACAUCUGUGUUGGAAUAGAAUCUAAAAUCCCCGUGUUAGACAGUCCAACAUAUUGAAGUUUGUUUUGUGACAGAAUCCACGAUGGAAAGUUGGGACCUAUCUGCCAUGAUGUCACAUCCAAAUAGAUAAGUUGAAAAUUAGGAAUCCAAUUAGGACCCACUUUUAAAGUGAAAUUGUUCCCUGAUGCAUCAAACUCCUUCAAACUUGUAAGAUUUGCAAGAUCAUCUUCGUUGACAACUCCUUGAAAAUUAUUGCCAUCAAUAAGAAGCGUUGACAAUUUAGAGAGUGAUCCAAGACUUUCAAAUGGAUUUCCGCUGAAUUUAUUAAUAGAGAGAUAGAGAUAUUUUAAAUCUAUCUCCCUUAAGUUGCGGAGAUUACCCAAAAAAGUCGGAAUUGUUCCUUCAAGUUGAUUACGUGAUAAAUCAAGUUCAACAAGAGAAGUCAAAUUUCCCAAAGAAGUUGGAAUGGUUCCUUCAAGUUGAUUAGAUGACAAAUGAAGUUCGACAAGAGAAGUCAAAUUUCCCAGGGCAUCAGAAAUAGUCCCAUGCAAGUUGUUGAGCCUUAGGUCCAGGAACUUGAGUCGAUGAAGACCGUAUAAGCAAUUAGGUAUAGAAGAUGAAAAUGAAUUUUCAGACAAGUCAAGAUUUUGAAGAAGUGAGAGGUUUCGAAUACCACCAGGAAUCGGACCUUGGAUUUCAUUACCCUGUAAUUGAAGAGAAACAAGUUUCUUCAAUUUGAAUAUCCACUUGGGGACAAAAGAAAUGGCAGGGGAAUAACUGGUAUUGUAAAGAUGGAGAGUUUGCAGAGAUGAGAAGUUGAGCAAGGAUGGUUCAUUAUAGUGAGGGAGUGUGCAUUCUGAAAAAUAUAGGUGGGUCAAAGAAGGAAGAGAUUGGAGAGUGUGUAGCCAAUGAAAUGCUUUGGAUAGGUUUGCAUUACUCAGAUAAAGAUAUUCAAGCUUCCACAUACUUGAUACCCAUUCUACAUUUUCAACAAACAGAGGUUCAAGACUAGAAUGACCUCCAAGGCCGAGAUAGAGCAAAUUGGAGAGAUUCCCAAUCUGAGAUGGAAUCUUCCCCAUGAAUCCAGUAUAAGAGAGGUCGAGCUGAGUCAAGGAGCUCAUUGUCCCAAGGAAAGAAGGAAUUGCCAUACCUUCUCCAAGGAAAUAAUUGUCGCUCAAGUCAAGAUAUCGAAGCUUAGAGAGAUUCCCGAUCUGAGAGGGUACUCUUCCGUUGGCAACUUCUCUCAGGUCAAGAUACACCAAAUUUGAGAGAUUCCCAAUCUGAGGAGGAAUCUUCCCAUAGAAUCCACUAUCAGAGAGGUCGAGGUGAGUCAAGGAAGUCAUUGUCCCAAGGAAAGAAGGAAUUGCCGUACCAAGGAAUUCAUUGGCGCUCAAGUCCAAGUAAUUCAGAUGCUUUAAAUCAGCCAAACAAGGACUUAUCUCUCCACCAAAGCUCCAUCUUCUAUAAGCUUCCCAAUUGUAGUCAUCAUAGAAAGCAGAAUCAUAAGUGUGGAGGUGAAGCUGAAGAACAUGGGAAGUAAGGUUGUGGCAGAGGACUCCAUACCAGUGGCAACAGUUGGUAUUAUUAUGAUUCCAAGACCAAAGCUUAUUUGAAGGAUCUAUGAGAUUAUUCUUAAACUUCAAAAGUGUCUCACGCUCACUUGGGAUGCACACACUCUCUCUGCAUGGUAAGCUGAACAACCAAAGCUGGACAAAGACAAGAAUAUAAAUGGAGGAGGAAUUCAUGAUCACACAAGGAUAUAUGAAACAGCUUAAUUGUAUAAGUGCUUCUUGCUCCUGCAUAUUAAACUUACUUCUUUCUAUUAUUUAUACUGCUGCCCUGCCUGUUUAAAAAAAUUAUUCUAUUUCAUGAUAUCCCAACCCAUAAUUAAUAUUAAAUUAUUAAAUUUUUAAUAUUCAAACUAAAAAUAAUGUAAAAGAAAAUUGUCUUCUAAUUACCAUAGCCCACACCAUCAGGUCCAUCUCAAGGUUUUCCAUAUUUUCAUCUUGAACCUUUGAACACUCCACAAAGUCCAGCCAUGUUAUGGUCUGACUUCUUCAACUUUAACCAUAGGUCACAACAUUACCUUCAUAUCAAGUUCCCUGUCAGACAACAAAUGUUGCCAGUUAAGUUAAGCAAGGAAAAAAAAUAUAAUUGAUGAAUACAUCAAUUAUAGGAAAAGGGUGUACUUUAAAAACUAUUUCUAUUAAAAAAUCUAUAAAAAAAUUAUUUCGUUCCAUUCUAAUUAUUUAAUUUUAAUCAAUUUUUCAGUUCACAAAAUAAUAUUCUCUUAUAUAGGAAGAAAAGACUAGAUUUAAUUAUCAUCAAUUGGAAAAGUUAUUGUGUCAUGUAUUUCUAAUUGUAUUUGAACUUGAAUAUUAUUUUAUUUAUCAUAUAAAAAUUAAUUAGUUAUAUAAAAAGAAGUAAAAAGAAUAUUAACUUUUUUUCUAAAAAAAAAAUCAGUAUCAUAUUUUAUAUUUUUUACAAGUUAUCAACUUAAAUAAGAGGAGAAACAUAAUUUUCAUUUUCAUUUAACUUUUUAAAUUGCCAAAUUUAAGCGAUCAUGAGAAUACUCACGUUCAAUAUAAUAUUCUCAAAAAAAAAAUCCAUAGGAUAACUUAAACAAUCUACAAAGAAAUAUAAUUUAUUCUUGUGUCAAAUACUAAAACAAGAAACAUUUUUUAUUUUAGUUUACCGUAUAGAAUUACUUAAAUCAAUGAAAUUUUUAUUUUAAGAAAAUAUUAAUGAUUUUUUUAAACUUUAAGUAGUUUACAUCAAAGGUAAUUAAAUUUGGCUUAAUUAGUCUUCAAAUUUUAACUAUUAUUCAAAUCAAUCCUUUCGUUAAACCUUGUAUGUGUUAACUAAACAACAAAAAGUCUUGCCUUAUAAAAUUCAAGUAUUCUAUUACAUGCGGUUUGAACCCAUAAUUAAUUUUAAACUAUCAAAUUUUAAUUAUUCAAAAUAAAAGAAAUGAAAACAAAAUUGUCUCCCAAGCAAAUCGCCUGCCACUCCACCAAAUCCAUAUCAUAGUCCCCACUUUUUCAACUUGAACCAUAGACUACUCCAUCAAGUCAUGUCAAGGUCCUCCAUUUUUUCAUCUUGAACCUUAGGACACUCCACAAAGUCCACCCAUAUUAAGGUCUCUGACUUCUGCAACGCAUAUAUGGAAAACAACUUAAUUGUAUAAGUGCUUCUUGCUUCUGCAUAUAAAACUUCUAUUAUUUAUACUGCUGCAAGUGUCUUUCUUUUCUUUUUUCUUUUUUCUUUUUUUUAUGACGUUUCCUUUUUUUAAUUAUUGACUUUAUUACCCAAUUCUCCCGAGUUAAUUCUUAGAAUAGGAAAUAAUUUUGAAUUUACUUUAUCUAUCUCCCUUUUUAAAAUUCCUAUAUACACAAAAUUUUGUAUUGAAUUUAACUAUUAUUUAAUCAAUCCUUUCGUUAAACUUUUGUUAAUUAAACAAUAAAAGUCCAACAUUUUAUUAAAAAAAUUCAAGUCUUCUAUUUCAUGGACUUCAUCAAGUCUUUUAUUAAAAGUCCAACUUUUGUUAAUUCAAGUCUUUUACAAAAUUUUGUUAAUUCAACUUUUGUUAAUUAUUACAAAAUUUGGUAUUGAAUUUAACUAUUAUUUAAUUCAAGUCUUUUAUUAAAAGUCAAACUUUUGUUAAUUUAACUAUUAUUUUGUUAAUUAAACCAUAGCCGACUCCAUCAAGUCCAUCUCAAGAUCCUUUAUUUUUUUAUCAAGUCCAUCUCAAGAUCCUUUAUUUUUUUAUCUUGAACCUUUGGACAAUCCACAAAGUCCAGCCAUGUUAUGGUCUCAGGCUUCAACUUGAACCAUAGGCUGGGCCACAAACAAUAUAUUAAUGAUAAAUACAUCAAUUAUAGGAAAAGGGUCUAAUUUAAAGACUAUUUCAGUUUAAAAAUCUAUAUAAAAAAAUAUUAUUUCGUUCAUAUCUUGCUAUUUAAUUUUGAUCAAUUUUUUAAUUCACAAAAUAAUAUUCUCUUAUAUCUGAAAAAAGACUAGAUUUAAUCGUCAUUAAUUGGAAUGAUUGUUGUGUGAUCUAUUUCUAAUUGUAUUCGAACAUGAAUAUUAUUUUCUUUAUCAUAUAAAAAUUAAUUGAUGAUAUAAAAAGAAGUAUGAAAAAGAAUAUUAAUUUUUUUUCUAAAAAAAAUUAGUAGCAUAUUUUGUAUUUUUUUACACGUCAUCAACUUAAAUAAUAGGAGAAACAUAAUUUUAAUUUCCAUUUUAAUUUUUAAAUAAUUUUAAUUGCCAAAUUUAAGCAAUCAUAAAAUUACUCAUGUUCAAUAUAAUAUUCUCAAAAAAAAUAUCCUUAUGAUAACUUAAAUAAUCUACUAAGAAAUAUGAUUUAUUCUUAUGCAGAUCGAAUACUAAAAUAUGAUUUAGUCUUCAAAUUUUAACUAUUAUUUAAAUCAAUCAUUUCGUUACACCUUUAUUAAGUAAAUGAUAGCAUAACAAGCAAGGAGGUGCAAGCAGUAACACUCACAAAGAUAAAGAUCUUUAAGCCAUCAUUUUUUUUUCCUUUUCUUUUCUAUGAACUGUCGUUUCUUAUCUCUACAUGGAAUGUCUAGAAGUUGAAAACUUGAGCUUUCUUUAACUAUACUGCUUUCCAUUUUGGGGAACUGCCUUUCUUUCUCAUAAUGAACUUUUUCCACUUCCAAUGAUGGUUGAACAUUAAUAAUUCUUUAUCUAUUUUGUCUAAAAAUUUCCACUCACUUUUUGUGAGUGGUGUGAAUGUCAUGCAGACAAAUGAUGUCCAAGCUCCACUUUUUCCAUUCAUUGCAAGUUGUAAGCAGAAUGUAGAAUGUACGUAUAAUAAAAUAAUGAGAAUGCCAUCUACUAGUACGUAUCAAAAUUAGAACAAAAGUAUCAAAAUUAAAACGAAAAUAACUUUGAUGCUGUUAAUACAUGAGUUUAAUUUUGAUACACAGUGUACAAAUUUAAAUUGUUAAUUAAUUAGAAAUCACCUAAUGAUUUGUAAAACAAUUACUAAAAAAUGUUAUAGGAGAAUAUAUAUAAUUAAUUGCAAUUCUAAGUGUAUUUAAAUUAAAUUCUUAAUUAACAUAUCCUUACUGUGAUUUUUUGUAUAUUUUUUAUUUAUUGAGACAGUGGAAUGAGACCGCACUAUAAUUUUCAUCACGGGUGUGGUUGUCAAAUAUAAUAGGGAUGGUUGGGAAGAUGUUGCAGGUGCCGGUUUGUUGUUGAGGGAAAAUGUACUUUUUGAAGAAAAUAAAAUUAUGUUUUCAAUGAUAUAUAUUCGACUUUUUGUAUUUGAACUUUGACAAUUUUUUUCUUAAAAUCUCUAAUAUUUAAAAAAUUAUUUUAAAUUAUCAUCGUUUGUUAAAUAAUGACGUAUCCGUUAAAUAUUCGAUAACACAAAAUUGAUUUAUAGUACGUCAAAAACUGUCAAUAUUCAUUUGAAACUUAGUCUUCCACCCGUCUCAAGCUCUCCACAUGAACACUAAGCUCUAGAUAAAAAUAAAUAAAUAACCACGAGAAAUAAUAUAUAACUCUUUAGUGGACAAUUGGUGUUCUUUUGUGCAUUCAGUUGAAGGAAGUUCCCAGAAUGGUAGAAAGCAAGGGACAGAUGAAACGGCCACAGCUAAGAAUAGUGCAUCUUAUAUCGGGAAGAGAUUGUUAGAAAGUUUGGUUGCAGUUGCAGGGCUUCUAAUUUGGCUUUCAUGAGCUUAACUCAAAUAUUACCUAUAUAUAUUAUCAUUUUCAUAUCACGUUGAAAUGUAAACCAUUGAUAACUGCUAAAUAAUUCUAUUUUGAUAAUAGAAAAUAAGUCAAAAUUAUCUUUAAAAAUAAUUAUUUAGCAGUUAUUUGCGCUUAAAUAUUAAAAAAUUGAUGUUUUGUUGAAUUUUGGUUACAGAUAUAAAAACUCGAAGUGUAACAAGCAAAAAAGCCAGAAAAAUUGAAGAAAAGAAGAAAAUCUGUAGUAGACCCAGCCCAAUACGUGCGCUUAGCACGCGUCACGCGCUAAGCGGACCAGGAAGCACACGCGCUAAGCCUGCAACGCGCGCGCUAAGAUCGCGAUCCAACAGAAGCACGCGCUAAGCCUGCAACGCGCGUGCUAAGCGCGCGAUCUAUAGGCGCUGAGCGAGGGGGUGUUGCGCUAAGCGCGCCUACGAAGGCCCAAAACCCACCUCAACAGCUAUAAAUAGAGAGUCAGUAACCCUUAGUUAGGGUCUAACAGGCCUAAAAGUCAAAGCGAUGUAUGAUGUACUCUUCACUAUUUAUCAAUGCAAUAUCAGGUUUUUCUUUCCUAUUAUCUUUUCUGUUUUUAUCUUGCAUACUCAUAUAUAUAUUCUGUUAGGUCAGAAGAUUCUAAAUAAGAUUUAAAGAAGAUAUGCAUACAUUAGUUUUAAAGGUUAGACGCUCGAGAGAGGAUAACUUCUAAUAGAAGAAAAAAUAUCAUAAUAAAAUUAUUGUUAGGCAUAGAGUGAUUGCAUUAUGCCCAUGCGUCAAAGCAAACAUCUAGAAUUAGAACUUCAUCCAUUUUAUCUAUUGAGUCUUUGCAAAGACAUUUGGGAGAUAGGUAGGUAAAAUAGGCUUGUAAUCAUGAGGCAUCAAGGACAAGUAAAUGAAUAGAUGUGGGUAGGAUAGGAUCACCUGAAUUGGUAAAGAAAAAUCAUAAACCCAUACUAUCUAGGUAGACUAGGCAAGUCAGUUCCCAACAUUAUCUUAUCUUGAAUUCAUCUUUUUUUUUUUUAUCUUUAAUUAUUUUAUCUUUUCCUUUAUCUUUAAAUAUUUUAUCUUUUCUUUACCUUAUCUUCUAUCUUUCUUUAUCAGUUAUUUUAAAUUUAUUAUCUUUUGCUUUUAAAUUGAAUUUUCAUUAAUCUAAUUACAAAUGAAGUCCCUGGGAUUCGACACUCGAAUUUUCGAGUACUUUACUACUUGUGACAACUUGGUGCACUUGUCAACGAAACAACAACCAUUUAUGAGUUGAUAGGGUAAAAAAUAUUUACAGUCUUGAGUGUAUUAAAUCUCUGACAUACUGACAAUUAUGUUCAUUCUCAUUGGAGAUUUGUUUUAUGUUUUUAAUACUAACCUAGAGUCUACAGAUCAAAGUUGCUGAAAAUUAUGUUCAUUCUCAUUCUUGGCGCUGUUAGUCUAGUGUGAAAACGGACAAAUUCAGUUUCCUGUUAUAUAUGGCACUGUAUAUAAAAAGGAAAUAAAAAAAAGUAGAAUUUGAUUAUGGCUAAUUUCGCCCAUUAUAUUUAUUACAAGAAAACCUUUAGAUAUAAAUUAUUUUUUUUGUACUUUUAGCUUGGUCGUAAACAUUAAAAUUACAUCACGCACACACACAUAAAAGGCAAACCAAAUUAUUUUAUAUCCCUAAAUUUUAUGAGGGAGGAUGCUAUAAAUAUUAACAAUACAUCUCUCACACACCAAGACAACUAAAAUUAUAUCACUUAAUUGAGGUGGGGAUAGUUUUGAAAAAAAAAAUAGUAGGUGUGGUUGUGUAGGUGUGUUUUUUUGUUGAGAAAAUCUUUAUAUAAUUAUGAGCUAUGAUAAAAUAAAAAAUCCAUGAUGAGUUCCGUAUUUAAAAAUCGUUGUAGAAUUAUAGGGUUGAUUAAAAUGAAACGUAUUGGUCAUUGAGUGUAUAUUAAAAUGAAACGUACAUUACAAUAAAUAAAACAUUUAAACUUUCAUUUUAAUAUAGAAUUUUUCUAAAUUGUUAUGGUGCAUGAUUAAACUUUAAUCAUGGAGUACACGUUUUUGCCUUAUAUAAGUAACAUGGUUUAACAUGAUUUGUUUAUUAUUUAUCUUUUCUUCUAGUUGUGUUCAUUGUUGUUUGAAAAUUUUAUAUUUAGUGAAUCAAAUUCUUUUUUAAUUCAAAUAGGGACAUUAGUUUUCGUAUCCGUUAAGAAUAAUUGAUACCAAAUUUAAAUAAUUGUAUUAAAUUCUAAUUAUCAAAAAAAUUCCGUAUUUAUUAUCAUAAAAAUAUUUAACAAUUUAAUCAUUAAUUUCGUAUGAUAAUUGAUACUUGAAAACUAAUAUUUAUUGCACUUAAUUUCAUUUGAUAAUAACUGAUAUUUCUUCAAUCGCGUAUCAUUUGUGGCAAAACGAACAUCCAAUAUCAUUGGAGAACAAUGUUGAUGUAACGAUUAAUUCAUUGAGAAUCACAUGAAUGCAUUAAAUUCAGGAUAUUAAAUUUACAAAUAAUUUUAUGUUUUUCAAUUAUAUUUUAACAAUAAUUAAGAGAUAAAUCUAAGUCUUCUACAUUUACAUUUGUUUAUAGGUAUUUGGGAUAUUGGAGAUGCUAUAUGCGAAUCUAAAUUUUGCUUAACACAAAUGUGGUAUGCAAGGAAAAAUCACAUUGAAAUAUUUUUAUCUGCCACUUCUAAUUUUAAAAGAUUUGUUUCAAAAUAAGGAUAUGAAGAACAAAUUAUUGAUUUUAGAGAACAUUUCCUCCAUGAUGUUUCCCUUUCCUUUAGGUGAAAAACAAAUAGACAUUUCCAAAAAUAAUGAAAGUGCAUCUUAUAUAAUGUUGUUUAUAUAGAGAAGUCUUUGAAAAUAUAAGUUAAGUACUAUUACUACAAACUAUUCUGUAUCAUAUAUCUCUUAUAUAUUUUGAUAUAAAACAUUUAUUAAUUUUUUAUUUAUUUCUUAGUAACAUGUACAUGAAAGUCAAACCAAACCGAAUCGAGGAUUUAUGUGGCAUUUAACUUUUAUCACUUUUUGCCCUAAAAGAUCACACUCUAAUCAUGUAUCAAAAAUUUGUGGUGUACAAGAAAACUCUUCUAUUUGGGAACAGUCGAUCUUUAAUUGAACCUCUUUUGGAAAAUGGAACUAGCUUUGGAUUACCAUGUGACAAAAAAUUACUUUGCUAACCAUUAUUUUAUUUUAAUUUACCCUAUAGAACUGAUUAAAUGAAAAUUUGGUGUCAUUAAACUUCAAAUUUUAACCAUUAUUUAAUCAAUCCUUUCGUUAAACUUUUGUUAUGUACAAAAGUCCAACAUUUAAAAAAAAAUCAAGUCUUCUAUUUCAUCAUAUCCCAAUCCAUAAUUAAUAUUAAAUUGUCAAUUUUUCAAUAUUCAAACUAAAAAUAAUGCAAAAAAAAAUUGUCUUCUAAACCAUAGCUCACGCCAUCAAGUCCAUCUCAAGGUUUUCCAUUUGUUCAUCUUGAACCUUUGGACACUCCACAAAGUCCAGCCAUGUCAUGGUCUGACUUCUUUAACUUGAACCAUAGGUACCAUAGGUCACUGCAUUACCUUCAUAUCAAGUUCCUUGUCAUUGACAACAAAUGGUGCCAGUUAAGUCAAGCAAGGAAAAAAAAUAUAAUUGAUGAAUACAUCAAUAAUUAUAGGAAAAGGGUGUACUUUAAAGACUAUUUCGGUUAAAAAAUCUAUAUAAAAAAAGAGUAUUUAGUUCCAAUCCAACUAUUUAAUUUUGAUCAAUUUUUCAAUUCACAAAAUAAUAUUCUCUUAUAUAUGAAAAAAAAGACUAAAUUUAAUUGUCAUCAAUUGAAAAGGUUGUUUGUGUCAUCUAUUUCUAAUUGUAUUCAAACCUAAAUAUGAUUUUCUUUAUCAUAUAAAAAUUAAUUAUUGAUAUAAAAAGAAGUGGUGAAAAAGAAUUUAACUUUUUUCUAUAAAAAAUAGUAUCAUAUUUUGUAUUUUUUAUAAGUUAUCAACUUAAAUAAUAGGAGAAACAUAAUUUUUAUUUUCAUUUUACUUUUUAAAUAAUUGUAAGUGCCAAAUUUAAACAAUCAUAAAAAUACUCACGUUCAAUAUAAUAUUCUAAAAAAAUAUUUAUACGAUAACUUAAACAAUCUUCUACAAAGAAAUAUAUUUUAUUCUUGUUUCAAAUACUAAAAUAAGAAAUAUUUUAUUUUAAUUUACAGUAUAGGAUUUCUUAAAUCAAUGAAAUUUUUAUUUUAAGAAAAUAUUAAUAAUGUUUUUAAAACUCUGAGUAGUUUACAGCAAAGGUAAUUAAAUUCGGCUUAAUUAGUCUUAAAAUUUUAACUAUUAUUUAAAUCAAUUAAUCCUUUCGUUAAACCUGUACGUGUUAAGUAAAUAACAAAAUGUCUUGUCUUAUAAAAUUCAAAUAUUCUAUUACUUGCAGUUUGAACCCAUAAUUAAUUUUAAAAUAUCAAAUUUUUAUUAUUUCAAAUAAAAGAAAUGAAAACAAAAUUGUCUAGUCUCCUAGACAAACCACUUCCCACUCCACCAAAUUCAUAUCAAGGACCCCACUUUUCCCACUUGAACCAUAGACUACUCCAUCAAGUCCAAGUCAAUGUCCUUCAUUUUUUCAUCAUGAACCUUAGGACACUCCACAAAGUCCAGCCAACCAUAUUUAGGUCUCUAUCUUCUUCAACAUGAACCAUAGGUCACUACAUUACCUUCAUAUCAAGUUCCUUAUCAUUGACAACAAAUGUUUAGAAUUAAGUAAGCAAGGAAAAAAAUUAUAAAUGAUGAAUACAUCAAUUAUAGGAAAAUGAUCUAAUUUAAAGACUAUUUCGGUUAAAAAAUCUAUAUAAAAAAAGACUCUUUCGUUUCAAUCUCGCUAUGUAAUUUUGAUCUAUUUUUUAAUUUACAAAAUAAUAUUCUUCUUAUAUGUGAGAAAAGACUAAUUUUCAUUGUCAUUAAUCGGAAAGAUUGUUGUGUCAUCUAUUUCUAAUUGUAUUUUAGCCUGAAUAUUAUUUUCUUUUUCAUUAAAAAUUAAUUAGUAAGAUACAAAGAAGUGUAAAAUGCUUGUUUAACUUGGUCUAUCAUAAUUAUUGAGAUCAUAACUUUUUCCUUUUAUAAGUCUUGGUCCAAAUUUCUCCAUAUAUUGUAGAUCAUAUUUAGCUUAAAAAGUAAAUUAGAGGAUAUGAUAUACCAAGAAGUGUGGCAUGUUUUUUAAAUUAUUUAUCUAUGGUCUUAGCUAUUUUAUUGUUAGACCACAAGUCUUCAUAUAUUAAAGUCUUUGUCUGAAUUUCAUUUACUUGUGUGGUGAUAUUUUAAGAAUUGUGAUAGAAGAGAAAAAUAAAUAUAUAAUAUAUUGAAAUAUCUAACUUAUGAAGAUUUGCAUUCUUAAUGCAUAAGCUUUUCAGUUUAUAUAUUAUCAUUAUUUGGAAAUAUUUUUUGUGUUAAUUGUCUAUUUCUAAUUAAUUUGAAAAUGAAUCUUAAUUUUUUAUCAUAAAAAUUACUAUCAUAUUUUUUAUUUUCUUUACAAGUUAUCAACUUAAAUACUAAUAGGAGCAACAUAAUUUUAAUUUCCAUUUUACUUUUUAAAUAAUUUUAAGUGCCAAAUUUAAGCAAUCAUAAAAAUACUCACGUUCAAUAUAAUAUUUUUUAAAAAAUAAUUCAUGAGAUAACUUAAAUAAUCUACAAAGAAAUAUAAUUUAUUCUUGUGCCAAAUAUUAAAAUAAGAAACAUUUUAUUUUUUUAGUUUAACGUAUAAAAUUGCUUAAAUUAAUUAAAAUUUUAUUAUAAGUAAAUAUUAAUAUUUUAAAAAAAUUAUUAGUUUACAAUAAAGGUAAUUAAAUUUGGCUUAAUAAUUAGUCUUCAAAUUUUAACCAUUUAAAUCAAUUCUUUCGUUACACCUGUGUUAAAUAAACAACAAAAAAAGUCUUGCAUUAUUAAAUUCAAGUCUUCUAUUACAUGCAAUUUGAACCUAUAACUAAUUUUAAAUGAUCAAAUUUUCAUUAUUCAAAAUAAAUGAAAAGAAAAAAAAUUGUCUUCUUGACAAACCACAGACAACUCCACCAAAUCCAUAUCAAGGUCCCCACUUUUUCAACUUGAACCAUAGGCCACUCCAUCAAAUCUAUGCCAAAGUUUCUUAUCAUUGACAACAAAUGUUGAGAGUUAAGUCAAGCAUGAAAAAAAUAGGGUAAAAUAUAUCAUUUCUAUCCCUAUAAAAUUUUGAUGUGCUACUUUUUUUAUCCUGAGUUAAGUUUGGAUGAUUGAUAAUUAUCAUGUAUUCUUAGAUUUUGGUGUGAUUUUAGGAUAUUUAUGUGAUAUAUGUCUUUUAUGCUUUUUUAUUGUCAUGAACUAAUCUUCUCUUUUGUUGGAGUUGAAUAUAAUUGGUUCAUCUUUCAUGUAAUGACUAUUUUUUUAUUGAAUAAAGCAUUCUAAUUGUUUCUCUUCUAUGUUUAAUAUGUGUUUUUGGCUUAAUCACCUGUUUGUAUGAUUUUUUUUAUUCAAUUGUAAUUAAAAAAUUUCUUUGAACUACGAAUUGCAAAAAAUACCUAAUAAUUUUUAUGUCUAGGAAUAAGAUAAAAAGAAUUGAGCAUCAAUAAACACUUUAUCUUAAUGAAAACCAUUUAUUUAUAUUAAUUUAAGGGAUUGAUAGUGUAAUUAAGGGAUUUAGGUCUCUUCACUAGGAAUUAAAGUGAAGAUAAUAUGAUGGGUUUAUGAUAAUAUAACAUUUAUUAAAUAUGAAUGUGUAGUUAUUAGGUGAUAGAAACUUCAAUGAAAUUAAACCCCAAUAAUUUUUUCAUUGAUUUAACCCCAACAAUUACAUGGGGUGCUUGUUAAAAUUCCCAAACAAUUUUUUUCCUUAAUUUUUUCUUUUAUUUUCUUCUUUAGUUUUCUUAUUUUUAUUUCUUCCUUUAAUUUCUUUAUCUUUAUGCAUAUUGUUAUUUAAAUCAAAUUAGCUAAUGUUAAUGAAUUUCAAAUAUUCAUAGUAUAGAAAUUAUACUUUUUAUUACCCAAUUAUUGCCUAAGUCCUGUUAAUGAGUAUUAUAGGAAAAAAUGCAUCAAUACUCCUCAGGAAAUGGGAAUGUGGAAUGUAUCAGAGUAAGGAAAAGCGAGAGAAGGAAGAUGUGGAAGGGUUUAGAAACUGCAGAAUCCUAUGCAAGCUCCAACUUUCUACACUAAUUAAAUUCAUUCAGGCAAAUUCUAAGUUACAUGUUGUGUAAAACAAUCUUCUUGAGUGUGUCAUUCCAGGUAUUUUAAUGCUAAUCAUUGUUAGUGCACAGAUAGUAGAAGACAAUAAUGCGUCAUAAAUACAAAACAGAAUUUGAUACUAAGUCUGAAGCUCGUCUAGUUCUCUUAACAUUAAGAACAUUUAUUACCAAUGAAAGCAAAACAAACAGACACCCCAUAUGAACAUGUACAUAGUAUGGUAAACCUUUUCACAUUUUUAAUGUCUAGAAUAACACGUUGUAAUGUCUCUCACUCCUAACAGUUAACAUGUAAACUCACAAUUUCCCAAGUAACCUUCUUACCUUCAAAACUAUUAUCACAUAAAUCAGAUCUCUCAAGUGGUCAAGAUAAUGAAAAUAAGCACGCCUCCAAGUUCUGUUGAAGAAAACAACACUGCAAAAACCCCAAAAUCCUGCUGCAAAUCCAACUCCCAUACCCAUAUAAAACUCUGAUGUUCCAAAGAAAUUACCAUCACCGUGUCGAACAGAAGCACUCUCUGUCAACUCUUCCUUGUCUGUGCAAUUUUUUGUUACAGGAGGACCACAAAGCCCAUGUCAAUGAAUUUCAUUGUAGAGCAAUUUUGCAGUGUUGAAGGAAUAUAUCCAGAGAAGCGGUUGUCGUCUAACAACAAAGACUCAAGUUGAGAUAGAUACCCCAUGGAGUUUGGAAUAACACCAGACAAAUUGUUACUACCCAAGUUCAAAUGCACCAAUGCUUGCCAAUGCACCCAACAGUGACCAAGAUCACCAGAUAAGACAUUAUUUGAAAAAUCAAGCACACUCAAAUUAUUAGUAGCAUUUUCCUUUCCACAUAAAAAGGGAGAAAUUGUUCCGGAAAUUGAGUUAUUGGCAACAUUCAGCACUUCAACAUUUGCAGACACACUUGGCAAUGUACCCUUGAACAAAUUAGAACUCAAAUUUAUGAGGCUGGAAUUGAGAAAGAUGUUAGAUAGGUCUCCACUUAACAGAUUGUUGGACAGAUCCAGGAAUUCAGUUUGCAAAGUCCAAUUCCAAAACCAACUUGGAACCAAGUCUGCAAUACCUGCCUUAGACAUUGUCAAAACCUUCACAGAACUUUGCCUUUUUAGCCAUUCUGGAAACUUAGGACCUAUUCCAAAGGAGCUCAGUAAAACAUAUUCAAGCUGAAAAGGAGGAACCCAUCCAGAGUUGACACUGAGGAACAAGUUUGUCCAAGACAAACGUAGUUCCUUUAAUUUCAAAAGUUUUACAAAAUUUGACUCUUUUAUAGAUCCUUCUAACAAAUUAGAUGAAAGGUCUAACAUCACUAAAUUUGAGAGAGUUCCAAGAGUUACAGGCAUAUCACCAGUCAAAGAAUUAGUUCCAAGAUUUAAUACCUGCAGGUUUCUGAGGAGCUCAAAACUCUUAGGAAUGGUUCCAUUCAGUCGGUUGUGAGCCAGGUUUAAAGUUCUCAAGAAUGACAAGUUUGCAAAUGGUGAGGGAAUUGGACAAGUAAAGGUAUUAUUACUGAGAUUUAGAACUUCAAGAUGCUUAAGCUUGCCUAAUGAAUCUGGAAGUGGCCCACUGAUACGUGAUGCAGGGGGAAUUCUGGUUUCGAGGACCAGGGCCUCCAAAAGGGUAAGGAAAGGAAAUAACUAAGAAAAGAUAAUUCUCAUAUUCAUCCCUCUUUCUGUGAAUCAUUACAUUUAUUUAUACUGAUUCUUAUAACAGAAUUGCUAUUCUAUGGAAUUUUCAGGAUUCAAGUUUGUUACAAUUAUCUCCCACGUGUUGUAAUUGCUCUAACAGAAUGCAUAUAUGCCUUUAAUACCAUCCCGCCCCUUUCAGAUGUAAUCUUUGAGGUACGUUGGUCUCUCUACCCUUCUCUUGGGCCUUUGCUCUUUGUUUUCUGAAAUUGCUUGUUGCACCUUAUCCUGCUGGUUGUUAAUCUGCAUUGCUUGUUGCACCUCAUUCUGUUGAUUGUCUCCCUCUGCUAUGUUUCCCCCUGUAUCACCCCUGGGCCCUUGGGAAAGCACCUUGUCCUCAAGGUGAUAAUCCCGGCAUAAGGUUGACCAAUCCUCCCAGGAAGUCUCAUCAGGGGAGAGCCCAUGCCAUUGAACGAGGACGUCCCACCCAGAAACAGAUGAUGGUCGAGAAGCAAGGAUCGCAGCAGGUUGGACGAGGGGGUGAUCGUCAUGAAAAGAAAUCGGCAGUGGAUUAGCAACAGGGUCGUUAGGAUCACCCUUGAAUGGUUUUAACAUGGAGACAUGGAAGAUGGGAUGUAUCUUAGCAUCAGGUGGUAACUGUAAUCGGUAGGCAACCUUGCCAAUGGCCUCGAGAACCUGAAAUGGCCCAUAGUAACGUUUUGCCAGCUUUCCCGAGAUGGUGGGGUUUUCCCGGGCAGACGUUUGACGGUGAGGGCGCAGGCGAAGUAAGACCCAUUGUCCCGGCGAGAAGACUAUAUCACGUCGGUGUUUGUCAGCUUUCUCCUUCAUUAGAAUCUGGGCCUUUAGUAAUUUCUUACGAAUCAUAAGGAAGGUUUCCUCCCGGUCACAAAGCAGGGUAUCUAUAGCAUCAAUGUUAGAGUCACCGGCAAGGUACUCCGGGAAGUUAAAUGGCUUCCGGCCAAAGGUGACCUCAUAUGGAGUGGCCCCGGUCGCGGAGUUCCAGGAAGUGUUGUGCGACCACUCCGCCCAUGGAAGGAGACGGCCCCAAAUACGAGGGCGCCGAUGAACGAACGAGCGUAAGUAUUGCUCGAUAAUACGAUUAAUAGCCUCAGUCUGUCCAUCACUCUGGGGGUGAUACGCAGAACUCAUACGCAAGUGAGUGCCACUGCGCCGGAAAAGCUCCUGCCAAAACUUGCUAAGAAACAGAGGGUCUCGAUCGGAGACCAAGCUCCGGGGAACACCAUGAAUUUUGACCACCAUGUCCUGGAAUAAAGUGGCCACCAUGAAAGCAGUGUGCGCAGUAGGAAGCAUCCCCAGAUGAACCCCUUUAGAAAAACGAUCCACGACCACCAAUAUGACUGUGUGACCUUUGUACGGCGGCAGCCCAACAAUAAAAUCUAAGGACAGGUCCUCCCAUGGACGAUGAGGAACCGGGAGAGGGCAAAGAAGGCCAGCAAGCUUCUUUGUUUCGUAUUUAGUGGACUGACAGUCACGGCAGUUGGCCACAAAGGUCGCGACAUCCUCACGCAAACCAGGCCAAUAGAAGUUCUCAGAAACGCGAGCAAUCGUCUUGGCAAUGCCAGAGUGGCCCCCAGUGGGGGUCGCAUGAAAUUCAACGAGGAGGGUAGGAAUAAUAGGAAUAUCACGUGGUAACCAUAUGCGGUGACGGUGCAAAAUAAGAUUGUUAACCACAGAGAACCCAGGGUGUUUGGCGGGAUGAUUAGCAAUGUCCUGUCGACGAUGCACAUAGUCAGAAUGUUGGUCGAGCUGAGAACAGAGUUCGUCCAUGAAGGUCAAGCAUGGAACCGAAAGCAUGAGAGCAAGGGAGGAAUCAGGGUCUGGAACACGGGAGAGAGCAUCAGCAGCCUGAUUGCUAGCACCGGACCGAUAAUGGAUUUCGUAAUCGUAGCCCAUGAGCCUGGCGAGAUACAUGUGCUGCUCGGGUGUCUGGACCACCUGGGUGAGAAGCUCCUUCAAGCUCCGGUGGUCGGUCAGAAUGACAAAACGGUGUCCGAGCAAAUAUUGCCUCCAUUUUUUGACGGCGGCCGUAAUAGCGUACAAUUCACGGACAUACGUUGAUGAUCGGAGCAAUUUGGCACUAAAGGGUUUACUGAAAUAGGCAAUGGGGUGCCCCUUCUGAGAGAGCACAGCACCCAAGCCCACCCCAGAGGCGUCAGUCUCAAUAGUGAAGGGAAGGUGAAAAUCCGGGAGAGCUAACACCGGUGCGGAGGAUAGAGCGAGCUUCAAUUGGUCAAAUGCAGCCUGAGUAACAUCAGUCCAUUGAAAGGGAUCCAAUGUGGUAGCUUUGACCAAGGGGGCAGCAAUCGUAGCAUAGCCCUUGAUGAAUCUUCUGUAAAACCCAGCUAAUCCGAGGAAGCUACGAAGAGCUUUGGCGGUGCGCGGGGAAGGCCAUUGACGGACAGCUUCAAUCUUGUCGGUAAGAGGUUCCACGCCAUUGAAGGAGACCAAGUGGCCUAAGUACUCGACCUGUCUCUGUGCAAAGGUACACUUAGAAAGUUUUAAGGCAAAUUGAUGUGUCAGUAGUACCUUGAAGGUGAUUUCCAAGUGUUGCAGAUGAGCAUCCAUGGAAGUGCUAUAAAUGAGAAUAUCAUCGAAGAAGACGAUAAUGAAACGCCGCAAGUAAGGCUGAAAAAUCGAAUUCAUGGUUGCCUGGAACGAUGAUGGAGCAUUACACAAACCAAAUGGCAUUACCUUGAAUUCGUAAUGGCCAUGGUGAGUACGAAAUGCAGUUUUCGGAAUGUCCUCAGGAUUCAUACGAAUCUGAUGAUAACCUUGGAGCAAAUCCAGCUUGGAAAAAUAGCAGGCGCCGCCUAAUUCGUCAAGGAGCUCAUCAAUCGUUGGAAUUGGAAAACGAUCCCGUAUGGUAAGCGCAUUCAAGGCUCUGUAGUCGACGCAGAACCGCCAAGAGCCGUCGUGUUUCUUAACCAGGAGGACCGAAGAAGAAAACGGACUGGUGCUGGGCUGAAUGAGACCUUUCUGGAGCAUAGCAUCAACCUGUUGCUCGAUUUCUUGUUUCUGAUAGUGGGGGUAGCGAUACGGUCGAACGUUGACCGGAGUUGCCUGAGGGAUCAAGUGGAUGUGGUGGUCUGUAGCUCGAGCCGGCGGUAGGGUAGAAGGAGUGGUGAAGAGAGCCUCGAAUCGGCGCAGCAAGUCCUGAAUUGGGGCAGGGAACUCCUGUGACAGGGAAGGGGUCGAAUUAGAUAGCAAGGUAAUGUGAUAAAACAGAGCAUCACCUUGUGUUCGACUGAGCCGGCGAAGCUGGACCGGAGUGAGGAGGUGAAGUUUAGCAUCUAAGUCACCCUGGAGCCGAAUGAGGCGGCCGUCUGAAAAAAAUUGCAUCGAAAGUGUGUUGUAAUCGGUAAGCACGGGUCCCAAGGCUUUUAACCAUUGGACCCCAAGUACUACGUUAGCUCCGGAUAUGGGAAGGAUAUACAAAUCCACUAUAAAUGUAUUGUUCUGAAUGUUGAUGGCAACAGCUUGGCACAUGCAACUGCAACUCAAUUGUUGCCCAUUUCCGACCAUAACGCGCAACGGGGUGGUGGAAAUGGAGGGAAGGCCCAACUUCUCGACCAGCUGUUGCUGAAUGAAGUUGUGGGUGCUCCCUCCGUCCACCAGGAGCACUACUUCAACGUCAGCAAUGGAAGCCACGAAACGCAGCGUUUCGGGCGCUAAGUGACCGGCCAUGGAGUUUAAACUAAGUUGGGCCGGAUGCGGGUCAUGGGCUUCAGUUGGGUCCGGGUCGGGUUCGAGGGUCGGGUCAAGUGGGGCUAUAUGUGGUGGGUCAGGAGCAGCGUCCCCUUCCGCGAUGAAGAGAAAUACCCUAGAGGCACAGCGGUGACCUCUGUGGUACUUCUCAUCGCAGCUAAAGCAGAGGCCGCGCUCACGGCGGCUGGCAAUCUCUUCAGAGGUCAGGCGUUUGAAAGGUUGGGUGGGGGAAGGUGGAGGAGGUGGCGGUCGUAUGGCUGACGGGGAAGGGAAAAGGGGUGAAAGGGGUUGCGGCCGUGGUGAGAAGGAUGAAGAAGAAAGUGAGGGAGGGCGAGAACGCAUGGUGGACGGUGGUGGUCGGAGGUCACCCAGCUUUUCCUCCUGGAGGCGCGCGAGGCCGGCCGCCUGUGACAGAGUGAGGGGUUGGUGGGCCUGAACCUCACGGCGGAUCUCCGGAGUCAGCCCGGAAAUGAAGCAGCUGAGGAGGAAGGCCGGCGGAAUCCCGACGACACGAUUUGCUAAAUCCUCAAACUCAGAGAGGUAAGAAGCUACUGAUCCCUUUUGCAUGAGUUUGCAAAGAGUACCCGUGGGGUCCUCAUAUUGUGAUGGUGCAAAUCGAUUUUGUAAUGCUUGAAGGAAAACAGGCCACGAAGUGAAUUGACCAUUACUGGUCAUCCACUGAAACCAUGCUAAGGCCCUUCCUUCCAUAUAAAAUGACGCAAUCGUUAAUCGGUCGUACUCCGGGGUCCCAUGAUACUCGAAGUACUGGUUGAUCUUAAAGAUCCAACCAAGGGCGUCCGUUCCAUCAAAACGUGGAACAUCUAAUUUGAGGCGAUGGUGUUGUGCAGGAACAGGAAAAGGGCGUGGAAGGGAUGAAGGCAUGUGGGAAGCAGGGGAAAAAAGAGGGGUAAUGUGAGAGAUGAAGUCAUCGAUUUUGCUGGAGAGAGUAAGUUGCUGUGUGGUGAGGCGAACGAGGAGUUCUUCAAUUUUAUCAGAGGACGAAGGGUGCGUCAUUGGAGGACAACGAGAGCACCAAUGAUACGUGAUGCAGGGGGAAUUCUGGUUUCGAGGACCAGGGCCUCCAAAAGGGUAAGGAAAGGAAAUAACUAAGAAAAGAUAAUUCUCAUAUUCAUCCCUCUUUCUGUGAAUCAUUACAUUUAUUUAUACUGAUUCUUAUAACAGAAUUGCUAUUCUAUGGAAUGUUCAGGAUUCAAGUUUGUUACAAUUAUCUCCCACGUGUUGUAAUUGCUCUAACAGAAUGCAUAUAUGCCUUUAAUACCAUCCCGCCCCUUUCAGAUGUAAUCUUUGAGGUACGUUGGUCUCUCUACCCUUCUCUUGGGCCUUUGCUCUUUGUUUUCUGAAAUUGCUUGUUGCACCUUAUCCUGCUGGUUGUUAAUCUGCAUUGCUUGUUGCACCUCAUUCUGUUGAUUGUCUCCCUCUGCUAUGUUUCCCCCUGUAUCACCCACUGAGCUGGUUGUUCUGCAGGUCUAGAUUUUUUAUGUUCUGAAGGCUUGAUAUUAUUUGUGGAAUUUGUCCCUGUAAAAGGUUACUGUGUAAAUCAAGUUGGACAAGAGUUGUGCUGAGAUUAAAUAGCCAUGAAGGGAUUUGCUGAUUGAGAUUGUUAAUUGAAAGAUCAAGGACUUGGAGAUGUGUGAAGUUGGUUUUUCCUUUUGGUGGUCCUAAGUUAUCAAUUUGACAGCUCUCCAAGUGUAGUUCUGAAAGAGAUGGAAGUGCACUCAGUACUUGAAGCCAGUUACCUUGUUUAUGAAGGUCUGAACCACUCAAAUCAAGGUACUCUAAGGAAGAUAGCCUUGAUAUCCAAUUAAGGUUAUCUAUCUGAAGAGCAUAAUUGUAUCCCAGAUUAAGGUGAUGCAGGUUUGAGAGGUUUCCUAGUUGAUGAGGGAUUAAUCCCAUGAACCCACUUAAGUUAAGGUCCAAGUAUCUCAGACUCUCCAAUGAGCCUAGGAAGCUUGGUAUUGGAGUAAGAACAAAAUAAUUUGAACUCAAGUCCAAACGAUUCAAAUAUUUUAGUUCAAGCAAAGAAGGACUAAUCUCUCCACUCAACUCCCUAUAGGGAGAGCCCGCAGGUGUGUAGAGAUUGAUUUCCAUGACUUUACCUGUGUUGUUGCAGUGAACCCCUGGCCAUGUACAGCAAUCCGAUUUGUCAGACCACGAUGAAAACCUGUUUGAAGGGUCUGCUAGUCCAUGCUUGAAGCUGAGGAGCGCAUUCCUUUCCUUCUCACUGCAAGUCAUAUUGAGCCUUGCUGCCUUGCUUGCACUGAAGUGGAGAGUUGUUGCAGUGGACAAUAUCAAGAGAAGAACAUGAGUUGCAAAUAGCACUGCCAUGAAGAAGAAGGAAGACGAAAAAGGUUGAAUCCACAAUUUUCUGGUUCACGGUUGGUAUUUACUACUAACAAUGCCUAUAUAGGAUAUAUACCAUAGAAGGGUUUGCAUUUAAAAUUUUAUUCCACUAAUGGUGGUGGUUGCAAAAUGCACACAUAUGUAGAGGUAUAUAUGUCUACAAGGAGACAAUUAGGAAUAAAAGUGUCUAACCACACCACCAUUAUUUUGCUCUAGUUUAUUUUAUUUUGAUUUAAUUACCCUUUUAGUCCUUAUAGUUGUGAUAAUUUUUUUUAGUCCCUAUAGUUUAAGACAUUCAUUUUGAUUCUUAUAUUUACAAUUUUUUUUAUCUUUUGGUCCUCGCGGGGAAGAUUCAACUCACACAUAAACAUGAACAAAAUUAAUAAAAAUAGGGAAGCAAGCUCAGGUACAAAUGAAGUGUAAUGGAGGUAUGAGACAAAGCCACUACACAUUCCAUUAUUCUUGAGUCUGCCACCGACCUCUGCAAGCUUAGCAUUUGCCAAUUGCCAUGAUGUAAUCUCGUUCUUGACAGUCUCUCAUCAAGUUGGAGUGGUAUCACAGCAUUGAACUAAGUUGAUCGUUCCAAUGGGAUGAUGGUUUUGAUUGCAGCAGAUAAAGUGUGUGAUUGUGAGUUUCUGGUCCCAUGAGUUAAACUAUAAGGAUUAAAAAAAAUAUUGUCGUAACUUUAAGGACCAAAAGGAUAAUUAAACCUUUUAUUUUUUUUAUUAUUUUUUUUAACAACGGGUUAUAUAUAUGUAGCAGUUUAUUCUAAACAAUGGACUACGUGUGAAAUCUUUGAAUUCUAUGUAAGAAAUGUUAUUUCAAACUUCUCAUCAGUCUUCAUGUCAAUGAUGACAUGCUCCAUUUGAAUUCUAUGUCUAAUUAAGCUCUCGGUCUUCCGUUUUUGCAACUUUAUUUCGUAGAAAGAAGCCAAAUUUGAAGAUACAACAUUUGAUACUAUAACUGUUUGGUGUUUUGAAAAUCUCACUCACAUAUUUCCAAAUGUUACAAAAGAAUUUGAUUCAGUGGUUUUUACGAAUUCCUUCCUAGCCUUUUUUACCAAGUCAGGGAAUUUGCAUUGUUGUGCAUGAUGGCUGCCACAAGGACCCUUGUACCAACCCAUUAGUGCAAGUGGUUUUUUCUUAUGAGAAUUGAGAAACAAAUUAUAUAUGUGUUUUAUUAAGGGAAUUCUAUUAUUUUUAAUUUUGAACUUGUAAUGUUUUUUGUUUCCCUCACAGAACAAGUGAUGAAACUCUUGAUGAUCGACGCCAUACGUACGCCUACUUUGAUGCUCUUUUUUCACACCACUUUUAUCUUAAUGGUAUCUCAAGUUGACAAUCAUAAAUUAAAAUAGCUAACUAUAGUUGAUUAGUAGAGACAAACAGCUCAAAGAUAAAGAUCUUUAAGCCAUCAUUUUUUUUCCUUUUCUUUUCUAUGAACUGUCAUUUCUUAUCUCUACAUGGAAUGUCUAGAAGUUGAAAAUUACUUGAGCUUUCUUUACCUACUGCUUUCCAUUUUGGCGAACUGCUUUUCUUUCUCAUAAUGAACCUUUUCCACUUCCAAUGAUGGUUGAACAUUAAUAAUUCUUUAUCUAUUUUGUCUAAAAAUUUCCACUCACUUUUUGUGAGUGGUGUGAAUGUCAUGCAGACAAAUGAUGUCCAAGCUCCACUUUUUCCAUUCAUUGCAAGUUGUAAGCAGAAUGUAGAAUGUACGUAUAAUAAAAUAAUGAGAAUGGCAACUGCUAGUACUACUUAAUUAGAACAAAAGUAUCAAAAUUAAAACGAAAAUAACUUUGAUGCUGUUAAUAUAUGAUUUUAAUUUUGAUAGAUAGUGUAAAAAUUUAAAUUGUUAAUUAAUUAGAAAUCACCAAAUGAUUUGUAAAACAAUUACUAAAAAAGUGAUAGGAAAUAUAUAUAAUUAAUUAAUUGCAAAUGAAAGUGUAUUUAAAUUAAAUUCUUAAUUAACAUAUCCUUAUUGUGAUAUUUUGUAUAUUUUUUAUUUAAUUGAGACAGUGGAAUGAGACCGCACUAUAAUUUUCAGCACGGGUGUGGUUGUCAAAUAUAAUAGGGAUGGUUGGUGAGGAAUUUUGGAAUGUUAGUUGGUUUUAGACUAUAUAUCCUCUUAUUCAGUUUUCACAUUCUCAUUAGAGUUAAGUUGCUUUUGGGGAAGAACCAAUGUCUUGAAAUUCCCUCUUCACCAGAAGCAGUUUUAUUGUGUCUUUAUCGAAGUCAUCUUCUCCAGAGACUUGCCUUUAACUUUGAAGAUAGGAAAUAGAUCAGUCAAACAUUGUUUCAGUUUAUUUGGAUUUUUUUUUAAGGACAUGUGAUUUACAAAGACUUCUUACAACUCACAACCUUUGGAAUUGCUCUAUGCCUGGUUAACCCACAAUUUCUGGUGCCUGUUGCGGUUAGGAACAUAGGCUAGCAAAAACACUAAUCAUUUCAAGAGAAAUGUUAACACACUUUUCUAAUAUAUUAUUUUUUAUAUUAAAAUUUAUUAAAAUAAAAAAUUCAGCUGAUCUCAUAUUUUAUUUAACAAAUUUUUCUCAUAUAUUAAGUCUUAGGUUUUUAAAAUAUAAAGCUAAAACUAAAAUGUUUUACUAAAUGUAUUUUAAAGUAAAUUUUACACACAAAAAUAUUAUGAUUUUAUAAAAAUUGUUUGGUCAAGGGAGACAUAUUGAGACCUCCUAACUAUAAGCUACCCUGAGGGUUUCUAUCUUUUUUUUCCCCACUUAAUUUUUGACUUUGGCAGCAAGGGUUAAGCCUACCACAUCUACAUGACUAUGUCUUACUUUCCAAUAAGUUACACCUAAAUAGCUAACAUAUUCCUCUUGCUCACGCACACUAUCUUUCGUAAACUUUUCACGAUCAUCUUUAUAUUAUCAAAUUCAUUUAAUUAAAUAUACAAUUAUCUUAAUAUUAUAAGCAAGUCUCUGUAUAAUCAUGUAGUGUUUCUACAUUGAAUGAGCCUAAAUCACACACUCCUGAAAAAAGAGUCAUAUUGUCAAAAUAGCCGUAAAAAGAUAGAAUGUUAGGGACGCUGUGAGGGAGAGAGAGAGAAGGAAGUAUUUUUCUUGGAUUCGAGGCCAAGUCCUCCUGACAGACUACACUAUUCAGGACUAAAGUUCUUUUUCGUAAGUUUUAUUUACGCUGGGAUACUUCUUUUAUACACGGGUACGUUUCGACCAUGAACAGCUUUCCUAACUAAUUCACGUGCCAAUAUAACAGACUAACUAACUUGCUGUUAAUACAACACGUGGUCUUAUUAUCACACGUGAUCUAUAACACGUAAUCUUCUAGAUGCUUCGGACGUGUGGAACUCCUUUGUCUUCGUGGUACUGGUUCAUCGUGGCUGCUAUCUUCCUUAGCUGGGUUGCUGCUGCUAACAUCAUCCGACCCUGUGAAACUCACCUUGUCCUCAAGGUGAUGAGCAUGGCAAACCUCGUCCCACUUUUCCCACGUGGAGUCUUCCGGAGGAAGACCAACCCAUUGAACAAGAACGAAACGAGUUGGGGGGUCUACAGAGAAGUCCAUUCGAGAGUCAAGGAUGGCUAGUGGCUCAAGUAUAGGGUGUGGGGAGGAAGUAUCCGCCGGAAGGGAAGAGGUGGGGAGGUCAAGAGGUCCGUGAUGAGGGCGUAGUAAAGAACAAUGGAAGACGGGGUGGAUACGAGACCCUUCAGGUAGUUGCAAACGGUAAGCAACGCUGCCAAUGCGUUCCAUAAUGGGAAAUGGGCCGAAGUAUCGCUUCAUGAGUUUAUGGUGACGCUGAGAACGGAGGGACUGUUGACGGUGAGGUCUAAGCUUAACAUAGACUAACUGGCCGAUCUCGUACUGAACAUCGCGGCGUUUCUUGUCCGCAAAAUGCUUCAUCUCGGCUUGUGCUUUGAGGAGGUUGCGGCGAAGGGAUUCGUGAAGCUCAGCUCGUGAAUGGAGAAGGGUGUCAACGGCCUCAUUUCGAGAGGACCCCAAGACGUAUCCCGGAAUGGAAGGUGGGGGUUUCCCGUAAAUAACUUUGUAGGGAGUGACCCCAGUUCCGGAGUGUUGCGAGGUAUUGUACGCCCAUUCCGCGAGGGGAAGAAACUUAUGCCAUUCCUCUGGGCGUUUGUGGACGAAGGACCUCAGGUACUGCUCGACGCUGCGAUUCAUCACCUCCGUUUGGCCAUCUGAUUGAGGGUGGUAGGCGGUGGUCAUGCGGAGGGUGGUGCCACUAAGCUUAAACAACUCGCGCCAAAAGGAACUGAUAAACACGGGAUCGCGAUCAUAAAUGAUGCUGGAAGGGAAACCGUGGAGCUUACACACGAUAUCCAGGAAAAGUGUAGCUACUUUAAAAGCCGUGAACUGAGUUGGCAAAGCACCAAGAUGGAGGCCUUUCGAGAACCUAUCGAGGACCACCAAAAUGACUGUGAAGCUGUGAGAGCUUGGGAGAUGGGUGAUAAAGUCCAUCGAGAGGUCUUCCCAGAUACCAGUGGGGGGUGAGAUUGGUUGAAGGAGCCCAGCUGACUUGCGAGUCACGUGCUUGACUUGUUGGCAGACACGGCAUUCGCGGAUGAAGGACUUAACAUCAGCAAUCAUGGUGGUCCACUGGAAAUUAGAACGAAGACGGUGGAGGGUCUUCUUGACACCAAAGUGACCUCCGAGAGGGGUUGCGUGGUACUCAUGUAAUAAUGCAGGAAUGAAUGGAUUGCGAGAGUCAAUCCAGAUGGCAUUCUUGAAGAAAAUGAGCUCGUUGGCGAUGGUGAAGUGGGGGUGAUCCUCUGGGUGAGCCUGAAUAGCUUUCUUCUAUGUCUGAAAAUCAGGACUAGCGAAAAGGGCCUGUUUUAGUUGAGUGAGGAACUCGUGGUGGGGGACAGAGAGGAGAGGGCACUGGGCUUGUCCGGUGUGAUCAAUGCGCGAGAGAGAGUCUGCGACAAUAUUGGAGGAUCCAGCUUUAUAUUGUAUGUCGUAAUCAAACCCGAGAAGCUUUGCCAAAUAAAACUGUUGUUCUGGAGUUUGAAUGACCUGAGACAUAAGGUCAUGGAGGCUACGGUGGUCGGUGAAGAUAGUGAACUUAUGGCCAAGUAAGUACUGACGCCAUUUUCAGACGGCAGCCGUGAUCGCGUGCAGUUCGUGUACAUACGUGGAAGCGUGUUGCAUGCGAGGGCAGAAGGGUUUGCUAAAAAACGCGAUAGGAUGGCGUUGUUGUUGAAGGACGGCACCCAUGGCCGUGCCGGAAGCAUCUGUUUCCAGGGCGAAAGGUAAGGAAAAAUCCGGGAGGGCGAGGACUGGGGCUGCCGUCAUAGCACGUUUCAACGCGAGAAAGGCUUCCUGUGAUUCUGGUACCCACUGGAAAGCGUCUCUACAAAGUAGGCGAGUUAAGGGUGUUGCAAUCGCGGCGUAACCUUUAACGAAUUUUCGGUAGAACCUUGUGAGCCCGAGGAAGGCUCGGAGUUCUUUGGCUGAUCGAGGUGCAGGCCAAUCGAGGAUAGCUUGUAUCUUAGAAGGGUCAGGUUGGACGCCCUUCUCGGAGACGACGUGGCCCAAAUAGUCUAGCUUGCGCUGGCCGAAGAGACACUUGGAACGCUUAAGAUAGUAUUGGGCCUGAGUUAAUGAAGUGAAAACUCGCUCUAGGUGAUGAACAUGAUCUGGGAGAGUCUCGCUGUAGAUGAGAAUGUCAUCAAAGAACACCGUUGCAAACUUCCGCAAGUGAGGACCAAGCACGGCGUUCAUUGCGGCCUGGAAUGUCGACGGCGCGUUGCAGAGGCCGAAGGGCAUGACCCUAUACUCAAAGUGUCCAUGGUGAGUUCGAAAAGCAGUUUUAGAAACGUCUUCUGGGGCCAUUAAUAUUUGGUGAAACCCUUGACGUAAAUCUAUUUUGGAGAACCAGGAAGCGCGGCCAAGUUCGUCAAGGAGCUCGUCUAUAGUUGGAAGUGGGAAGCGAUCUCGCACUGUAAUUGAGUUAAGCGCCCUGUAAUCGACACACAUCCGCCAUGUGCCGUCCUUCUUCUUAACCAGUAGGACGGGGGAAGAGUAUGGACUGCGGCUUGGUUGGAUGAAUCCUGAUUCAAGCAGGGCUGUGACUUGUUUUUCAAUUUCGGUUUUCUGAAAAUGCGGAUAUCUAUACGGGCGGACAUUAAUGGGGCUAGCUGAUGGGAGAAGGUUAAUAUGGUGGUCGUGGUUACGAGGAGGGGGAAGGGUAGAAGGUUGUUGGAAUAAGGAACUGAAACGGAGUAAGAGGGCAUUAAUUGCAGAAAUGGGGUGAGGUGGGUCUGGAGGUGCUUCAAUGGAGUUAACGGGUAGUAAGGAUAAGUGGAAAAGUGCAGAGGUUGACUGAGUAUGUAACAUACAUCUCACCUGGUUAGCCGAGACCGGGUCAGUAUCGGACUGAACGUCGGCGCGGAGGGUGAUAGGCUGUCCUUGAUGGCUGAAGUGCAUGGUGAAUGCGGAAUAAUCCGUAACUAUCGGGCCCAGGGUACGCAACCACUCAACACCUAACACAAUGUCAGCUCCACUUAAUGGUAGGACGCGUAGUGUUAUGGUGAAGGAGUGAUCUUGGAUUAGCAGCUUAGUGGCUGGGCAAAGUUGCCGGCAGUCCAAAACGGAACCGUUGCCCACCAUCACGCGAAGGGGAGUUGUGGCUUCCAAUGGUAAGUUUAAAAACUUGGCAACCCUAGGUUGGAUAAAGUUGUGGGUACCCCCACUAUCCACCAGGAUUGUAACACGCGCAUGGUUGACCAGACCAUAAAGGCGGAAGGUCUCCGUUGCUGGGACGCCGGCCAUGGCAUGUAAACUGAUGUGAGGAUGAAGAGAUGUGGGGUCAAAGGAAGGGGAAGGCUCGUUAGGUGAAUGUGUUGUGACUUCUGGUGAGGUGGUAUCGGAAAAGGGAGGGUCGUCGGAGGCCGUAAUGAAGAAGAGAACGCGGCCCUUACAACGGUGUGAUGAGUUCCAUUUCUCAUCACAGUUGUAACAAAGCCCCUUUUCACGCCGAUACGUCAUUUCUUCUUGAGUUCGCUGGAUAAAAGGUGUUUUAGGGCGAGGUCUAGAGGUGGAUGGCUGAGAGGAUAGGGUUGGAGUUGGUGUGUGUGGGGAAGAGAACGAAGGUCGAGAGGAUCUCCGGCGGUCAGUUAUCUUAUCCUCUUGGAGACGUGCCAAAGCAGUAGCGUGAGGGAGUGAAGCGGGUUGCAAAGCUUGAACUUCGCGGCGGAUUUCGGGGCUAAGACCCGAAAUGAAACAACUCAGCAAAAUGGAGGGAGAAAGGCCGACGAUGCGGUUGGCUAAUCUUUCGAACUCCGUGAGGUAUUCCGUGACUGAUCCGCGCUGCAUUAACUUGAAUAAUGUUCCACGAGGAUCAUCAUAAAAUGAUGGGGCAAAACGAUUCUCAAUAGCUUGAAGAAGGUCAAACCAGGAAGUGAUGAAACCGUUCCUGUACAUCCACUGGAACCAGCUGAGAGCUGUUCCAUCGAGGUAGAAGGAAGCAACCGUGAUGCGAUCCUCCUCCGGCGUUCCUUGGUAUUCAAAAAAUUGAGAGAUUUUAAAAAUCCAUCCCAACAGGUCGUGGCCAUCGAAGCGUGGAACUUCGAGCUUGACUGGAGGUCGAGGAUGACUGGAGUGCUGGGGUGAAGGGUGUGACGUGGAGUGUAUCUGGGAGAGUUGCUCGUACAAGGCGUUGACCUUGCUGGCUAGGUCGGAGUGCUUCUCAGAGAGGAUGGAAAUGGCGUCCUCGAGCCUGUCAGUGGUGGUACGGCGAGUUCCGUGUUCGGCCAUGGCGGUAGAGCGGUGGCAGCAGGUCGGACCAAAGUUGUUAGGGACGCUGUGAGGGAGAGAGAGAAGGAAGUAUUUUUCUUGGAUUCGAGGCCAAGUCCUCCUGACAGACUACACUAUUCAGGACUAAAGUUCUUUUUCGUAAGUUUUAUUUACGCUGAGAUACUUCUUUUAUACACGGGUACGUUUCGACCAUGAACAGCUUUCCUAACUAAUUCACGUGCCAAUAUAACAGACUAACUAACUUGCUGUUAAUACAACACGUGGUCUUAUUAUCACACGUGAUCUAUAACACGUAAUCUUCUAGAUGCUUCGGACGUGUGGAACUCCUUUGUCUUCGUGGUACUGGUUCAUCGUGGCUGCUAUCUUCCUUAGCUGGGUUGCUGCUGCUAACAUAGAAAUACUAAGUUAUGGGCAAGAUUUUGAUAUACUAUAACCUUAAUUUUUACAAUAAACCUAAAUGUCUAAAUAUCAUAACUCAACCAUGCGACGAAAUGACAAUGUGUUAAUUUUGUUGUGUCCUCAACCAUGCGUAUGCCUCAGGCCAAGGGAAUUCUCACACACGAUUCCUAACAAUUUCUAAGGAAUUCCACAACGUGUCUAUGCUUCAGACAACAAUAACGUACGAAAUAAACAAGUAGCAUCUAAUAACGUUAAAAUAAGCACACACAUAUAUCGAGCCAACCAACUUUGGAGGUAGAAGAACAACAAUAAUAUCAAUAUUUAAUUUCAUUUAGGGUUAAUUUAUUAGGAACUCAAUGUAAAAUAAUAAUUUAUUAGAAAACAAAUACAAAAUUUGAGUAUUUAUUAAGAAUAAAAACAUAUUUAAUUUCAUUUAGUGUUUAAUAGUGUUUUGGUCUAUGUUUUUUUGUCUAAUAGUAGGUGUGGUUGUGUAGGUGUGUUUUUUUGUUGAGAAAAUCUUUAUAUAAUUAUGAGCUAUGAUAAAAUCAAAAAUCCAUGAUGAGUUCCGUAUUUAAAAAUCGUUGUAGAAUUAUAGGGUGGAUUAAAAUGAAACGUAUUUGUCAUUGAGUGCAUAUUAAAAUGAAACGUACAUGCAUUACAAUAAAUAAAACAUUUAAACUUUAAUUUUAAUAUAGAAUUUUUCUAAAUUGUUAUGGUGCAUGAUUAAACUUUAAUCAUGGAGUACACAUUUUGAUAGCAUUAUGCAGAACAAGGCCACAGAUACCAAUAACAGCAGCACUAACAGGCCCAAGAGAGUGACCCACAGACCCACAUACCUGGAAGACUUCGUGUGAAGAUCUGAUGCUAUUCUAGAAGCUACCCUUGGAUCAAUUCUCCGCGUGUUUAAUUUCCCCACGUGUUCCUUUGGCUGUUAGAAUUCGAAAUUCUGUUAUAACAAACCAGAGCAAAAUAUCUUGUAAGAAAGCUAUUAUAAAAGCAUGAAUGAAUAAACGGGGUAGCAGAGAAGAAUAUUUUACUGCAAAUUUAGUUUACUUAUCUUCUAUUCAGUUUUCCUGUAACUUUGUCCACUGAGAUUCGUAUCAAAUUGGUCCGACCUGCUCCUCGACGCCAUGCCCGACCACCAUACCCGCCAAACCACCAUCGACAAGCUCGAAGAAGCUGUCCACCGCCUCUCCGAGAGCCACACUUCCCUCUCCCAGGGUCAUCAGUCCCUCAAUUCCAAGAUUGACAAUAUCCACUCUUCCCUCACAGCCCAAAUUGAAUCCCUCUUCGAACGCCUUGCCACCAUAGCCCUGCAACCUAACCCCUCCCCUUCCCCAAACAACUCAGCACACAUACCUCUUUCCCCUACCUCUCGCCAUCAUCACCUCAAGCUCGACGUUCCCCGUUUCGAUGGCCACGACCCGUUGGGCUGGAUAUUCAAAAUAUCCCAGUUCUUCGAUUACCAGGGUAUCCUGGAGCUCGAACGCCUCACCAUCGCUUCAUUUUAUAUGGAUGGCCCGGCCCUCUCUUGGUAUCAAUGGAUGCACCGUAAUGGCUUCUUCUCUUCGUGGCCGGCCAUGUUGCAGGCACUAGAGUCCCGUUUCGCGCCGUCGUUCUACGACGACCCCUAAGGUCACCUGUUCAAGCUUCAACAAACAGGCACCGUUACCGAUUACCUUACAGCUUUUGAGCGCCUCGCCAACCGCACCAUCGGCAUCGCCCCUUCCUCAUUGCUCAGCUGUUUCAUCUCCGGCUUGCUUCUGGAGCUCCGCCGCGAAGUCCAAGCACUACGGCCUAUCUCCCUCCCACAGGCCAUCGAGCUUGCCCGGCUUCAGGAGGACAAGAUGCUCGAUCGUCGCCGCGGCCCUCGGCCUCCGCCGCAUUCCCCUUUCCCUCACUCCCCCUCCCCUCUCCCUUCCUCAGUCGCUUCCCCUUCCCUUUCCCCAAAAACCCCUCUUUCCCUUCCACCCCCGAAACUCCCUGUCAAGCGUCUCUCCGCCGAGGAGCUCGCCGUGCGCCGCGACCAGGGGCUCUGCUACCAUUGUGAUGAUAAAUGCUCCCCUGGCCACAGAUGCAAGUCCCGGCUCCAUUUGUUCAUCGCGGACGAAGACGUCCUCUCCCCUGAUUCCCCCUCUGACGACGACCCUAACCUCACCCUAGUCUCCCAGAUCAGCCUCAACGCCAUGGAAGGCUCUCCCACCCCACAAACCUUUCGCCUCUAUGGUUCCAUCGGCCACCACCGCGUCAUUAUCCUUGUGGAUGGCGAAAGUUCUCAUAACUUCAUCCAAACACGGAUUGCACGCUUCCUUAACCUCCCCACUGCCCCCACCUCCCCUCUCCGCGUCAUGGUCGGCAACGGCCACACCCUCGACUGUGACACUGUGUCCCCUCAGAUCACCCUCACCAUUCAGACCCACCCCUUCACCCUUGACCUACUUCACCUCCCCAUUUGCGGCGCCGAUAUCGUGCUGGGAGUCCAGUGGCUCAAACAUUUGGGCCCAGUCACCACAGAUUUCGCAGCCCUCACCAUGACCUUUCUUUCCUUGGGCCGUCCCAUUACGCUAAUUGCUGAUGUACCCCCCACCCCCUCCCCUGCUUCGGCCCAUCAAAUUAAGAGACUCGCCACCACCCACAGCAUCUCAGCCCUUUUCCACAUUACACCUUUACCGGCCCAAACACAUACCCUCACCUCCGUCCCGCCACCCGACUCCAUCCCUGAGCCCAUUGCCACCUUACUCCGCCGGUACUCCACAUUCUUCUCCGAACCAAAGCAUCUCCCACCUCCCCGAACCAUCCAACACCACAUUCACCUCUUACCCAAUGAACCCCCAGUCAACGUCCGCCCUUAUCGCUACCCACACUACCAAAAGACUGAAAUAGAAUCUCAGAUCACGGCCAUGCUCGACUCUGGACUCAUUCAACCUAGCCAGAGUCCUUUCUCCUCCCCCAUUCUCCUGGUGAAGAAAAAAGAUGGCUCAUGGCGCUGUUGUAUUGAUUAUCGGGCACUUAAUACCAUUACCGUUAAGGACAAAUUCCCUAUGCCGACGGUGGACGAACUCCUCGACGAUCUUGGAAAGGCCUCCUGGUUCUCGAAGCUCGACCUCCGGUAGGGUUUCCAUCAGAUUCGCAUGGCACCUUCAGAUAUUCCCAAGACCGCUUUUCGCACGCACCAGGGUCAUUACGAGUUCCGCGUAAUGCCCUUCGGCUUCUGCAAUGCGCCCUCCACCUUCCAAUCCGCCAUGAACGACACUCUCCGGCCGUUUCUCCGAAAAUUUGUUGCAGUAUUUUUUGACGAUAUCCUCGUCUAUAGCAGUGACCUUCAUUCCCAUGUCCCUCAUCUGGACGCGGUUCUUUCGACCCUCACCACCCAUCAAUUCUAUCUGAAGGAAUCGAAAUGCAUUUUUGCCCAAUCGAAACUCAAUUACAUGGGCCACAUCAUCUCCUCCGACGGCAUCGCACCAGACCCCGAUAAAAUUCAAGCUAUGGUCAAUUGGCCCACCCCGACAUCCACCACUAGCUUACGAGGGUUCCUCGGUCUCACGGGCUUCUAUCGGAAGUUCAUCAGAGGCUACGCCUCUAUCGCUGCCCCUCUCACCAAUCUCCUCCGCAAAGACCAGUUCGUUUGGUCGCCGGCUGCCACCUCUGCCUUCAACCAAUUAAAGUCAUACAUGACUUGCGCCCCUAUCCUAACCACUCCCGAUUUCACCAUUCCCUUUAUCAUCGAAACGGAUGCAUCCGCAUUUGCUAUCGGAGCGGUCUUGGUCCAACAGGAUCAUCCCAUUGCGUACUAUAGCAAGGUCCUCUGCCCUCGGUUACAGCGUGCUUCAGCAUAUGUCCGGGAGCUUCAUGCAAUCACCUCGGCGGUCCGCAAGUGGCGCCACUAUCUUCUGGGUUCUUCAUUCACCAUCCUUACUGACCAUAGGAGUCUUAAGGAGCUCAUGUCACAGACAAUCCAGACGCCGGAGCAACAGACUUACCUGGUGAAGCUUCUUGGUUACGAUUACACUAUCCGUUACAAACCUGGGGCCCACAAUGUCGUCGCCGAUGCUCUAUCUCGAGUCCCUACCGGCGAAUUCCUCUCCCUUACCGUGCCUCACUGCGACUUUCUCAAUACCCUCCGCCAAGCUUUAAUGGCUGACACCCAAUAUCAGGAAUUACUCCACGAAAUUCAAACUACACCUGCCGCCCAUCAUGGUCUCUCCAUUCGUAAUGGACUCAUUCUUAAAGACCAUCGCAUCUGGAUACCUUUCCCCACGGCCCUCACAUCCACAUUGCUUGAGGAAUUCCAUACCUCUCCCCUCGGAGGACACACCGGAGUUGCAAAAACCCUCCACCGCCUCCGACAAAGUUUUGACUGGCCCACCAUCAAGAAGGAUGUUCAGCGUUUUGUGUCCCAUUGCACAGUCUACCAACAAACCAAAUACGAAACGAAGAAGCCCUCUGGUUUGCUGCAACCUUUGCCUAUCCCGGCAAGGAUUUGGGAAGAUAUGUCAAUUGAUUUCAUUACCGGCCUCCCGCCAUCACAGGGCCAUACUGUCAUUAUGGUUGUAGUCGACCGGUAUUCAAAAGGGGCUCACUUUGGCGCUCUUCCCACCCAUCACACUGCUCAUCAGGUCGCCGUCCACUUCCUCACCCUCGUCUGCAAACUUCACGGUUUUCCGCGUAGCUUAGUCUCAGACAGGGACGCUUUGUUCCUCAGCCAAUUCUGGAAGGAGCUCUUCCGUCUCAGCGGCACCCAGCUUCGAAUGAUGACAGCGUAUCAUCCUCAGUCCGACGGACAAACCGAGGUCGUCAAUCGGACUUUGGAACAAUAUCUCCGCGCCUACGUCCACCACAAACCCAGCCACUGGUUUCGAUACUUGCACCUUGCGGAGUGGUCUUACAAUACCACGGUACAUUCCAGCACGGGUUUUACCCCGUUUGAAAUCAUUUAUGGCCGGCCCCCUCCUUCCACGGUUGACUAUAUCCGCGGUUCCUCCCCCAUUGAUGCUGUUGACUCACUGUUAACAGACCGAACGGAGCUUCACGCACUCCUCCAGCGGCGCCUCCAAAAAACCCAAUCUUCUAUGAAGGCCACCGCCGACAAGCACCGCCGCGACACUCAAUUCUCCAUCGGGGAUUGGGUUUAUCUCCGCCUCCGCCCCUAUCGUCAGAAGUCCUUAGCCCAAUCAUACACGAAGCUUGCUAAGCGUUUCUAUGGCCUGUACCAAGUGACUGAUCGUAUCGGCCCCGUCGCUUACAAGCUUGCCCUCCCUGCCACCUCUAGGAUCCACAAUGUCUUCCACGUGUCAUUAUUGAAACUUCAUCAGGGCCCCUCACCAACUACCGACGCUCCACUUCCCCCUCUGGCCGUUGAUCACCAUCCCCUCGUCAGUCCUUUAACCAUAUUGGACUGGAAAUGGGACACUUCGGUCACUCCCCCGCUACGCUUGGUGCUCGUCCAGUGGGCCGGUUUACCUCCGGAAGAUACGUCCUGGGAAUCUUGGUCUGAGUUACAGUCAACCUACAACCUCGAGGACGAGGUUGUUUUUGGAGGCGUGGGUGUUGAUAGCAUUAUGCAGAACAAGGCCACAGAUACCAAUAACAGCAGCACUAACAAGCCCAAGAGAGUGACCCACAGACCCACAUACCUGGAAGACUUCGUGUGAAGAUCUGAUACUAUUCUAGAAGCUACCCUUGGAUCAAUUCUCCGCGUGUUUAAUUUCCCCACGUGUUCCUUUGGCUGUUAGAAUUCGAAAUUCUGUUAUAACAAACCAGAGCAAAAUAUCUUGUAAGAAAGCUAUUAUAAAAGCAUGAAUGAAUAAACGGGGUAGCAGAGAAGAAUAUUUUACUGCAAAUUUAGUUUACUUAUCUUCUAUUCAGUUUUCCUGUAACUUUGUCCACUGAGAUUCGUAUCACAUUUUUUCCUUAUAUAAGUAACAUGGUUUUACGUGAUUUGUUUAUUAUUUAUCUUUUCUUCUAGUUGUGUUCAUUGUUGUUUGAAAAUUUUCUUUAAUAUUUUUUUGUUUGGACAAUCACUUAGUUACACCGUAUGAAAUUCACGGAUUGGUUUGGAGGCUUGACUAUCAAAUUUCAUCUCGCAUCAGAUUAAACAUCGCAUUACUAUACCAUAUAGUUAUAUGUGAUUUUUUCCCAUUCAAUUUUAUAUUUAGCUACACAUUAAAAUUAAUUUAUACCAAAUUUCUUGCAUAUAGGUAUUUUUUAGUGAAUCAAAUUCUUUUUUAAUUCAAAUUGGGACAUUAGUUUUCGUAUCCGUUAAGAAUAAUUUAUUCCUAAUUUAAAUAAUUGUAUUAAAUUCUAAUUAUAAAAAAAUCCCGUAUUUAUUAUCAUAAAAAUAUUUAACAAUUUAAUCAUUAAUUUCGUAGUAUAAUUGAUACUGGACAACUAAUAUUUAUUGCACUUAAUUUCAUUUGAUAAUAACUGAUAUUUCUUCAAUCGCGUAUCAUUUGUUGCAAAACGAACAUCCAAUAUCAUUGGAGAACAAUGUUGAUGUAACGAUUAAUUCAUUGAUAAUCACAUGAAUGUAUUAAAUCCAGGAUAUUAAAUUUACAAAUAAUUUUUUGUUUUUCAAUUAUAUUUUAACAAUAAUUAAGAAAUAAAUCUAAAUCAUUCUACAUUUACAUUUGUUUAUAGGUAUUUGGGAUAUUGGCCGGAGAUGCUAUAUGGGAAUCUAAAUUUUGCUUAACACAAAUGUGGUAUGCAAGGAAAAAUCAAAUUGAAAUAUUUUUAACCACCACUUCAAUUUUUUAAAAGAUUUGUUUCAAAAUAAGGAUAUGAAGGAACAAAUUGUUUUUAGAGAACAUUUCCUCCAUGAUGUUUUCCUUUCCUUUAGGUGAAAAAAAAUAGACAUUUCCAAAAAUAAUGAAAGUGCAUUUAUAUAAUGUUGUUUAUAUAGAGAAGUCUUUGAAAAUAUAAGUCAAGUACUAUUACUACAAACUAUUCUGUAUCAUAUAUCUCUUAUAUAUUUUGAUAUAAAAUAUUUAUUAAUUUUUUUUUUAAUUUCUUAGUAACAUGUGCAUGAAAGUCAAACCAAACCGAAUCUGAGGAUUUAUGUGGCAUUUAACUUUUAUCAAUUUUUGCCCUCAAAGAUCACACUCUAAUCAAGUAAAAUAGAGACAAAUUUAAAAGACAAUGACUAAAUUAAAUAUGGAUUUGGCUAUUGCCAUAUUAACCUCGGAGAGGUAAAAGAUCAUUAAUAAGUAAUAACUUUAAUAAUAGUAAUAGAAACAGUAGACUUGUAAGCAUAAAGUUGUUCCUAGGAAAACAAUAAGCCACAAAGAAAUCCCCAAGAAUGUAUUCAUUCCUAAUCCACAAAGAAAAGCCCGUAUGCGCUUACUGUGUUGUCAAUCCCAGAGGGCUUUCCAUGAAUGAUCUUCUCCAAGGAAUUUUCUAUAACAAACCAAAGAACUAAAUAUAACAAGCUCUCAACAUUACUGAAAUAUUCUCAAAGGAAAGAUCUCAAAGGGAUGGCAAGCCUAGUUUUUUUUUUUUUAUCAUAGAAACAUUAUAGUUUCUCCCUAGCAAGAAUAAUUUGUGAUGGAUUGAAAUUUCCUAUAUGUAUCUAUGAACCUGUGGCAUAAAGUUUGUUUUUAAGCACACAUGACAUGACAUGAUAAUACCUAGCUUUGGAUUACCAUGUGACAAAAAAUUACUUUCCUAACUUUAGUUUCCCCGAAAGGUAAAAUUAACCAAAUCUGAAAAGCGUUUCGUGUAAUAUUGGCUACGCAUGACUAAUUAACUUCUGAAACGGUCAGCUACUUCAUAACCUUUUGAUGUCAUUCUCCCCAACAAAAAACAACUUGUUACCUAGCAACAGCUUGCUUGCUUGCUUUCUCACGCACUUAGUGACCCUCUAUGCUUGUGAAAUAAAUUGUUAUAACCUUUAUUGUUUUUCAUCAAUAUUACCAAAAUUUCCUUAAAAUGUUCAAUAUUUCGUAAUCUUCAUAAUUAAUUCAAAAUUCUCAAAAGAUUAGUAUAUGACCUUUUUUCUUGUUUGUACUAGGAGAGGAAUAAAUGAAAAAAAAAUCAGAAAUUUGUGGAUUGCUAUUUGCUCAAAUGAUGGGUCUAUUAGUUCUUUGAAAUUUGUAUUGAUCAUAUUUAUUUUUACCUUUUAAUAGAUAUAUUGUGCUGUCAUCCCAAGAGAAGGAUCAAACAUUGAUGAUGCAGAGGUUCUAAGAUAUUGCAAGAAGAAUCUUGCAUCUUUCAAAGUCCCUAAAAAGGUCUUCAUUACUGAUUCUUUGCCCAAGACUGCCACCGGAAAGAUUUUGCGUCGUCUUGCGGCACAACACUUUGUCUCUCAAAUUUGAGCAACCCAAGUCCUACUUUUGAAGCCUCCAUACCUGGCCAUACAUAGUUGGAGUCCACACACAUAAAUUUCAACAAUAAUUUGGGAAAGUUGGCAUUUAAGAGGAGGGUAAUUCUGCAAAUGGCCUUUCAUAAAGGAUACAAUAGAUUGUAGUUUCGAAUGAUUCACGUGAAAUGUUCACAAUGUAAUGUUUUCAAUGUUUUAUAGAUCAUAAAUACCAGUAGCAGGCAAGCAUGUCAUGCUUAUGCUUUUUUGCUAUCGUGCUCCUGUUCCUUGCCACUGGUCUUGAUGAAGCCAAGCAUUGUCUCUUUGCCUUUUAAGUUGUACAUAAUUGCAAAACGGAUACAUGUAAAAGAAUAAAUCUUAUUAAAAGUAAGGUUGAUUUUAAAGUGGGCAAGAAUGCAUCCAUGAUCUUAAGUAAAUAAAAUUCAAGCGAAUAUGUGGUUUGGAUUAGAGAAUAGUAUUAUCCAGUGCACACUAAAUUGGAGAGAUUCCCAACAUGUGGUUCCAAAACUCAAGAGUACUUACCAACUAUUUCAAUUUUAAUCUACGUGAUCUAGCUAAUAUUUUCUAUCAGAGAAUUACAACUAGUUGAUCUUAAGUACAAAACUAUACUCAAUAUGCAAAUCUUUACAUCCAAAAACUGAAUUUAAAUAAGGCUCUAAAAUUUGAAAAAAAAGAAGAUAGCAAUGACUACAAAUUGAUCAACCUGCCAAUACAAUGAUAAAACAUCAGUGUAUUCUAAGCAACACUAAACAGUGAUACUACAUGAGCAAAAAGAUUGAAGUUUGAACCACACAUGAUCAAGGAAAUGAAAAUAGGCAUACCGCCAUGAUCUACAAAUCAGCAAAGGAGCAAUCACUAUCCAGAAUCCCACAAUAAAUCCAAUUGCCGCACUGACAAACAACCAAUUCACUCCAUGCUCAUCACUUCCUUCAUAACUAUGAGUUUUCCCAUUGGAGCUGCAGUUUAUGGGCAGUGGUGGACCACAUAGAUUGUUGCCAAUAAAGCUGGAGGCAUCAAAGGUUUGCAAUUGUGUUCCUGUUGGAAUUUUUCCCUUCAAAUGAUUAUAAGACAAGUCUAGCAUGCUCAAAAAGCUCGAAUUUGAAAUGGUUGGAGGGAUUUCACCAGAAAGUUGAUUCCUAGAAAAAUCAAUGGACUGUAAUGAUCCCAUAUUACCAAUGCCUUGUGGAAUAUGACCAAUCACUUGGUUGUGGGAUAAGUUCAAAAAGUUCAAUCCAUUUAGACUUGUGAUUUCUCUAGGUAUUUCUCCUAAUAAUUUGUUACUUGACAGAUCAAUGCUUGUUACCAAACCCAGAAUGUUUCGGUACUCAUCUUCUCUUCCUUUCAGCCAUAGUAGCACAAUAACUAUACUAUAUCCGGAAGAGUAAUGUGUACUAUUUUGUGCUACAGAAUAGAUACGAGGAUCUGAACUUUGGUUCAUUAGUGUCAUGGCACUCAAGUUACUGAAACAACUUGGUAUAUUACCAGACAGAUUGUUUUGUGCAAGGUCUAAAACCUGAAGAUGACUCAUCUGACAUAUUUCAUUUGGAAUGUGACUGACAAAACUGUUUGAUCAAAGGCGGAGGAUUUUCAUGUUUAAGAGCUUUUCUCCAACCCAUGUUGGAAUACUUCCUGAAAGAUUAUUUUCCCCAAGGUCCAAGGAUAUCAAUUGGUUAUUCUUCUUCGAACUGGUAGGAAAUAUUCCUGAGCGUGUGUUGUUACGAAUUUGUAAAGACUGCAGCUAAGACAAGGAACCCAUGGAUGAGGGUAAGUUCCCAACAAAAUGGUUGCUUUGUAAAUUCACUUCCACUAGAAAUGGCCAAUUAAUCCAACAAUCAGGUAUUUCUCCUGAGAAAUUAUUUGAUGCAAGAUUGAGAAUUUCUAAUUGCAUUGGCUUGUCCUGAUUGUUACAUAAAAAAUCUUGCAUGGAUUCAGAGAAUGAAUUGGUUGAAAGGUCUAACCCAUACACAUCAUUUGAAAGAUAGGGUAAUUUACCACAUAAGUGAUUUGUGCUUAGAUCAACAGUUGGGAUAGAUAUUGGGUUUUUUAAUGUAGUCACAAGCUCACCAUGGGUAUGAUUAUGAGAGUGGUUUAAAUACAAAACCUGAGAUUGUGCUUCCCACAUCUGUGUAGGAAUAGAAUCAAUAAUCCCUGUGUUAGACAUGCCUAAAUAUUUAAGUUUUUUUUGUGACUGAAUCCACGAUGGAAAGCUGGGACCUAACUGCCAUGAUCCCACAUCCAAAUAGGUAAGCUGAAAACUAGGAAGCCAAUUGGAACCAACUUUUAAAGUGAAAUUGUUCCCUGAUGCAUGAAACUCCUUCAAGCUUGUAAGAUUUGCAAGAUCAUCUUCCUUGACAACUCCUUGAAAAUUAUUGCCAUCAAUACGCAGAGAUGACAAUUUAGAGAGUGAUCCAAUACUUUGAAAUGGAUUUCCACUGAAUUUAUUAAUAGACAGAUAGAGAUAUCUUAAUGAUGAAAGUUUUCAAAAUGAUCUUGGAAGAGCACCACCAAUUAAGUUGUUGGAAAAAUCUAGCAUGUCAAUAUUUUUAAAAGCCUCAAUUUGAUCUGUCAGAUUGCCUGAAAGUUGUGAACUCCGAACUGCAAGUGUUGUGAGUCCAUGGGAAAUACAAGGAGCAAGAAUUUCUAAAAGUUCAUUAACCUGUUGGUUGAAUUUGAGAUAUGAUAAACCUAUCUCCCUUAAGUUGCAGAGAUUAGCCAAAGAAGUUGGAAUGGUUCCUUCAAGUAGAUUAUAUGACAAAUCAAGUUCAACAAGAGAAGUCAAAUUUCCCAGGGCAUCAGAAAUAGUCCCAUGUAAGUUGUUGUCCAUUAGGUUCAGGAACUUGAGACGAUGAAGACCGUAUAAGCAAUCAGGUAUAGAAGAUGAGAAUGAAUUGAAAGACAAGUCAAGAUUUUGAAGAAGUGUGAGGUUUCGAAUACCACCAGGAAUCGGACCUUGGAUUUCAUUACCCCAUAAUUGAAGAGAAACAAGUUUAUUCAAUUUGAGUAUCCACUUGGGGACAAAAGAAAUGGCAGGGGAAUAACUAGUACGGGAAAGAUCGAGAAUUUGCAGAGAUGAGAAGUUGAGCAAGGAUGGUUCAUUAUAGUGAGGGAGUGUGCAGUGUGACAAAUAUAGGUGGGUCAAAGAAGGAAGAGAUUGGAGAGUGUGUAGCCAAUGAAAUGCUUUGGAUAGGUUUGCAUUUCUUAAACUUCAUAAGUGUCUCACGCUCACUUGGGAUGCACACACUCUCUCUGCAAGGUAACCUAAACAACCAAAGCUCCACAAACACAACAAUAUAAAUAAUGGAGGAGGAAUUCAUGUUCAUGCAACGCAUAUAUGAAACAACUUAAUUGUAUAAGUGCUUCUUGCUUCUGCAUAUUAAACUUACUUCUUUCUAUUAUUUAUACUGCCGCAACUGCCUUUCUUUCUUCAUUCUUAUUUCUUUUUUAAUUCACAAAAUGAUAUUUUUCUUAUAUAUGAAAAGGGCUAGUUUUCAUCGUCAUAAUUUGAAAUAGGUUGUUGUGUCGUCUAUUAAUUUCUAAUUGUAUUUGAAUCUGGAAAUUGUUCUCUUUUUAAUAUAAAAAUUAAUUAGUGAGAUACAAAGAAGUGUGAAAUAUAAUGCUUGUUUAACUUGGUCUACCAUAAUUACAGAGAUCAUAAUUUUUUCUUUUAUAAGUCUUGCUUCAAACUUCUCCAUGUAUCGUAGCUAUUUUAUUGUUAGACUAAUAAUGCGUAUAUAGAAUAUACCAUAGAAGGGUUUGCAUUUAAAAUUUUAUUCCACUAAUGGUGGUGGUUGCAGAAUGCACAGAUAUGUAGAGGUAUAUAUGUCUACAACGAGCCAUUUAGGAUUAAAAGUGUCUAAUCACACCACCAUUAUUUUGCACUAGUUUAUUUUAUUUUGGUUUAACUACCCUUUUAGUCCUGCUAGUUGUGAUAAUUUUUCUUUUUAGUCCCUAUAGUUUUAAACAUUUAUGUUAGUUCCUAUAUUUAUAAUUUUUUUACCUUUUGGUCCUGUUAGCCCAUAUUUUUUAUGAGCUAAAAUAUGCUCUAAAUAUGCGUUAGAUGUCGUCUCAAGUUUCGAAGCAUGUUACAGAGCAAGAGUCUGGUCAGGACCUGUUCGAAUCGAAAAGAGAGAAGAGUCUUUUGAAAGGGAUUCCCAGGUUCAAGGAAGUAUUUGCGAAGUACAAGGCUAGGACAGGAAAGAGGGCUUCGAAUCAUUGGGCGAUUCGAGUUGGUGUAUGGUCGAGUCGAAGUCAAGGCAGCUAGAUUUCUGGACUUAGCACAAUUUCUGACUUCACAAAAUCAGCUUCGACUUCGAGCAAUGUGGAUAACCGUUCUAAGGAGCAGAUAUGUGCAUGUAAGAUGUACGUGGCAGGACACUUGGCAUUAGGAUAGUAUUCGACCGUUAGGGCAGUUUAUUUUCGAAUGUCUAUAUAUAGCAGUUUUUAGUUAGAUUUCAGGGUCGCAAAUCAUUUAUACAAAUCCUUAUACACUCAAAGUAUCCAGCGCAGAGAGAAACGAGUAUACAAGGAGAAUGUAUGUUUGUGAACCAUUUUAAGUUUCUGUAAACUUUACAUUUCGAAUGCAAUGCAAUUUACGUUUCAGUUUAUAAUUCCUGCUUUUUUUUAAAUGGUUCAUUCGAUCGAAUGAACUCGCUGAGCCUUUAAAUUCUGCAAUUUCCCUUUCCUUGUCAAGUUACUUCCAGCAUUUCGAUUUCUGUUAAGCAAUUUUCCUUUCUGCAAAUUUCGAACCAGUGAACGUUUGUUGCAAUAAUGAACAUUCAAAGCUUUAUAUUUAAACACAAACACACAAAUGACAUGCUCCUGAGAUUCACUAGUUGAUCUCGCAAGCAAUUAACUUAGACUAGCGGUUGUUUACCAAAUUCCAGUGUAAACAAAUUGGCACGCCCAGUGGGACCGGUCAAUUGUGUGUUUUGGUUUUAAAUUAUUAAAGUUUUGUUUUGUGUAGUUGGUUUAUUGCAUUCUUAAUUGUUUUGAUUUUGUAUGCAUUUAAGAAGUGGGAAAUCUGUUCCACACUUAACAGAAUUCAAAACUCGUACAAGGAUGGCUAGACCACCCCCAAGUAAUCGAAACAAUGACCUUCCAAAUAUGGAGGGGCAACCAACGCAGACAUCUGUCAGUAAUGCCAAUAUAAAUUCUGGCAUAGGAGCCAUUCCUGACCAAACUGUUGGCACGAUAAGUUCGACCGCUUCGACGGUUAUGAAUCAGACAGGGGUAACUUCUCCCAUGACCAACAUGACGUUGGCAAGUUCGACCACGUCAGCGUCUGCUUUUGCCCCAUGGAAUAACCCUAGUUUAGGGAAUCCCAGUGGAAGUCCCUUUCGACCGCCUCAAAACCCUCUAUAUGGCAUGCCUACAUCUUUGAUGGCAGGGUUACAAAACUCUCAACCAAAUAUAGAGAAUCUUAAUAUGUCCUCUCCAUCAGGAUCUGUAGCGGGCAAUCAAGGUAGGGUAAUUCCUCAACAUUUAACCAAUACAUCCGUUUUGUCACUCAGACAACAAAUGGAUGAAAGUAACCAUGACAUGGUUAACAUGUUAACACAACAAAUAGGAACUGUUAUUAACCCCUUAAUUCAAAAUACAAAUGACAGUUACCAAAUGUUAACAAAUCAAAUAAGUCGAAUUGCUGACUUUUUUGGGGCACCACCCAUACAGCAACCACCAAUUCGACAGAUCCAAAUACAGGCGCCUGUCCAAGAGAUACAGAUGCCUAACAACCCAGGGAUGCAAAUGGCUCAAGCACCACAACCAGUGGCACGCAUAGAGCCACCAGUCCAACAGGUCGAACCAAACCCUGGUAUAGUAUUGGUAAAUAGAAACCAAAAUGCUGAUGAAGUAAUAGGGAAUAUUCAACAAAACCGUUUCGAUAGGCAGAAUAACCUUGCCCAAAUGGUCGAAACGAUUUUGGUGCAGAAUGGUUUGAACUUAGGCUUACACAGGCCUAAUUUUGUGUCUCCAUUAUCUGAGUAUGUGUUACAGACAGAAUUACCAAGGGGUGUGAAAAUCCCUAAGUUUACUAAGUUUGCAGGAGAGACAAAUGAGUCCACUGUCGAACACAUUGCUAGAUAUUUGGUCGAGGCAGGGGAUUUGGCUAAUAAUGAAAAUUUAAGAAUGAAAUUUUUCCCUAGUUCCUUGACUAAAAAUGCUUUUACAUGGUUUACAACCCUUCCGCCUCAUUCCAUACAUAAUUGGAACCAAUUGGAAAGGAUUUUCCAUGAGCAAUUUUAUAUGGGACAGUCUAAGAUCAGCCUUAAAGAGUUAGCCAGCGUUCGACGCAAGGCACUUGAAUCAAUUGAUGAUUAUUUGAACAGAUUCAGACUCUUAAAGGCAAGGUGUUUCACCCAAGUCCCUGAACAUGAAUUAGUCGAAAUGGCUGCUGGUGGCCUAGACUAUUCGAUUAGAAAGAAAUUAGAUACCCAGUAUUUAAGGGAUAUGGCUCAAUUGGCUGAUAGAGUUCGACAACUCGAACGAUUGAAGGCCGAAAAGGCUAGAAAUUCUAAAUUCCACAAGAAGGAAAAGGUUGCAUAUGUCGAAACCAAUGACAGUGACCAGGAGUUCGAUAUUAUUUAUGAAGAUAUCGAAGACAGUGAGGUUGAUUUAGCAGAAUUAAAACCUGGAUCUCCUUAUGUUUGUAAACUCCUUAGACCUUCCAAUGGAAAAAACCCUGUUGAACCUAAAAAUGAUAAAUUUGUGUCUAAAACUUAUACAUUUGACAUAACUAAAUGUGAUGAAAUAUUUGAUUUAUUAGUCACAGAUGGCCAGAUUGUUGUUCCUAAGGGCUUGAAAGUACCCCCAAUCGAACAACAGAAGAAAAGGGGUUAUUGUAAAUUUCAUAAUUUCCUUGGCCAUAAAACCUCACGUUGUGUUCUUUUCAGGGAUUUGGUUCAAAAGGCUCUUGACGAAGGGAGGCUCAAAUUUGGUGAGAAGCCAAAGGUUGUUCAGGCUAAUGCUGAAACAUCCAAAGCUGCUGAAACUCUCUAUGCGGAGCCCCAAGAAAUAAUGAUGGUCGAAACAAUGGAGGUGUCCCAUGUGCAAGUUCAGGACAUAUCUGAAGAGGAUUACAACGAACAAAUGAAGGUUGUGUAUCCUCAGGCUGAGGAGGAGUUAAUUGAUUUCUUGAACAGAUGCAAACUCGAAAACAAGAUUGUGAUGCUCUGCCCUCGCUGCAGUGCAGUAUGUGAUAAGGAGGCUACUGAGGGCCUCAAGAAAUACCAAGUUGUUAACAAGGGGGCAAAGCAGAACCAACGUUUCGAUAAAGGCAAAAGAGUUAUGGGGCAGUCGAACACUAAUCAGAAGUCUGGUCGAAGGAAUACUUUCUCUCCUCCUGGAUCAGUUCCGGUCGAAAAAUGGAUGCACCAGGGACUCAUAAGGUUCAACAAAGGGGCCAUGGAAGUAGGUGGUUCGAGUGGAAUGAAGCAAAUUGGCCCACAGGAGGCCAAUAGGUACUCUUAUAGGAACAAUUACAAAGGAAAGAAUCCUAUGACGAGGACCCAGUGGCGCAGGUUCCAGCGUCAGAAGAAAUUGGUCCAACAGAAUUUGCAAACGGGCCAGUAUAAAGAAGUAUCUAGGAGGCCAGUAAAGGAGAGACUCCUGCCUCCAGUGGAUGAAGAUAAGAUGGAGGAUGAGGAUCUACUGGAUUCUGAACCAGACUUUGAUGUCAUUUGUGUGGUAUCUAUCUUGCCAUCUGAAUAUGAUGUCCAAUCUGAAGUUACUGAGAUCGAAAGUGAGUUCGAUCACUUUGAUAUGGCUGACCCAAAGCCAGUAUGUUACUAUGUUAUGAACAAUGGCUGUGUGGAAGAACAAUUAGCUUAUUUCGAAAAGCCAGAUUUUCAGAUGAAAAGUCAUCUCAAACCUCUUUUCAUCAGGGCAAAAGUUGAGAAUGUUGGAAUCAACAAAGAGCUCAUUGAUGGAGGAGCAGCUGUCAACUUAAUGCCUCGAUCUAUGCUCUACAAGAUCGGGAAACAUGACACUGAUCUAUCUGCCCACAACAUUGUGCUUUCGAAUUAUGAGGGUAAAACUGGCUAUUCUUUGGGAGCCAUUCAAGUAGAUGUUGCUGUAGGCAGUAUAGUUCGACCAACUCUUUUCCUGGUGAUACAGUCUAAGGCUAAUUUUAACUUGCUAUUAGGAAGGGAGUGGAUUCAUGGAGUUGGGGCUGUGCCAUCUACCCUUCACCAGAAACUCGUUAUCUGGAGGGAGGAUGGGAUUGUUGAAAAUAUAGAGGCGGAUCAAAGCUUCUAUAAGUCAGAGGUCGAUAGUGUUACUGCACAAACUUUCGACAAAAAGUUGGCUAACAUAGCACCUUGUGGUGACAAGGAGGCUGUUGUCGAAUCAAGUGACAAUGUUAUCCACUCUGUCAAACUCCAUCCUACCUAUGGGUUUAUAUGGGAGAGGGAGGAAAUUGAUGCUGUUCCCUCUGAAGAUGGAGUCAUUCCACCAACUGGGUGGAAUAUGUAUGAAGAUUAAUAUGACUGAGGCCACUACAUUGGCCAGAAUUACGGCUUAUAUGGCCGAAAAUAGACUAAAUACGGCCUUUGAGGCUGAAUCUCAACAAAAUAUGGCAGUUGAAGCCAAGAUCGAAGAUCAUGAAAAUAAAGAAACAAAGGAUCGAAGACUGGAUUGCAUUUAUGACGAUGAGCCGCUGGGUUUCGAGAAAAAUCCCGUAAGUGAGGUGCCAAAGAUGCAGGCUCAAGAUCCUUUGGAGGAAAUUGACAUUGGAGAUGGCUCGAUGAAAAGGCCAACAUAUAUCAGUGCCAAUAUCACCUCAAGUCUAAAAGAAAAGUUGGUGCCUCUUCUUAGAGAAUUUAAAGACUGUUUUGCUUGGGAUUACCACGAAAUGCCUGGGUUAAGCAGAGAAAUGGUCGAAAUGAAAUUACCGAUUAAGGAGGGAAAAAGACCAGUAAAACAACUACCAAGAAGAUUCGCACCAGAAAUCAUGUCCAAAAUCAAGGAAGAGAUCGAAAGGCUGCUGAGGUGUAAAUUCAUCAGAUCUGCCAGGUAUGUCGAAUGGUUAGCAAAUAUAGUCCCUGUCAUUAAAAAGAAUGGAACUCUUAGAGUAUGCAUAGAUUUUAGGGAUUUAAAUAAUGCUACACCUAAAGAUGAAUAUGCUAUGCCAGUAGCGGAAAUGUUGGUAGAUUCGGCAGCUGGCUUCGAAUUUUUAAGCAUGUUAGAUGGUUAUUCUGGUUAUAACCAAAUAUUUAUUGCUGAAAGUGAUGUGUCGAAAACAGCAUUUCGAUGCCCUGGUGCUUUAGGCACUUAUGAAUGGGUGGUUAUGCCCUUUGGGUUGAAAAAUGCUGGGGCCACUUAUCAAAGGGCCAUGAAUUCUAUGUUUCAUGAUUUUAUUGACACAUUUAUGCAAAUUUAUAUUGAUGAUAUAAUCAUCAAAUCUUCCUCAGAAGAUAGCCAUUUGGAUUAUCUUAGGCAAUCUUUCGAACGAAUGAGGAAACAUGGAUUAAAAAUGAAUCCAUUAAAGUGUGCUUUUUGUGUGCGUGCAGGAGAUUUCCUUGGUUUUGUGGUGCAUAAAAAAGGCAUUGAGAUAAAUCAAAAUAAGACAAAGGCUAUUCUUGAAACGAAGCCUCCUUCUACCAAAAAACAGCUUCAAUCUUUGCUAGGAAAAAUCAACUUCUUGAGGCGAUUCAUUUCGAAUCUAAGUGGCAAAGCUCAAAUUUUUUCGCCAUUACUUCGACUCAAGAAAGAUGAACCAUUCAAAUGGAAUGAAGAGCAUCAAAAGGCUUUCGAUGAAAUUAAAGAAUAUCUGAUCAAGCCUCCUGUGUUAAUGCCUCCUAGUCGAAACAAGACUAUGAAGUUGUAUAUUGCUGCGUCUGACAAGACCAUUGGUAGCAUGUUGGCUCAGGAAGAUGAUGAUGGCAUAGAACAUGCAAUUUAUUAUCUUAGUCGUGUACUAAAUGAUGCAGAAACUAGAUAUACUGCCAUAGAAAAACUUUGUCUAUGUCUGUAUUUCUCUUGUGCAAAACUUAAGCAAUAUAUAAAGCCUGUUGAUGUUUAUGUGUAUUCUCAUUAUGAUAUUAUUAAGCACAUGUUGUCAAAACCUAUUUUACACAGUAGAAUUGGAAAAUGGGCUUUAGCCUUAACAGAAUAUUCUUUAACAUACAAGCCUUUGAAAUCUGUUAAGGGUCAAAUUGUGGCUGAUUUUAUUGUAGAUCACUCACUGAUCGAAAUGCCGCAAGACUAUGUCGAUACAGAGCCUUGGAUUUUGUAUUUCGAUGGUUCGAAACACAAACAUGGAACUGGAAUUGGAGUUUUAAUAAUAUCCCCCAAUAAAGUUCCAACUAAAUUCAAAUAUAAAAUCAAAGGGCUUUGUUCUAAUAAUGAGGCUGAGUAUGAGGCUCUAAUUACAGGCCUUGAAAUUUUAAUUAGCCUGGGGGCAAGAAAUGUUAACAUAAGGGGUGAUUCAGAAUUAGUAUUGAAGCAAUUAACACAAGAAUACAAAUGUGUUAAUGAACACUUAGCAAAAUAUUUUGUUAUGGCCAGUUCUCUUCUGAAUCAUUUCGAUUACAUUAACAUUGAGCAUAUACCUCGACAAGAAAACCAAGAAGCAAAUGAUUUAGCCCAAAUAGCUUCAGGGUACAAAAUGUCGAAGGAAAAGUUAACUCAAUUGAUCGAAAUAAAAGAUAAACUGGUGUUACCAGAGCCAUUAAGCACUAAAUUGCCAAUGCCAAAACUUGUGGGGGCAAGUAUACCACAAAAUAAUGAAGAUGGAAGUAUGAAUGAUCUCCAGGAAAAAAUUCAAAUUUUGGCCAUUGACAAUAUGUUAGAUAAUGAUUGGAGAAAGUCCAUUAUCGAAUAUUUGGAAAAUCCAGUAGGCAAUGUGGCUCGAAAGAUCAAAUAUAGGGCUUUAAAUUACGUGAUUAUGGGAAAUGAUUUGUUUAAAAAGACUGCAGAAGGAGUAUUGCUGAAAUGUCUAAGUGAAUCAGAAGCAUACUUGGCAGUUUCCCAUGUUCACAGUGGGGCUUGUGGAUCACAUCAAGCAGGCCAUAAAAUGAAAUGGCUUUUAUUUCGACAAGGUUUGUAUUGGCCUUCGAUGUUAAAAGACUGCAUAGAAUUUGCCAAAGGCUGUCAGGAAUGCCAAAAGCAUGCAGGGAUACAGCAUGUACCUGCUAGUGAGUUACACUCCAUACUCAAACCUUGGCCUUUCAGAGGAUGGGCUUUGGACCUAAUUGGUGAAAUCAAGCCUGCUUCUUCUAAGAACCAGCGUUAUAUUAUAGUUGGUAUCGAUUACUUUACAAAAUGGAUCGAAGCAGUCCCUUUGCCAAAUGUUGAUCAGGAAGCAGUAAUUAGUUUUAUUCAAAAUCAUAUUAUUUAUAGGUAUGGUAUUCCUGAAACAAUUACCACUGAUCAAGGUUCAGUUUUUACUGGACGAAAGAUGCAAGAAUUUGCCCAAAAAACUGGCUUUCGAUUAUUAACCUCAACACCAUAUUACGCGCAAGCAAAUGGUCAGGUCGAAGCAGCCAAUAAGAUUGUAAUUAACUUGAUUAAAAAACACAUUGCCCAAAAGCCAAGAAAUUGGAAUAAAACGUUAGAUCAAGUUCUAUGGGCAUGUAGAAAUUCUCCUAAGGAAUCAACUAAUACUACCCCAUUUCGACUGACUUAUGGGCAUGAUGCUGUACUUCCGGUCGAAAUACAUUUGCAAUCAGCCAGGGUACAAAAACAAAUGGACAUUCCAAUCAACCAUUAUUGGAAAAUGAUGUCAGAUGAGUUAGUUGAUUUAGAUGAGGAGAGAUUAAGAGCAUUAGAAGUUUUGACUAAACAAAAAGAAAGAGUUGCUAAAGCUUAUAAUAAGAAAGUGAAGUCAAAAACUUUUAAUGUUGGAGAUUUAGUUUGGAAGGUUAUCCUGCCCAUGGAUAGUAAGGAUCGAGCCUUGGGCAAAUGGUCCCCAAAUUGGGAAGGACCGUUUAAAAUAAUUCAGAUCUAUUCGAAUGGUGCUUAUGAAUUAGAGGAAUUAACCCCUCAGAAACGUACUUUGAGUAUAAAUGGUAAAUAUUUGAAAAAAUAUAAACCAACAUUGCUCGAAGUUAAAAUAAGCAUAGAAUAGGAAGAAAUAAUGGAAACAUAAAAAUGGCGAUAACAGUAAAAUUGCCACGAAAGGGCAUGUGUCAAUAUUACAUCAAAAGUAGAAUCGAAAUACAGAAUUCAAAAUAAAGAAAUCAUAAGUUCUACUAAGUCAUAACCAAAUCCUCAUAUAGCUUCUUCAAGGUGGCCAUUUCUUUAGUUAAGACCUGGUCAGCACUCUCCAUGACUCUUGCCUCAUCUGCUACAGCUUGAGAUGCGCUAAAGGCCUUCAGGCCUUCCCUCCCUUUUUCAGUAAUCAGUUUCUGAAUCGAGUUAUCGGCCUUCUCCUGGAGUUCCUUGCGUUUGGCCUGCUCUGUUACAAUUUUCUGCCUUAGAUCAUCGACCUGAGACAGCAAAUUCGUAAUAGUUGCCUCCCAGGAGGAAAUGUUAUCAUCACAGGCUUUGAUCUCAGGAGUUCCUUCUUUCGCCUCUUUGGUGAGACGUUCGACUUCAUGUUGAGCAGCUUGGGCUUUCUCGAGCAGAAGGAUAUGUGCCUGUUUCUGGGCAUCCAGUCUGGCGUCAUUUUCGCGUUUUUUCUGCACAGUACUUGCAAAUUGAUCGAUAAUGGACUCGAUUUGGAUGACUUUGCCUAGAAUCUCAUCAGAGGUAAGAGGGUUGUGCAAUUUCUUCAAAAAGUUCAGGUGCCCAAAAGCAGCAGAGGGGUUCUCUUCAAUGGAUUUAAGUACGUCUGCCCGUGCGUAUUCCAUUGAUAACUUCAAAAGCAGGCAAUCUUGGCGUACUGAAGAGGUUAUGUCAGCAUCAGAUGAGGACGAAGCACCAGGAAUCUUUUCACUUGAGGUGUUGGCUUGACUGGUGUUCAGCAGGAGUCGAAGGGCUGCAGCUGGGUCUUCGUCUUGCAUUUUAAUGAAUGUAUCUUCUGCGAUCCCUAUGCUAGCGGAAAGCUUAGAUGUUGAAGACGCCGGGUAAAUGUCCGAACCUCCAGCUUCAGCCUCUUGUAUGGCCUCUUCAUCGGAGAAGUUUUCUUCAGAUGAACUUUUCUGACUCGAUCCAUGAGGACUGCUGGGUCCCAUGCCUUGACCUUCACCUUGUUCCUCAACAUUCACUGCAUCCGUCUCAGGAGCGGGAGAUGUUCGAGCAUGUGAGGGUAUUUCUUCUACAGAAACAUGUUGUUGUACCUGAUUCGAAUUAUCAUGGAAAAAGGUUAACAAAUAGUUUCGUAUAAGCUAUGAUUUAAAACACAUUAAGAGGAUGAUACCUCGACGGCAGGUUGUGCUGGUGGUGAGUCCGAUUGAUCGACAGGGUUGCCCAUCUCAGCAACAGAAGGAGUAGCCUCUACUUCAGUGCCGUCAAUAUUGGUCGAAGGUGGUUGGACAUCAACAGUUUGAUUGUCACCUUGAUUUUUUGAUGGCCUGAUCUUUUUCUUUUUCUUCUUGAUUGGCUCACCACCCUCAACAGCCACAGAAGGUUCAGACUCGACCUGCUUCACUUUCUUUUUCUUCUUAGGCAUUUGAGCCUGAGAAUUGCCUGUUUCUGCUUGUUCAGCAGACUUGGUCGAAGUCGAAGGUAACUUUCUUUUUCUUAUGAGUGGUCUUUCCUCUUCUUCCUGCAUUAUGAGGGUAAAGAAUUGUCAGAAUAUAGACUUGAAAGAGAGUUAUAAUAUUGACAUUAGAAAUAAAACUUGCAUCUUUUUCUUCGUCUAAUUCGAUGACCACACGCUUCGAGCGUUUUGAGGUCGUGGUAGUCUCAGUGCUAUCAUCUUUCUUUUGACUCUGAAAAAAUAAAGAAAUAUGAGGCAAAGACGUUAAGAGUAAAAGAUAAGUUCAGAAGAGUUACCUUCUCUUCUUGUUUCCCUUCUUGGAUCUUCACCCCAGUGGGUUUCUUGGGUCUCACAUCAGCUCGAGACGUUUCGGUGCUUUUCUUUGUCAUGAUUGUUUUGCCUAAAGUAAGAAUAUUAGAAAAGGCAAAAAUACAUAUCAAUUUAGAAAGUCAAAAGUAAUUUAAUACCUUGAGCUUGAAGGUUUGAGCGAAUAUUCUCGACCGUUGGUUGUGUAAAACCACUCUCGAGUCUGGAGAUCAUGAUAGUAGUGUCUCCAAUUGAACGGGUCGAAUAAUAUUUCUCCCACCAGGUAACAAACCCCAUGGUGCAGAAGUGGGAAUGGUUGAACUCAAAAGGAUGCAGGUUAUAGUUUUCAUCAAGAGAAAUCUUCAAAAACUUCUUGAAAGUCUUUUCUGAAAGAUUGGCCCCUCUUAUAACGUCUCGAGGAUCUUCGAACAAGCUUUUAGGACGGAUUUGCGAGAGGCCAAAUUGUCUCGAAACCAAAUUAGGCUGGUAUCCAACCAGGCCUAAAUAGUUCGAUUGAACACCUGUACGGCAAGACAGAAUCUGUGGAUUCAAGUAAAAUGACCAUAUUUCGUUCACUUCUUCUUCAUUGUCCGGAUCGACAGCAGGAAAAUAGUCAGUGAACCAGGCCGGGCCAACUUCUCGACUAAUGAAUGGAGCAUGUUGGGGAAGAAACUUGUCAAAGCUCAGAAAAAUCCUCAUGUACUUUAGGAACAGCUUUUGUGGGUUUUGAUCGAAGGUCUUGGGUGUUAAUCGAAGUGCUCUCUGGCCUUCGAUCGAGCGAUUCGCAACUUCUUCAGCAUAAUCUUGUGGGAUUAUUAAUCCCAUUUCUUGUUCGAAAGUGGCAUUAAGCCACAAUUGGAGAAGCCACAUAGGCCCGGACACUAAGAAGGAAGACCUAUCCUUCGAUUUCUUCAGAUCAUCACAUGCCUCACCAAGCGAUUCGUAUAGCACUGCUAACAAGAGGCGUCCAAAUCCAAAGUUCUGACCUUCAUGAAUUUGUAAUGCCAUUGGAAUGAAUCUUUUGGCUACUUGCAAGGAUUUCGUGCAAAAAACAUAGUGAGAUAGCCACAGGGUUAAGAAGGCUACGUGCUCUUCAUCAGAAACCUCCUCUUCGACGGGUCCUUUGUGUUCAGCUAUAUAUUUGGAAAAGGUAUUCUCCUUAUAUACUAGCUUGAUAUUGUCACUAGAAUUAGUGGGGUCAUAAGUUUCUCCGCUAGGCCUAAGGCCUGUGAGGGCGGCUACAUCUAAAAGAGUAGGGGUCAUCAUACCACAUUUAAAUUGAAAAGUGUUGGUAGAAGACUCGAAAAAGUGCAUAGCUGCUAUCAGCAUUUCUGGUCGAUAUUCAGGACCAAAUCGAGAGAAUUGUAUCAAGUCAAAGAUGCCAUAUGUCUUCCAGAAAUCCUCAUACGCUUGUUCGACUCGAUCAAGCCAAGGUAGGUAAUCCUUAUGGGCUAUUGACGGGGCGGAUCGAAAGAGUUUGUGGGGUUUGCUUAAACAAUUGAAGUUGUAAGGCUCACUAUCAAAAAUCCUAGGUUCGCAAGUUGGGUAGCAGGGAAAUACCUUGUUCAUUGAACUCGAAAGUGACUCUUGGUCUGGCAGAGGUCCACCGAAAGCGUAAACUGUCCUUUCCACUGCAAAAGGGAUCAUCACCUCUGAUUCCCAGGUUUCUGUUUGUUCGGCGUCACCAUGUGGUUCUGGGACCACCUUCUCUCCGUCAUUCCUGACUGUAAAACGGUGCCAUUUCCCAGCAAACGGAACUGCUUGUCCUUGCGACAUUGUAAAUCUGAGAAGGGAUGAUUUUCUCGUGAAAGGUUUAGUAGCUGAUGGAAUCAGUGAGUAAGAGCUUGGGUUCACGAAGAACAGUGGCGGAGUUCGGAAAUACGGUGAGGUUGAUGAUAAAAGGAAUAACGAGUAUCUGGAAAUAGGAAGGUUUCGCCGGAAAUAAUGGAAGCAAGGAAGAAGAAGAAGGGUUUCAGAAGCAGAGAAGAAGAAAGGUUUCGGGGUUUCGGAAACAAAGAAGCUGAAGGGGUUUCUCUGAGGUUUUUUGGCGCUAUUUAUGGAGUUUCAUUUUUUAAAGGGGGAAAAAAUAAUAUAAUAAGAAUCAAGGGUCAGAAAUCAAUCACAUCAGAUUUCCCUUUUUACUCCCCAGCGUGACACGUGUUCCACUCUGCCUAGAAAGGUGGAAUUAAUGAUGGGUAGUGGGAAAUCGAGGCGACGGUUACUAGUAAACGUGCCAUCGUGUUGCCGUUCCAGGGAAACUGUUAGAAGAAGAGAAAAAAUGUCAACUUCUCAUCUUCCUUCGAACCAUUCGAAUCGAAGCAGACAUUUUUUGGGGGCAAUUUGUUAGCCCAUAUUUUUUAUGAGCUAAAAUAUGCUCUAAAUAUGCGUUAGAUGUCGUCUCAAGUUUCGAAGCAUGUUACAGAGCAAGAGUCUGGUCAGGACCUGUUCGAAUCGAAAAGAGAGAAGAGUCUUUUGAAAGGGAUUCCCAGGUUCAAGGAAGUAUUUGCGAAGUACAAGGCUAGGACAGGAAAGAGGGCUUCGAAUCAUUGGGCGAUUCGAGUUGGUGUAUGGUCGAGUCGAAGUCAAGGCAGCUAGAUUUCUGGACUUAGCACAAUUUCUGACUUCACAAAAUCAGCUUCGACUUCGAGCAAUGUGGAUAACCGUUCUAAGGAGCAGUUAUGUGCAUGUAAGAUGUACGUGGCAGGACACUUGGCAUUAGGAUAGUAUUCGACCGUUAGGGCAGUUUAUUUUCGAAUGUCUAUAUAUAGCAGUUUUUAGUUAGAUUUCAGGGUCGCAAAUCAUUUAUACAAAUCCUUAUACACUCAAAGUACCCAGCGCAGAGAGAAACGAGUAUACAAGGAGAAUGUAUGUUUGUGAACCAUUUUAAGUUUCUGUAAACUUUACAUUUCGAAUGCAAUGCAAUUUACGUUUCAGUUUAUAAUUCCUGCUUUUUUUUAAAUGGUUCAUUCGAUCGAAUGAACUCGCUGAGCCUUUAAAUUCUGCAAUUUCCCUUUCCUUGUCAAGUUACUUCCAGCAUUUCGAUUUCUGUUAAGCAAUUUUCCUUUCUGCAAAUUUCGAACCAGUGAACGUUUGUUGCAAUAAUGAACAUUCAAAGUUUUAUAUUUAAACACAAACACACAAAUGACAUGCUCCUGAGAUUCACUAGUUGAUCUCGCAAGCAAUUAACUUAGACUAGCGGUUGUUUACCAAAUUCCAGUGUAAACAGGUCCUCACCAGGAAGUUUCAACUCACACAUAAACAUGAACAAAAUUAAUAAAAAUAGGGAAGCAAGCUCAGGCACAACUGAACUGCAAUGGAGGUAUGGGACAAAGCCACUACACAUUCCAUUAUUCUUGAGUCUGCCACCGACCCCUGCAAGCUUAGCAUUUGCCAAUUGCCAUGAUGUAAUCUCCUUCUUCAUUGUCUCUCAUCAAGUUGGAGUGGUAUCAUAGCAUUGAACUAAGUUGAUCGUUCUAAUGGUAGUUUGUGCCUUCAUGGUUGGGAUGAUGUUGCAGGUUCCGGUUUGUUGUUGAGGGAAAAGAUGAUCAGCCACGUCUCGUGUGUGCAUAAGAGAGUGUCUUUGCCCUCUCCACAACCUUAGUUUCAACAAUUGUCGUUAAUCAAAACUUGAUAGUGAGAAUCAAAAGAGUAAAAAAAAAAAUGUGUUUAAUUCAUAAUAUAUAUUCGACCAUUUGAUCUUUGACAAAUUUUUUCUUCAAAGAAAAUCUUUAAUAUUUAAAAAAUUUUAUUUUAAAUCUCCAUCGUUAAAUAAUGACGUACCUUCAAUAUUUAUUUGAAAUUUGUCUUCCACCCCGUCUCCCUCAAGCUCUCCACAUUCACACACAUAUGAACACUAAGCUCUAGACAAAAAUAAAUAAAUAAAUAACCACGAGAAAUAAUAUAUAACUCUUUAGUGGAAUAAAUAAAUAAACACUAAGCUCUCCACAUUCACACACAUGAAAUGAUCCAGACUAAGUUAACAAACUAAAUGGUCUUCUUCCGUGAGUUCACAAUGAAACCACAGAAUUUAUUUUCAUCCACUAGUUUCCUUCCCAAAUGUUUUCUAAAACAUAACACACUACAGAACCUUCUAAUAAUUUUAAAAAAAAAAAAAAAAAAAAACCCAACAUUUUACAUGUAGCACCACAACUUAACAAUUUCUAGCUACAACCCUGCUCUGUAUACUCAUUCUAAACUUGUUCCAUAGACUAUAAUAUAAUCUAUCUCCUCUCAUUCCUUCAUCAAGAUUGAAAAAUGGAUUCAAAUGCUUGUCUACCACACUUGCUAGUGUUAGCAAUAACAUUGGUAUUGGUUAGUCAUGCAAUGGGAGAUUCAGCUCAAGACAAACAGAGAUGUGCAGAAUCCCUAACAGGUGUUACAACGUGUCUGCCAUAUUUGGGUGGUGACACGAAAGCACCCACAGCAGAUUGUUGCAGUGGUCUCACACAAGCCAUGAAGACCAACAAGAAGUGUGUCUGCGUUAUUCUCAAAGACAGGGAUGAUCCUGAUCUUGGCUUAAAGAUUAACAUGACAAUUGCUGCUGGUCUCCCUUCUCUUUGCAAAACACCUGAUAAUUUCUCAGUGUUCUGGUAUGUUCAAUUUCAAAUUAAGUCUUCCUUUUUUUCUUAAAGAACACUACACUACAGUGUUAUGUUUCCAUUUCCUAUGCAACGAAUGAUCUAUAAGUCUUGUUAGUGGUGGCCAUAUAAAAACUUAUGUUUUUAUCUUUCAUUGUUUGAUGAUAACCUGUUUUUAAUAGGAAAAAAAAAGUCUUUAUUUCUAUUUUCAAAAACUAUUUUUAGUUUUCAAGAUACAACUAAACAAGUUCUUCAGACUGUUUGGUGGAGAAUGAUGUGAGACACAGAAUGUGGAAUUGAGAGGGAACUUGAACAAGAUUAAAACAGAAGAAGCAGAGAAAACGUUUUCCCGAUGUUUUUGUUUUUUUGGAUUUUAGAACACUUAUUUUGGAUACGAUUCUCCAAACUUAUAUAUUUUGGAAGAGAAAUUGAUUACUAAGUAGUCUAAAAUUAUUUUAUAAAACAGUUUCUUAACUGAGAAUACUCAGACCCUAAAUCUUCCAAUUUUAGUAUAUUUCUAAAAAAAAAAUCAGAAUAUUUGUGGUCUAAGUUUUAUCAUUAUCAAGCCUUUCAUUUUCCUUAAAGAACAAAAGAGUGUCACAUUCCAUUUACUAUGUAAUGAAUGGUCAACAAGUCAUGUACUUCAAACUUUUCUACUUUUCUCAUUCGUAACUGGACAAUAACACAUUUUAAAGGGGAAAACAAGGGCAUCUAAAUCUGCCAAUUUUACUUUGUUUGUGUAUCUGUUAUCUCUGAGUUUUCAACUCCGAAGUUAAAAAUAUUUGAGGUUUGAUUUUUUCUCAAGAAAUUCUUGUUUUAAAUUAUUUGAUCAGCACUUCUGCACUUGGAUCCUAAAUCACCUGAAGCUCAAGCUUUUAAUCAAAUUGAUCAGAAAUCCAAUGGUGGUUCUAUCCGUCCUUCGCCCACUCCUUCUGGUAGUGAUCCUUUCAACAAAAUAUUUCAUUUUUGGAAUUUAUUUUUGACAUUGACUUUUGAGUUUCAAUGGUGUAGUACUAAAUUUUGCAUUUAUUUUUAAUGUGUUCUUUUGUGCAUUCAGUUGAAGGAAGUUCCCAGAAUGGUAGAAAGCAGGGGACAGAUGAAACGGCCACAGCUAAGAAUAGUGCAUCUUAUAUCAGGAAGAGAUUGUUAGAAAGUUUGGUUGCAGUUGCAGGGCUUCUAAUUUGGCUUUCAUGAGCUUAACUCAAAUAUUACCUAUAUAUUACCAUUUUCAUAUCACGUUGAAAUGUAAACCAUUGAUGAGUUGAUAGUGUAAAAAAUAUUUACACUCUUGAGUGUAUUAAAUCUCUGACAGACUCACAAAAGACAUUAUUGCAAAACCUUAUUGGAGAUUUAUUUUUGUGAGCACUUUGCCUUUAAUCUCAUACAACUAUAUGCUUGUUAAACAAAUCUUAUUGUACGUUCAGUCCUAAAAGUCUUUUAUCUCUAAUAAGUAAUAACGACUUGUUGUAAUAGAAAUUAAAAUCUUAUUAUUAUUUUUUUAAUUACACUUGAGGAUGAUUUUGGUAUCCCACUUUUCAAUUGCUCGGUUCGUUCCCAUAUUUUCAAAUUUUACAAAUUUGAUUCAUUAGUUAACUUGAUAUCCAAUCUUUGAUGGAGAUGUUUAUGAGGCUAUAUGUGAAAAUAGAGUGUUGGCAUGGAUCUCAACUUUUAAUUCCUCAAUUUUGGUUGCCAUAUUUUUAAAAUUAUGCGAUUUUGGAGCAGGAGUGUUGUUUUUCAAAUAUACCAAUACUACUCAGGGAUUAUGCAUGUGGGGAUCUUCUUACAUAUAUACUACUAUGAAUUAUGUUGUCUGCUUAAAGUUGUAGCAGAAAAAUACAGGUAAUUUUGAAGGAGGCCAAAUGCAUUUCAGAAGAGAAUAAUAGAGAUAAUGUGGAACAUUUACCUUGUAGCAUUUCCAUUUUUAAAAAUAAUAAGUUUCUAACAUUACAAAGUUAACAAACUAAUUUUUUUUUCCUCGUAAAGUCUAAAACUGAUAAUUCGUCAAGCAUGAUAUGGUUUCUUUAGCCAAGUACAAGAUAAUCUAGAUUCUACUUGUAUCCUCCCAAGAUAUUCUAAGAAUGAAUAAGUUAAGUUGAAUAUGGAAAAACAAAUAUUCAUUAAGAUGUUAUGGUUUGAUUAUCCCAACAACUUUUCUCCCAUGAUUCAACUUGUUGAAUUGAGCUUUCCUUUCUCUAUAAUGUUGCAUACAAAGUUGGAGGGUCAAAAGGGGCAGGCAUGGUGCAAGGGUCGGUAUUUGCAGGAACCUUGACCAAUGAUUCCAUCAUAAAUUUCUUUACUGAUCCUUCUGCUCCACAAACCAUUGACUCCACACAUAGUUCUGUAGCAUUAGCACUUAUGGAGGGUUUGUAUCUGAAGAGUUUAGCAUAUGAAUUCAGGAGAUGAAAAAUGUAGUCGUACACGUAGUCCAUCUUUACCUCUUCUUGAAUGAAAUCACUGGCCAUGCACCUUGCCAAUUUGAUGUGCCUGAUAAAUUUCACAAAUAGAAAUGAAAUGGAACAAGUUAAACAUUGAGAAAGUGUUGUUUAAUUUAUUUAUUUCCUCCAAAAAGUUUUGCAUUAGUAGGCAAUUCUUGUUUAUUAUUCGUAUAAGCUCACAUUUUAGUAUAUAGUAUAUCUGCAUAUGGAUUGUGCAAUAAUGUAAAGGAUGAAACAUGUUAGGCUUUUGGGCCAAGGUUAUUAUAUUAAAUCUUAAAAGGUACUAUAUAUUAAACAUUGAUUUGCUUAUAACUAUGUAGUCAGGUUUGACCCUGAUUAAUAUUAAGUGAUUCACCAUUAAAUCAAAUAUUCCGAGGCCUCGGUGAAUUCUUUUAGGAUUAAUUAACUUGGUAAGAAUUAUAUUCUAGCCUUAGUGAAGAAGCAAAACUUCAAGAUUACCCUUUGCUUGUGAUUAUUGCCCCAAUCCACAGCAAACUUAAUGGAUCUGCACUUGUUAUCGUCAUUAAUUGGAAUGGUUGUUGUAUCAAAUUUUCAAUAUUCAAACUAAAAAUAAUGUAAAAGAAAAUUGUCUUCUAAACCAUAGCGCACACCAUCAAGUCCAUCUCAAGGUUUUUCAGUUUUUCAUCUUGAACCUUUGGACACUCCACAAAGUCCAGCCAUGUUAAGGUCGGACUUCUUCAACUUGAACCAUAGGUCACUGCAUUACCUUCCUAUCAACUUCCCUGUCAUUGACAACAAAUGUUGCGCAAGGAAAAAAAAUAUAAUUGAUGAAUAAAUUAAUUAUAGAAAAAGGGUGUACUUUAAAGACUAUUUCGAUUAAAAAAUCUGUAUAAAAAAAGAUUAUUUAGUUCCAAUCUAGCUAUUUAAUUUUGAUCAAUUUUUCAAUUCACAAAAUAAUAUUCUCUUAUAUAUGAAAAAAAAAGACUAGAUUUAAUUGUCAUCAAUUGGAAAGGUUGUUGUGUCAUGAAUUUCUAUUUGUAUUCGAACUUGAAUAUUAUUUUCUUUAUCAUAUAAAAAUUAAUUAGCUAUAUAAAAAGAAGUGUGAAAAAGAAUAUUAACUUUUUUUUCUCAAAAAAAAAAUCAGUAUCAUAUUUCGUAUUUUUUACAAGUUAUCAACUUAAAUAAGUGGAGAAACAUAAUUUUAAUUUCCAUUUUACUUUUUAUAUAAUUGCAAGUGCAAAAUUUAAACAAUCAUAAAAAUACUCAGGAUCAAUAUAAUAUUCUCGAAAAACAAAUUCUUACGAUAACUUAAACAAUCUACAAAGCAGUACAAUUUAUCCUUGUGCCAAAUACUAAAAUAAGAAACAUUUUUUUAUUUUAGUUUACCGUAUAGAAUUGCUUAAAUCAAUGAAAAUUUUAUUUUAAGAAAAUAUUAAUGAUUUUUUUAAAACUUUGAGUAGGUUACAUCAAAGGUAAUUAAAUUUAGCUUAAUUAGUCUUCAAAUUUUAACUAUUAUUUAAAUCAGUCAUUUUGUUACACCUGUGUUAAGUAAAUAACAAAAAGUCUUCAUUAUAAAAUUCAAAUAUUCUAUUACUUGCAAUUUGAACCCAUAAUUAAUUUUAAACUAUCAAAUGUUUAUUAUUCAAAGUAAAAGAAAUGAAAACAGACAAACCACGGUCACUCCACCAAACCAAAUCCAUACCAAGGUCCCCGCUUUUUCAACUUGAACCAUAGGCCACUCCAUCAAAUCUAUGUCAAAGUUUCUUAUCAUUGACAACAAAUGUUGAGAGUUAAGUCAAGCAUGAAAAAAUAGGCUAAAAUAUAUCAUUUCUAUCCCUAUAAAAUUUUAAUAUGCUACUUUUUUAUCGUAAGUUAAGUUUGAAUGAUUGAUAAUUAUCAUGUAUUCUUAGAUUUUGGUGUCAUUUUGGGAUAUUAUGUAAUAUAUGUCUUUUAUGUUUUUUUAUUGACAUAAACUAAUCUUCUUUUCUGCUGGACUUUAAUGUAAUUGGUUCUUUUUUCAUGUAAUGACUAUUUUUUAUUCAAUAAAGCAUUGUAAUUGUUUCUCUUCUAUGUCUAAUAUGUGUUUUUGGCUUGAUCACCUGAUUUUUUUAUCAAUUGUAAUUGAAAAAUUCCUUUGAGCUACGAAUUGAAAGAACACCUAAUAAUUUUUAUGUCUAGGAAUAAGAUAAAAAGAAUUGAGCAUCAAUAAACACUUUAUCUUAACGCACAUCAUUUGGUUAUAUUAAUUCAAGGGAUUGAUAGUGUAAUCAAGGGAUUUAGGUCUUUUUCACUUAAGGAAUUAAAGUUAAUAUGGUAGGUUUAUGAUAAUAUAACCUUUAUUAAAUAUGAAUGUGUAGUGAUUACGUGAUAGAAACUUCAAUGAAAUUAAACCCCAAUGAUUUUUUCAUUGAUUUCAUCUCAAUUUACUUUGCAUACACUGGGUGUUUGUUAAAUUAUAAUGUCUGGGUGUUUAAAACUGCCAAAAUAAAAAAAUAAAAGAAUAAAAUCCAAGAUUUCUUGAAAAUCAUUACUAUCGGCUUAAGAAAGAAAAUUGUUUCUUGUGACACCCUUUAUCCUGACAUACAUAUAAAAAUAUAAAAUUUAAUUAAAUCAAUUUUAUUCACAUCACAUAAACAAAUCCACACGAGUAAAAAGGUUCACAUUCAUUUCACGAUUACUAAAUAAAACAUACCAGAAACAUUUCAAGCUAAAAAAAUCAUGCAAUUAAAACAAAAACGCAUGUCCAAUGUCACAUCCUAUCAGAGCAUUGUUUCUUGUCGUGCUCCAUCAUAAAGUUCCUAAAAGUAAUCUACCUAGUCAUCUGUUCCCACGAAUACAAGAUUCGAAAUCAUCACAGGAUUCAAACACAAACAGCCACAGGGAGUGAGUUAUCUCAUUCCUAAACAGAUAGGGAUAAACAAAAUCAUAUCUAUUUAAUAUAAGUAUAAUAAGUUCAACUUAAUAUAAUCUAUGUCACUUCACCACUUUAUCAUUUAAAAUUCAUUUUUCAAUCAUAAAUCACAUUACACAUGAAUCACACGCUUGAAUCAAGAGGUGAUAAUACUCACCAAUUUCAUAAUAAAUAAUUCACAUGUGUUAUGUAACAAUUAUUUCAAAUAUAGAAAAAUAGUCUAAUUUAAAGACUAUUUCAGUCAAAAAAUCUAUAUAAAAAAUAUUAUUUCGUUCAAAUCUAGCAAUUUAAUUUUGAUCAAUUUUUUAACUCAAAAAAUAAUAUCCUCUUAUAUAUGAAAAAAAGACUAGAUUUAAUUGUCAUUAAUUGGAAUGAUUGUUGUGUCAUCUAUUUCUAAUUGUAUUUGAACCUGAAUAUUAUUUUCUUUAUCAUAUAAAAAUUAAUUAGUGAUAUAAAAUAAAGUGUGAAAAAUAAUAUUAACUUUUUUCUCAAAAAAAAUUGUAGCAUAUUUUGUAUUUCUUUUACAAGUCUUCAACUUAAAUAAAAGGAGAAACAUAAUUUUAAUUUCCAUUUUACUUUUUAAAUAAUUUUAAUUGACAAAUUUAAGCAAUCACAAAAGUACUCAAGUUCAAUAUAAUAUUCUCAAAAAAAUAUUCAUAAGAUAACUUAAAUAAUCUACCAAGAAAUACAAUUUAUUCUUGUGCCAAAUACUAAAAUAAGAAGAAAAAAAUUAUUUUAGUUCACUGUAUAUAAUUUCUUAAAUCAAUGAAAAUUUUAUUUUAAGAAAAUAUUAAUAUUGUUUAAUACUUUGUGUAGUUUACAUUAAAGGUAAUUAAAUUUGGCUCAAUUAGUCUUCAAAUUUUAACUAUUAUUUAAAUCAAUCCUUUCGUUACACCUGUCUUAAGUAAAUAACAAAAAGUCUUGCAUUAUUAAUUUCAAACAUUAUAUUACAUGCAAUUUGAAUCCAUAAUGAAUUUUAAAUUAUCAAAUUUUUAUUAUUCAAAAUAAAAGAAAUGAAAACAAAAUUGUCUCCUAGACAAACGGCUGGCUACUCCACCAAAUCCAUAUCAAGGUCGUCACUUUUUCAACUUGAACCAUAGGCUACUCCAUCACGUCCAUCUCUAGGUCCUCCAUUUUUUCAUCUUGAACCUUAGGACACUACACAAAGUUCCGCCAAAGGUGUUUGACUUUUGCAACUUGAUCCAUAGCCCAUAGGCCACUCCACCAAGUUCAUGUCAAUGUCCCCCCACUUCUUCAACUUGAACCAUAGGUCACUACAUUACCUUCAUAUCAAGUUCCUUAUCAUUGACAGCAAAUGUUUAGUGUUAUGUCAAGCAAGGAAAAAACUAUAAAUGAUGAAUACAUCAAUUAUAGGAAAAGGAUCUAUUUAAAAGACUAUUUCGGUUAAAAAAAACCUAUAAAAAAACUAUUUGGUUCCAAUCUAACUAUUUAACUUUGGUCCAUUUUUAAUUCCCAAAACAAUAUUAUUCUUAUACGUGAAAAAAAGACUAGUUUUCAUUGUUAUCAAUUGGAAAGGUUGUUGGGCCAUCUAUUUCUAAUUGUAUUUUAACAUGUACAUUAUUUUCUUUUUCAUUAAAAAUUAAUUAGCGAGAUACAAAGAAGGGUAAAUCGCUUGUUUAACUUGGUCUAUCAUAAUUAUUGAGAUCAUAAUUUUUCCUUUUAUAACUGUUGAUCCUAAUUUCUCCGUGUAUAGUGGAUCAUAUUUAACUUAAAAAGUAAAUUAGAAGAUCUACAAAGAAGUGUGGCAUGUUUUUCAAAUUAUUUAUUUAUGGUCCUAGCUAUUUAUUGUUAGACCACAAAGUCUUCAAUUAUUAAAGUUUUUGUCUAAAUUUCAUUUACUUAUGUGGUGAUAGUUUAAGAAUAGUGACAGAAGAGAAAAAAAAAUAUAUUGGUAUUUUUUUAAAAAAGAUUGGUGUUUCUAGUAGAAUUAAAUCAAUUAAUACAUUGAAUUCAAUGCAUUGAAUUCUGGUUUGACUUUUAAUUAAAAAAAAACAGCAUAUAAAUGUUUUUAAAACUGUUGUGUGGUUUCCUUGGAAAAAAAACUAUUGUGGUUCUAUUAUAGUUGACUGAAUAUUUGAGUUUGAAAAGAUUAUUUUUAUGAAAUUAAAAUUAAAGAUUAAAAAAAAUAUAAAAUUUUAAUUGCAUUCUUUAUUAUUCAGGUACAGAUAUUGUGUGAUUUUGGUCUAUUGAGUUCCAAUUGCGAGAAUUGGAUUGGAUCCACUAGGCAUUGCAAUUUCAAUCCCUCCAUCCAUCUUUCUUUGAAUAUUUAACAGAUAUUUACUGGCAUGACACUAGAUGAAAGGUAGAUAAUAUGACAACUACCAUGUUGCCUAACACAUACUGAACUACACUUUUGAUCCCUUAGAAUAUUGCAAUCAUAAGGAAGCAAAAGUGAAUAAGCCACAUCUAAGGGACCAAACUUACAAAAUUAUGAUACCCAAUUUACCUAAUUAGAACUCGGGAACCCAAAUUGUACAAUUCAAAUGCAUGGAGAUCAAAAGUGAAAUUAAACUAAAUAUAAAUUAUGAGAGUAUUCUAAAUCUGUCUUCAUUGUCUGAGGAGCAAAAGGACUUGACAAGUGUUUUGUAUUUUUUUUUUCUACAUGCAUAUAUAGUGUAUAUAUAUGCUAUUCUUUUUCUAUUUUUUCCUACAUUUAUGAUCUCGGAACUGAAACAGUGAGAGAAACAGAUGUGAAAAUAGAUAGGGUGGAUAAAGAACUUGACAUCGGCCACUGGAAGAAAAUGAACAGAUGAAAAACAUGCAGAAUAUGGGUCAUGACAACCAUCUUUUUGGGUAUUUCACUAUUUCUUUAAUAAAGAUACCAGCUCUCUCUCUCUCUCUCUCUCUCUCUCUCUAAUACACACACUGGUGACACAGGUGUGAUGGAAACCCUAUAUCUGAUAGCUUGAAACUUUAUUUUGUAUGACGGAAUUCAAUACAACUAAUGACCCUAGUAUAAAAUGAUAGGAACUAUUAUAAAUAAAAAAGUAAUAGCCCAUGAUUUUUAAAAAUUAAACAAUCAUGAUUUGUCAAAUGAACGUGUUAAUGAGUAUUAUAGAAAAAAUGCAUAAUACUCCUCAGGAAAUGGGAAUGUGGAAUGUAUCAGAGUAAGGAAAAGCGAGAGAAGGAAGAUGUGGAAGGGUUUAGAAACUGCAGAAUCCUAUGCAAGCUCCAACUUUCUACACUAAUUAAAUUCAUUCAGGCAAAUUCUAAGUUACAUGUUGUGUAAAACAAUCUUCUUGAGUGUGUCAUUUCAGGUAUUUUAAUGCUAAUCAUUGUUAGUGCAUAGAUAGUAGAAGACAAUAAUGCGUCAUAAAUACAAAACAGAAUUUGAUACUCAAGUCUCAAGCUCGUCUAGUUCUCUUAACAUCAAGAACAUUUAAUACCAAUGAAAGCAAAACAGACAGAACACCCCAUAUGAACAGGUACAUAGUAUGGUAAACCUUUUCACAUUUUUAAUGGCUAGACUAACACGUUGUAAUGUCUCUCACUCCUAACAGUUAACAGGUAAACUCAUAAUUUCCCAAGUAACCUUCUUACCUUCAAAACUAUUAUCACAUAAAUCAGAUCUCUCAAGUGGUCAAGAUAAUGAAAAUAAGAACGCCUCCAAGUUCUGUUGAAGAAAACAACACUGCAAAAACCCCAAAAUCCUGCUGCAAAUCCAACUCCCAUACCAAUAUAAAACUCUGAUGUUCCAAAGAAAUUAUCAUCACCGUGUCCAACAGAAGCACUCUCUGUCAACUCUUCCUUGUCUGUGCAAUUUUUUGUUACAGGAGGACCAGAAAGCUCAGGAUUUCCAGUGUAGCUAAGUUCUUCAAAGCUCUGAAGUUGGGUGCUCGUGGGAAUUCUGCCUGAUAAGUUGUUGUAUGAUAGAUUCAGGAAACUGAGGAAGGACAAAUCAGAUAAGCUUUGAGGGAUUUGACCUGAAAUGUUGUUUAGUGAGAGAUCAAGGGAUUCUAACAAUUUCAUUUUUCCCAUGUCAUUUGGUAUCUCUCCAGACAGAUGAUUUCUAGACAAGUUCAAAAACCGCAAAGCAGAUAGCUUGGAAAUUUCAGAUGGAAUUGCUCCAGACAGCUUAUUACUUGAAAGAUCAAUCAUUCUCACCAAUAUCAGAUUGUCUCUGUACUCUAACUCAUCUCCUUUGGGAACUAAGACAAGAGUUUCCUUGUAGUGAUUAUAACUGAAGUCAGAGCCAUAUGAAUAACUUAAAGGGUUGGCAAAGAAGUCAUCUUCACCAGCCAUUGUCUUCAUGUCAUCCAAACAAUUUGGAAUGGAUCCUGACAGGCUAUUAUUGCCAAGAUCCAGCACUAUAAGGGAAGAAAGUUGACACAUCUUUUCAGUAAUGCUGCCAUUGAAAUUGUUGGAUCUUAGACGAAGAACCAUUAGAUAUUGCAUUUCCCACAUCCAAUCUGGUAUUGUGUCAGAAAGUUGGUUAUUGCCCAUGUCAAUGAAUUUCAUUGUAGAGCAAUUUUGCAGUGUUGAAGGAACAUAUCAAGAGAAGCGGUUGUCGUCUAACAACAAAGACUCAAGUUGAGACAGAUACCCCAUGGAGUUUGGAAUUUCACCAGACAAAUUGUUACUACCCAAGUUCAAAUGCACCAAAGCCUGCCAAUGCACCCAACAGUGACCAAGCUCACCAGACAAGACAUUAUUUGAAAAAUCAAGCACACUUAACUUAUUAGUAGCAUUUUCCUUUCCACAUAAAAAGGGAGAAAUUGUUCCGGAAAUUGAGUUAUUGGCAACAUUCAGCACUUCAACAUUUGCAGACACACUUGGCAAUCUACCCUUGAACAAAUUAGAACUCAAAUUUAUGACGCUGGAAUUUAGAAAGAUGUUAGAUAGGUCUCCACUUAACAGAUUGUUUGACAGAUCCAGGAAUUCAAUUUGCAAAGUCCAAUUCCAAAACCAACUUGGAACCAAGUCUGCAAUACCUGCCUUAGACAUUGUCAAAACCUUUACAGAACUUUGCCUUUUUAGCCAUUCUGGAAACAUAGGACCUAUUCCAAAGGAGCUCAGUAAAACAUAUUCAAGCUGAAAAGGAGGAACCCAUCCAGAGUUGACACUGAGGAACAAGUUUGUCCAAGACAAACGUAGUUCCUUUAAUUUCAAAAGUUUUACAAAAUUUGACUCUUUUAUAGAUCCUUCUAACAAAUUAGAUGAAAGGUCUAACAUCACUAAAUUUGAGAGAGUUCCAAGAGUUACAGGCAUAUCACCAGUCAAAGAAUUAGCUCCAAGAUUUAAUACCUGCAGGUUUUUGAGGAACUCAAAACUCUUAGGAAUGGUUCCAUUCAGUCGGUUGUGAGCCAGGUUUAAAGUUCUCAAGGAUGACAAGUUUGCAAAUGGUGAGGGAAUUGGACAUGUAAAGGUAUUAUUACUUAGAUCUAGAACUUGAAGAUGCUUAAGUUGGCCUAAUGAAUCUGGAAGUGGCCCACUGAGUUGGUUGUUAUGCAGGUCUAGAUUUUUUAUGUUCUGAAGGCUUGAUAUUAUUUGUGGAAUUUCUCCCUGUAAAAGGUUACUGUGUAAAUUAAGUUGGACAAGGGUUGUGCUGAGAUUAAAUAGCCAUAAAGGGAUUUGCUGAUUGAGAUUGUUAUUUGAAAGAUCAAGGACUUGGAGAUGUGUGAAGUUGGAUUUUCCUUUUGGUGGUCCUAAGUAAUUAAUUUGACAGCUCUCCAAGUGUAAUUCUGAAAGAGAUGGAAGUGAACUCAGUUCUUGAAGCCAGUUACCUUGUUUAUGAAGGUCUGAGCCACUCAAAUCAAGGUACUCCAAGGAAGAGAGCCUUGAUAGCCAAUUAAGGUUAUCUAUCUGAAGAGCAUAAUUGUAUCCAAGAUUAAGGUGCUGCAGGUUUGAGAGGUUUCCUAGUUGAUGAGGGAUUAAUCCCAUGAACCCACUUAAGCUAAGGUCCAAGUAUCUCAGACUCUCCAUUGAGCCUAGGAAGCUUGGUAUUGGAGUAAGAACAAAAUAAUUUGAACUCAAGUUCAACCGAUUCAAAUAUUUUAGUUCAAGCAAAGAAGGACUAAUCUCUCCACUCAACUCCCUAUAGGGAGAGCCCACAGGUGUGUCAAGAUUGAUUUCCAUGACUUGACCAGUGUUGUUGCAGUGAAUCCCUGGCCAUGUGCAGCAAUCAGAUUUGUCAGACCACGAUGAAAGCCUGUUUGAAGGGUCUGCUAGUCCAUGCUUGAAGCUGAGGAGUGCAUUUCUUUCCUUCUCACUGCAAGUCAUAUUGAGCCUUGCUGCCUUGCUUGCACUGAAGUGGAGAGUUGUUGCAGUGGACAAUAUCAAGAGAAGAACAUGAGUUGCAAAUAGCACUGCCAUGAAGAAGAAGGAAGACGAAAAAGGUUGAAUCCACAAUUUUCUGGUUCACGGUUGGUAUUUACUACUAACAAUGCCUAUAUAGGAUAUAUACCAUAGAAGGGUUUGCAUUUAAAAUUUUAUUCCACUAAUGGUGGUGGUUGCAAAAUGCACACAUAUGUAGAGGUAUAUAUGUCUACAACGAGACAUUUAGGAUUAAAAGUGUCUAACCACACCACCAUUAUUUUGCACUAGUUUAUUUUAUUUUGAUUUAACUACUCUUUUUAGUCCUUAUAGUUGUGAUAAUUUUUUUUUAGUCCCUAUAGUUUAAGACAUUCAUUUUGGUUCCUAUAUUUAUAAUUUUUUUACCUUUUGGACCUUGCGGGAAAGAUUGCUGCAGAUAAAGUGUGAUUGUGAGUUUCUGGUCCCAUGAGUAACAGAGGUGAGGUAGUUUGUGCCUUCAUAGUUGGGAUGAUGUUGCAGGUGCCGGUUUGUUGUUGAGGGAAAAGAUGAUCAGCCACGUCUCGUGUGUGCAUAGGAGAGUGUCUUUGCCCUCUCCACAACAUUAGUUUCAACAAUUGACGUUAGUCGAAACUUGAUGGUGAUAAUUAAACCUUUUAUUUUUUUAUUACUUUUUUUAACAACGGGUUAUAUAUAUGUAGCAGUUUAUUCUAAACAAUGGACUACGUGUGAAAUCUUUGAAUUCUAUGUAAGAAAUGUUAUUUCAAACUUCUCAUCAGUCUUCAUGUCAAUGAUGAUAUGCUCCAGUUUCAACCCUUUGAAUUCUAUGUCUAAUUAAGCUCUCGGUCUUCCGUUUUUGCAACUUUAUUUCGUAGAAAGAAGCCAAAUUUGAAGAUACAACAUUUGAUACUAUAACUGUUUGGUGUUUUGAAAAUCUCACUCACAUAUUUCCAAAUGUUACAAAAGAAUUUGAUUCAGUGGUUAUUACGAAUUCCUUCCUAGCCUUUUUUACCAAGUCAAGGAAUUUGCAUUGUUGUGCAUGAUGGCUGCCACAAGGACCCUUGUACCAACCCAUUAGUGCAAGUGGUUUUUUCUUAUGACAAUUGAGAAACAACUUAUGUGGUUUAUAAAGGGAAUUCUAUUUUGUCCAAAAAUUUCCACUCACUUUUUGUGAGUGGUGUGAAUGUCAUGCAGACAAAUGAUGUCCAAGCUCAACUUUUUCCAUUAAUUGCAAGUUGUAAGCAGAAUGUAGAAUGUGCGUAUAAUAAAAUAAUGAGAAUGGCAACUGCUAGUACUACUUAAUUAGAACAAAAGUAUCAAAAUUAAAACGAAAAUAACUUUGAUGCUGUUAAUAUAUGAGUUUAAUUUUGAUAGAUAGUGUAAAAAUUUAAAUUGUUAAUUAAUUAGAAAUCACCAAAUGAUUUGUAAAACAAUUACUAAAAAAAUUAUAGGAAAUAUAUAUAAUUAAUUAAAUGCAAAUGAAAGUGUAUUUAAAUUAAAUUCUUAAUUGACAUAUCCUUAUUGUGAUUUUUUGUAUAUUUUUUAUUUAAUUGAGACAAUGGAAUGAGACCGCACUAUAAAUGUCAGCACGGGUGUGGUUGUCUAAUAUAAUAGGGAUGGUUGGUGAGGAAUUUUGGAAUGUUAGUUGGUUUUAGACCGCACUUAAUUAUUUAAGCCUUUUAUGUUUUUAAAUAAUAAUUUUAUGUUUGAUUUUUAACACUUAUUUUUUAUCCCUAAUAAAUUAAUAAUCUUUUUUUCAUAAUAAAUAUUUUUCAUUUAUUAUUAAUACAGACUAAAAUAAAACUCACUAAUUUAUUAGGAAAUAAAUAUGAUUUUUUAAAAUAAAAUAUCAAGAAUAAAAAAUAAAAGUGCUAAUUUAUUAGAAAUUCAUUAUGAAAUAAAAAUUUAUUAGAAAACAAAUAAAAGAUUAAGUAUUUAUUACAGAUAAAAACAUAUUUAAUUUGAUUUAGUAUUUAACAUUGUUUUCGUCUAUCUGUAUUAUAAUUUUUUUUUAUAGUUGUUUCAUUUCAAAUUUGUGACAACAUUUUCAUUGGGACCCUUCAUCAGCAAAUUGGACACUAAAGAGACUCAUUCAGGAACAAAUAACUACUAGGGGUACAAUAAAAUGAGAGGAUUUAACACUUUUGUAUUCGGAAAAUGUACUUUAACAAAAUAAAAUUAUGUGUUUAUGCUUGAUAUAUAUUUAACUUUUGUGUUUGAUGUUUGACAAUAUUUUUCUUUAAAUAAAAUCUCUAAUAUUUAAAAAUAUUAUUUUAAAUCUCUAUAAUUAGUUUAAUAAUAUAUAACUCUUUAGUGGACAAUUGGCGUUGUACAAAAUUGAAAUGAUCCAGACUAAAGUCAACAAACUGGUCUUCUUCAGUGAGUUCACAAUGAAACCACAGAAUUUAUUUUCAUCCACUAGUUUCCUUCCCAACUACCAUGUUUUCUAAAACAUAACACACUACAGAACCUUCUAAUAAAAAAUUUUAAACAAAAAAACCAACAUUUUACAUGUAGCACCACAACUUAACAAUUUCUACCUACAACCCUGCUCUGUAUACUCAUUUUAAACUUGUUCCAUAGACUAUAAUAUAAUCUAUCUCCACUCAUUCUUUCAUCAAGAGUGAAAAAUGGAUUCAAAUGCUUGUCUACCACACUUGCUAGUGUUAGCAGUAACAUUGGUAUUGGUUAGUUAUGCAAUGGGAGAUUCAGCUCAAGACAAACAGAGAUGUGCAGAAUCCCUGGCAGGUGCAGCAACGUGUCUGCCAUAUUUGGGUGGUGACACGAAAGCACCCACAGCAGAUUGUUGCAGUCGUCUCACACAAGCUAUGAAGACCAACAAGAAGUGUGUCUGCCUUAUUCUCAAAGACAGGGAUGAUCCUGAUCUUGGCUUAAAGAUUAACAUGACAAUUGCUGUUGGUCUCCCUUCUCUUUGCAAAACACCUGAUAAUCUCUCACAGUGUUCUGGUAUGUUCAAUUUCAAAUUAAGUCUUCCUUUUUUCUUAAAGAACACUACACUACAGUGUUAUGUUUCCAUUUCCUAUGCAAUGAAUGAUCUAUAAGUCUUGUUAGUGACCAUAUAUCAACUUAUGUUUUUAUCUUUCAUUGUUUGAUGAUAACAUUAUCAAGCCUUUCAUUUUCCUUAAAGAGCAAAAGAGUUUACAUUCCAUUUACUAUGUAAUGAAUGGCCAACAAGUCAUUUACUUCAAACUUUUCUAAUUUUCUCAUUCAUAACUAGACAAUAACACAUUUUAAAGGGGGGAAAAAGGGCAUCUAAAUCUGCCAAUUUUACUUUGUGUAUCUGUUAUCUCUGAGUUUUCAACUGCGAAAGUUAAAAAUAUUUGAGGUUUGAUUUUUCCUCAAGAAAUUCUUGUUUGAAAUGAUUUGAACAGCACUUCUGCACUUGGAUCCUAAAUCACCUGAAGCUCAAGCUUUUAAUCAAAUUGGUCAGAAAUCCAAUGGUGGUUCUAUCAGUCCUUCGCCCACUCCUUCUGGUAGUGAUCCUUUCAACAAAAUAUUUCAUUUUUGGAAUUUAUUUUUGACAUUGACUUUUGAGUUUCAAUGGUGUAGUACUAAAUUUUACAUUUAUUUUUAAUGUGUUCUUUUGUGCAUUCAGUUGAAGGAAGUUCCCAGAAUGGUAGAAACCAGGGGACAGAUGAAACGGCCACAGCUAAGAAUAGUGCAUCUUAUAUCGGGAAGAGAUUGUUAGAAAGUUUGGUUGCAGUUGCAGGGCUUCUAAUUUGGCUUUCAUGAGCAUUACUCAAAUACUACCUAUAUAUUACCAUUUUCAUAUCACGUUGAAAUGUAAACCAUUGAUGAGUUGAUAGUGCAAAAAUAUUUACACUCUUGAGUGUAUUAAAUCUCUG
rnacentral:lncRNA from 1 species